rnacentral:lncRNA from 1 species
UAGUCCUAAGGAGAGGGAGUGAGCUCCUGGCGCAGCUUCUUGCUUUCGCCUGGAUCACUUAUUUUGCCAUUUCUCUCCACCGAUAGCUAGUCUUGUGCCAAUGAGUUUCGUUUGCAACCGCGGGAAGGCGGAAACGGAGACGGAGGUUAGAAUGACGCCGCUCCUUUCCUGCCAAUUCUUUUUCCCUAAACCUGCAAGUUUCUGUUGCGAUGCCAUGUCGCGAACCAAACAGAGGAGACCUGCCUGCAUGUGAGAUCUUCUAUAAUUCAGAAUAAGGAGGGUGGUAUAUAUGAUCACAUAAUCGAAACAUUUAUGAUUUCUUCUGUUUCGCGAUCCACAUACUAUAUAUGUAUGCAAUACAUGUUCAGUUUUUCUAAACUGAAAAUGGCUCCUCCACCAUGAGCAGCUACCAUGGAAUGUGGGUAAUGUAAAUCAAAGAAUCCUUUUUUUUAACCUGUUUUUUUUUUGAACCUGGCUAAUCAAUCAAAAGAAUGUGGAGCUAGGUUUGGAAUUGUAACCCUCUCCUCUCCUACAGUAUGCUAAACUUGUAGUACUACUUGAAUGAGCUUCAUCCUUUGCCUGCUUACAGGCGCUGUUGCUUGCUCCUUAAUUCAGACAGUGCUGUCGAAGUCACUCGUGUACUCCCGGAGCGUCUGCAAGAGCGGAGUCGCCCUGCCCUUCUGGUGCGUCUGCUCGGAACACUUGAGCAGCAUCUGCAGCACGACCUUCAUGGUCGGCCGCGACGACGGCGGGGACGCUGUCGUGCACAUCAGGCCUAGCCUGAACACGAAUUCGAUCUCCUCCGAGAACCCCGCGUUUCUGAUGCGACUAUCUGUGGCUCCGUCGAUGCUCCCUCCUGACUCGUCCAGGCGCCGCACCCAUUCCGCCAGGGACCCGUCCUCACCGCCGUCGCUGGCCGCCCGGCCGGUGGUGAGCUCCAGGAGCACCACGCCGAAGCUGUACACGUCCACCUUCUCCGUCACACUCGUCGUGUUAGCGCACUCUGCACACCAGCAUGUGAAGGUGUGAAAAUUCAGCUACUGACGAGUGACGACCAGGGAUGUUUUGGUUCCUUACCCGGAGCCAUGUAGCCGGACGACCUGGCAACGGCGGACAUGGUGUCGGGCGUGCCGGCCUGCACCAGCAUCCUGGCCAGCCCGAAGUCCGCGACCUUGGUUCGGAACUCGGAGUCCAGCAAGAUGUUGCUGGUCUUGACGUUCCGGUGAACGAUGGGCGGGGAGCACUCGUGGUGCAUGUAGCAGAGCCCCUGCGCGGCGUCGACGGCGACUCUGAUCCUCGUGGGCCAGUCCAAACCACCCUCGUUGGACGACGCGGAGUGCCCGGCGCCGUUGGGGAGAGCGUGCCUGUGGAGCCACCCGUCGAGGCUGCCGUUGUCCAUGUAGUCGUACACGAGGAGCUUGUCGGCGGAGUCGGCGUGGGAGAGGCAGCACAGGAGCCUGACGAUGUUCUUGUGCCGGACGCCGCCGAGGAUGCUGGCCUCCGACUCGAACUCGCGCUCCAGCCUCUCUUCCACCUUCCGGGCGCUCCGUAUUUUUUUCACGGCAACGGCGCUGUCCUUGCCGAUGUACCGGUUAGUGUACGCGGGUAACGCGGCGCGGUACACGCGCCCCGACCCGCCGCUGCCGAUGAGAUUCUCUUCGGUAAUCGCCCGGAGUAUGUCUGCCUCCCCGAACCCCAGAUUGGUCUGGAAAGACGUCAUCUUCCAGCCACCGUCCUGUGCGGCGCGCUUCCUUUUCCUGAUGUCGCGGACGAUGAAGAAGGCCAAGGCCACGAUGAGGACAACGAGCGUGCCGCCAAUGAACAGGAGGCCAGUGCGGAGCGCCGGCCACAUGCCCCCGGAGGAGGAGGCGGCUUGUGAUCCCGCGGCACAGAUGCGCACGCCUGUGAGGUAGCCUGGCCCCAGAUCGGCAUGGCAGAGGCCGGGGUUGUCGAGGAAGCUCCGGUCGUAAGCGGCGGUGGCGAGCCCUGCCGGUACCUGGCCUUGGAGCUGGUUGGAUGACAGGUUGAGCGAGCUGAGCUGUAGCCCGGCAAGCGGCGGCGGUAUGUCGCCGGAUAGCUUGUUUGACGACAGGUCAAGUGCGUCGAGCACCCGCAUGGCGCCCAAUUCAGCCGGUAUCUCGCCGGCCAGCUGAUUCCUGCUCAGGUCCAGCUGCGUCAGGUAGCUGAGCUUGGCUACGCUCCUUGGGAUCUCGCCAGAGAGCUGGUUGCCGGACAAGUUCAUUGCCUGCAGCAGCGGCAUGCCGUUGCCGAUGUCCGCGGGGAGCUCGCCGUGGAGGUAGGCAAGUGACAAAUCGAGGUGCCGGAGCGAAGCGCAUCGGUACAGGCUGGUCGGAAAGGCGCUGGUGAUGUCGUUGUUGGAGAUGUUGAGGCUCGUGAGGCGGGAGAGGCCGCCGAUGGCGUCGGGGAACGGGCCGGCGACGCCGGUGUUGGCGAGGGAGAGGCUGGUGACGCGCCCGGAGGACGCGUCGCAGGUCACGUAGGGCCAGGUGCAGUGGUCGCUCGAGCCGUUCCAUGCCGCGAGCACGGGCGGGUCGCCCCACGCGCGCUUGAUCUGCAUCAGCGAAUGCCUCUCGUCGGCGGCCUGGGCGGCCGCGGGGUGCAGGAUGCAGCAGGGUAGCACGAGCAGUAGGAGGAGGGACGCGCGACAUGUCAAGGCCGCCAUGGCAAGGCAGUAGUAGGAGGCGGGUUGUUUUUUUUGUUUUUGUUUCGACAAACGUGCCUUUUAUAUUGUUUUAGAUGUACAGUAUUUAUUAAGAAAGCCCGAGGCUCCCACCAACCGUUGCGUCCGAUUAUCGUCGAUAAAUCGGUCACCAACCGUCGUGCAGGCGGACGCGUCUGCGGCCCGUCCGCGUCCGUCGGCGGGAAGUCUGCACCAGUUUAGCUGCUUUGCCUAGUGCGGCGUACAGUACCAGUUUAGCUGCUUUGCCUAGUCAGCUUUCACCGUCCAUCUGCGAGCUAGCAUGAACAUACUACAUCAUUGCUAGUUUUGUGUCAGUUUCACAAUCAGAUUUCAGUCCUGAACAUACAUCAGUGCUAGAUUGAACAUCAGAAUCAGGUUUCAGAAUCAGUCCUGAACAUACGUAUCAGAUUCAGGUUUCACAUUCAGUUUGCAAACUAGCUGCUUUUUCCGUGUGCAUACUCUUUUUUUUUUUAGCUUAGCACGCCGAUAUACUUGAGAAUACAGAAAGACUAAGAUCAACCCGGCAGCUCGCAGUCGAUUCAACUGAGCGAGCGGAAAGGGCAGGGCCAGGAGGUGCUCCUUCGGGACCAAGGAGGAGAACGCGGCGCUUCGCUUCGUUACGACUUAUGACGUAGCAGGCCUCGCAGGUCAUGUCCGCCAAGUCUGCUGCGUUUCUGCGGUCUGUCCGUGAAGCCGUUUACCUGAUUUAGACGGCUCGGACCAAGCGGGAACGAUGACUUCGGGGUGAUGGCAGUGACAUGGCUCGGCUCGUGGUCAGUGGUUUUCUUCACAUGGAUGAUGAUUCAAGUAGCGGACUGGCCGACAAAAGAUCAAUUCGUUCGAACAUCUCCAGGAGGAGGACUCACGCGUGGAGUCAGGAUUUGAACAAAGGGAGGCGAGUCACGACAAAAAGAAAAUAACAUGACAAAUCUGUACUUCCUAUAUAGUGUACCAAUAGCAAGUCAUAUGGACGGUUGGAUUUUUCCAAUCUGACGGCUCAAAUUUAAUGGCCUAUGAUACAGUACUACGUGGCUGCAUAUAGACCAUUGAAUAUGUCUGAAACCCACAUUGCAUGGAUUGGCUGUGCACUCAUUCCCUGUGCUGCGUGCGCGCCGUCUCGGAUGAAGUUUGUAGGAUGCACGUGAUCCUCCCAUCACUAUCCAGAAAUUUGUAGGAGCUACUCCCUCUGUACCACAAUACUUGUCGUUGUGCCCCAACGACAAGUAUUGUGGUACAGAGGGAGUAGAAUGCAUGCGGUAGUAGCUGGUUAGAUUUGUAAUACGUACAAUACUAUAGCGACAAGCAGGCUAUCAUGAUGAGAGAGAGAAAGAGAAGGCAUGCAGUAGAGCAGCGAGAAUAUCAGGUGAUACCGCCACUUAUAUGCUUCCAUGAUACCAAUUCAAAAGAAAAAUUAUACAAUUCAAAAAAUUCUGAAAGAAAUCAUGGAUGUUCGCAACAUAUGUGUCUACAAACCCUAAAAAAUCAGAUCCAAAUUCAAAUUGUACAACGAGAAACAAAAAAGAAAAAUUCAGCAUGAAUAGUGUCAAUAAAGACAAAACAUAAAUAGUGUGAAAACUACACUAUUCACAACAGAUUUGUCUUUUUUGUUUCUCAAUGUAUAUAUUGAAUCUGGAUCUGAAUUUUUUAGGGUUUGUAGACACAUAUGUUGAGAACAUUCAUGAUUCUUUUGGGAUUUUUUGAAACCUUUAAAUUUGAAUAUUUUUUGAAUUGGUAUCAUGAGAGCAUAUAAGUGUUGGUAUCAUGGGGCAUAGUCACAUAAACUGGAAAACGAUUUUCUACCGUGGAAGCAAUUUAACGGAUUAAAGAAUGACAAAAAAACAAUGUAAGAUGUGUCACAACUAAUAUUUUUUUACUUUCUGAAAUAAUUCAUUUUACAAAUGUUAUUACCCUUGUUUUUCUUUGAUUUUAUCAAUCAAGUCUAAUUUUUUUAUCAACCAAAGAAACAUAAUAAAUGUUUGAAUAAUUAUUUUAUUCGUAAUGAUGAAUAACUUGCAACAUAGUACUCUUCCGAGCUAUUGAAUUCUUUAUAUAUUUAUAAUUUUAAUCAUUUAGAUAAGGGGAAACAUGCCAUGCAUCGUCAUGAUGCACAUAACCAAAUAUGAAAAGACCACAACCGGUCAGAAAAAAAGAUUUCAUGACUUGACCACCUUUAUAAUUAAUACCUGAUUAUUUGAAGAGUUGCAUGACUGUAUCCAUGGUAGUUCAAAUCAUGAUACUUAAUAUUACAUACACAUAUGUGUGUUUAUAACUAUCUCUACACAUGGCAAAUCAAACUGUGGUUGGAUGAUUAGGAGGACAGUGGUAUCUCAGCCCACCGGGGUGACACUCGUACUCGCAUUUUUCUGAAUUUAUUCCAGUCCUUCUGGCAAUAUGUGUUCAGUGGAAGGAGACGUUCCCGUCGACUACGAAGGCAUCUGUCGUGACUUCAUCAAUCUCAAGAUGAUGUUUCGGUUCAGUCUAUUGGAGGUACUCAUAGGGUUAGCAUGUGCGUGCGUGUGUUCAUAGAGGUGAUGAAUGUACGUGUGUGUAUAUAUGAGUGUCUGCGUGCACUGAUUUAAGAAAAUAUCUCUACAUGUGCAUGGCACGUGUGAUUUACUAGUAUAUUGAAUGUCUCUAAUAAAUUAUACGGUCAGUGGGACAUUUUUUUCUUUUUACAUUUGUACUACUUGAAAUUUGGUGCGCGUAUAAUUGGUUCAAACGAACAUACAAUUUUCCACUUCAUGACUACACAAACACAAACACAAUUGACAAAAAAAUAAAUGUAAAUGAUAUAAUCAAUGCACAAUCCCUAAUUUGCAGUACCGAUCUAACUAAUUCAUCUAAAUCAAAUCAAGAAACUGUUGCAUCCUAAUCUCGAAUUUUGCAUCUGUAACAUAGUACUCCUUGCGCGUAGUACAAAACAAUGGGGAGACUGACCGUAGGAUUUUCUUGCGCGUCGGUAGACAUGGUCGUCGGGCGCCACAUGACACCUUCGCCCGUUGCCGCUGGUCCGGAUUGGUUGUGCAGUGCCGCCGCCGGCAACACUUCGCCCAACUAGCCCUAGACGCGCGCACGUAGCGAGUAAUGCGGCAGCGCCGAAAGAGUAAAUAGAUCUUUUUGAGAAUCUAAAACAGUUAAUAGAUGAGAGCCUGAAGUCGGCGGGCGCGGGGGCUGGCCCCCACUUGUCCCCCCUUGGGCUCCGCCACUGUUGGAGGGGGUGCAACACGCAACAUGAGGGCAUGAACUAUGGAGGCAUCAUCAUGCCACUGCCUCAACAUUUCACAUAGAUAAAAAUAACUAAAGCCAUGGUUUAGUUUUACCUUCAUCCAUUGGUAGCAGUAGUAUUGUUCCUCGAUUCAACAACUCUUCCUUUUAUACGAUACAAUAGUGUGGUUCUGUUGGUUGUUAUCCUAUCCUUCCUCAUUGGUUGCCUCAUCACCUUUGUUAGGGUUGAUUCAAGGCAGUGCAUGAAGGAAAUAUGCCCUAGAGGCAAUAAUAAAGUUAUUAUUUAUUUCCUUAUAUCAUGAUAAAUGUUUAUUAUUCAUGCUAGAAUUGUAUUAACCGGAAACAUAAUACAUGUGUGAAUACAUAGACAAACAUAGUGUCACUAGUAUGCCUCUACUUGACUAGCUCGUUGAUCAAAUAUGGUUGUGUUUCCUAACCAUAGACAUGAGUUGUCAUUUGAUUAACGGGAUCACAUCAUUAGGAGAAUGAUGUGAUUGACUUGACCCAUUCCGUUAGCUUAGCACUUGAUCGUUUAGUAUGUUGCUAUUGCUUUCUUCAUGACUUAUACAUGUUCCUACAACUAUGAGAUUAUGCAACUCCCAUUUACCGGAGGAACACUUUGUGUGCUACCAAAUGUCACAACGCAACUGAGUGAUUAUAAAGGAUCUCUACAGGUGUCUCCGAAGGUACAUAUUGAGUUGGCGUAUUUCGAGAUUAGGAUUUGUCACUCCGAUUGUCGGAGAGGUAUCUCUGGGCCCUCUCGGUAAUGCACGUCACUAUAAGCCUUGCAAGAAAUGUAACUAAUGAGUUAGUUACGGGAUGAUGCAUUACGUAACGAGUAAAGAGACUUACCGGUAACGAGAUUGAACUAGGUAUUGGGAUAUCGACGAUCAAAUCUCGGGCAAGUAACAUACUGAGAAAGGGAACAACGUAUGUUGUUAUGCGGUUUGACCGAUAAAAAUCUUCGUAGAAUAUGUGGGAGCCAAUAUGAGCAUCCAAGUUCCGCUAUUGGUUAUUGACCGGAGACGUGUCUUGGUCAUGUCUACAUAGUUCUCGAACCCGUAGGGUCCGCAUGCUUAAAGUUAGAUGACGGUUAUAUUAUGAGUUUAUAGGUUUUGAUGUACCGAAGAUAGUUCAGAGUCCCGGAUGUGAUCACGUACAUGACGAGGAGUCUCGAAAUGGUCGAGACAUGAAGAUUGAUAUAUUGGACGACUAUAUUCGGACACCGGAAUAGUUUCGGGGUUUAUCGGACGUAUACCGGAGUACCGGGGGGGUUACCGGAACCCCCCGGGGGGGUUAAUGGGCCUCAUGGGCCCAAAGUGGAGCAGAGGAGGGGCGGCCAUGGCAGGCCGCACGUCCCCUCCCCCUCUAGUCCGAAUAGGACAAGGAGGGGGGCGGCGCCCCCCUUUCCUUCCUCUCCUCUCUCCCCUUCCUUCCCCCUCUCCUACUUGGACAAGGAAAGGAGGGAGUCCUACUCUCGGUGGGAGUAGGACUCCUCCUUGGCGUGCCUCCUCCUGGCCGGCCGCCCCCUCCCCCUUGCUCCUUUAUAUACGGGGGCAGGGGCACCUCUAGACACAAUAAUUGAUCCUUGAGAUCUAUUAGCCGUGUGCGGCGCCCCCCUCCACUAUAUUCCACCUCGAUAAUAUCGUAGCGGUGCUUAGGCGAAGCCCUGCAUCGGUAGAGCAUCAUCAUAGUUACCACGCCGUCGUGCUGACGGAACUCUCCCUCGAAGCUCGGCUGGAUCGGAGUUCGAGGGACGCCAUCGAGCUGAACGUGUGCUAAACUCGGAGGUGCCGUGCGUUCAGUACUUGAUCGGUCGGAUCGUGAAGACGUACGAUUACAUCAACCGCGUUGUGCUAACGCUUCCGCUUUUGGUCUAUGAGGGUACGUGGACAACACACUUCUCUCUCAUUGCUAUGCAUCACCAUGAUCUUGCGUGUGCGUAGGAUUUUUUUUGAAAUUACUACAUUCCCCAUCAGUGGCAUCCGAGCCUGGUUUUAUGCGUAGAUGUUAUAUGCACGAGUAGAACACAAGUGAGUUGUGGGCAAUGCAAGUCAUACUGCUUACCAGCAUGUCAUACUUUGGUUCGGCGGUAUUGUUGGAUGAAGCGGCCCGGACCGACAUUACGCGUACGCUUACGCGAGACUGGUUCUACCGACGUGCUUUGCACAUAGGUGGCUGGCGGGUGUCAGUUUCUCCAACUUUACUUGAAUCGAGUGUGGCUACGCCCGGUCCUUGAGAAGGUUAAAACAACACUAACUUGACGAACUAUCGUUGUGGUUUUGAUGUGUAGGUAAGAAUGGUUCUUGCUCAGCCCGUAGCAGCCACGUAAAACUUGCAACAACAAAGUAGAGGACGUCUAACUUGUUUUUGCAGGGCAUGUUGUGAUGUGAUAUGGUCAAGACGUGAUGCUAUAUUUUAUUGUACGAGAUGAUCAUGUUUUGUAACCGAGUUAUCGGCAACUGGCAGGAGCCAUAUGGUUGUCAUUUUAUUGUAUGCAAUGCAAUCGCCAUGUAAUUGCUUUACUUUAUCACUAAGCGGUAGCGAUAGUCAUAGAAGCAAUAGGUGGAGAAACGACAACGAUGCUACGAUGGAGAUCAAGGUGUCGCGCCGGUGACGAUGGUGAUCAUGAUGGUGCUUCGGAGAUGGAGAUCACAAGCACAAGAUGAUGAUGGCCAUAUCAUAUCACUUAUAUUGAUUGCAUGUGAUGUUUAUCCUUUAUGCAUCUUAUUUUGCUUUGAUUGAUGGUAGCAUUAUAAGAUGAUCUCUCACUAAAUUUCAAGGUAUAAGUGUUCUCCCUGAGUAUGCACCGUUGCGAAAGUUCUUCGUGCUGAGACACCACGUGAUGAUCGGGUGUGAUAGGCUCUACGUUCAAAUACAACGGGUGCAAAACAGUUGCACACGCGGAAUACUCAGGUUAAACUUGACGAGCGUAGCAUAUACAUAUAUGGCCUGGGAACACUGAGACUGAAAGGUCGAGCGUGAAUCAUAUAGUAGAUAUGAUCAACAUAAUGAUGUUCACCAUUGAAAACUACUCCAUCUCACGUGAUGAUCGGACAUGGUUUAGUUGAUUUGGAUCACGUGAUCACUUAGAUGAUUAGAGGGAUGUCUAUCUAAGUGGGAGUUCUUAGUAAUAUGAUUAAUUGAACUUAAAUUUACCAUGAACUUAGUACCUGAUAGUAUUUUGCUUGUCUAUGUUUGUUGUAGAUAGAUGGCUCGUGCUGUUGUUCCGUUGAAUUUUAAUGCGUUCCUUGAGAAAGCUAAGUUGAAAGAUGAUGGUAGCAAUUACAUGGACUGGGUCCGUAACUUGAGGAUUAUCCUCAUUGCUACACAGAAGAAUUACGUCCUGGAAGCACCGCUGGGUGCCAGGCCUGCUGCAGAUGCAACUAACGACCUUAAGAACGUCUGGCAGAGCAAAGCUGAUGACUACUCGAUAGUUCACUGUGCCAUGCUUUACGGCUUAGAACCGGGACUUCAACGACGUUUUGAACGUCAUGGAGCAUAUGAGAUGUUCCAGGAGUUGAAGUUAAUAUUUCAAGCAAAUGCCCGAAUUGAGAGAUAUGAAGUCUCCAAUAAGUUCUAUAGCUGCAAGAUGGAAGAGAAUAGUUCUGUCAGUGAACAUAUACUCAAAAUGUCUGGGUAUAAUAAUCACUUGAUUCAACUGGGAGUUAAUCUUCCUGAUGAUAGUGUCAUUGACAGAAUUCUUCAAUCACUGCCACCAAGCUACAAGAGCUUCGUGAUGAACUAUAAUAUGCAAGGGAUGAACAAGACUAUUCCCGAGCUCUUCGCAAUGCUAAAAGCUGCGGAGGUAGAAAUAAAAAAGGAGCAUCAAGUGUUGAUGGUCAACAAGACCACCAGUUUCAAGAAAAAGGGUAAAGGGAAGAAGAAGGGGAACUUCAAAAAGAACGGCAAACAAGUUGUUGCUCAAGAGAAGAAACCCAAGUCUGGACCUAAGCCUGAGACUGAGUGCUUCUACUGCAAGCAGACUGGUCACUAGAAGUGGAACUGCCCCAAGUAUUUGGCAGAUAAGAAGGAUGGCAAGGUGAACAAAGGUAUAUGUGAUAUACAUGUUAUUGAUGUGUACCUUACUAAUGCUCGCAGUAGUACCUGGGUAUUUGAUACUGGUUCUGUUGCUAAUAUUUGCAACUCGAAAUAGGGACUACAUAUUAAGCGAAGAUUGGCUAAGGACGAGGUGACGAUGCGCGUGGGAAAUGGUUCCAAAGUUGAUGUGAUCGUAGUCGGCACGCUACCUCUACAUCUACCUUUGGGAUUAGUUUUAGACCUGAAUAAUUGUUAUUUGGUGCCAGCGUUAAGCAUGAACAUUAUAUCUGGAUCUUGUUUGAUGCGAGACGGUUAUUCAUUUAAAUCAGAGAAUAAUGGUUGUUCUAUUUAUAUGAGUAAUAUCUUUUAUGGUCAUGCACACUUGAAGAGUGGUCUAUUUUUAUUGAAUCUCGAUAGUAGUGAUACACACGUUCAUAAUGUUGAAGCCAAAAGAUGCAGAGUUGAUAAUGAUAGUGCAACUUAUUUGUGGCACCGCCGUUUGGGUCAUAUUGGUGUAAAGCGCAUGAAGAAACCCCAUACUGAUGGACUUUUGGAAUCACUUGAUUAUGAAUCACUUGGUACUUGCGAACCAUGCCUCAUGGGCAAGAUGACUAAAACGCCGUUCUCCGGAACUAUAGAGCGAGCAACAGAUUUGUUUUGGAAAUCAUACAUACUGAUGUAUGUGGUCCAAUGAACAUUGAGGCUCGCGGUGGGUAUCGUUAUUUUCUCACCUUCACAGAUGAUUUAAACAGAUAUGGGUAUAUCUACUUAAUGAAACAUAAGUCUGAAACAUUUGAAAAAUUCAAAGAAUUUCAGAAUGAAGUGGAAAAUCAUUGUAACAAGAAAAAUAAAAUUCAUACGAUCUAAUCGUGGAGGAGAAUAUUUGAGUUACGAGUUUGGUUUACAUUUGAAACAAUGCGGAAUAGUUUCACAACUCACGCCACCUGGAACACCAUAAUGUAAUGGUGUGUCCGAAUGUCGUAAUCGUACUUUACUAGAUAUGGUGCGAUCUAUGAUGCCUCUUACUGAUUUACUGUUAUCGUUUUGGGGUUAUGCUUUAGAGACGGCCGCAUUCACGUUAAAUAGGGCACCAUCAAAAUCCGUUGAGACGACGCCUUAUGAACUGUGGUUUGGCAAGAAACCAAAGUUGUCGUUUCUUAAAGUUUGGGGCUGCGAUGCUUAUGUGAAGAAACUUCAACCAGAUAAGCUCGAAUCCAAAUUGGAGAAAUGUGUCUUCAUAGGAUACCCAAAGGAGACUAUUGGGUACACCUUCUAUCACAGAUCUGAAGGCAAGACUUUUGUUGCUAAAUUUGGAUCCUUUCUAGAGAAGGAGUUUCUCUUGAAAGAAGUGAGUUGGAGGAAAGUAGAACUUGAUGAGGUAACUGUACCUGCCCCCUUGGAAAAUAGUUUAUCACAGAAACCGGUUCCUAUGACGACUACACCAAUUAGUGAGGAAGCUAAUGAUAUUGAUCAUGAAACUUCAAAUCAAGUUACUACCGACCCUCGUAGGUCAAUUAGAGUAAGAUACGCACCAGAGUGGUAUGGUAAUCCUAUUCUGGAAGUCAUGUUACUUGACCAUGGCGAACCUACAAACUAUGAGGAAGCGAUGAUGAGCCCAGAUUCCGCAAAAUGGCUUGAGGCCAUGAAAUCUGAGAUGGGAUCCAUGUAUGAGAAGAAAGUAUGGACUUUGGUUGACUUGCCUGAUGAUCGGCAAGCCAUCAAAAAUAAAUGGAUCUUCAAGAAGAAGACUGACGCUGAUGGUAAUGUUACUGUCUACAAAGCUCGGCUUGUUGCGCAAGGUUUUCGACAAGUUCAAGGAGUUGACUACGAUGAGACUUUCUCACCCGUAGUGAUGCUUAAGUCUGUCCGAAUCAUGUUAGCAAUUGCCGCAUUUUAUGAUUAUGAAAUAUGGCAAAUGGAUGUCAAAAUUGCAUUCCUGAAUGGAUUUCUAGAAGAAGAGUUGUAUAUGAUGCAACCAGAAGGUUUUGUCGAUCCAAAAGGUGCUAACCAAGUGUGCAAGCUCCGGCGAUCCAUUUAUGGACUGGUGCAAACCUCUCGGAGUUGGAAUAAACGCUUUGAUAGUGUGAUCAAAGCAUAUGGUUUUAUAGAGAAUUUUGGAGAAGCCUCUAUUUACAAGAAAGUGAGUGGGAGCUCUGUAGCAUUUCUGAUAUUAUAUGUAGACGACAUAUUGUUGAUUGGAAAUGAUAUAGAAUUUCUGGAUAGCAUAAAAGGAUACUUGAAUAAAAGUUUUUCAAUGAAAGACCCCGGUGAAGCUGCUUAUAUAUUGGGCAUCAAGAUCUAUAGAGAUAGAUCAAGACGCUUAAUUGGACUUUCACAAAGCACAUACCUUGAUAAAGUUUUGAAAAAGUUCAAAAUGGAUCAAGCAAAGAAAGGGUUCUUGCCUGUAUUACAAGGUGUGAAGUUGAGUCAUACUCAAUGCCCGAACACAGCAGAAGAUAGAGAGAAAAUGAAAGAUGUUCCCUAUGCUUCAUCCAUAGGCUCUAUCAUGUAUGCAAUUCUGUGUGCCAGACCUGAUGUAUGCUUAGCAAUAAGUUUAGCAGGGAGGUACCAAAGUAAUCCAGGAGUGGAUCACUGGACAGAGGUCAAGAAUAUCCUGAAAUACCUGAAAAGGACUAAGGAUAUGUUUCUUGUUUAUGGUGGUGACAAAGAGCUAGUCAUAAAUGGUUACGUCGAAGCAAGCUUUGACACUGAUCCGGACGAUUCUAAAUCGCAAACCGGAUAUGUGUUUAUAUUGAAUGGUGGAGCUGUCAGUUGGUGCAGUUCUAAACAAAGCGUCGUGGCGGGAUCUACAUGUGAAGCGGAGUACAUAGCUGCUUCAGAAGCAGCAAAUGAAGGAGUCUGGAUGAAGGAGUUCAUAUCCUAUCUAGGUGUCAUACCUAGUGCAUCGGGACCAAUGAAAAUCUUCUGUGAUAAUACUGGUGCAAUUGCCUUGCAAAGGAAUCCAGAUUUCACAAGAGGACCAAGCACAUCAAGAGACGCUUCAAUUCCAUUUGGGACCAAGUCCAGGUGGGAGACAUAGAGAUUUGCAAGAUACAUACGGAUCUGAAUGUUACAGACCCGUUGACGAAGCAGAAAUGUAACGAAUGAGUUAGUUACGGGAUGAUGCAUUACGUAACGAGUAAAGAGACUUACCGGUAACGAGAUUGAACUAGGUAUUGGGAUAUCGACGAUCAAAUCUCGGGCAAGUAACAUACUGACAAAGGGAACAACAUAUGUUGUUAUGCGGUUUGACCGAUAAAAAUCUUCGUAGAAUAUGUGGGAGCCAAUAUGAGCAUCCAAGUUCCGCUAUUGGUUAUUGACCGGAGACGUGUCUCGGUCAUGUCUACAUAGUUCUCGAACCCGUAGGGUCCGCACGCUUAAAGUUAGAUGACGGUUAUAUUAUGAGUUUAUAUGUUUUGAUGUACCGAAGAUAGUUCGGAGUCCCGGAUGUGAUCACAGACAUGACGAGGAGUCUCGAAAUGGUCGAGACAUGAAGAUUGAUAUAUUGGAUGACUAUAUUCGGACACCGGAAUAGUUUCGGGGGUUAUCGGAUGUAUACCGGAGUACCGGGGGGUUACCGGAACCCCCCGGGGGGUUAAUGGGCCUCAUGGGCCCAAAGUGGAGCAGAGGAGGGGCGGCCAGGGCAGGCCGCGCGCCCCCUCCCCCUCUAGUCCGAAUAGGAUAAGGAGGGGGGUGCCCCCCUUUCCUUCCUCUCCUCUCUCCCCUUCCUUCCCCCUCUGAAAGUGCAACUAUCCCUAGGUGGUUUUGGUAAUUCAUAACAACAUAUAGCUCAUUGAGCUAAUGCUAUUCCAAGACUAUUAUUUCAAGAAAGCUCAAUGAAUGGCAUGUCAUGGAUGAUUAAAGUGGAUCCCUCAAAAUACUAAGGACAAAGGAUUGGCUCAAGACUCUUCAUUUUAUAUUUUAGUGAUCUAAGAUUACAUUGAGUCUAUAGGAAAAGCCAAUACUAUCAAGGAGGGAUGAGGUGUUGCUUAAUGAGCCUCUUGCUUCAUGUGCUUAGUGAUAUGCUCCAAAACCCUCAGCUGCUUUCUCACAUCCACAAAUGACCUAAACCCAAAGCCAAAAUCGGUCACACCGAUUCUUCCUAUCCGGCGCCACCGAUUUCAAAAGUCAUAGCCACUGCCACAAACCCUAGGUAGAUCGGUUCUACCGACAGGGAUCUCGGUCUCACUGAGAUGGGACUGUAAUCUUUUUGUUUCCCUUCGUAACGUUUUGGUCUAACCGAAAUGAGCGAUCGGUCCCACCGAGAUUGCAAUGUAAAUUCUCUGUUUCCCUUUUGUAACAUUUCGGUCUCACCGAAAAGAGCAAAUCGGUCCCACCGAGUUUACCUGACCAACUCUCUGGAAAGCUUAUUACCAGAAUUGGUCUCACCGAGUUUGUGUAAUCGGUCUUAUCGAGAUUACGUUAUGCCCUAACCCUAACUGAAUCGGUCUCACCGAGUUGCAUGUCAGUCCCACCGAAAAUCACUAAUGGUCACUAGGUUUACUAAAUCGGUCCGACCGAGUCUGUUGAAUCGGUCCCACCCAGUUUGGUAAAUUGUGUGUAACGGUUAGAUUUUGUGUGGAGGCUAUAUAUACCCCUCCACCUCCUCUUCAUUCGUGGAGAGAGCCAUCAGACUAAACCUACACUUCCAACUUACCAUUUCUGAGAGAGAACCACCUACUCAUGUGUUGAGGCCAAGAUAUUCCAUUCGUACCAUAUGAAUCUUGAUCUCUAGCCUUCCCCAAGUUGCUUUCCACUCAAAUCUUCUUUCCACCAGAUCCAAAACCUAUGAGAGAGAGUUGAGUGUUGGGGAGACUAUCAUUUGAAGCACAAGAGCAAGGAGUUCAUCAUCAACACACCAUUUGUUACUUCUUGGAGAGUGGUGUCUCCUAGAUUGGCUAGGUGUCACUUGGGAGCCUCCGACAAGAUUGUGGAGUUGAACCAAGGAGUUUGUAAGGGCAAGGAGGUCGCCUACUUCGUGAAGAUCUACCGCUAGUGAGGCAAGUCCUUCAUGGGUGACGGGCAUGGUGGGAUAGACAAGAUUGCUUCUUCGUCGACCCUUCGUGGGUGGAGCCCUCCGUGGACUCGUGCAACCAUUACCCUUCGUGGGUUGAAGUCUCCAUCAACGUGGAUGUACGAUAGCACCACCUAUCGGAACCACGCCAAAAACAUCCGUGUCUCCAAUUGCGUUUGAAUCCUCCAAACCCUUCCCUUUACUUUCUUGCAAGUUGCAUGCUUUAAUUUCCGCUGCCCAUAUACUCUUUGCAUGCUUGCUUGAUUUGUGUGAUGAUUGCUUGACUUGUCCUAAGAUAGCUAAAAUCUGCCACACUCUAAAAUUGGGAAAAGGUUAAGUUUUUAAUUGGUCAAGUAGUCUAAUCACCCCCCUCUAGACACACUUCAAGGUCCUACAAGUGGUAUCAGAGCUUUGGUCUCCAUUUGCUUUGAUUUCCAUAGCUUUUGGUGGUCAUAGCCUUGGUUUCACAACCUAGGAGAGUAUGGCAUCUAGCGAGGGAAAUUAUCACCGUAGAGGUCCUUACUUUGAUGGUACUAAUUUUGCUAGUUGGAAGCAUAAGAUGAAAAUGCAUAUUCUCGGACAUAACCCCGCCGUUUGGGCAAUUAUUUGUAUUGGCUUGCAAGGUGAAUUCUUUGAUGGGAGAGAGCCGAACCGUGAAGCUAAUGCGUAAGAAUUGAAGAUGCUGCAAUAGAACUCUCAAGCUUGUGAUAUCAUCUUCAACGGAUUGUGCCCCGAAGAAUUCAACAAAAUCAGCCGUCUUGAGAAUGCAAAGGAAAUUUGGGAUACUUUAAUUGAUAUGCACGAAGGUACCGAAUCCGUCAAGGAAUCCAAGUUGGGUGUGCUCCAAAGUCAGCUUGACAAGUUCAAAAUGAAGGAUGGUGAAGGUGUCGUCGAAAUGUACUCUAGGCUUGCUCUUAUUACAAAUGAGAUUGCCGGCUUAGGGAGUGAAGAGAUGACCGACAGAUUCAUCAUCAAGAAGAUCCUAAGAGCAUUGGAUGGAAAGUAUGAUACCGUGUGCACAUUGAUCCAAAUGAUGCCAAACUACAAAGAUCUCAAGCCAACGGAAGUCAUUGGAAGAAUUUUUGCUCAUGAGAUGUCACUCAAGGAUAAGGAGGAACUUCACAACAAGUCAAGUGGUGCUUACAAAGCCUCAAGUGAAGCCCCCACAUCAUCAAGUGAGAAACAAACCUUCAAUGAAGAAUUGAGCUUAAUGGUGAAGAACUUCAACAAAUUCUACAAGAGUAGAAGCAAAGAAAGAAGCUCCAAGUCAAGGUCUUACCAUGACAAAAGAUCUUCUAGUCGAGAGCGCAAUUGCUACAAUUGUGGGAGACCUGGACACUAUUCCAAUGAGUGUACGACACCCUACAAAAGAAGAGAAGAUUCUCCAAGAAGAAGAAGCAAAAGAGAAGAAUCACCACCAAGAGAGAGGAUGAGUAGAGAUGAUCGUUAUGAACGAAGACCCUCACGGAGAAGCAAGGAUUCGGAAAGGAAGGACAAGUCAUCAAGGAACUACACAAAACGAAGACAUCAAGCUCAUGUUGGUGAAUGGGUAUCCGGCUCCGACUCCAACAAUCACUCCGAGAGAAGCUAUCACUCCGACUCCGAAUAUACUCAAGAUGAAGGUGUUGCCGGUCUAGCACUUGUGUCAACCAACUCCUACGACAUAUUUGAUUCACCAAAUGAAGGAAUUGGAAGAUGCUUCAUGGCCAAAUGUCCAAAGGUAACACAUCCUGAGUAUGUUGAUUUCAAUAGUGAUGAAGAUGACUUGCUUGUGGAUGAUGAUCUACUUGUUGACAACUCUAGUGAUGAAUACUAUGAUGAAACGUCAAUUAAUCAUGCUAAUCAAGAUAAAACGAAUGACAAUGAUAAGGAGAAGAUUGAGCUUCUAACUAAAGAACUAAACACUCUUAAGUUGGCUCAUGAAACUAUCUUCGAAGAUCAUCGAGAACUUUUAAGGGCUCAUGAGAAGUUACGCUUUGAAAAGCUCAAUCUUGAGCAAGAGCAUGAGUUCUUAAAAGCAAUCAAUGAUGAUCUCCAUAAGAAAAGUUCUUCUUACAUUGCCAAGCAUUUACUCUUAUCUACUUACAUGCCUCAAGUCAAGUCUAGUAACAAGUACAAGAAAGAUACUUCCUCUAGUAGUAACAAUAAUAAUGUCAAAUCCAAUAUUGUUGCUUCUAGUAGUUCUCUUGAUUCCACUAAUGAUUCUCUUAGCCAAGUUACACUUGAGCAAGAAAAUAGCUUAUUGAAGGUAAUUAUAGAGAAAGGUGUUUACAAGAGCCUUGCCGGGAGUAAGCAAUUUGAGGAAAUUGUACGCAAGCAAGGAAGGCACCGGAAGAAUCAAGGUGUUGGUUUUGAACGAAAGUUCAAUGCCAAUGGAGUUGAGUGGGAAGAAGAUCAAUACCCCAAGACGAAGUUUGUUCCUCAACAAGAGAAGUAUGAUCCUACUUCCUUCAAGGGAACACAAGCACAAGAUGAUCUUCCACCACAAUACCACAAGAACAAAGGCAAGGACAAUAUUCAAGAAGAGAUUGAUGCAUUUGAAGAAGCACCUAAGGCCUCGUUCAAGUGGGUUCCCAAGACUACCUCAAGUUCUACCUCAUCAAGUACAACUACAACUCCAAGGAUUCCCAUCAAGAUGAUGUGGAUCCCGAAGAAGAAGAACUAGAGAGUUCUUGAGGGUGACUCCGCCAACAUUCUUCACUCAUAUCAUUAUGGCAAGAACAAGUGCAAUCAACUUCCACAUCUUGCACUAGUUCAAGGAGUCACACACCCUCAUGUUGGUAAGGCAAGGGACAAGGUAACCUAAUGAUUUCAUGGACAUCAUCUUGUGUGUGCAUCACUCUAUGUCUAUGGAUAUUCUUGUUUGUUCCUUGUGGGACUAACCCGUGUAGGUAAGUUGAAAGUGCAACUCACUCCAACGGAUUGCUCCAAAUGAUCUACAUCAACAUUGAGCAUCCACAUCUUCAACACCUACAUGAAGUCAUCAUCAACAAAACCCAAGGUUAGUUCAUCCCUCUAAGGGGGGAUCUCACAUCUAGGGGGAGCUUAACUCUAAGAAUUGAGUCAAAGCAACUCUAAUGGUGUGAACACAUCAAUGCAUUAUGUAAAAGUGGUAACCCCACUUGAGCUUAAACGAUGAGUAUGACCUAUGAUCAAAUGUACUCAUUUGACUCCUAAGUCAAUAUACUCAUAUAUAGAUGACCUAGUCAUCGCCAACUGUUUGAUAGAUGCUAGAAUUGGUUGUGCAUGUUUUGCCACAUAUUUCAUUUGCCAUCUCAUUGUGUGAGCAUGUUGGUGCAUAUUUUACUCAUUCAAGGACAUCCACUUGUUGUUUUGAUUGAUUUGCCUCUUUUUCUUUUUGCCAAGUGGAUGGACAAGAAUGCCUAAGAACCUUCUCUAGCUAUCUAUGCUUUUCUCGUCUCAAACUCUAUUCAUGCUACAUCACAAAAUUUGAUCAAGUCAUAUUCGAACCACUCUGUGUGAGGAGCACUCGGAGUCCCCGAUUUGUCAUAGACUUAAACUUCCAAAACUUCUUUGUGAUUCUCGGUCUGACCGAUUCCUCCAUUUCGGUCCUACCGAGAUCAUUAAGUCGAUCUAAGUUUUCAAUCUCGGUGCAACCGAUUUGAACUUUUCGGUCACACCGAGUUGCUGUAACUAUACAUAGUUAUGCAUCUCGGUGCCACCGAGUUGUUCCACUCGGUCACACCGACAGGGUCGGGCUAUAUAUAGUCACGGGCGAAAAUUUGGAAAUUCCUCCGAACCCCUUCGCCCGCGCAAUAGCUCGCUCUGCCUCCAAGGUCUCCGGAUCGUCUCCUCGUCGCCAGCCGCCUCCUGUCGCUGGUCUCCGCCACCGUCAACGGAAUUCAACCCCGCCGCCGUAGCGAGUUCAUCGCCGAGCUAGGGUAUGGACUUGAUCACUGUGCUAUCCUCGUCCGAUUCCUAGCACAUUGUGUUCUUAAUGAUUCUUGCCACGAUUGAAACACUCCUAUCCAGUCAAUGUAAUCCGUAGAUUAGAUGAGAUUCAAAAUUUUAGGGUUAGGUUUCCGCCGAAACCAUCUCGGACCCACCGAGUUGAAAAACUCAGUCCCACCGAUUUGGCUUAUGCCAUUGCACUAGUAACUCUCGGUCUAACCGAGAAUUGCUAAUCGGUGAGACCGAUUUUAGGACUUUGUGAAACCCUAGCAGUCUCGGUGUCACCGAACUGUGACUCGGUCCAACCGAGUUCAUCAGUUUAGGUUCCAAAACUGAUUCGGUAUCACCGAGUUUGAAAAUCGGUUGAUCCGAAAUGCUUUCUGUGGAAAACUAAAACUAAACUUUUGAAUCAUUCUUUUGCAAAAAUAUCUGCAUUUUUGUGAUGCUCAUCCACUCUAUCUCAUCUAUAACUCUUCACAGGGUCAGCAGUCAGUGUUUGCAGCAUGUCAGACCAGAGUGACAGCCAGAACAGGUCAGAAGAGCAGAUUGACAUGAGUCAGGGCACUAGUCCCUCCAGCACUUCAGAUGAAGGCAGCAGAAGCACUCCUAGCAACCUGCCUAAGGCUGCUACCAGGUAAAGGAAGAAGAGAACUUCAGACUCUGAAGAUGAGGAUUAUAGAGCUGAAGAGGAUGAGGCUACUUCCAAGAAAGUAGUGCUCAAAAAGGAGUAUGGCUCAGCAAAGAACACAAAGCCUGGACUGAAUAAGAAGGUUCCUGCCAAGAGGACACCUAUGCCCAAGGUCAGAAGGUCCACUCAAGUGCCAGAACAGACUGAACCCAAAGAGGCACCUGAAAAGAAAGUCACAUCUUCCAAACCCAAGAAAGUUCCCACUGGAGAAACAAUGAAGUUUACCAUUGAAUCAGAGGAUGAAGCUGCUCAGGAUAAGAAGAAGAAGAGAGCAAGAACCACAACUGCCCAUGUUCUUGGAAAGCCCUCAAUGAGAAGAGACUCUAAAGAGGAAGAAGAGGUUGUUGCACCAGCACCCAAGGCACCAAAGCUUAUGGGUGAUGCUAUUAGAUCAGGGGCUGCAACAUCUAAGCCCAAGGAAGCACCCAAAGCUGCCCCCAAGGCCAAGCUUGCACCAAAAAGGAAUACCAGGAGUAUUCUAGCUGCUGAGAAGAACAAGGCCCCAGUGCCUAAUGUUGCUGAUGAGGAAUAUGAAGAAGGACAGGUCCUAAGGAAGCUCAAGCCCAAGAUACCAGACCACAAUGAUGCCCAUCCUGUGGCUGAGGACAUGAACAUCAGAAGAGACUCAGGGUUGAGGCUAUGGAGGCUGACAGAUCCAUAUGCCGCAAGGAGAAGAACUGCUGUUGAUUACAGGUUCCAUACAAAGGAACAGUAGGACUUCUAUGAGACAAUCUUGUUGGACAAGAAGCCCAUAGUAUGUGAUAUGAGGUGGGUCGACUGGGACUACAUAAAGGAAAAUGAAGAGCACUAUCCUGGAGUGCAAGAUAGUUUUGUUGCUUGUGGAGUUGCAGAUUAUGUUGGGCAAAAGCUCACCAACUGGAAUGAUGAACUUAUCAUGCAAUUCUACUCCACAACACACUUCUAUCCAGAUGGGAGGAUAGUUUGGAUGUCUGAAGGUACAAGGUACCAGUCCACUGUUGAGGAAUGGGCAAGACUGAUCAAUGCCCCAAAGGAAAAUUAUGAUGACCUGGAUGUUUAUUCCAAGAAGAAGAUGGACCACAAUUCCAUGGCACACAUGUACAAGGAGAUCCCAGACAAAGCUGUUGAGACACAUAAGUUUGGUUCAGUCCACUUCAAGGCUGCCCACAAUCAAUUGGAUCCUAAGGCACACUCUAUUGCCUAAGUCUGGUGACCACAACAUGAUUAGAGGGCAUGCAAUCAACAUGUUGCAUUUGUUUGAUGUGCCUCAGAAAUUCAAGGUCAUGAGCCUUAUGGUUGAAACCAUUAAGAGGACUGCAGCAGAUCAGAAGAGGAGAUGUGGAUAUGCCCCUCAGAUUCAGGAGUUGAUUAACUCAAAGAAGGGAACAGGCAAAUAUCUAUUGGAUAAGGAACAUUUUCCACUUUAUUCAGACUUUGAGGACAAUGAGGUUGUCAUGAAUGAGAAUGAUCCAUCAUCUGUACAUGCUCAAGAGAAGAAGGAGAAGGCAAGGAAGGAGAAGGCUGCCAAGAUGCCAACUCAAGAGGAGGCAUCUGAGUAUUUCUUAAAGAACAAGCAGGAUCAGCUUGGUUACUUAAUAGCAUCAACACUGAGGAUUGAGAAGGGAUUGGCCACCCUCACUCAGAAUCAGGAGAGCUUGGAAAGAAUCAUGGAACUCAAAUUUCAUGAUCUUGAUGUCAAAGUAACUGAGAUUCAGUCAGUUAUGGAGCAGCUGCAGGAUGACAUGCAGGAGAGGCAGGGCAAGACUACCACUAAUGUGUUUGCCAGAGUGCCUAGAGCCCAGAGGUCAGUUGCAGUGCCUGUGAUAGACACUAGAGCAACAUCAUCUGCACCAGCUACAGCUCCUACAGCUCCAGUGCAACCAGCUCCAGCAUCAACUCCAGCACCCUCUACUUCAACUGAAGCCUUCAUUCUUGGAGUUAUCCGGACACCACCACCUGAAGAUCAAGCCUGAGAGACGAUCUAGAACUAUGCAUUUUCUAUGAACUUUUUGGUAACUUGUUGCCAAAGGGGAAAAAUGUAUAGAUCAUAGGCUUCGAGAGAGAGAGUGUUGCUUUUGUUCUCUCUUGAUUUGGUGGUUAAAACUUGUUUGCUUUUGAUUGCUUGAGAUACUAUGCUAUUCUUGUGAGACAUUGAUGAUCAUGUGUUUGAUCAUAAGCUACACUUAUGCAUGUUUGAUGAUAUUAUCUUAUCUAUCCUAUGUGAUCAUUCACCUUGCUUGGUGAUGAGUGCAUGUAUUCAAAUAUUUAUCAUUUUGAGCUCUCCACCAAGAUGUAUGUGACAUGGAAGAGUAACCCAUGAGCCUAAUUCCUUGUGCAUUUGCAGUCCAAAGAAAAUCUUAAACUAUGCACAAAUUUAGGGGCAGCUCUUGCUUAUCACAUACUUCUCAAAGCGAUGAUGUUCUUCAAUCUUAUUAUCAUUUGUCGAAGCUUUGAUCUAUAUGUUGUCAUCAAUUACCAAAAAGGGGGAGAUUGAAAGUGCAACUAUCCCUAGGUGAUUUUGGUAAUUCAUAACAACAUAUAGCUCAUUGAGCUAAUGCUAUUCCAAGACUAUUAUUUCAGGAAAGCUCAAUGAAUGGCAUGGCAUGGAUGAUAAAAGUGGAUCCCUCAAAAUACUAAGGACAAAGGAUUGGCUCAAGACUCUUCAUUUUAUAUUUUAGUGAUCCAAGAUCACAUUGAGUCUAUAGGAAAAGCCAAUACUAUCAAGGAGGGAUGAGGUGUUGCUUAAUGAGCCUCUUGCUUCAUGUGCUUAGUGAUAUGCUCCAAAACCCUCAGUUGCUUUCUCACAUCCACAAAUGACCUAAACCCAAAGCCAAAAUCGGUCACACCGAUUCUUCCUAUCCGGCGCCACCGAUUUCAAAAGUCAUAGCCACUGCCACAAACCCUAGGCAAAUCGGUUCUACCGAUAGGGAUCUCGGUCUCAUCGAGAUGGGAUUGUAAUCUCUCUGUUUCCCUUUGUAACGUUUCGGUCUAACCGAAGUGAGCGAUCGGUCCCACCAAGAUUGCAAUGUAAAUUCUCUGUUUCCUUUUGUAACAUUUCGGUCUCACCGAAAAGAGCAAAUCGGUCCCACCGAGUUUACCUGACCAACUCUCUGGAAAGCUUAUUACCAAAAUCGGUCUCACCGAGUUUGUGUAAUCGGUCUUACCGAGAUUACGUUAUGCCCUAACCCUAACCGAAUCGGUCUCACCGAGUUGCAUGUCAGUCCCACCGAAAAUCACUAACGGUCACUAGGUUUACUAAAUCGGUCCGACCGAGUCUGUUGAAUCGGUCCCACCGAGUUUGGUAAAUUGUGUGUGACGGUUAGAUUUUGUGUGGAGGCUAUAUAUACCCCUCCACCUCCUCUUCAUUCGUGGAGAGAGCCAUCAGACUAAACCUACACUUCCAACUUACCAUUUUUGAGAGAGAACCACCUACUCAUGUGUUGAGGCCAAGAUAUUCCAUUCCUACCAUAUGAAUCUUGAUCUCUAGCCUUCCCCAAGUUGCUUUCCACACAAAUCUUCUUUCCACCAGAUCCAAAACCUAUGAGAGAGAGUUGAGUGUUGGGGAGACUAUCAUUUGAAGCACAAGAGCAAGGAGUUCAUCAUCAACGCACCAUUUGUUACUUCUUGGAGAGUGGUGUCUCCUAGAUUGGCUAGGUGUCACUUGGGAGCCUCCGACAAGAUUGUGGAGUUAAACCAAGGAGUUUGUAAGGGCAAGGAGAUUGCCUACUUCGUGAAGAUCUACCGCUAGUGAGGCAAGUCCUUCAUGGAUGAAGGCCAUGGUGGGAUAGACAAGGUUGCUUCUUCGUGGACCCUUCGUGGGUGGGGCCCUCCGUGGACUCGCGCAACCGUUACCCUUCGUGGGUUGAAGUCUCCAUCAAUGUGGAUGUACGAUAGCACCACCUAUCGGAACCACGCCAAAAACAUCCGUGUCUCCAAUUGCGUUUGAAUCCUCUAAACCAUUCUCUUUACUUCCUUGCAAGUUGCAUGCUUUAAUUUCCGCUGCCCAUAUACUCUUUGCAUGCUUGCUUGAUUUGUGUGAUGAUUGCUUGACUUGUCCUAAGAUAGCUAAAAUCUGCCACACUCUAAAAUUGGGAAAAGGUUAAGUUUUUAAUUGGUCAAGUAGUCUAAUCACCCCCCUCUAGACAUACUUCAAGGUCCUACACCCUCUCCUACUUGGACAAGGAAAGGAGGGAGUCCUACUCUCGGUGGGAGUAGGACUCCUCCCUGGCGCGCCUCCUCCUAGCCGACCGCCCCCUCCCCCUUGCUCCUUUAUAUACGGGGGCAGGGGGCACCUCUAGACACAACAAUUGAUCCUUGAGAUCUAUUAGCUGUGUGCGGUGCCCCCCUCCACUAUAUUACACCUCGAUAAUAUCAUAGUGAUGCUUAGGCGAAGCCCUCGUCGGUAGAGCAUCAUCAUCAUCACCACGCCGUCGUGCUGAUGGAACUCUCCCUCGCAGCUCUGCUGGAUCGGAGUUCGAGGGACGUCAUCGAGCUGAACGUGUGCUGAACUCGGAGGUGCCGUGCGUUCGGUACUUGAUCGGUCGGAUCAUGAAGACGUACGACUACAUCAACCGCAUUGUGCUAACGCUUCCGCUUUCGGUCUACGAUGGUACAUGGACAACACUCUCCCCUCUCGUUGCUAUGCAUCACCAUGAUCUUGCGUGUGCGUAGGAUUUUUUUUGAAAUUACUACGUUCCCCAUCAGUGCACACAUGAGAGCCUGAAGUCAGCGGGCACGGGGUAACAUGGCCAGCUACAUGGAGUCAUGUUGAAGGUGGAGCUGGAGUCUGACGGAGGACUUCACUCGGUGCUAAUGGAGGGGCUAUGGUGUAAGAUGUCGAAAAAUUAGAGUCUGUUUCAACGGUUAAAAGAGAGAGACAUGUGGAUCGGACUUGGGGCGGAUGGUCUGAUUAAAACAUGAUACUCUACAUUGGUCGGUGAUGAUCAGAGGUUCUUUAUAGUAGGGGUUGAGGCAUUGUCGGCUAGCUACCCAGGAGACUCAGCUGGUAUAGCACAGGCUCGACGUGGUGAUCAUGACGAGCGUUGAUGUGAGAACAAGACACAGUGACAGACCAAUGCACUAGUAGUAAGGCAAAGUGUGGAAAAGGUGCUAAAGUAGUGUUGGCGAGUACCAGGUUUAAGUUGGUGACUGGGUCUAUUGGUACCUGAAGAUGAACAUGAGUUAACCAUGAAGAAUCUGAGGAAGUGACGGAAAGUCUGAAGUUGUCAAAAAUUGAGAGAGUACGCGGUCGUAUAUUAUGUGGUGUUCAGUGCAUAUGGCAAGGUGCAGAUGACAAGUGCAGAAGAAGGCGGAGUGCUAUAGCUUUGGGACAUGUAAAGUCUAUACAGAAGAAAGGGUGAGACAACUACGAAUUUGACUCAGAGUGACACUAGAUGACGGUAAAAUUCCUUCAAGUUUCAGACAUCAAUGGAGAAAGAGCUAGGAUAUUGAGUUUGGGGAACUCUUAUAUGUGGCGUCCAAAAUGUGAGUCAUUCACUUUCAGAAACAAAUAUUUCAGAAAUUGGGGACGCAAACUAGAGUAAAGGAGUAACUUAAUUUUGCUCGAGAGUUGAUGGUGAAGAAGACAAGACGGAACUACAAUUGUAGGUGUAGUCACAUCGAGUCUGGAAGUAGCAGCAGUGUUCAUGGUAAAAAAAUUAGUUUAAUGUACAUGAAAGUUUGAUGCAUGCAUGAAUCGGUGGAGAAUAUUUGUCAAGGUGGAGUUUGUUGAAAUUGUGUUGAAUAUGUUUAUACAUGGUACUCCCUCUGUGAAAAAAUAUAAGAGCGUUUAAAUCACUAGGGAGUAGGUUACAUUAGACUUGAGUAGUACGGUGUGUAGCCAGGGUAUGGUGUAGUGUCCCAGUGUGACUUGCAUCCUAGAUCUUUAUAUAAUAUGGGAGUAGACACAUGUUAUAACAUAUGCCCAACAUAAUAACAUAAACACACAAGGGAGCGGGCGGCAUGUGCUGGCACCCAGAUGGUUGGUGUGCGAUAUUGUGACGGUGUCAUGCGGAGGAGCGUCCGUAAUCCUACCCCGGGGAUGUAGCCGUAUUGGUGAAGCUCGUUAACAAAUCUCAAUGUCGUGGCUUGUGUGCUUGCUUGGUCUUCAAAUGGCCCUCAAAUAUGAAGUCUCGUGAUUCCUAUGUAGCGUGCUCCAUAAAUUAUGACAACUCAGGGUUUGAUGACGACUCUAUCAGAGUGGCCUUUUUGGUCAAAGUCGUCAUAUAUUCACGGUGAUCAGGCCGAUAUGCUAACUCUAGAGUUGCUGUAAGUUGGGGUCGCUUGCUUGAGAAGUGACGAAACCGAUGACUAUGUGGACAAGACUUUUCUCCAUGGUGGUGUAUGACGCAUCUUGAGUGUGCCAUCUUCCCCAACCUCAUAAACUGUUCACACCUGGACAUCGUCGUUCUGGAUUGGAAAGUCGGAGGCUGGAAACAGUGCAUUUGCUCUUAUUUCUUGAGAGAACGGAAACUAUGUAUAGUUUACACAACCUUCCCUGAAGAAAAAAUUAAUGGUUUUGGACUUGACUCCACUGGUCCAAGUAGUCGCUUUCCGAACUGAUCCUGUCUCUAACGGCGUGCUUCGUCACCGACUCGAACGCAAUGGCAAAGUGGCCCACCAAUGAUCGACUUGCGCUCAGGCACUUUGGGUUGGGUUGGGAUUUCUCAAAAAAAAAAAUGCACUUUGGGUUGGGUGGUCAAACGAAGAAAAAUCUUGGAUAGAGCAAAUGCAAAUAUAGAGGUCUUUUUUUUAGACGCGGACAUGGGAGUGGAGACAUCAGACUGACUAGCGGAGCUUCUUUUUUUUUAGACGCGGACAUGGUGAGGGGAGACAUCAGACAUGACUAGCGGAGCUUCUUUUUUUUAGACGCGGACAUGAUGAGGGGAGACAUCAGACAUGACUAGCGGAGCUUCUUUUUUUAGACACGGACAUGGUGUCGGGCGUGCCGGCCUGCAUCAGCAUCCUGGCCAGCCCGAAGUCUGCGACCUUGGUUCGGAACUCGUAGUCCAGCAAGAUGUUGCUGGUCUUGACGUUCCGGUGAACGAUGGGCUGGGAGCACUCGUGGUGCAUGUAGCAGUGCCCCUGCGCGGCGCCGAUGGCGACUAUGAUCCUCGUGGGCCAGUCCAAACCACCCUCCAUGGACGACGCGGAGUGCUCGGCACUGUGGGGGAGAGUGUGCAUGUGGAGCCACACAGAGUACCCGACGACGUAUUUGUAUGGUUGUUAUUAAGGAUAAAACAAUGGAGUUUAUUUAUAUUGAUUGAGUUUACUUUGUCUACAUUAUGUCAUCUUGCUUAAAGCGUUACUCCUUUCUUUAUGAACUUGUAAUACUCUAAAUGCAUGUUGGAUAGCGGUCGAUGUGUGCAGUAAUAGUAGUAGAUGCCAACAUGAGUCGGUCAACUUGUCUCAGACACGAUCUCCAGAUCCGAGGGGACUAUGGGUAGACUGAACGGUCUCAGCGCGCACCAACGCACUAUGGAUGUGAUCUCUGAAUUGCGACACCACGACGUUCUGCGGCAACACCGUCUGCAGGAGCGCUUGAAUCUGACGGAUCCCUUCUCCGUCCGCAGAGUCGGUGGGUUGGAUGGAAUCAGCUAUCCGACUGGCCGCCGCGAGGUUUUGCAACGGGGUGCUGAGUACCUGGUACUUCCGAGGUUGGUCGCUCGGGAACAGCCGGUGCUUGUGCCGGCUGGAGCUAGGUUGCUGGCGAGUGCGGUCAUCCAGCUCCUUCUCCAGCCGCUCAAGGCGGCCUCGCUCGGCCAAAGUGGCCAAGCGUGCUGACUUCAUGGCCAGGGCCUCAGGAGUCUUCCCGGUGAUGGGAAUGCGCGGGGGUUGCUCGUUCUUCCAGCGGAGCUCGUCACGCUACUCCCAAGUGAGCGCCUGGGGAACAUACGGCUCGUGGAGGGGAGAACGGUCUUACUCUCCACCGUCAUUGGCGUGUCCGCGUGAAGGGCCCACGUUCACGUCGCGGGGACCGAUGCACCAUGGAGGGCCGUGCGGCUCGAAGCCGGCCAUCAGGACCUCGGCCAUGGACUCGACGCUCUCACACUCAGACUCGUCGGUGGAGUCCUCGUGGAGCUCACCGAAAAGGUCAAGGGCAGGCUCGCCAGGUUCGAGCUCCGUCACAUGGCCUGCCACGACUUGAGCAGCCACGACGUGCCCGAUCCAACGCUGGCGACGGCCAGCGGUCCGGAGAGAGAUCAGUCGAUACGAGACCGAGGGCUGUCGGAGAAGGACUCCGUACGAAGAUGCGCGGAAGUGCGCCGCGCCACGGAUGGGCAGCGACUCCACGUCUAGCGGGGCUUCCUGAAGCCAUGUCAAGUCGUCAGCGAUGAAGCUGAGCGCCCCACAAUGAAUCUCGCCGCCGACUAACUUAAUGCUGAUGAAAUUCCACCGGCGUCGUAAAGUCGCUAGAUGCGUUGCCCCACGGUGGGCGCCAAAUGUCGGGGUUAUGAUCCUGACAAUGAGUACUAGGGGUAUGAAAGAGGGGCGGAGCCUAACUACGGUGCAGGUGCAACACUUGGCGUUUAUGAGUUCAGGUAAUAGCCCUACGCCCCGUGCCUUGAGGCUUGUUUUCCGUUGGGUGGUGUGAUUACAAUGAAAUGCUUCACCCUUGUACGGCCGGAAGAGUGCGGCUUAUAUAUAGUGCGUUGCUGCCUCAUCACUCCGCCGUCGCAAGGGUGGUUUUGGUGUAUAACUACGUUAGUUACUAGUGGUAAUGGCCAGAACUACAUCAGUUACAUAUAUGAAAGUCCCUAACUACAGCAGUUUCUAAAUAUAAGUCUUAAAAAUUCCAAUACGGACUACAAACAGAUGUAUAUAGACGCAUUUUCGAGUGUAGAUUCGCUUCGUAUAUAGUUUUCAUCUAAUCCCUAAAACUUGUAUACUAUUGUACUCCCUCCGUUCCUAAAUAUUUGUUUUGCUAGAGAUUUCAACAAAUGACUACAUACGGAGCAAAAUGAGUGAAUCUACACUGUAAAAUAGGUCUAUAUACAUACGUAUAUGAUAGUUUAUUUGAAAUCCCUAAAAGGACAAAUAUUUAAGAACGGAGGGAGUACUUGCGUAGCUCAGUCCGACUGGCGUAUUUUCCCUCUAUUUUCCAUUUAUUUUUGUGCGAUCGCGACAUAAAGCUUCUAGAGAUGUCGCGUGCUCACACGCUCGUAAUCAACUACUAGGCGUUACUGACCCACAUUUGCACCCAAUAAAUCCUUUGCCCAUGGUUGGAUGGGAAAUGUCGUGCGCAUAUUGUCUAAUAAGUGUCGGCUAUACAGCAGUGCUCUUUUACGCGUCCCGAUUGGUCUAAUGGUGAUGAAGAGGUUUUUAUGCCAGUAGCUUUGACUUGCGGUACCAAAAUCAAUCCUGGUCUAUCCGAGGAGCACCGUCGAAUUUUGGGGUGGGUUCUCUUCCUUGCUUGUGAGUUCUGGUGGGAUUUGAGACGGGGAUCGCUGGCGGUGAUUUGUGGAAGGUUUUUGGCGUGGAAGGAGCGGGGAAGAGGGGUGGUGGUGGGCGUGGUUGAUGGUGGAGUUGUAGGCGUUGUGGGCUUGUGGGGUAGGGUGGUUGAUGGUGGUGGUCAAGAAGCGCACGGCUGAUUGGUUUUGACUCUGCCUGCCCGACCUGUAAUAAACCUAAUCACGCCGGCUCGGAAACCUCAUCUCAUCUCCGCGUACUUGGUAAAUAUCGCCAAAUUCCAACAAAAUUUGGUAAAUAAACAUACAGUAUCGAUGGGUUAGAUAUUAGUACAUAUAGUAUAAUAUAAGGAAAACUCUUCUAAUCAACCGGUGGAUCACGUCGUAUCGUCCGUCGCUUCCCAUGCAUGACGCGUGACCUUUAUGGAUUUAAAUUUCUGCAAUAAGUCCUUUGUUGCAAAAAUUUAUGUAAUAUGACCCCUGUUGCAUAAAGAUUCUGUAAUUGGUCUUUUUAAAAUUUCUGUAACAAAACUUCUAUUGUGAAGAAAAUUCUGCAACAAGAUUUCUGUUGCAAAAAUAAAAAAUGAAAAAUGCUACAACAAGAUAUAUGUUGUGAAUUUUUUUCCAACAAGUCACGUGUUGCAAAAAAUAAAAAAAGCAUAGGCUUGGGCGAUUGCAACAAGCUGGUUGUUGCAGAGAGCCUUCUGCAACAUCACUCUUGUUGCAGAGGAGUGGCUGCUUACGUGAAAAAGGUUGAAUGUCUUUAGCGUGUCCAUUCAAUGGUCAACGAGCCGGCGGAUAUUUUCUUAUUAUCCGCCGGCCGAUGCGUAGCGUCGCCCAUAAUAUAGAAGACCCAAAGGGUGGGAUUCCAUUAAUCUCAUCCAUCAAACAAGCUCAAUCCAACAGUCUAAACUGUUAAAAUUAUGAGUGCACAACCUGUUCACCAAAUAUAGGAUUAAUCACAUAAUUAAUAUGCACACAAUAUUUUACCUAAAUUACCGAAGGAUGUUUCCUGAACCGUUUUAUUCACGUUUCAUAUUCCUCAGCCAUUUAUCAUAUAGCAUGUGCCGACAUGUCGGUGAAAAAUGCCGUUUUCAUCGGAUUUAAUCAAAAGUUUUCCUUUUCGGCACAGGAUAUAUAGUUUUUUUUGAGAAACUUUCAAUCAAUUCAUUUUCAAUCAUGGCAGUACAAAGAACAACAGAGGUAAUAAAAAUUACAAUCAAGUCCGUGUACCACCUAGCGACGACUACAAGCACUGUAGCGUCCCUUGAUGAAGCCAUGUACCUAGGGUAGGGUCAUGAACAUGUCCAAGAUACCCUCCCCAUGGACAUCUCUAGAAGAUACCACCUUUCAGUCGACCUGGAAGGGUUCCACUCGACGGACUCGAAGACACUCGACCAUGAAGCCAACCACUCGACUGCCAGGAAACCUAAAGUCAAUCUGCACACAAACGGUCUGUCAUUAAGUAGCCCGACCUUAAUGUACCUUAAACCCUGCAUAACUGAGGGCCGGAGGGGUCUGGCGGACUCUAUAUAAGCCACCCCCUCCUCAGUGUAAGGGGUUCGCACCCUUGUAACUCAUACACAUAUAAUCCAGUCGACCGCCUCCGGGCUCCGAGACGUAGGGCUGUUACUUCCUCCGAGAAGGGCCUGAAUUCGUAAACAUCUUGCGUAUACAACUACUCCAUAGCUAGGAUCUCGCCUCUCCAUACCUCCCCCCUAUUCUACUAUCAGACUUAGAACCACGACAGUUGGCGCCCACCGUGGGGCAGGUGUCUUAGCGACCUAUUGGAGAAGUUGCGAUUUUUUCCGAUCUCCUUCAUCAUGGUUUCAGGCGGAGUUUUGGUUGAGGGCCGCGAGAUCCGUCUUGGCGCGCUCACGUUCAUCACCGACGACUCCGCUUGGCUUCAGGAGGCUCCACUCGACAUCGACGCGCUCCCCGUCCGCGGGGCGACGCACUUUCGCGCAUGCGUCCGCGGCGUCCUCCUGCGACAACCGUCGACCCAGUAUCGGUCGACCCCUGUGUCGUCCUCCCUCCCUGUUUCCCGCCGGCGCAAGCGCUCCGGUCGGUCGAGGCUUCAGCGGUGGGUGAGGCACGCGGUGGGCCGCCAGUCGGCCACCCCUCAAGUCGCGGCAAUCGAGCCCAACGAAUCUCUCUACGGCCUGUUCGACCUGUUGACUGGCUCCGUAGAGACUGCAUCCGAGUGCGACAGCAGUGAUCCAACGGCGGAGGUUCUGAUGGUCAAUGGACCGCACAGUUCUCCCGGCUUUCCCCAUGCCGACGGAGGCAACGACGGAGGCGAUCCGACGCAGAUCCGCGAAGAGUAUCAACCCGAGCCUCUCACUUCGCUGCAGAGGGAAGAACUUCACCGCCGGAACAUGGAUGCGCUACACACUCCUAUCGUCGGAGAAACCCCCGAGGCUCGUGCCUUAGAGGACACGCGCCUGGCCAACUUGGCCGAGCGCACUCGACUGGAAAACCUCCAGCGAGCACUCGACGAGCGUGCGCGGCAACGGGUUCCAGACUCCAAUCGACGUCAACUCUUUCCGCCACUGACUCAGGUAUAUCGAACUCCGAUUCAGAAUCUAGCAGCUGCAGCCCGUAUAGCAGAGUCGAUUCAGCCUUUCCAGUCAGAGGCUGGUAGAGGCUUGCUACAGAUCAGAGAUUUACUCCGGGCAGCAGGAGAUCAAAAUUCAGCUGUAUCGCAGUCGCGGAACAGGAUUCACAGUAGAUCCGUUGCUGCAAAUAUAGUCAAGUCGACCCAUAGCCCAAGAUCGCCCCCGAGGCGUGAGGGACGUGGAGAUCGGCGUGAUCAGUACAAGAACCGUGAGCAGUAUGAUGACCGACUCGAUCAUGAUGACCGGCGUCGAGUGCCCACCCCUCCCCCAAGGGGUGGAUCGUACGCGCCUCGGCAGCAGGAUGACAGACGCCAUCACAGUGUUGGGCGAAGGAUUUUAGUCGACCCCAGGGAACCAGGCUUUGAUGCAAGAUCCAUUAUUGUUCAAGGUUUGGUCGAUAGGAACAGAGCUCACCGAGAAGGCCAUGACAGAGAUGUACCCACCAGCAGCAGAGUACACAUCUCUGGGCCAGAGUGUUUUAGCAGAGCCAUCAGGGCCGCGGUGAUUCCUCCCAACUUCAGGUUGGCGACUGGAGUCAGUAAGUUCACUGGUGAGUCCAAGCCUCAUACUUGGCUUGAAGACUACCGAGUGGCUGUUCAGAUUGGUGGCUGCAACGAUGAGGUGGCCAUGAAACACCUGCCUCUUAUGUUGGAGGGCUAGGCCAGAGCAUGGUUGAAUCAGUUAGCACCCAGCAGCAUUUACACUUGGGAAGAUCUUGCCCGAGUGUUUGUCAGGACAUUUGAAGGAACUUGCAAGUGGCCAGCAGGGUUGACAGAGUUGCAGUCUUGCGUGCAAAAGUCAAAUGAAACUCUGAGAGAUUACAUCCAGAGAUGGAUCACAUUGCAUCACACGGUAGAGAAUGUAUCUGAUCACCAGGCAGUCUGUGCCUUCAAGGAAGGCGUUAAGAACAGAGAGCUAAGUCUAAAAUUUGGUCGAACUGGAGACAUGACUCUAAGUCGAAUGAUGGAAAUUGCCACCAUGUAUGCCAAUGGUGAAGAAGAGGAUCGGCUCCAGAGUGGCAAGUACAAGUCAGCCGCCCAUGAAACCGGGGGAGGGAACUCCAGUCGGAAGCAGAAGCAGAAAGCCGAGCCAGCUGCUCCUGGAGAAGCCUUGGCCGUGACUCAAGGAAAAUUUAAAGGGAAGCCCAAAGGGUCUUGGAACCCUAAGAAGGUGAAAGACAAGGAAGGGAAUGACGUGAUGGAUUUGCCGUGUCACAUCCACACGAAGAAAGAUGAGGAGGGUAAAUUCAUUUAUCCGAAACAUACCACUCGACAGUGUCAGCUCUUGAUCCAGCAAUUCCAGGGAAAACAACCCAAAGAUAAGGAAAAGGAGUCAGACAAAGUUGAAGACAAAGAAGAUAGUGAUGACGGAUAUCCCCAGGUCAAUUCCACCCUGAUGAUUUUUGCUAAUGUUGAAAGCAAAAGUCGAUUGAAAGUUAUCAACCGAGAGGUGAAUAUGGUUGCUCCGGUGACACCCAGUUAUCUAAAAUGGUCCCAGACUGCCAUCACAUUCGACCAGUCCGAUCAUCCGACACAUAUAGCCACCCUUGGGAGGCAAUCUUUGGUAGUCGAUCCAGCUGUCGAAGGCACUCGACUGACUAAAAUCUUGAUGGAUGGUGGCAGUGGCCUGAAUAUAUUGUAUGCAGAGACGUUGAAAGGGAUGGACAUUCCUGGGAAGAAGGCUCAGUACCAGCAACAUGAGUUUCCAUAGAGUCAUUCCUGGGAAGAAGGCUGAGUCACUCGGCCAAAUUGCUCUUGAUGUGGUUUUCGGUGAUUCCAAGAAUUACCGCAAAGAAAAGUUGACGUUUGAAGUUGUGGAUUUCCAGAGUGCUUAUCACGCUAUUUUGGGCAGGCCAGCUUAUGCACGUUUCAUGGCUCGACCAUGCUACGUGUACCUCAAAAUGAAGAUGCCUAGUCCCAAAGGUGUGAUCACUAUUAUUGGCAAUCAGAAGAAGGCGGAAGAGUGCUUUCAGAAAGGCUCAAAGAUCGCCGAUACUCAGAUGGCAGUGGUAGAGCUACAGGAAUACCAAAAAACUGCAGAUCCGAGUGAUUUGUUGUGAGCCAAGAAGCCCGCUACAGAAUCAGCAUUUCAGUCGUCUGGUGAGACAAAGCCGAUUCACAUUCACCCGACCAACCCCAGUGCUGCUCCGACUCAUAUCUCUACAACACUCGACUCCAAAUAGGAAGAAGCGCUCAUCCAGUUCCUCCGUGAGAACUGGGACAUCUUCGCAUGGAAGCCUGCUGACAUGCCGGGUGUUCCCAGAGGGCUGGCUGAGCACCGUCUAUGAGUCGACUCAAAAGUGAAACCUAUCAAGGAACAUCUUCGACGGUUCGCCGUCCAGAAGAGAAAGGCCAUUGGCGAGGAAGUGGCUCGACUCUUAGCAGCGGAGUUCAUCCGAGAGAUUUACCACUCCGAGUGGCUCGCCAAUGUUGUCAUGGUCCCCAAGAAGGACAAGUCACUUCGCAUGUGCAUUGACUUCAAACAUAUCCAUCGGGCCUGCCCGAAAGAUCAUUUUCCUCUCCCCCGCAUCGACCAAAUAGUCGACUCGACUGCGGGAUGUGAGCGCUUGUCUUUUUUAGACGCCUAUUCCGGUUACCAUCAGAUCUGUCUGUAUGGACCCGACGAAAUCAAAACAGCUUUCAUCACUCCAUUCGGCUGCUUCUGUUAUGUCACCAUGCCAUUCGGCCUCAAGAAUGCCGGAGCCACGUUCAUGAGGAUGAUUCGGAAGUGUCUUCUCACUCAAAUCAGUUGGAAUAUGGAAGCAUACAUGGAUGAUAUUGUAGUCAAGUCACGGAAAGGUUCCGACCUGUUGACUGACCUUGCUGAAACAUUUGCUAACCUCAGGAGGUAUGAUAUCAAACUUAAUCCAUCGAAGUGCACAUUCGGAGUUCCUGGCAGAAAGUUACUUGGUUUUCUCGUUUCCGAACGAGGAAUCAACGCCAACCCAGAAAAAGUUGGUACUAUACUCCGAAUGAAAUGCCCUGUGCGUGUGCACGAUGUCCAGAAGCUUACUGGAUGCUUGGCCGCUUUAAGUCGAUUCAUCUCUCGUCUCGGUGAAAAGGCGUUGCCUCUUUACUGACUGAUGACGAAGUCAGACAAGUUCGAGUGGACUCCUGAAGCUGAUGCAGCAUUUGCAGAGCUAAAAGCCCUGCUCUCCACCCAGCCGGUGCUUGCCGCUCUGAUCAGCAAAGAGCCUUUGCUGCUUUACAUUGCAACCACAGGACAAGUCGUCAGUACAGUACUUACGGUUGAGUGGGAAGAAGAAGGAAAAGCCUUUAAAGUCCAACGCCCAGUAUAUUAUCUUUCUGAAGUUUUGAUCCCAUCGAAGCAAAGAUACCCACAUUAUCAGAAGCUUGUAUAUGGGAUUCAUAUGACCACGAAGAAGGUUGCUCAUUACUUCUCUGACCAUUCCAUUACAGUCGUCAGCGAUGCCCCAUUGUUAGAGAUUCUGCACAACAGAGAUGCAACUGGUCGAGUGGCAAAAUGGGCGAUUGAACUCCUUCCCCUUGAUAUCAAGUUCGAGGCAAAGAAAGCCAUCAAGUCCCAAACAAUAGCAGAUUUCAUCACCGAGUGGAUGGAACAACAACUACCGACUCAAGUUCACUCGGAGCACUGGACCAUGUUCUUUGAUGGAUCUAAGAUGUUGAACGGUUCCGGUGCUGGGGUAGUGUUGGUUUCCCCCCGAGGAGAUAAGCUCAGAUAUGUGCUCCAGAUCCACUUUGAUUCCUCCAAUAACGAAGCAGAAUUCGAAGCACUUUUGUAUGGGUUGCGCAUGACCAUUUCACUCGGCGUCCGUCGCCUCAUGGUUUAUGGCGACUCAGAUUUGGUGGUUAACCAAGUGAUGAAGGAGUGGGACGUCAGAAGUCCAGCCAUGACUGGUUACUGCAAUGCAGUGAGAAAGCUAGAGAAGAAGUUUGAGGGGUUAGAGCUUCAUCAUAUACCCCUACUGAAAAAUCAAGCGGCUGAUGAUUUGGCAAAAAUAGGUUCCAAGAGAGAAGCCAUUCCCAGUAAUAUGUUUUUGGAACACAUCCACACACCAUCAGUUCAAGAGGAUCCUUUCACCGAAGAAGCUCCACAGCCAAAAAGUGUCACGGAUCCGACUGAAGUUGAAGUUCCAGUUGUGGUCGACCUGAUCAUGGAAGUUUUGGUCAUCACUCCCGACUGGACAGAGCCGUACAUCGCGUAUAUCCUAAGGAAAGAGCUCCCGGAGAAUGAAUAAGAGGCUCGACAGAUCGUCUGUCGAUCCAAAGCCUUUACCGUGAUAAAGGGACAGUUGUACAGAGAAAGCGCGACUGGAGUCGGUCAGAAAUGUAUAACACCAGAAGAAGGUCGGAUAAUCCUUGAUGAUAUCCACUCGGGGACCUGUGGUCAUCAUGCGUCCUCUCGGACCAUUGUGGCUAAAGCAUACCGAGCGGGAUUUUACUGGCCAAGAGCAAACGAAAUGGCAAAGGAAAUAGUCAACAAGUGUGAAGGAUGUCAGUUCUAUUCCAAUCUGUCACACAAGCCCGCCUCAGCUUUGAAGACCAUUCCACUCGUCUGGCCCUUCGCUGUUUGGGGGUUGGAUAUGGUUGGACCAUUGAGAACCGACAGGAGCGGCUUCACCCACUUGUUAGUGGCAGUCGACAAGUUUACUAAAUGGAUUGAAGCUAAACCUAUCAAGAAUCUCGAUGCUUGCACUGCUAUCAGUUUUGUCAAAGAGUUGAUAUUCAGAUAUGGAGUUCCGCAUAGCAUCAUCACUGAUAACGGGUCGAACUUCGAUUCCGACAAGUUCAAAGCUUUUUGCGCCUCUCAAGGCACACUAGUCAAUUACGCUUCAGUCGCUCAUCCCUAGUCGAAUGGACAAGCAGAAAGAGCAAACGACCUAAUUCUCAAAGGACUGAAACCCCGAUUGAUGCGUGAUCUCAAGCACGCAGCAGGCGCGUGGGUCGACGAACUUCCAUCAGUUCUUUGGAGAUUGAGGACCACACCUAAUCGGUCGACUGGGCGGACUCCAUUCUUUCUGGUUUAUGGAACUAAAGCAGUUCUGCCGAGUGACUUGCUUCACAGUGCACCACGAGUCGAGCUCUACUCUGAAGAUGAAGCAGAACAAGCCCGGCAGGGUGCAGUCGACCUCCUAGAAGAAGAAAGAGAGAUGGCCUUGAUCCACUCGACUAUCUAUCAGCAAGACUUGCGUCGAUUCCAUGCCAGAAAUGUGAAGAGUCGAGCCUUCCAAGAAGGAGAUUUGGUCCUCCGAGUGGAUCAACAGAAGCCACACAAACUCGCUCCUACUUGGGAAGGCCCCUUCAUCAUCACCAAAGUUAUCCGCAAUGGAGCGUACCGUCUUUACAACGUCGAUCGCCAGAUUGACGAGCCGCGAGCUUGGAAUGCGGAGCUGCUCCGCCCCUUUUAUACUUAAGUACUCACCCGGAUGAGAUGUAAUAAAAAGUACCUCUGUAGUUUGUUUAUCAAAGACAAGAGUAUUAUAAUUUUCCCAGUAAUUGUUGUUGCUUUUGUUUACGUGAGAAAUCCCCCAGUGGGUGGCUUAGCUGCGAAUCCGUUUCGCCUAAGUUUGUAAAAAAAAAUCCUAUCGAGUGACGAGCAAGCCUCUCACUCGGGGGCUUAGCUGCGAAUCCGUUUCGCCUAAGUAUUUGAAAAUCCUACCGAGUGGUAAGCCAGCCUCCCACUCGGGGGCUUAGCUGCAGUCCAAGUACUCGCCUAAGUUUAAAAAAUCCUACCGAGUGGUGAGCCAGCCUCCCACUCGGGGGCUUAGCUACAGUCCAAGUACUCGCCUAAGUUUAAAAAAUCCUACCGAGUGGUGAGCCAAACUCCCACUCGGGGGCUUAGCUGCAGUCCAAGUACUCGCCUAAGUUUUUGAAAAUCCUACGGAGUGGUGAGCCAGCCUCCCACUCGGGGGCUUAGCUGCAGUCCAAGUACUCGCCUAAGUUUUUGAAAAUCCUACCGAGUGGUGAGCCAGCCUCCCACUCGGGGGCUUAGCUGCAGUCCAAGUACUCGGCUAAGUUUAAAAAAUNNNNNNNNNNNNNNNNNNNNNNNNNNNNNNNNNNNNNNNNNNNNNNNNNNNNNNNNNNNNNNNNNNNNNNNNNNNNNNNNNNNNNNNNNNNNNNNNNNNNNNNNNNNNNNNNNNNNNNNNNNNNNNNNNNNNNNNNNNNNNNNNNNNNNNNNNNNNNNNNNNNNNNNNNNNNNNNNNNNNNNNNNNNNNNNNNNNNNNNNNNNNNNNNNNNNNNNNNNNNNNNNNNNNNNNNNNNNNNNNNNNNNNNNNNNNNNNNNNNNNNNNNNNNNNNNNNNNNNNNNNNNNNNNNNNNNNNNNNNNNNNNNNNNNNNNNNNNNNNNNNNNNNNNNNNNNNNNNNNNNNNNNNNNNNNNNNNNNNNNNNNNNNNNNNNNNNNNNNNNNNNNNAGCCUCCCACUUGGGGCCUUAGCUGCAGUCCAGUACUCGCCUAAGUAUUUGAAAAUCCUACUGAGUGGAGAGCAAACCUCCCACUCGGAGGCUUAGCUGUAGUCUAGUACUCGCCUAAGUAUUUGAAAAUCCUAUCGAGUGGAGAGCAAACCUCCCACUCGGAGGCUUAGCUGCAGUUCGGUACUCGCCUAAGUAUUUGAAAAUCCUAUCGAGUGGAGAGCAAACCUCCCACUCGGAGGCUUAGCUGCAGUCUAGUACUCGCCUAAGUAUUUAAUCCAUUCCGAUCCGCAAGGAGGACGAGGUGUAGGUCGACUGCUACCUUCUCCUUCGGAGCUACGCCACAAAUACAACGUGCGCUCUGCAAGGAUGACGAGGUGUAGGCCGACUGCUACCUUCUCCUUCGGAGCUACGCCACAAAUACAACAUGCGCUCUGUAAGGACGACGAGAUGCAGGUCGACUGCUACCUUCCCCUUCUGAGCUACACCACAAAUACAAUGUGCACUCCAUCCUGAUCCGGAAGGACGCAGGCCGACUGCAAUCUGCACUCCAUCCCUACCUGCAAAAGCGAUGAAGCGCAGGUCGACUGGACUUUCCACCUCAGAGCUUCGUCUCAAGCACUAAAGUAUAUUCCGAGUGAAGAACAAAGUUUGCUCGAUAAACCAAUUUUGCAAGCAUAUUCAACGAUAAACCAAGUUCAGAUAACGUCCUACAGAUUCGGAAGUACUCAGGCGUCAAGCCUGUAAAAGUUUAUCGGUUACAAAACCACUCAGCAUUCCAAGGCAAAUUUAAAGCAUAGAAGUUUUUUUACUCCUCAGGUGGAGGACUGGAAGGCGCGACAAACUGGUUCAGGUCGAUCCCGUCAGCAAUCCGAGUGGCAGCAACAAUGAAGGUCUCCAUGAAAGACUGGAAAUCGUGCUUCUUGGUAUUGGCCACUUUGAUGGACGCCAGCUUGUCCUCUCGCGCAUCCUUGCAGUGAACGCGGACCAGGGACAGAGCAACGUCAGCACCACACCUGGCAGAAGACUUUUUCCAUUCUUGCACUCGACCUGGAACAUCAUUCAGUCGAGUCAUUAGAGACUCGAGGUCAUUUUGGAGCGUCUCUCCCGGCCAGAGUGUUGUGUCGAUUCGCGACACCGCAACCUUCAGUCGAGCAAGGUAGUCAACAACUCCAGCAACGCGAGACUCCAGUCGGAGCACGUUCAUAGCGGCUUCAUCCUUCACAGGAGAGUUAAUGGGGUCCAAGCUUGUCUCCACUCGACUGGUUUCCUCCUCGAAGUUUUGGCAGAAUUCUGUAAACACAAUUUGAAGUUAAGCCAACAGUUCUAUGAUGAGUCGAUGACAACAAGUCAGUCGGAUAAAAGAGAUUACCUUCAAGCAUGAUGAAUAACUUCUUGGCGAGCCCCCCCCCCCAGAUAAGCCUCUAGAUCGUUCUUCUUCCCCGCCAGUUCGCUACCUUGUCACUCAGAGCUAUCUUAUCAUUCUUCAGACGGCUGACUUCCUUGUUGGCCGCGUCGAGAGCAACUUUUAGAUUGGUGUUCUCCUCUUCAAGUUUUCCGACUGAAGCUAGUUUUUCUUCCGCAAGCUUCGUUUUGUCCAAAGCCGCCUUCUGCGCCUCGGCGAGGUCAUGGUCCUUCUUCUUCAGAGCCUCAUUCAGUUUAUCUGCAAAGUGACAAUGAGAUCAGAAUCAGGAAUGGACAGAAAGAUAAAGACAGUCAUCAAGAUUCUCACCAAACAUACCUUUUGCUUCAUCCUUUGCCUUCGUAAAGUUCUCCUAAACAAGCUUCAAGUCAAGGUCGAGCUGGAUAUGCUUGUUUUCCAGUUCAGUAUAACGAGCCACGAGCUUGCAAGAUUUCUGCAAAGGGUCAGUCGACAGACAUCAAAGAUAGGUUGCUUCUGAGUGACUAAGAAAGAAUCAAAAUAUUCAACAGCAGUCUCGGGGACUACACCCAGUGGGUGCACUCUGCGUGCCCCCACUGGUUCUACCGACUCGGUCCGAUCAGUCGGCCGAAAGAGACAAAGAGGUUAUGAUCUUAAAACUAUAGCACUAUAGCUAACUGCCAGCAGUCAGCCAUGGUCUCAUAAAAAACAGGUUCUUCAGACCUUAGUCGACUGCCAGCAAUCAUCCAUGGUCUCGGGGACUACACCCAGUGGGUGCACUCAGCGUGGCAUCCUCGACCUCCUCCGGGUGGAUCCGAGCGGUGUCCUCAGUACCAGAAUACAACCACAUCGGAUGGUCUCGAUCUUGAAGCGGCUGGAUGCGUCCUCGGAGGAAGACCUCCAAGAGGUCCAUACCGGUCACUCCGUCACGGAUAAGCUGGACCACACGUUCGACCAACACCUUAACCUGCGCCUUCUCUUCCAGGAUCACCUUCAAAGAAGAAGGCUUGCUCACUCGGUCCAUGGAAAAAGGAGGGAGUCCAGUCAACUGCCCUGGCGUUGGCUGGUCCUUGCAGUAGAACCAGGUCGACUGCCAUCCACGGACCGACUCGGGUAGGAUCAUGGCCGGAAAAGAACUUUUUCCCCUCAUUUGAACCCCAAGACCCCCACACAUCUGAAUCACUUGUGUUCUCUCAUCACUCGGAUUGGCCUUUUUCACCACCUGGGAGCGACAGGUGAAAAUGUGCUUGAAAAGACCCCAAUGAGGCCAACAACCCAAGAAAUUCUCGCACAAAGAACAUGAAAGCAGCGAGGUACACGAUAGAGUUGGGUGUGAAGUGGUGGAGUUGCGCCCCAAAGAAAUUCAGAAAUCCCCGAAAGAAAGGGUGAGGCGGCAAAGAAAACCCACGGUCGACAUGGGUGGCCAAGAGGACACACUCACCCUCCUGAGGCUGCGGCUCCGACUCCUUCCCCGGGAGCCGCGCCGAUCCGUGGGGGAUCAGUCCUUCAUUGGCCAGGCCGUCAAGAUCUUUUUGACGGAUCGUCGAGCGGAUCCAGUCGCCCUGGAUCCAGCCCUGCGGCAGGCCGACCCUUGAUGAAGAUCCGCCCCGACUGGUCGCCCUUCCCUUCGCCUUCGCCGUCGCAUUCUUCGCCCGCUCCAAGGCCGCCGUCUUCUCCUUCACCAUCGUUGCCGGCGAAACGCGCACGGAGCAGCGGCGCUGAGAUGGAAGCGAACGCGGCAGAUAAGUCUAAGGAAGAGGGGAGGAAAUGAGAGCGCACUGUUCACAAACCCCCGUCCGGCGCCUUAUAUGAGGUUACUUCCGAGUGUCUGACUUGUAGGCCCGGGCGAUCCCGUCAAAUCCCGCAACAGUCGCGCGCACGAUACGUGGCGAAAAAGGUGGCGCGGAGAUCGAGGCAUUCCUGCCUUAUCCCAUCUAAUUACCGCGGCCUCCUCCGCCCCGCGCGCUUCCCAAAAUUUGAAUCCCGCUAAAUCCGCGGGCUGCAGAGCAACUUGUCAGACGGGAGAUUUCCUCCGUUCUAUCGUUCGGAGUUCUCCAAAUAAGGAAGUUCACUCGACGGAUACAAAGAAUGGAUCAAGGCGACUAAAAAAGAAGUUAAUGUCGUCACCUGAGUUCACUGAUCCAGAACAAGACAUACUCAUUGCACGAAAAUGGGUCGGAAGUGUGUUCAACUCCUUCCCCACUCAAACCUCGAUCAUUCGGGGGCUAAUGAUGAAGCCAUGUACCUAGGGUAGGGUCAUGGACCUGUCCAAGAUACCCUCCCCAAGGACAUCUCUAGAAGAAACCACCUUUCAGUCGACCUGGAAGGGUUCCACUCGACGAACUCGAAGACACUCGACCAUGAAGCCAACCACUCGACUGCCAGGAAACCUAAAGUCAAUCUGCACACAAACGGUCUGUCAUUAAGUAGCUUUUAUGGUCAUCAUAGCACUUUAUUUGUGGCGUUACCAGUAACGCCCGACCUUAAUGUACCUUAAACCCUGCAUAACUGAGAGCCGGAGGGGUCUGGCGGACUCUAUAUAAGCCACCCCCUCCUCAGUGUAAGGGGUUCGCACCCCUGUAACUCAUACGCAUAUAAUCCAGUCGACCGCCUCCGGGUUCCGAGACGUAGGGCUGUUACUUCCUCCGAGAAGGGCCUGAACUCGUAAACAUCUUGCGUAUACAACUACUCCAUAGCUAGGAUCUCGCCUCUUCAUACCUACCCCCCUAUUCUACUGUCAGACUUAGAACCAUGACACCCCUCCCUUACCGGAGCUGGAAAAACCUUGUUGUAGUAGACAGUCCGGAAGUCGUCGCGGUAAGGCCCCAUAGGACCAACGCACCAGAGUAGCAAUCAUCACCGAUGAAGAAAGUCGUAAAUCAGAAGGAUCAAACAUGUAAACACCCAAACAAGGACGAACGAAGAACGGAUCCAACAGAUCCACCGAAGACCAGCACCGAACGAAUCCUGCGGGAUCUGACGGAAACAAACCUCCACACACCCUCCGAUGAUGCUAGAUGCACCAUCAGAAUGGGGAUAGAAUGUGGGAGACGUUAUUUCUACUAAGGGGCAUCGCCGCCACCACACAGUGAAUCUAACAAGAACGAGAACGGGGUCCCUCCCACCGGCGAGGGAUCGAGAUCAUCCAUACCUCCAUGGCCUAUAGGCCAUCGAAGAUGGGGCGGACCGGCGGCGGCGCUAACGGGAGGAGAAGAGCUUUUCUUGUGGAGGAGGAAAAAGAUAUGCAUAGAUAACUAUCAAAUUUUUAUGGUAAUUAUAACUAGCAAACGUCCGCUGUAGGGGAGAUGGCAAACGAACCAUUUUUGAUGACAACUUCAAUUGUGAAACGAGAUCAAACGACGAUGUAUUUAAAACAAAAAUUGCCUUCUCAGGGAAAAAAAUGCCAUAUCACCUGAAGAAAUUGCCACCUUUACCAAUGCCGCACAACUAAAAAUGUCAUACGAGCAUUCGCAAAUGCCACCCUACCUGGCUAACAUUCGCGAGAUAAGGGUUCCUUUUCUUAAAACACACACACACACUUACCCCUAUAAAUGCACGUACGCAUACUCUAUUCCUAUGAGCACCUCCAAGAAAUUAAGCCGACAUAUCAUCUUAAAAAUGACGAAGUAGCCUCAUACGUCUAUGUAGUCUACUGGAACCUCUUCUAUCACUGAACGCACAUCAUAAGAUCUGAAAUAAAUUCAGAAAAAUGUUAGCACUAAUGUCAAAUCUAGGAUUUAAACUUUGAUAACUUAUAAGCCACCGUCCUACUAACCAUUCAACCACAAGUUGGUUCGUGACGAACUAUUAUGUUUACUUAUGUCAAGAUGUGCUAUAAACAAAACAGGGCUGAAUAAUUCAAAAAUUUGCAAGGGUAUGCACCUACCGAAGUGCCUACAACCGUCUAUCUACGCGGUGAUCCGGGCACAUGUUUCCACGGAAAUUGGUUGAAAACUGGAUGGAUAUUCUUUAACUGCCUGAAUACGAGCAAGUAUACGUGUUUAUUCUAUGCAAUACUUUGGCGAGCCCUUCUUAUACAUCUUUCUAUCUGUGUGUAUGCUACGUCUCCCAUUCCGUUACAUACUCUUUUUUUUUGCGAGAGAUUACAUACUCUUUUCCACGAGUUGCAUGCACUAUUCUUCUUCUUCUUCUUCAUUCGUCCCUGUCGUGUUCUGCUCUUAUGUUCAAGUUUUGUUUCCUUCUCUUUUUUAUAUAUUGGAAAAAGUCUAAAAUAAACCUUUAGUUCGUACUCGUAGUCUGAAUUGGACCUUGAACUUAAAAUCCCUGAAAUUAGCACACUAUACUCUUUAAUCCCGGUCUAUCCUGGAUGAUUUUCGCUAGCUGAUUGUUUGACGCAGCGAGAAAAGACGAUUCCGACCAGGAUCACAUACUUUGGCGAGCCCUUCUUAUACAUCUUUCUAUCUGUGUGUAUGCUACGUCUCCCAUUACGUCUCCCUAAUGGAUGCGCGUCGUCGUCCCGUCGCUAUAUUACACGCAUGAACAAGCUUGUGCUGUUGUGUGGCGUGUGCCGUGUGCUACUUGCUGCUGCACGCAUUUCAGAGAGAGACAUAGAAAAAGAGGAGGAGGAUUAUGACGCAUGGGCCCUUGUAAUCUGUAAGAGUAGUGUGUGAUCCUGGUACCGGGAGAUGAGCAGCAGCCGCACGACGGCACGAGGAUGUUAGCGAGUGCACCGGCUGCCGCUGACGGCCCACAGUGGGAGGCCGGUCGUGGCCGUGCUCUGUUGCGUGGCACAAGCGAGCUUGAAGCGGUCAUGUGAUGUCCCCGGCGUGCGACCUCGGAGAAGACGUGGGCGAGACGAUGCACAACUGUCCGGGAGGUGGGCAUCAAUCACACGAGUGUUGGCUUUUGAUGCCUAGAUCAAAUCACCCAGGAACUAUGCACGCGAAGUGCAAAGCUAGCUAGACAAGCUUGAUUGAUUCUCGAGCAACACGCACGUAAAUGUAGACGUAUACAUUGAACUUGACCUAGCCGGCGGCCUCGGUGGAACGUCUGGACGUAACUUUAGCAAUCGGAAAAACUGAUCGGGACGAGACUGAUUUGGUGACACGGUUGGUGAUGGCUCCAACGGCUCCUGUACGGACCGCCCCCGCGGGCGGAUCUGGUGCUCGGGACGGCGAUGCCGCGCCCGGCCCUGCUGCCGGCCCAGGCGAUCGGGCGGCGACGGGAGAGGGGUCGGCGGUGGCCGCGGUGGUGUCCAGGCGAGCGGCCGUGCCCGCCUCAGGCGCGACUGGGUGGUCGGGGAGUAGGUUUUGGGCGUUGACCGAUGAGGUUUCCGACUGUGAAGAGGAGGCGGAGGAGGGCGCGGCGACGGGGUCAACGGAUGGCGGCCGCUCGGCGUGCUUCUUCGGCGACUUCAUCGCGCGCGCGGAGGAGCUUGGGGGCUCCUUCAAGGCCGGGCGCCGGCGCGCGUUUGCGCCCGGGGGCCGUGGCUCGAGGCGGCCGGCUUCCGUCGCGAGCAGGGGACCGCGUGCAUCUCCAAGCCGUUCGGGGCGGGGCAGCACGGGCUUCGCAGACGCGGGUCUGCGCCUGCAGCCAACUCCGGCCCAACUUCGGUCAGUGCAGCCGGCACCCGUGUCGGCGGCGGCGACGACGGAUCCGGGCGUCGGGAGUCCUAGGGUUGGGGGCGACUUGCCAGGGGCGGUGCUGGGCCAGGCCCUCGGGGUGCCUGGCGGCCCAUCCGCGCGCUUGGCCUGCGUGUCGGUCCCGAUUGGCGCUGUCUCAGUUGUGCAGGGGGCCCACCUUGCGGCCCAGCCUGGCCCACUGGAGGCAGCCCAGCCCACUCCUGCCCGAGUCGCCCAGCCAUAUAAAUGGCUCUGGUUGCCCCGCAGAACCCUAGAUCCAGCUCUAGGUUUCCCAGCCACCGUUUCGGACGUGCGGCGUUUCGGCCACGCCGCCCGGUUCCUCUUCCCCACCCCAGCCCCCCCGCCUCUGCUGCGCUCCUUCGUGGAGGUGGUGUCAAUGGGGUCCAAGCCCGACCGCCGGAGCGAGAAGCCGCCCAUGGAGCCACCGCGGGACCGCAACCGCGACCGCGUCAACAAAGACGGCGGUUGGGGACCGCCGCCCGCGUGGUGGCUCAAGGAGCAGGAGAGAAAGAAGAAGCACAAGGAGGAGUACAAGAAGAAGGGGCUCGAGCUCAAGCGCAAGGAGCAUCUGGCCUCCCAGGGCGGCGACCGCGCCGGCGAUCUGCUUGCGAAGAAGCCGAAGCUCAAGUCUGUGGGGGCGGCGGCCUCCUCGCUGCCCCUCCCGCCCAGAUCCGAGAUGCCUGGCUCCUCCAAGGGCACGGAGGAGGCGCCGAUCCCGGUCGAAGACGCCGACGGCCCCGAGUGCUUCAAGUGUGGCCGCUCCGGCCACUACCAGAACUCGUGCUCUUUCCAGCCGCUCUGUGUGGUGUGCAGCAAGGAGGGGCACACCUCGGUGCAGUGCCCAACCCGUGGCAAGCCGCUGAUCCUGCAAACGAUGCGGCACGCAAUCUCCGGCGAGGGAUUCUUCUGUCUUCAGUUCCCGGAGGACGUGCGGGAGGCGCCUCCAGUUCUGCUGGGGGCCAACGCGGCGGUACUCUCCAUGCCUUCCGGUGCGCUCUCGCAGGAGAUCUUGGAGAGGGAGUUGCAGCAUCUCUUUGAGAGCACAUGGGACUGGCAGAUUGCCCCCCUUGAGGGUGGCGCAUUCUCGGUGGUGUUUCCGGACCCUGCAAUGCUGCGGAUGGCUACAAGAAGCGGCAAGCUCUUCCUGUCACUCAACAACCUCAUGGUGGACAUUCGCGAUGCGAUCCUUGAUGCUCCCAAAAGUCUGGAGAUGCCGGAGGUGUGGGUCAAGCUGGGUGGCGUCCCUCCAAAGCAUCAGCGCCCCGAACGGCUCAUGGCGGCCACCAUCAUGCUCGGCCGCCCCCUGCAGGUUGAUGAGGAGUCGCUGAUCCGGCCCUGGCCAGUGCGCAUGCGCUUUGCCUGCCGCAAUCCUCACAAGCUGCGUGGGAUGGUCCAAAUCUGGUUCAACAGCGACGGCUACAACAUCUCCAUCGAGCCCGAGCUCCCCCCGGCGCAACUGGCGGCGCCCGCUCUCCCUUCUCCUCCCCCUCCUCCUCAUGGCAAGGGUCCGGAUGGGCCGGGGCGAGGCGGAGGCCAAGACGAUGUCCAAGAGCACGACGCUAGCAUGGAUGACGACUCUAUUGACACGGCGGCAUGGGAGAAGCUGGGCAUCACCGAGCAAGGCGGUGCGAUGGCCCGUGCGCUGCAGCCUAGGGCGGAGCCAUCCCUGGCUGGUGGAUCAUCGGAGAUGGACCUCUCCAUUCCAAACCAGUACGGCUCCAACCUGGGUUCGGUCACGUAGCCUCCGGUGCGGCUGGAGGCAGUGGUGGCCACCUCACAGCUGGCGGAGCCGCAGGAUGAGGUGCGCACCCCCAUCGCGGUGUCGGUGGACUCGCUGCCUCGCCACUCGCUCUCUCCAGCGCAAGGUGGUCGCGGCAGCGGCAAGCUCGGCGUGGUGAAGCAGCUCAAGAAGGUGGCGGUGCGCAAGGUGUGUGCGGAGGCGGGGAGUGCUGCGGAGAUCUUUGGGGCUCCGGCGACGCCGUGCCAGGCGGUGAUGGCCCUGGCGGCCCCGGCCCCCGCUCCGCUCGCGCAGGUGAUGUCCCAAUCGGCGCCGAUCCCCAAGGCCAAGCUCUCCAAGGCUGUGGUGGAGGGACAGGUGCCUCCCCUGCGGGUUAGUGCGCGCGCCAAGGGUGCCAAAGGCAACCUUCUUUCGCUCCAGCGCGCUCAACUCCUGCAAGCUCAGAAGAACUUGGAAACCUCAGGUAACCCCUUGCCGUGUUUUAUGAUUCUUGAUUCAUUUUCGGACAAACAUAUGGGUGAGGUUUUGGGGGAGAGCAGGGUGUAACUGAUGGGCGAUGGUGGGGUGACCGAGCUCAUCUCGUUGAUUCGCGCUAAGGAGCAGGCGCAGGCAGCGCUGGCAGCGGUGGCUGCUCAACACGCGGAACGCUUGGCACUGGAGGCUGAGCCCUCGUAGGUGCCAGCGAUCCAGCCCGAAGGGGAUAUGGCAACAUGGGUUGCUAUUCCCCCCUCGCCUCACUGCGGCAAGGUGAGGCGCGUGUCCAAGGCGAUCACCUCCAGGGGGGUGCGCCUUCGGAAUCGUGUUCAUUUGGAACAUUCGUGGCUUCGGUCACGCGGGUCGACGCACCCAAUUGAAGGAGUACAUUAGGAAGGAGUCGGUUGAUAUCGUAGGGGUUCAGGAAACGAUCAAAUCAGAACUACGGCAUCAGGACAUCCUAACGAUUGACCCCUUAGAGCGCUUUGUCUGGCACCAUAGCCCAGCGCACGGCCACUCCGGUGGCAUGCUGCUAGGAUUUUGUGGUGCCACUUAUGAAGUACUGACCUGGGAGGUUGGUACCUUCUUUCUUGCGGCCAGAAUCCGCGUGCGAGCGUCGCUUAGAGAGCUCGCGACCGUGCAAGUCUACGGACCAGCCGAUCAUUCCCAUUCGGCAGAGUUCUUGGGAGAAUUGGAAGCCAAGGUGCUGGAUCUUACUGCUGCACAGAUCCCGCUCAUGGUGGGAGGUGAUUUUAACCUGAUUCGCUCGGGCGCAGACAAAAACAAUGACAACAUUAACUGGUCAAGGGUGGCCAUGUUCAACAAUGCGAUUGCGUCUAUGGCACAUAGGGAAGUGGCUAGAACUGGGGCGAGAUUUACUUGGACUAACAAGCAACUCGCCCCGGUGCAAUCCGUCCUGGAUCGUGCCUUCAUGUCUCAGGACUGGGAAGUGGUGUUCCCACUGUGCUCGCUCCUUGCUGAAACAAGGAUCGGGUCAGACCAUGUACCCCUCAUUCUAUCUUCUGGGGAAGAUAGAAUCCACCUUAGCCCGCAUUUCUUUUUCGAAACUGCGUGGUUUGAGGUCCCUGAGUUUGAUGCCAUCUUUAGGGAGAGAUGGCUGAGGUGUGUGUCGUGGUUCUAAGCCUGACAGUAGAGUGGGGGGUAGGUAUGGAGAGGCAAGGUCCUAGCUAUGGAGAGGUUGUAAGCACAAAGGAUGUACGAGUUCAGGCCCUUCUCGGAAGAAGUAACAGCCCUACGUCUCGGAGCCCGGAGGCGGUCGAGUGGAUUAUGAAUGUAUGGAUUACAAGGUGCCGAACCCCUCUGCCUGUGGAGGGGGGUGGCUUAUAUAGAGUGCGCCAGGACCCCAGCCAGCCCACGUAGGAGAGGGUUUAAGGUGAGUUAAGUCUGGGGCGUUACUGGUAACACCCCACAUAAAGUGCCUUUACUAUCAUAAAGUCUACUUAAUUACAGGCCGUUGCGGUGCAGAGUGCCUCUUGACCUCCUGGUGGUCGAGUGAGUCUUCGUGGUCGAGUCCUUCAGGCCAGUCGAGUGAAUCCUCGUUGGUCGACUGGAAGGCGACCUCUUCUAGGGAUGUCCUAGGGUAAGUUACUUGGAACAGGUCCAUGACCCUACCCUAGGUACAUAACCCCAUCAUUAGCCCCCGAAUGGAUUGAGGCUUCGAGUGAAGAAGGAGUUGAUGUCGUUUCCGAUUAACCUUUGCGCUCUAGUUGUGCGCUGUUCUGGAUCAAAGAAUCUCUUCGUUGACAGGGAGCAAUUUGUCUUCGGUCGACUCGAUCCAUUCUAUUUUUGCGUCGAGUGAUCUUUCGAGCUUCGACGAUCUCCGAGCGACGCAUCGCCGGAAACACCGCGUCUGACAGACUGAUUUGUUGCUCGCGGAUUCCGCGGGGUGCGAAAUUUGGGGGCGCGCGCGAAGCGGGGCAGACCGCGGCGUUCGGAUGGGACGGGGCAUAGACGCCUCGAUCUCCGCGCCGCCUUUUUCGCCACGUAUCCAGUCCUCAUAACUGCUCCCAGAUAUGAUUAGAUCGACCGGGCCCACAUGUCAGCCACUCGGAAGGGACCUUAUAAAUGUGCCCGGCGAGGAUUUCUGUGCUGCGCCUCAGCAUUCUCCCUCUCUCCCUCUGCUUCCUUCCUCCCUGCUCAGCGUGCUCGCUCUCGCCCCCGCACCACUUCCCUUCGUGCAUCUCACCGGCGACCAUGGCCAAGGAGAAGACGGCGGCGCUGGAGCGUGCCAAGAAGGCGUCGGCAUCGGAGAAGGCGAAGGGGAGAUCCACCAGCCGCAGAGGGUCCUCAUCCAGAUCCCGCCUGCCGAAAGGCUGGGUCCAAGGAGACUGGAUCCAGUCGACCAUCACGGAGAAGGACCUCCUCGACAUGGCCAACGAGGGCUUGAUCCCUCACGGAGCUGCGAGGUUGCCGGGGAAGGAGUGGCAGCCACAGCCAGAAGAGGGUGAGUGUGUGCUUCUGGCCACUCAUGUUGAUCGUGGGUUUUCCUUGCCGCCAAGCAUUUUCUUCCGUGGCUUCUUGAAUUUCUUUGGAGCGCAGCUCCACCACUUUACCCCAAACUCCAUUGCCUAUCUUGCUGCAUUCGUGUCCAUGUGUGAGGGUUUCUUGGGCUGUCGACCGCACUGGGGUUUGUUCAAACGUAUCUUCACGUGUCGCUCUCAGACCGUGAAGAAGGCGAGCCCAGGUGAUGAGAAGACCCGCGUCGUCCAAAUGUGUGGGGGCCUGGGGAUUCAGGUGAGGAAUAAUAGCACCUUCCCGCCCAUGUCCUUUCCCGAGUCCGUCAGAGGCUGGCAGUCGACUUGGUUCUACUGUCAGGUCCAGUCGACGCCAGGGCAGUCGAGUGGACUCCCUCCGUUUACCAUGGACCGAGUGAACAAGCCCUCCCCUCUGAAGCUGAUUCCGGAGGAGAAAGCCGACGUGAAGAUGUUGAUGGAGCGCGUGGUGCAGUUGGUUCGGGAGGGGGUGACGGGCAUGGAUCUUCUGGAGGUCUUCCUCAGGCGUCGCAUCCAACCCCUUCAAUUCCGGAGCCACUGCAUGUGGUGGUACUGUGGGCCCGAAGACGAGACUAGAGUCCAUCCAGAAGAAGUCGACGACGCCACUCUGGAAAGAUGGAUGGUAGCCGUUACCGGAAACAGGGACAACCCGCGCGGAGCCAGAAUGAUUCCUCCACUCGACCACAACAGCGACCCAAACAAGGUACACUUGCUCUGCUUUCCAUUGUGUCCUUGUCGUAUUCAUUUCUGCUAACCCUGCCGACUGGUCGACUGAUCCUUGUUUGGGCAUCUGCUAGGCCUUCACCGAGCUGUACUCGAUGCCCAAUGGGGCACAAGCUUCGACUGAGGAAGGCGAGGCGAGCGGGGGCGAGGCGAGCGGGGGCGAGAGCCAGGAAGAGGAGGAAUGGGACUCGGAUGCUGCAGGGGAUGAUGACGACGAUGAUGAUGAUGAAGGUGAUGAAGAUGACAUCGAGGACGAGGAAGAAGAGGAGGAGGAGGUCGUUCCACCGCGCUCAGAAAGGCGGUCGAAGCUUGUCCACGACCCUUCGACCGAACGUGGUAAGGGGGUUGCGACCGCCACUCAGUCGACCAAGCGCCCUCGGACCACCUCUCCAGCGCCGACUGAAAAGGCGCCGAAGCAGCCCAGGGCGGCCUCAUCGAAGCCGACCAAGCUCCUGCCGAAGAUGAAGGUGUCCAUCCCCACCAUAUCAGGGUAAUUGUGUUGCUCAUAUUUUCUUAUUCUGUGUGAACUUUAUCUCUGGUCGACGCUGAGGUUAGUCGACUGAUCCUUUGGAGUUGCAGUGCUGCUACUUCUGAGACCUCGGCCCGGGCCGAUGACCACGAGAUGGAGGAUGCAGCAACUUCGAAUCCAGGUACUGUGUUCUUAAUACCAUUCUUAGUCGACUGACUCGCGAUCUCUGAUCCUGAUCCUUCUCCGCAGCUCCACCCAACACUGUUAUCGAUCUUCCUGAUGAUGAUGAGGAUGAAGAGCCGCUGAAGCACAGGAGGAGUCGGAAAGCGUCCGCCAGUAAGGUGCCUCAGGAUGUGCCGGCGCCUGAAAUUCUGACUGUGGAGGAAGAGAACACCACUCGACACACGGUGACCUUCGCGAAUCCACUGACGAGUGCUCAGCAGCCUUCCCUCUUCAUGACGCACCACGUCCCAGAGGACCAAGCUGGCGCAGCGAAGGAGGCGAUACGCCAGGCGGGACUCAUGAUGGAGCAGCUGAAGACCAUCCGGGACGCAAGCCAGGCAGCUUAUGACGCCAGUUCUGCCCUCCAAAGCAAUGUCCAGGUCAGUCGACCGCUGUUUGUUCUGUUGGAUAUGCUACCAAAAACUUUUCUUUUCCGGAAUUUAUAUUAGUCACCCACUGGGUGUGUCGAAUAAACUCCGUGUUAGCGGGGGCACGCUGAGUGCACCCGCUGGGUGUAGUCCCCAAGGCUAAGGUCGACUGCUGGCAGUCGGCCUUAGGCUUUAUGAUGUCAAUCUUUCUGUCAGUCGACUGGUCGACUGGAUUUCGCAAACCGGUGGGGGCACGCUGAGUGCACCCACUGGGUGUAGUCCCCAAGGCUAAGGUCGACUGCUGGCAGUCGGCCUUAGGCUUUAUGAUGUCAAUCUUUCUGUCAGUCGACUGGUCGACUGGAUUUCACAAACCGGUGGGGGCACGCUGAGUGCACCCACUGGGUGUAGUCCCCGAGACUGUGGUCGACUGCUUGCAGUUGAUCACAGUCUUAGAGAAUGCGUCUCGCACACUGUUUUUUUUUGAGGUCGACUGGUCGACUUUGUCUUCAACAGGAUUAGUGGGGGCACGCUGAGUGCACCCACUGGGUGUAGUCCCCGAGACUACGGUCGAAUGCUUGUAUUCGGCUGUAGUCUCAGAAACGUGUGUUUUUCCCUUUUUCACUCGGAAGUGAGUUACAUUUGACGUUUAGUUGAUUGGUUCUUCGCAGAACUCUUGUGAUCUUGUGGCUCGCUACUCAGAGCUGGAACAAAAACAUACUCAAGUCGAGCUGAGCUUGAAGCUGGUUCAGGAGAAGCUGACAAAGGCAAAGGAGGAGACCGAAGGUAUGUUUGGUGAGACCCUGACGACUGCUUUUCCCCUUGCUUGUUUCGGCAUCUGAUCUCGCUGUAACUUGCAGGUAAGGUAAGGGAGGCCCAGCAGAAGAAAGACCUUGAGCUAGCUGAGAAGAUCAAGCUUGCUGACGAGAAGUUAGCUUCAGUCACCAAGCUCGAACAAGACAAUACCAAUCUGAAAACUGCUCUUGGGAUUGCCAACAAGGAAGUCAGUCGACUGAGAACUGACAAAGCUGCCUUGACCGACCAAGUCAGCAAAUUGACUGAGAAGAAAAUUGAACUGGAGGCCUUCCUGAGUGGCCUUGCCAAGAAGCUGUUUCUGAUGCUUGAAGGUAAACCUCCAUGUUUGGCAAAUAUUUCCAACUGUGGCUUCUUCCAUUCGACUAUCCCCUUGACUUAGUGACCACCCUUGCAGAAUUUUGUCAAAACUUUGAAGAGGAAACCAGCCGACUGGAGCCAAACCUUGACCCCGUCAAUUCUCCGGUGAACGACGAAGUUGCCAUGGAUGUUUUCCGACUGGAGUCUCGUGUCGCAGCUGUCGUGGACUAUCUCGCAAGGCUGAAGGCCGCCACAUCUCGCAUCGACUCGACGCUCUGGCCUGAGGAGACACUUCAGAAUGACCUUGAGUCGCUGAUGGCCCGCUUGAACACGAUCCCUGGUUGAGUGCAGGAGUGGAAGAAGUCCUCGGCUCGGUGUGGUGCAGAUGUCGCUCUGUGUCUGGCCCGAGUCCACUGCAAAGAUGCACGAGAGGAGAAGCUGGCGGCCCUUCGGGUGGCCAAUACCAAGAAGCACGACUUUAGGUCCUUUAUGGAGACUUUCCUUGCAGCUGCCACUCGGAUCGCCGACGGAAUUGACCUUGAUGAAUUUGUUGCACCUUCCAGCCCUCCACAGGAGGGGUAAAAAACUUCUUCUGGCUCGACACUUUAAAUUUGCCUCGGUAUGCCGAGUGGAAUUGUAACCGACAAACCUUAACAGGCUUGACGCCCGAGCACUUUCGGUUCCUUUAGAUAUCGAUUCAAACUUGAAUUUGGCGCUUGAAUAUGAUUGCCUUCGGCUCGGAAUGUCUUUUGCAGGUUCAAAGCAAGGUGCCUGUACCGCAAUCGACUUAUUCUUUAGUCCACUUAGGCGAGCACUGGGCUGCAGCUAAGCCUCCGAGUGAGAGGGUCGCUCUUCACUCGGUAGGAUUUUUGUAACUUAGGCGAGCGCAGGGCUGCAGCUAAGCCCCCGAGUGAGAGGGUUGCUCUCCACUCGGUAAGAUUUUUAUAACUUAGGCGAGCACGACGCUGCAGCUAAGCCUCCGAGUGGAAGGCUGGCUUACCACUCGGUAGGAUUUUGAUAACUUAGGCGAGCACGAGGCUGCAGCUAAGCCCCCGAGUGAGAGGAUCGCUCUUCACUCGGUAGGAUUUUCACAACUUAGGCGAGUGCUUGGACUGCAGCUAAGCCCCCGAGUGAGAGGGUUGCUCUUCACUCGGUAGGAUUUUUAUAACUUAGGCGAGCACGAGGCUGCAGCUAAGCCUCCGAGUGAGAGGGUUGCUCUUCACUCGGUAGGAUUUUUAUAACUUAGGCGAGCCCUUGGACUGCAGCUAAGCCCCCGAGUGGAAGGCUGGCUUACCACUCGGUAGGAUUUUCACAACUUAGGCGAGUGCUUGGACUGCAGCUAAGCCCCCGAGUGAAAGGCUGGCUUACCACUCGGUAGGAUUUUGAUAAACUUAGGCGAGUGCUUGGACUGCAGCUAAGCCCCCGAGUGGAAGGCUGGCUUACCACUCGGUAGGAUUUUGAUAAACUUAGGCGAGUCCUUGGACUGCAGCUAAGCCCCCGAGUGGAAGGCUGGCUUACCACUCGGUAGGAUUUUGACAAACUUAGGCGAAACGGAUUCGCAGCUAAGCCUCCGAGUGAGAGUCUGGCUCACCACUCGAUAGGAUUUUUACAAACUUAGGCGAAACGGAUUCGCGGCUAAGCCACCCACUGAGGGGGAGUUUUUAUGUGGACAAAAAUAAAAAGUGAUGACACAAUUAUUUCUAAACCCAUGAACUACAGAAGUACUUUAUUGCAACUCAUCCGAGUGAUAAAACUUAAGUGUAAAAUGGGCGGAGUAGCUCCGCGUUCCAAGCUCGGGGCUCGUCGAUAUUAUGCUCGACGUUGUAAAGACGGUACGCCCCGUUGUGGAGAACCUUGGUGACGAUGAAGGGACCUUCCCAAGAAGGAGCAAGCUUGUGUGGUUUGUGCUGAUCCACUCGGAGAACCAAAUCCCCUUCCUGGAAGGCUCGACCUCUCACAUUUCGGGCGUGGAAACGGCGCAGAUCUUGUUGGUAGAUGGUCGACCGGAUCAGAGCCAUCUCCCUUUCUUCCUCUAAAAGGUCGACUGCGUCCUGCCGCGCUUGUUCAGCUUCUGCUUCGUUGUAGAUUUCGACUCGAGGAGCAUUGUGGAGAAGAUCACUCGGCAAGACUGCUUCGGCUCCAUAGACCAAGAAGAAUGGAGUUCUUCUGGUCGACCGAUUGGGCGUGGUCCGCAGUCCCCAGAGUACAGAUGGAAGUUCGUCGACCCAAGCUCCAGCCGCGUGUUUGAGAUCACGCAUCAGUCGCGGCUUCAGUCCCUUGAGAAUCAGUCCAUUAGCUCGCUCUGCUUGCCCAUUCGACUGCGGAUGGGCGACUGAUGCGUAGUCGACCCGUGUGCCCUGGGAGUUGCAGAAGGUUCUGAAUUCCUCUGAGUCAAAGUUCGACCCAUUAUCCGUAAUGAUGCUGUGCGGGACUCCAUAUCUGAAUAUUAGUUCCCUGAUGAAGCUAACAGCAGUACCGGUGUCGAGGCUCUUGAUUGGUUUAGCCUCGAUCCACUUGGUGAACUUGUCGACUGCCACCAGUACAUGCGUGAAGCCACUUCGUCCUGUUCUCAAAGGGCCGACCAUGUCCAGCCCCCAAACUGCAAAAGGCCAGACGAGUGGGAUGGUCUUCAAAGCUGACGCAGGUUUGUGCGACAUAUUCGAGUAGAACUGACAUCCCUCGCACUUAUCCACUAUCUCCUUUGCCAUCUCAUUCGCCUUGGGCCAGUAAAAUCCGGCUCGGUAUGCUUUGGCCACGAUGGUCCGGGAGGACGCAUGAUGACCACAGGUCCCCGAGUGAAUAUCAUUGAGGAUGAGUCGACCUUCUUCUGGUGUUAUGCACUUCUGACCGACUCCAGUCGUGCUCUCUCUGUAUAAUUGUCCUUUGAUGACCGUAAAGGCCUUAGAUCGACGGACGAUCUGUCGAGCCUCUUCCUCAUCCUCCGGAAGCUCUUUCCUCAAGAUAUAUGCGACAUACGGAAUCGUCCAGUCGGGAAUGACUAUCAAAACCUCCAUGAUCAAGUCGACCACUGCUGGGACUUCAACCUCAGUCGGAUCUGUGGCACUCUUGGGCUGCGGAGUUUCUUCGGUGAAAGGAUCUUCUUUGACUGACGGAGUAUGUAUAUGCUCCAAGAACACACCACUCGGAAUGGCUUCUCUCUUGGAACCUAUCUUUGCUAGAUCAUCAGCUGCUUGAUUUUUCAGUCGGGGUAUAUGAUGGAGCUCCAACCCCUCGAACUUUUUCUCCAGCUUCCUCACUACACUGCAGUAUCCAGUCAUGGCUGGGCUUCUCACGUCCCACUCUUUCAUCACCUGAUUGACCACUAAAUCCGAGUCGCCAUAGACCAUUAGGCGACGGACGCCGAGUGAAAUGGCCAUGCGCAACCCAUAUAGGAGGGCCUCAUAUUCUGCCUCAUUGUUGGAGGAAUCAAAGUGAAUCUGGAGCACAUAUCUGAGCUUAUCUCCUCUGGGGGAAACCAGGACAACCCCAGCACCGGAACCAUUCAACAUCUUAGAACCAUCAAAAAACAUGGUCCAAUGCUCCGAGUGAACUUCAGUCGGCUGCUGCUGUUCGAUCCACUCGGCGAGGAAAUCUGCUAUUGCCUGGGACUUAAUGGCUUUCUUUGCCUCAAACUUGAUAUCAAGGGGAAGAAGUUCAAUCGCCCAUUUGGCCACUCGACCAGUUGCAUCUCUGUUGUGCAAAAUCUCUGAUAGUGGAGCGUCGCUGACGACUGUGAUUGAAUGGUCAGAGAAAUAAUGAGCAACCUUCUUUGUGGUCAUGUAUAUUCCAUACACAAGCUUCUGAUAAUGAGGAUAUCUCUGCUUGGAUGGAGUCAAGACUUCAGACAAAUAAUACACUGGGCGCUGAACUUUGAGAGCUUUUCCUUCUUCUUCCCGCUCGACCGUUAGCACAGUACUNNNNNNNNNNNNNNNNNNNNNNNNNNNNNNNNNNNNNNNNNNNNNNNNNNNNNNNNNNNNNNNNNNNNNNNNNNNNNNNNNNNNNNNNNNNNNNNNNNNNNNNNNNNNNNNNNNNNNNNNNNNNNNNNNNNNNNNNNNNNNNNNNNNNNNNNNNNNNNNNNNNNNNNNNNNNNNNNNNNNNNNNNNNNNNNNNNNNNNNNNNNNNNNNNNNNNNNNNNNNNNNNNNNNNNNNNNNNNNNNNNNNNNNNNNNNNNNNNNNNNNNNNNNNNNNNNNNNNNNNNNNNNNNNNNNNNNNNNNNNNNNNNNNNNNNNNNNNNNNNNNNNNNNNNNNNNNNNNNNNNNNNNNNNNNNNNNNNNNNNNNNNNNNNNNNNNNNNNNNNNNNNNNNNNNNNNNNNNNNNNNNNNNNNNNNNNNNNNNNNNNNNNNNNNNNNNNNNNNNNNNNNNNNNNNNNNNNNNNNNNNNNNNNNNNNNNNNNNNNNNNNNNNNNNNNNNNNNNNNNNNNNNNNNNNNNNNNNNNNNNNNNNNNNNNNNNNNNNNNNNNNNNNNNNNNNNNNNNNNNNNNNNNNNNNNNNNNNNNNNNNNNNNNNNNNNNNNNNNNNNNNNNNNNNNNNNNNNNNNNNNNNNNNNNNNNNNNNNNNNNNNNNNNNNNNNNNNNNNNNNNNNNNNNNNNNNNNNNNNNNNNNNNNNNNNNNNNNNNNNNNNNNNNNNNNNNNNNNNNNNNNNNNNNNNNNNNNNNNNNNNNNNNNNNNNNNNNNNNNNNNNNNNNNNNNNNNNNNNNNNNNNNNNNNNNNNNNNNNNNNNNNNNNNNNNNNNNNNNNNNNNNNNNNNNNNNNNNNNNNNNNNNNNNNNNNNNNNNNNNNNNNNNNNNNNNNNNNNNNNNNNNNNNNNNNNNNNNNNNNNNNNNNNNNNNNNNNNNNNNNNNNNNNNNNNNNNNNNNNNNNNNNNNNNNNNNNNNNNNNNNNNNNNNNNNNNNNNNNNNNNNNNNNNNNNNNNNNNNNNNNNNNNNNNNNNNNNNNNNNNNNNNNNNNNNNNNNNNNNNNNNNNNNNNNNNNNNNNNNNNNNNNNNNNNNNNNNNNNNNNNNNNNNNNNNNNNNNNNNNNNNNNNNNNNNNNNNNNNNNNNNNNNNNNNNNNNNNNNNNNNNNNNNNNNNNNNNNNNNNNNNNNNNNNNNNNNNNNNNNNNNNNNNNNNNNNNNNNNNNNNNNNNNNNNNNNNNNNNNNNNNNNNNNNNNNNNNNNNNNNNNNNNNNNNNNNNGCAUGUCAGCGGGCUUCCAUGCAAAAAUGUCCCAGUUCUCACGGAGGAACUGGAUGAGCGCUUCUUCCUAUUUUGGGUCGAGUGUUGUGGAGAUGCGGGUCGGAGCUGCUUCGGGGUCGGUCGGGUGAAUGUGAACAGGCUUCGUCUCACCGGACGACUGGAAUGCAGAUUCUGCGGCGGGCUUCUUGGAUCGCAGCAAGUCACUCGGAUCUGCGUUUUGCUUGUAUUCUUCGAACUCGACCGCUGUCACUUGGGAAUCGGCAAUUUUGGAGCCCUUCUGAAAGCACUCCUCUGCCUUUUUCCUAUCACCGGUGACAGUGAUCACACCUUUGGGACCGGGCAUCUUCAAUUUGAGGUACACGUAACAUGGUCGAGCCAUGAACCGUGCAUAGGCUGGUCUCCCCAAAAUGGCAUGAUAUGCACUUUGAAAAUCCACGACCUCAAACGUCAACUUUUCUUUGCGAAAAUGCUUUGAAUCGCCAAACACUACGUCCAAAGCUAUCUGGCCGAGUGACUCGGCCUUCUUCCCUGGUAUAACUCCAUGGAAGCUCAUGUUACUAGUGCUCAGUCGGGAUAUCGGAAUGCCCAUACCUUUCAACGUGUCUGCAUAUAACAGAUUCAGCCCACUUCCACCGUCCAUCAGCACCUUUGUCAGUCGAGUGCCUUCGACAACUGGAUCGACCACCAAAGCUUGCCUCCCAGGGGUGGCAAUAUGAGUCGGGUGAUCAGAUUGGUCGAAUGUGAUGGGUGUUUGAGACCACUUCAGAUAAUUUGCCUUUGCUGGGGCAACCAUGUUAACCUCUCAGUUAAUCACUUUCAGUCGACUUCUGCUUUCCACAUCUGCGAAGAUCAUCAGAGUGGAGUUGAUAUGCGGAUAUCCUCCCUCACUGUCCUCUUUGUCUUCGGCCUUGUCCGGCUCCUUCUCCUUGUCCUUAGACUGUUUUCCCUGAAACUGCUGGAUCAGGAGUCGACAUUGGCGAGUGGUGUGCUUUGGGUAAAUGAUAUUCCCCUCUUCAUCUUUCUUCGUGUGAAUAUGACACGGCAUAUCCAUCACGUCGUUCCCUUCUUUAUCCUUUACCUUCUUGGGGUUCCAGGAUCCUUUUGGUUUCCCCUUAAACUUUCCUUGAGUCACGGCCAGAGCCUCUCCAGGAGCUGCCGGUUCAGCCUUCCGCUUCUGUUUCCGACUGGUGUUUCCUUUUUCCGACUGACUCGGCUUGUGCUUGCCGCUUCGGAGUCGGUCUUCUUCUUCGCCGUUGGCAUACUUGGUAGCAAUCUCCAUCAUCCGACUCAAGGUCAUGUCACCGGUUCGACCAAAUUUCAAACUCAGUUCUCUGUUCUUGACGCCGUCUUUGAAGGCGCAUACUGCCUGAUGAUCAGAGACAUUUUCCACAGUGUGGUGCAAAGUGAUCCACCUCUGAAUAUACUCUCUGAGAGUCUCAUUAGUUUUCUGCACGUAGACUUGCAACUCUAUCAAUCCCGCUGGUCGCUUGCAAGUCCCUUCAAACGUUCUGACGAACACUCGGGACAGAUCUUCCCAAGUGUAAAUGCUGCUAGGAGGUAAUUGAGUCAACCAUGCCCUGGCAGAACCUUCCAACAUGAGGGGCAAAUGCUUCAUGGCCACCUCGUCGUUCCCACCACCGAUCUGAACUGCCACUCGGUAGUCUUCAAGCCAAGUUUUAGGCUUAGACUCACCAGUGAACUUGCUGACUCCUGUUGCCAACCUGAAAUUGGGGGGGAUAACUGCGGCUCUGAUAGCUCUGCUGAAACAUUCAGGACCAGAAACAUGUACUCGACUGCUCGUGGGUACAUCUCUGUCGAGUGCGCCUCGAUGGGCUCUGUUCCGGUCGACCAACCCUUGCACGAUAAUGGAUCGCGCGUCGAAGCCUGGCUCUCUGGGGUCAACUGGAACCCUACGCCCUGUACUGUACUGAUGCCUAUCAUCUGGCUGCCGAGGAGCGUAAGACCCACCCCUCGGAGGGGAAUAGGGCACUCGACGCCUAUCAUCUCGGUCGAGUCUGUCGCCAUAUUGAUCUCGCCGAUUCUCACGCCCUUCGCGCCGCGGAGGCGAUCUGGGGCUGUGAGCCGACUGAACCGUAUUCACAGUGACAGAUCGACUGUGAAUUCUGUUGCGCGACUGAGACACGGCUGAAUUCUGAUCUCCUGCUGCCCGGAGCAGAUCCCUGAUCUGCAGCAAACCUCUGCCAGCUUCCGACUGCGAAGGCUGAAUGGACUCUGCUAUACGGGUCGCAGCUGCUAAAUUCUGAAUUGGGGUUCGAUAUACCUGAGUCGGCGGGAAGAGUUGACGUCGACUGAUGUCGGGAACUCGUUGCCGCGCGCGCUCGUCGAGUGCUCGCUGAAGGUUCUCCAGUCGAGUGCGCUCGGCCAAAUUGGCCAGACGCGCCUCCUCCAAGGCACGAGCCUCGGGGGUUUCUCCUGCGAUGGGAAUACGCAGGGGAUCCUCGUUCCUGCGGCGAAGCUCUUCUCUUUGCAGAGAGUCGAGUGGCUCGGGCUGGUACUCUUCGUAGCCUCGUGCAGGGUCGCCGCCGUCGCCUGCUCCACCACCACGGGCGAAGCCAGGAGGACUGUGGGGCCCGUCGACCAUCAAGAUUUCCGCCGCUGGAUCACUGCUUCCGCACUCGGAUGCAGUCUCUCCGGAGCCAGUCGACUGAUCGAACAAGCCGUAGAGAGAUUCGUUGGGCUCGAUUGCCGCAACUUGUGUAGUGGCCGACUGGCGAGCCACCGCGUGACUCACCCAUCGCUGAAGCCUCGACCGGCCUGAGCGCUUGCGCUGGCGGGAGACCGGGAGGGUGGAAGAUGGAGGAGCCGACCGAUACUGGGUCAAUGGUUGCCGCAGCAGAACGCCGCGGACACAUGCGCGAAAAUGCGUCGCACCGCGGACGGGGAGCGCAUCUACGUCGAGUGGAGCCUCCUGGAGCCAUGCGGAGUCGUCGGCGAUGAAGGCGAGAGCGCCGAGACGGAUCUCUUGACCCUCGACCAAAAUUCCAGCAGACACCAUGAUGACAGUACUCGGAAGAAUCGCAACUUCUCCACAAAAUCGCUAAAACACCUGCCCCACGGUGGGCGCCAACUGUCGUGGUUCUAAGCCUGACAGUAGAGUGGGGGGUAGGUAUGGAGAGGCAAGGUCCUAGCUAUGGAGAGGUUGUAAGCACAAAGGAUGUACGAGUUCAGGCCCUUCUCGGAAGAAGUAACAGCCCUACGUCUCGGAGCCCGGAGGCGGUCGAGUGGAUUAUGAAUGUAUGGAUUACAAGGUGCCGAACCCCUCUGCCUGUGGAGGGGGGUGGCUUAUAUAGAGUGCGCCAGGACCCCAGCCAGCCCACGUAGGAGAGGGUUUAAGGUGAGUUAAGUCUGGGGCGUUACUGGUAACACCCCACAUAAAGUGCCUUUACUAUCAUAAAGUCUACUUAAUUACAGGCCGUUGCGGUGCAGAGUGCCUCUUGACCUCCUGGUGGUCGAGUGAGUCUUCGUGGUCGAGUCCUUCAGGCCAGUCGAGUGAAUCCUCGUUGGUCGACUGGAAGGCGACCUCUUCUAGGGAUGUCCUAGGGUAAGUUACUUGGAACAGGUCCAUGACCCUACCCUAGGUACAUAACCCCAUCAGUGUGUCCAACUCGCUGGCCAGCAACACGGCCCGAUGGAGUUCUGGAUCAUGGUGGGGGCCCGCCUUCGCGCUAGCCUAAAGGGGUAGGGCCCAAACCAGGGGCGUGCCGACAAGAUCCUCAGGGAGAGGGUGAUGGCCGAAAUUGCCCUCCUAGAUAUCCAAGCGGACUCUCGACCAUUCUCUGAGCAAGAAUGGGCGCAGCGCUACGCCUUGGAAGGACAAGUUGAAGCACUGCUGCGGGCAGAGGAGGAAUACUGGAGGCGUAGAGGAGGCCUUAAGUGGACGCUCAAAGGGGAUGCGAACACGCAGUAUUUCCAUGCAUAUGCGAAUGGCCGACGCAGAAAAUGCUCAAUCGUUAGGCUGCAGAUGGAGCAGGGGCUGCUGCUGCAGCAAGCGGAGAUCUCCCGCCACAUCUAUGACUUCUAUAUGAGUCUGAUGGGGACGGAAGAGGCACAACACGCGCGCUUGCGUGAGGAUGUGUGGCUUCCUUCUCAACGGGUGUUAGAUAGUGAGAACGAGGAGCUGGGGCUUGCGUUCCUCCCUAAGGAAAUCGACGACGCCCUGCUUAGCAUGAAAUCCGACACGACCCCUGGCCCGGACGGGUGGCCGGUGGCGAUGUUCAAGCAUUUUUGGCCACUUCUACUUGGUCCAAGUUUUGAUGUGUGCAACGACUUUAUGCGCGGCUUCGUGGACAUAGCUAGACUUAAUUAUGGAGUGCUCUCGCUAAUUCCGAAAGUGUUGGGCGCGGACAACAUUCGCCAGUACAGACCCAUUGCACUCAUUAAUGUUCCGUUCAAAAUAUGUGCUAAAGGUUGUGCCACCAGACUCUCGCCGAUCGCUCAUCGCACUAUUAGUCGCUCGCAGUCAGCGUUUAUUCGCGGUAGGAACAUUCUAGAGGGUCCGUUAGCCUUGCAAGAAACCCUACACGAGCUUAGACGCACUCACGAACCAGCGAUACUCUUGAAACUUGAUUUCGAGAAAGCUUAUGACCGCGUCAACUGGGAUUUUCUCCGGCAGGUCCUCUCCAGUAGGGGCUUCUCGCCGGUUUGGGUCCAUCGAGUCAUGCAAUUGGUCUCGGGGGGCCAAACUACGGUCUCGGUUAACGGAGAAGUAGGUAACUUCUUCAGGAACAAGCGUGGAUUGCGCCAAGGCGAUCCAAUGUCACCUCUUUUGUUAAACUUCGUCACCGACGCGCUGGCCGCCAGGUUGCGAAAGGCUGCGGAGGCUGGUCACAUAAAAGGGGUGCUGGGGCACCUCAUCCCAGGGGGGAUAUCCCACUUGCAAUACGCGGACGAUACGUUUUACUGUUCCAACCUGACCAGCAUAGCAUUGCAACGGUCAAAGCCCUGCUUAUUAGUUUCGAACUCAUGUCGGGUCUUAAAAUUAAUUUCCACAAAUGCGAAGUGAUGGCUAUGGGCAUGGACGCGCUGGAUAGUAGGCGCGUUGCGGACUUGCCGAACUGCAAUCUAGGCAAGCUCCCGUUUACUUAUUUGGGUCUUCCGUUAGACGCAAAGCGUAUCACAAUCGAUGGCUGGGCUCCGCUUUGGACAAAGGUGGGAGGGCGGGUGUGCCCGUGGAGGGGAAAGUUCCUUUCCUCCGCGGCUAGGCUGAUUCUCAUGAAUGCAGGCCUCUCCUUGCUGCCGCAAUUCGCUAUGGGGCUUUUGCUCUUGGCAGAAGGGGUUCAUGCCAAGAUGGACACACCCCGGUCCCGUUUCUUUUGGGAAGUAGCGGGCCCCAAGCGCAAAUACCACAUGGUUCGAUGGGAUGCGGUGUGCCGCCCGAAGGCAGAGGGAGGGCUUGGGAUCACAAACACCAGAAUCCUAAACAUCGCACUGAUGUGUAAGUGGAUUUGGAAGCUGUCGCAGGGGGCGACGGGCCUGUGGGUGGAUAUACUCCGUUCUAAGUAUUUCCCGUCUGGGAAUUUUUUCGAAGGAGUGGCGAGAGGUUCCCCCUUCUGGAAUGACCUCCAAGCGGUGCGGCCGGCCUUCGCCCUGGGAGACAAGUUCUCCAUCGGCAAUGGUCGGUCGGCCCGGUUUUGGUUGGAUCGCUGGGUGGGAUCCCAACCCCUUUGGUCGGAAUUCCAGGAUCUCUAUGUUCAGGCGGUCAACCCGGAGAUGAGCGUUGCUUCGGCGCUUGCCUCCUCUCCACCAGCGAUCUGCUUCCGGCGCGAGCUUUCGGGCACCGAACAAGAUCACCUUGCGGAGCUGCUUAGCCUCAUCGCGCCGGUUUCGCUUUCAUCGUCUGAUGACACCGUGCACUGGUCUCUGACCCCUUCCGGCAAGUUUUCGGUCAAGUCUUUGUACCGGAAGUUGUGCGAGUGCCAGGCCUGCUUAGUGCCGAAGGGUCUAUGGACUGCUCGCCUCCCGCUUAAAAUUAAGGUGUUCUUUUGGCAGCUGUUUCACAACAGACUGCCCACCUCGGCUAAUGUGGCUAAACGCAAAGGCCCGUUGUCCGGUCUAUGUGUGGUUUGUAAUGUCGUGGAGGAUGCGAACCACGUUUUCUUCCGCUGUCCGUUAGCUUGCUUCGCUUGGAGCGCGGUUCGCACUGCAGCUAACACUUCCUAGAACCCGCGUUCUGCCACUGAUCUAGCGGCCAUCGUCGCGGCCACUAAAGGUGGCAACAACCGCGUGCUGUGGAGUUGUCUCGGAGCCUUGGCUUGGUCUCUCUGGCUAACCAAGAACAAACUAGCGAUUGAAGGAAUCUUCCCAACGCACCCGACUAAUAUCAUCUAUAAAUGCAACCUUUUCCUGCAGCAGUGGAGUCCGUUGGCGAGGCGCAAGGAUGCUGAGAAGCUGAAGCAUGCCCAAGACCGUCUGCGUCAAGUCUACGUUUUGGCUAGGGAGCCUCUCGCCACAUCCGCGCCUGGAUAGUGGCCCUUUUGACGUGCUCGCGUGAGCCUGCGUGCUCUGAGCUCUGGCUUCGUGCCAUGUAAUCGUUUAGAUGCGAACUCCGUUUGGUCCGGUCCAAAAUUGCCGUGAACUAUGUGUUGGCGCCGGUCGUGAGCCUCUGCGCUCGUCCGUAUGUUUCGAGUCUAUGUCUGAUACGCUGCCUAGUUGUGGGCUUUAUUAAUUUAAAGCCGGACGCGCCCAGCGUCUUCGUUCUAAAAAAAAUCUAGAGGGGCGUGUCGCUCCUGUCUUUCUUCUUUGUAUUGCUUUGCUUUUCGUUGUGGUUGAUUACAAGGGGCUGCCACAUGUAUAUAUAGCAGGCUAGACUAGCUCGUUACAUGACCGACACGGCUAGGAAUCAUAAUCCUAGUUGGACUACUAAUCCCAAUUGGACACAAGGUGUGCUUAUGUCUAACAUUCACCCACUAAGCACAACUUUCUUGUUACCACCUGGAUCCCAAACGCGACUGUUGCUACUCAUAGGCAUUGCUUUUGCCGUUUCUUAUAGCACUUCAGGGAUCAUCAUUCUUGUCGUCGGCUCGUCCAUAGCUUGGUGCCAACGCUCCUUCUUGAUCGUGUCUUCAACCUUCACCCGUUCUUCGGUGUUUGGUAGACCGUCUUUCGGAUCGUCGAGGAAACAUCCUUUGGAUCCGAGCAAGACCAAACUUUGGUCUAACUUUGAGUCCCAAGCUCUUGGCGCUUGCUUCAGCCCGUAAAGUGCCUUCUUGAGCUUGUAAACUUUCCGUUCUUCUCCUUUCUUCUCGUAGCCGAGGGGUUGUUCCACGUACACUUUUUCUGUGAGGUCACCGUUGAGGAAAUCGGAUUUCACAUCCAUAUGAUGAACCUUCCAAUCCUCUUGUGCCGUCAAAGCUAGGAGCACUCUCACCGUCUCGAUUCGAGCAACCGGUGCAAACACCUCCUCAUAGUCAACUCCUUAACGUUGUACGUAGCCCUUUGUGACGAGUCUUGCCUUGUGCUUCACAAUGGCACCAUUCGUGUCCUUCUUCAACUUGUAAACCCAAUUCAAACCUAUGGCCUUUUGGUUCGGAGGUCGGGUUACCAAAGUCCACGUGCCAUUGCUCUCGAUCGCCUUAAUCUCCUCAUCCAUGGCUGCUACACAUAUAUAUAUAUAUAGCAGGCUAGACUAGCUCGUUACACGACCGACACGGCUAGGAAUCAUAUCCUACUUGGACUACUAAUCCCAAUCGGACACAAGGUGUGCUUAUGUCUAACAACGAGGAGGUCGAUGGGCGCGCCGGCCCACGCGGAUGGGGGCGCGGGGGAAGGUCGCUGGUGGCCGUGACCAACUGCGUGGCGGUGGUGCCAGAGAGUUUGGGGGCAUCCUCUUCCAGCCCCCGGCGAGUUCUAAGCAGAUGCAGGGCCUGGAUCGACGGCGACGGGCCGAUGGCGAACAGGGUCGAAGAGGAGGAGAAGGGACCGGCGACCUGGAGUUGGCGGGGACGGGGACGAGGCCUCUCCCUGUACAUCGAGGAGAUGGGUGUGUCUCCGAUGGGAAGGGGAUGCAGCGACGAGGUGGAUCUACAUAGAAGAUGUAUAGGUCUAAGAAGAUGAAUAUGACAUGUGGGCCCCACUGGUCCGUGUGAUUAGUGUGUGAAUCCGGCCGGGAUCAUCCUUUUCCCGGUGCGCCAAACAUUUAUUUAGCAAAAUCAGCCGGGACAGACCCGGAUUAUAGAAUAUAGGGUGCUAGUUUCAGGGAUUUAAAAGUCAAGGUUCAAUUCAGACUAUGAGUACGAGUUUAAGGUUUAUUUUAGACUUUUCCCUUAUAUAUUUGUUUUCCCUAUGUCCAUUUACUUCCCUUUAUGCCAUCUUCAUUCAUCCGUUCGUCCUUUCCUACCCCUUCGCUAAUUUAAUGCAUCAUUCUUUUGAUGAAAAAUUGAUACAUUUUCCCCAACUUUUAUGGUUCAAAUACUGCUUCCUCCUGUUCAUUCUAUAUUCAUUUUCCUUCUCUGCAAUAAUUUUCCUUUAUGUAAUGUCCACUCAAUACCUCCUCCCCUGCAAUUAUUUGCCUUUCCUGCUCUUAUGUGAAUGAUGCCGCUCCUUUCCUGCCAAUUUUUCUUUCCCCUAAACCUGCAAGUUUCUUAUGCGAUGCCAUGUCGCGAACCAAACAAAGGAGACCUGCCUGCAUCUGAUCUUCUAUAAUUCAGAAUAAGGAGGGUGGUAUAUAUGAUCACAUGAUCGAAACAUUUAUGAUUUCUUCUGUUUCGUGAUCCACAUACUAUAUAUAUGUAUGCAAUACAUGUUGAGUUUUUCUAAACUGAAAAUGGCUCCUCCACCAUGAACAGGUACCAUGGGGUUUGACUAAUGUAUCAUCAAAGAUUUUUUUUUGAACCGGGCUAAUCAAUCAAGGAAUGUGGAGCUAGGUUUGGACUUAUAACUCUAUCCUCUCGUACAGUAUGGUAAACUUGGGGUACUACCUGAAUGAAGCUUCAUCAUUCGCCUGCUUACAGGCGCUGUUGCUCCUUAAUUCAGACAGUGCUGUCGAAGUCACUCUUCUCCAGGCGCCCACGCCCACGCUCCCACGCACGUCGACUUCGCCCUCGCUUGCACGUACGGCGUGAUCGCCACGAUCUGUUGUAACGAUAACUCUCUCCUCCCUCUGUACUCCUCGUGUAUAUAAACACGCCCCCUGUACCUGAGUUGAACAUAGACAGAGUUUAUCCAUCUUACUUGGUAUCAGACGUCCACCGACUCCUCCCUCGCUUCCGCCAUGAGCUUCCGACGUCCACUCCGUCGCACUCGUUCUUUCGGGGACGCCGACGCGCCCUUCAUCCUUCCCUGCGUCGCCCCUGAGCCAGCACCGGCCGCACCGGCGCCCGUCGCCCGUCCUGCGCGGCCUUUUGCCGCGGCACCGGUCUCCCCCAACGCUCGCGCCCUGCGCCAGCCCCCCGUCGCCGCGGCCCCUCCUCUGCGUGCCCUGCGGCGCAACCCUCGGGCUCUCGCCCUCGCUCCACCCUAGGUUCCCGUCGCCCCUGCCCAUCCAUGCAUCAUGUUAACAUCUCUUCCUACAUCCCGUUCAAGCUGUCCCUGGACUCCGGGAACUACUCGAAGUGGAGGCAGCUGCUCUGGUUCGUCCUGUGCAAGUACCAGGCCGAGGACCACGUCCUGGAGGAGGCUAAACCGCUGCAUGAGAAUGAGGUGUGGUGCAACGACGAUAUAACUAUCGUCUUGUGGAUCUACGCGACCAUCUCCGAUGACCUCUACGACACCAUCUAGUCGCCGGAGAGCACCGUGUUCCACCUGUGGCAGCAGCUGGAUAUCUUCUUCUGGGACAACGCCGCCGGCCGCGCCAUCCACAUUGGCGCCAACUUCCGCGCCACCGUCCAGGGCGACAUGACGAUCGCCCAGUACUGCCGUCGCCUCCAGCAACUCGCCGCGGCCAUGGCCGACGUGGGGGAACCGGUUACGGACCGUUCUCUCACGCUGCAGCUGAUCCGCGGACUGAGCCGCCGUUUCCACGUGAUGGCCACUCUCCUCCCCAUGCAGCAGCCCUUCCCGACCUUCCUGCAGGCUCGGUCGCGGCUGCUCCUGGAGGAGAUCGCCGUCCUUGAGCGGGAGCGCGCCACUGGAGCCACCGCUCUCUCCGUAGGCCACACAGGGUCCUCGUCUUACGGCGGCGGGACUCCCUCCGGCGGUGACCGCUAGUCACCCUCCGCGCCCAUGGACAAGGGGAAGGCACCGACCCCCAGCGGGCCCUCUCCGGAUCGCCAGCGUGGUGGCCAUGGACGCGGUCGCGGACGCGGGCGUGGUCACCUAGGCGCGUCCUCCUCCACCAGCAACGCCGGGCGUGGCAUGCCUGGGCAGCAGCAGCAGCCCUGGCUGGGCUAUUUCGCGCCCUUCGGGGCGCCCCUCCCGACUAUGCAGCAGUGGCGCGCCAAUUGGGCGCCGCCCAACGCUGCGGGCGUCCUCGGCCCGCGUCCUGCUACUCCUCACCAGGCGUACCCCGUCAUCGGCUAUUCCUCCUCGGCGCCCCAGUGGGAUCAGCAGGCCAUGAUGGUCCACGCCUUUGCCAACAUGCAGCUGCAGCAGCCGCCUUCCAGGUCCGACUGGUACAUGGACACCGGGGCCACCUCCCACAUUGCCGGCUCGUCAGGUAACCUCGACCUGUCCUCCUCUUCGCCGCAUUCUCCUUCGAGCAUUACAGUAGGCAAUGGUUCUGUUCUUCCCAUAGUUGCUACCGGUUCUACCACCCUCCCCCCGUUCCAUCUCAACGACAUCCUAGUAUCUCCCCACAUCAUCCAAAAUCUUAUUUCUGUACGUCGUUUUACUCGUGACAAUUGGUGCAUUGUGUCUUUUGACCCAUUUGGUUUCUCUGUGAAGGACAUGGCAACGGGGAAACUCAUCAUGAGGUCCAGUAGCACCGGUGAUCUGUACUCGUUCCUCCCGAAUAAAGAUGGCGUCUUUGCUCUUUCCGUUUCAAGCUCCGGUGAUCUGUGGCACCCGCGGCUCGGCCACCCUAGUCGUACCUCUCUUUUCGUUUUAGCAAACAAUUCCCUAGAUUCAUGUAAUAAAAACUCUAGUUCCCUUGUAUGUGAAUCUUGUAAGAUGGGCAAGCCGCCGCGGUUACCAUUUUUUGAUUGUCAAACACGUACUACAGUACUUUUUCAGAUUAUUCACUAUGGUUUAUGGACCUCCCGGUGUGUAGUUUUUCUGGCUACCAGUACUACCUUAUCAUACUCGACGACUACACGCACUACUCAUGGGCUUUUCCCCUUCGUCACAAAUCUGACACAACCACCACUCUUCAACGUUUCUUCGCUUACGUGCAUACCCAAUACAACCUUCCCAUUAAGUGUGUGCAAUGCGACAACGGAGGGGAAUUCCUCUCUCACACCCUCCGCGACUACUUCUCUCCCCUUGGCGUCUCCUUCCGCCUCUCCUGCCCACACACAUCCCCGCAGAACGGCAAGGCUGAACGCCUUCUCCACACGACUAAUGACGUUCUUCGCACGCUCCUCGCUCAUGCCGACAUGCCACCCGAAUAUUGGGUAGAAGCACUUCAUGCCACCAACCAUCUCAUCAACCGGAGACCCUCCUCUGCCGUCAACCAUCUCACCCCAUACUUCCUUCUCCACGGCCAACACCCAACCUACGAUCACCUUCGCGUCUUCGACUGUUUGUGCUUUCCCAAUCUCACUCAUUCUGCCCCACACAAGCUUGCCCCACGCUCCCCUCCUUGCGUUUUUCUAGGAUAUCCCCUUGAGCAUAAAGGCUAUCGUUGCCUUGACAUACGCUCGCGGCGCGUUUACAUCUCUCGUCACGUAAUUUUUGACGAGCGUGUCUUCCCGUUUGUUGCGCCUCCCGCACCACCCGCUACGCCCCAACGAGUCACAGAAGAUCCCGUUCCCCACCUCAUGCAUCCCCAGAUCCUACCUACCUCAGACUGGGCGGCACCCGCGGCCCCGGGAUCCGAGCGUAUCCAGCCGAUCCCUCCUCCCGCGCGCCGGCCCACCACUCGCCAGCCUGCGCCCCAGUUGGCACCCGCGCCCCGCACGCCCGUCUCCCUGCAUACGCCGCCACCUGUCCCACCUAACCCCACCGCGGGUCCCGCUCAUGCCUCCCCCGCACCAGCCGCCACCGCGGGUCCCCCGCCUACCGCUAGUCCCAUCCAUGCAGCCUCCUCCCCUGAUUCCGCGCCCACCACUCGCCCGCAGCCAACACCAUGUCGCCUGCCUGCCCGCCCGCGCGAUUCCAGUACGCCCACCCGAGAACUUGCACCCCAUGCAUACACGUGCCAAGUCUGGUUUCUUUCUCCCCAAGCAACACGCCAACCUCACCAUUGCCCAACCCAUCAGCCCCAUUCCCUCCUCUUACCGUGUAGCACUCAAGGACCCGGACUGGGGUGCUGCCAUGCUCGAGGAGUAUAAUGCGUUGUUGCAGAAUGACACUUGGUCGUUGGUUUCCCAUCCUGCAGGUGCGAAUGUGGUGAGCGGCAAAUGGAUCUUCCGGCACAAAUUCAACACCGAUGGGACAUUGGCGCGGUACAAGGCCCGGUGGGUGCUCUGUGGCUUCACACAACAGGAUGGGGUGGACUACGGCGAGACUUUCAGUCCCGUCGUCAAACCCGCGAUGAUCUGCGUCGUCCUCAGUCUUGCCGCCGGCAGCUCGUGGCCCAUCCACCAGCUCGACGUCAAGAAUGCCUUCCUCCAUAGGCACCUCGCUGAGACGGUCUACAACACCCAACCAGCCGGCUUCAUCGACACUGCGCGGCCGUGGGACGUGUGUCGUCUCAACCGCUCCCUGUACGGCCUCAAGCAGGCCCCGCGUGCCUGGUUUGCCCGCUUCACCUCGUAUCUCCUCAGCCUCGGCUUCACAGCAUCCAAGGCGGAUUCCUCCCUGUUCUCUCUCCACCGCAGCAAUGACACGACAUACUUACUUCUGUAUGUCGACGACAUAAUUCUCACUGCCAGCACCGCCACCUUCCUCGAGUCCAUCAUAUCCGCACUCCAUCAUGAGUUCUCCAUGACAGACAUGGGUUCUCUCCACCACUUCCUAGGGAUCAAUGUCCACCACACCACCGAUGCUCUCCACCUCUCCCAGGAACAAUAUGCCCUGGAAAUACUUGAGCGCGCCGGGAUGCUGAACUGCAAACCUGUCUCCACUCCAGUCGACACCACAUCCAAGCUCUCCGCUGCCGCCGGCCCCGCGUUCCAUGACCCGUCGCUCUAUCGUAGCCUCGCGGGCGCGCUCCAGUACCUUACUCUCACGCGCCCGGACUUGUCGUAUGCCGUCCAACAGUGUUGCUUAUUCAUGCACGAUCCGCGGGAGGCUCACUACCAGAUGGUCAAGAGGAUCCUCUGCUAUGUUCGUGGGACUGCUCACCUCGGUCUGCACUUCUUCCGCUCCGCCAGCAGCGACCUGACGGCUUACUCGGACACCGACUGGGCGGGGUGCCCUGACACCUGCAAGUCUACGUCCGGCUUCGCGGUCUACCUCGGCAACAACCUCGUCAGCUGGUCCUCCAAGCGGCAGAACACGGUCUUCCGCUCAAGCGUGGAGGCUGAGUACCGGGGCAUCGCCAACGCCGUCGCCGAAGCUUGUUGGUAGCGGCAGUUGCUCACCGAGCUGCGCCGUCCACCGACGCGCGCCAUCGUGGUCUACUGCGACAACAUCAGCACCAUGUACAUGUCCAGCAACCCCGUCCAGCACUAGCGCACGAAGCACGUGGAUAUCGACCUUCAUUUCGCCCGGGAGCGUGUCUCUCUCGGCGAGGUGCGCGUGCUACAUGUGCCGACUUCCUCCCAGUUCGCCGACAUCUUCAUGAAGGGGCUCCCUACACAUGUGUUCAUGGACUUUCAUUCCAGCCUCAACGUUGGCGAGCACCCCGUUUCGACUGCGAGGGGGUGUUGGAAACAUGGUACAGCCCCACGUUCAGAUGAUGGAUAACUACAGGAGCGAGUCUCCAGGCGCCCACACCCACGCUCCCACGCACGUCGGCUUCGCCCUCGCUUGCACGUACGUCGUGAUCGCCACGAUCUGUUGUAACGAUAACUCUCUCCUCCCUCUAUACUCCUCGUGUAUAUAAACACGCCCCCUGUACCUGAGUUGAAUAUAGACAGAGUUUAUCCAUCUUACUAUACCCUCCUGCGCGGAGAUUCUCAUCGGUAAUCGCCCGGAGAAUGUCUGGCUCCCUGAAGCGCAGAUUGGUCUGAAAAAAUGUCAUCUUCCAGGUACCGUCCUGCGCGGCGUGCUUCCUUUUCCUGAUGUCGCGGACGACGAAGAAGGCGAAGUCCAUGACGAGGACAAGUAGCGCGCCGGGGGCGGCCAGGAGUCCCGCGGAGGAAGAGGCGGCUUGUGAUCCCGCAACACAGGAGCGCAUGCCGGUAAGAUUGCCGGGCCCAAGACCCGCAUGGCAGAGGCCGGGGUUGUUGGAAAUAUGAGCAAUUUACGGAAUGAUUUUAUUAACAGAAAUACUAGAUAAAGCACGACUAAUAUAGCAGUGAUAAAACAAGUCAAGUGAUUUUACAAAGAGAAGGUAAAUAGCAUCUGCAUAUAUGAACUAGAACUGAACACAUCUAGAACAGACACUAGAGCAAGAAGUUGUGACAGAACCUCUAACAGGAAGAGUAUUACAACGUAUGGAAUGGGAGCAGAUGCACCAGUCUUAGGGUCGGUGUCCUCGCCGGCCAUGUCGUCGAGGAGGUUGUCGACAUCGGGGAAGUAGUCAUCGGAGUCCGGGGCAUCCGUGACGAAGAAGACAGUAGUCGCACUGAGCGCUCCCCAAAAACCUUAUCACCCUUCUCCCGUACAGGACUCAAAAGGUGCGGUUUCGGAGGCCUACUGUCCCGACCUGCGGUGCAUGCCGCAAGCCGGGAUGGGGAAGAUUGUAGCAGUAGCGCAGUGCUCAGGAACUUUGUGGCGAGAGGAAGAGGACCUUCUUAUGUGUCUCUCUAGAGAGGAGCGACCUCUCUUAUAUAGGCAUAGGAGAGGGACGCGAACAGGCUGUGACGGGAGGUGAAGCAACGGAGGGAGAAGAAGCGAACAGGCAGCACGUGAAGAGGUGCGCCGUUCAUAUUCAGUCUCCACUAUGGCAAAAUGUUUCAGCUCCCGUGUGACCGUUCGUAUACCCGUCGUGCGUGACAAAAAUUUAGACAUCGUCUCGGCUCAUUCCCGCAACCCGCGAUGCGUCGUGACGAGGCGUGGCAUGGCGAGGCAGGCGGUAGAGGAGGAGCAUGCAUGGAUGUCCCUCUUGUUCUCAUGCUCAUACAUGUGGGGAAAGAACCUCCCUUAUAAAGAGGUCCAACUCCCUCUAAACUAGCAAUGUAGGACUAAACUUUUAGUUCCACCUCUUGCCUUGCACGAAUGGGCUGCGUGGGCCUCUAGGAUUUAUUAGGAAUUUGUGAAACUACUAUUGGGCUGGCCCAAAAUAGACAAAAUUCCAGCAAUCCCCCACCAAAUCCCAGAGGCACACAAAAUUUGCCUUUAGUUCCAAAACACUGUUUUAUAUACCAGUACUACAGUGGAGACUGUUAAGUUGAACUUCCACCUAGAACUCUAUGCUACACUAGUAAGCAACUUGGACAGAGGAUUGGGCCUUGAACUGCAAGUUUUCUGCGAAUCUAGCUUCACAUAAAGCCUUGACCGAUACAUGGCUACCGUGGGUCUUCCCCGCGGGUGGAGCUUAUGCGUCAUACUCCAAGACCUUUCAUGAGUUUACUAGAGAGAACCCUACUCUCAUAGAUUGCGACGUUUAACAAUCAGACUCAUAUAGGUGCGUUCUUCAAAAGAUGUUCUGCAGGACAACAUCUCUGCUUCAAAGAGCCACUUAGAACACAUUAAGAUAUACAUCAACCUGCCAUGCAGAUUAGGAGAGUAUUGCAUCUUCAUAGAGUGGUAUUUUUAACAGUAAGGGUACUCUCCUCCAAGUUGACCAACAACUUGUCUUCCACAUCUAAUUCACGGGAUCUCCGAUCACAAAGAGUAGGUUACCACUGUGAACAACUCAUAUUGUGGGUCUCAUACCCAUCUCCCUCGAUGCAUUAUCUAUCACAUUACAUGAUAGACCCUUAGUGAAAGGAUCUGCCAGAUUUUUAGACAUUUGUGUUGGAAAUAUGCCCUAGAGGCAAUAAUAAAUUAGUUAUUAUUAUAUUUCCUUGUUCAUGAUAAUCGUUUAUUGUCCAUGCUAUAAUUGUAUUGAUAGGAAACUCAGAUACAUGUGUCGGUACAUAGACAACACUAUGUCCCUAGUAAGCCUCUAGUUGACUAGUUCGUUGAUCAAUAGAUGGUUACGGUUUCCUGACCAUAGACAUUGGAUGUCGUUGAUAACGGGAUCACAUCAUUAGGAGAAUGAUGUGAUGGACAAGACCCAAUCCUAAGCCUAGCACAAAGAUCGUGUAGUUCGUAUGCUAAAGCUUUUCUAAUGUCAAGUAUCUUUUCCUUAGACCAUGAGAUUGUGCAACUCCCGGAUACCGUAGGAAUGCUUUGGGUGUACCAAACGUCACAAUAUAACUCGGUGGCUAUAAAGGUGCACUACAGGUAUCUCCGAAAGUGUCUGUUGGGUUGGCACGAAUCGAGACUGGGAUUUGUCACUCCGUCUGACGGAGAGGUAUCUCUGGGCCCACUCGGUAGGACAUCAUCAUAAUGUGCACAAUGUGAUCAAAGAGUUCAUCGCGGGAUGAUGUGUUACGGAACGAGUAAAGAGACUUGCCGGUAACGAGAUUGAACAAGGUAUCGGUAUACCGACGAUCGAAUCUCGGGCAAGUACAAUACCGUUAGACAAAGGGAAUUGAAUACGGGAUCGAUUGAGUCCUUGACAUCGUGGUUCAUCCGAUGAGAUCAUCGUGGAACAUGUGGGAGCCAACAUGGGUAUCCAGAUCCCGCUGUUGGUUAUUGAUCGGAGAACGUCUCGGUCAUGUCUGCAUGGUUCCCGAACCCGUAGGGUCUACACACUUAAGGUUCAAUGACGCUAGGGUUAUAAAGGAAGUUUGUAUGUGGUUACCGAAUGUUGUUCGGAGUCCUGGAUGAGAUCCCGAACGUCACGAGGAGUUCCGUAAUGGCCCGGAGGUAGAGAUUUAUAUAUGGGAAGUCCUGUUUUGGUCACCGGAAAAGUUUCGGGUUUUAUCGGUAAAGUACGGGGACCACCGGGAGGGUCCCGGGGGUCCACCAAGUGGGGCCACCAUCCCCGGAGGGCAGCAUGGGCCAAGUGUGGGAGGGGACCAGCCCCAGGUGGGCUGGUGCGCCCCCCCCCCACAAGGCCCAAGGCGCAGGAAAGAGUGGGAGGGGGCAAACCCUAGGGCUGAUGGGCCCUAAGGCCCACCCCAGGUGCGCCUCCCCUCUCUCCCCUUCUGGCCGCCACCCAAAUGGGAUCUGGGGGCUGCCGCCACCCUUGGGGAGGGAAACCUAGAGGGGGCGCAGCCCCCUCCCCUCCCCCUAUAUAUAGUUGAGGUCUAGGGGCUGCCCAACAGAUGAGUUUUCACCUCUCCCUGGCGCAGCCCUACCUCUCUUCCUACUCCUCUCCCGCGGUGCUUGGCGAAGCCCUGCAGGAUUGCCACGCUCCUCCAUCACCACCACGCCGUUGUGCUGCUUCUGGACGGAGUCUUCCUCAACCUCUCCCUCUCUCCUUGCUAGAUCAAGGCCCGGGAGACAUCGCCGGGCUGUACAUGUGUUGAACGCGGAGGUGCCGUCCGUUCGGCACUAGGAUCUCUGGUGAUUUGGAUCACGAUGAGUACGACUCCUUCAACCCCGUUCUCUUGAACGCUUCCGCUUAGCGAUCUACAAGGGUAUGUAGAUGCACUCUCCUUCCCCUCGUUGCUGGUUUCUCCCUAGAUAGAUCUUGGUGACACGUAGCAAAAUUUUGAAUUUCUACUACGUUCUCCAAUAGUGGCAUCAUGAGCUAGGUCUAUUGCGUAGAUUCUUUGCACGAGUAGAACACAAAGUAGUAGUGGGCGUUGAUUUUGUUCAAUAUGCUUACCGUUACUAGUCCAAUCUUGUUUCGACGGUAUUGUGGGAUGAAGUGGCCCGGACCGACCUUACACGUACUCUUACGUGAGACAGGUUCCACCGACUGACAUGCACUUGGUGCAUAAGGUGGCUAGCGGGUGCCAGUCUCUCCCACUUUAGUCGAAACGGAUUCGAUGAAAAGGGUCCUUAUGGAGGGUAAAUAGCAAUUGGCAUAUCACGUUGUGGUUUUGCGUAGGUAAGAAACGUUCUUGCUAGAAACCCAUAGCAGCCACGUAAAACAUGCAAACAACAAUUAGAGGACGUCUAACUUGUUUUUGCAGGGUAUGCUUUGUGAUGUGAUAUGGCCAAGAAGAAUGUGAUGAAUGAUAUGUGAUGUAUGAGAUUGAUCAUGUUCUUGUAAUAGGAAUCACGACUUGCAUGUCGAUGAGUAUGACAACCGGCAGGAGCCAUAGGAGUUGUCUUUAUUUAUUGUAUGACCUGCGUGUCAUUGAACAACGCCAUGUAAUUACAUUACUUUAUUGCUAACCGGUAGCCAUAGUAGUAGAAGUAAUAAGUUGGCGAGACAACUUCAUGGAGACACGAUGAUGGAGAUCAUGAUGAUGGAGAUCAUAGUGUCAUGCCGGUGACGAUGAUGAUCAUGGAGCCCUGAAGAUGGAGAUCAAAAGGAGCAAUAUGAUAUUGGCCAUAUCAUGUCACUAUUUUGAUUGCAUGUGAUGUUUAUCAUGUUUAUACAUCUUGUUUGCUUAGAACGACGGUAGUAAAUAAGAUGAUCCCUCAUUAAAAUUUCAAGAAAGUGUUCCCCCUAACUGUGCACCGUUGUGAAAGUUCGUCGUUUCGAAGCACCACGUGAUGAUCGGGUGUGAUAGAUUCUUACGUUCACAUACAACGGGUGUAAGCCAGAUUUACACACGCGAAACACUUAGGUUAACUUGACGAGCCUAGCAUGUACAGACAUGGCCUCGGAACACAAGAGACCGAAAGGUCGAGCAUGAGUCGUAUGGAGGAUACGAUCAACAUGAAGAUGUUCACUGAUGAUGACUAGUCCGUCUUACGUGAUGAUCGAACACGGCCUAGUUGACUCGGAUCAUGUAAUCACUUAGAUGACUAGAGGGAUAUCUAUCUGAGUGGGGGUUCGUGAGAUGAACUUAAUUAUCCUAAACAUAGUGAAAAGAUCUUUGCAAAUUAUGCCGUAAGCUCGCGUUUUAGUUCCACUGUUUAGAUAUGUUCCUAGAGAAAAUAUAGUUGAAAGUUGACAGUAGCGAUUAUGCAGACAGUAGAAAGCUUAUGUCCUUAAUGCACCGCUCAGUGUGCUGAACCCCAAACGUCGUCUGUGGAUGUUUCGAACAUCGGACAUACACAUUUUGAUAACUACGUGAUAGUUCGGUUAAACAGUUUAGAGUUGAGGCACCAAAGACGUUUUUUCGAAACAUCGCGGAACAUAUGAGAUGUUUCAAGGGCUGAAAUUGGGAUUUCAGGCUCGUGCCCACGUCAAGAGGUAUAAGACCUCCGACAAUUUUCUUAGCCUGCAAACUAAGGGAGAAAAGCUCAAUCGUUGAGCUUGUGCUCAGAUUGUCUGAGUGCAACAAUCACUUGAAUCGAGUGGGAGUUGAUCUUCUAGAUGAGAUAGUGAUGUUUCUCCAAAAAGUCAUUGCCACCAAGCUGCUAGAGCUUCGUGAUGAACUAUAACAUAUCAGGGAUAGAUAUGAUGAUCCUUGAGGUAUUCACGAUGUUUGACAGCGCGAAAGUAGAAAUCAAGAAGGAGCAUCAAUUGUUGAUGGUUGGUGAAACCACUAGUUUCAAGAAGGGCAAGGGCAAGAAGGGAUACUUCAUGAAACGGCAAAUCAGCUGCUGCUCUAGUGAAGAAACCCAAGGUUGAACCCAAACCCGAGACUAAGUGCUUCUAAAAGGGGAACAAUCACUAGAGCGGAAUUACCCUAGAUACUUGGUAGAUGAGAAGGCUGGCAAGGUCGAUAAAAGUAUAUUGGAUAUACAUUAUGUUAAUGUGUACUUUACUAGUACUCCUAGUAGCACCAGGGGUAUUAGAUACUAGUUCGGUUGCUAAGUGUUAGUAACUCGAAAUAAAAGAGCUACGGAAUAAACGGAGACUAGCUAAAGGUGAGCUGACGAUAUGUGUUGGAAGUGUUUCCAAGUUUGAUGUGAUCAAACAUCGCACGCUCCCUCUACCAUCAAGAUUAGUAUUAAACCUGAAUAAUUGUCAUUUGGUGUUUGCAUUGAGCAUAGACAUGAUUGGAUUAUGUCUAUCGCAAUACGGUUAUUCAUUUAAGGAGAAUAAUGGUUACUCUACUUAUUUGAAUAAUACCUUCAAUGGUCUUGCACCUAAAGGAAUGGUUUAUUGAAUCUCGAUCAUAGUGAUACACAUUUUCAUGCCAAAAGAUAUAAGAUAGUAAUGAUAGUACCACUUACUUGUGGCACUGCCAUGUAAGUCAUAUUGGUAUAAAACGCAUGAAGAAGCUCCAUGUUGAUGGAUCUUUGGACUCACUCGUUUUUGAAAAGUUUGAGACAUGCGAACCAUGUCUAUUGGUGUAUACGCAUGAAGAAACUCCAUGCAGAUGGAUCUUUUGGACUCACUUGAUUUUGAAUCAGAUAUGCAAAUCAUACCACAUGGGCAAGAUGACUGAAAAGCCUCGUUUUCAGUAAGAUGGAACAAGAUAGCAACUUGUUGGAAGUAACACAUUUUGAUGUGUGCAGUCCAAUGAGUGCUGAGGCAUGCAGUGAAUAUCGUUAUGUUCUUACUUUACAGAUGAUUUAAGUAGAUACUGAGUAUAUUUACUUGAUGAAACACAAGUCUGAAUUAUUGAAUGGUUCAAGUAAUUUCAGAGUGAAGUUGAAGAUCAUCGUGACAAGAGGAUAAAAUGUCUAUGAUAUGAUCAUAGAGAUGAGUAUCUGAGUUACAAGCUUUGGCACGCAAGAAAUUGUUUCACAAUUAAUACCGCCUGGAACACCAUAAUGUGAUGGUGUGUCCGAACAUCAUAUUUGCACCCUAUUGGAUAUAGUGCGUACCAUGAUGUAUCUUAUCGAAUUACCACUAUCGUUCAUGGGUUAGGCAUUAGAGACAACCGCACUCACUUUAAUAGGGCACCACGUAUUUCCGUUGAGACGACACCGUUUGAACUAUGGUUUGGAGAAACCUGAGUUGUCGUUUCUUAAAAGUUUGGGGCUGCGACGCUUAUGUGAAAAGGUUUCAGGUUGAUAAGCUCGAACCCAAAGUGGAUAAAAUGCAUCUUCAUAGGACACCCAAGACAGUUGGGUAUGCCUCCUAAUUCAGAUCCGAAAGCAAUAGGGAUUGUUUCUUGAAUCGGGUCCUUUCUCGAGGAAAAGUUUGUCUCGAAAAUUGAGUUGGAAUGUACACUUUGAUGGACUGGAGUAAGCAUCUCGGAGUUGGAAUGUACACUUUGAUGAGAUGAUCAAAGAUUUUGGGUUUAUACAAAGUUUAUGAGAAACUUGUAUUUCCAAAGAAGUGAGUGGGAGCACUAUAGAAUUUCUGAUGAGUAUAUGUUGUAAACAUAUUGUUGAUCAGAAAUGAUGUAGAAUUUCUAGAAAGCAUAUAGGGUUAUUUGAAAAGUGUUUUUCAAGGGAAAACCUGGAUUAAGCUACUUGGACAUUGAGCAUCAAGAUCUAUGAGGAUAGAUCAAAAACGCUAAAUGGUGCUUUCAAAUGAGCACAUACCUUGACAUGAUCUUGAAGGUGUUCAAGAUGGAUCAGUCAAAGAAGGAGUUCUUGCCUGAGUUGUAAGGUACGAAGUUAAGACUUAAAGCUCGACCACGGCAGAAAAGAGAGAAAGGACGAAGGUCGUCCCCUAUGCUUUAGACGUAGGCUCUACAGUAUGUUAUGCUGUGUACCGCACCUGAUGUGUGCCUUGCUACAUAUCUGGCAAGAGGGUACAAAGGUGAUCAAGGAGUGGAUCACCAGAUAGAGGUCAAAAUUAUCCUUAGAGGAAUAAGGAUAGGUUUCUCGGUUAUGGAGGUGAUAAAGAGUUCGGCGUAAAGGGUUACGUCGGUGCAAGCUUUAACACCUAUCCGAAUGACUCUGAGUAGCAAACCGGAUAUGUAUAGUGGAACAACCAUUUGGAAUAGCUCCAAGUGGAGCAUGGAAGCAGCAUUUACAAUAUGACCUAGAGAUUUGGGAAGUACAUACAGAUCUGAAUGUUGCAGACCUGAUGACUAAAACCUCUCUCACAAGCAAAACAUGAUCAAACCCCAGAACUCAUUGAGUCUUAAUCACAUGGUGAUGUGAACUAGUUUAUUGACACUAGUAAACUCUUUGGAUGUUGGUCACAUGGCGAUGUGACCUGUGAGUGUUAAUCACAUAGCAAUGUGAACUAGAUUAUUGACUCUAGUGCAAGUGGGAGACUGUUGGAAAUAUGCCCUAGAGGCAAUAAUAAAUUAGUUAUUAUUAUAUUUCCUUGUUCAUGAUAAUCGUUUAUUGUCCAUGCUAUAAUUGUAUUGAUAGGAAACUCAGAUACAUGUGUGCGUACAUAGACAACACUAUGUCCCUAGUAAGCCUCUAGUUGACUAGCUCGUUGAUCAAUAGAUGGUUACGGUUUCCUGACCAUGGACAUUGGAUGUCGUUGAUAACGGGAUCACAUCAUUAGGAGAAUGAUGUGAUGGACAAGACCCAAUCCUAAGCCUAGCACAAAGAUCGUGUAGUUCGUAUGCUAAAGCUUUUCUAAUGUCAAGUAUCUUUUCCUUGGAACAUGAGAUUGUGCAAAUCCCGGAUACCGUAGGAAUGCUUUGGGUGUACCAAACGUCACAACGUAACUGGGUGGCUAUAAAGGUGCACUACAGGUAUCUCCGAAAGUGUCUGUUGGGUUGGCACGAAUCGAGGCUGGGAUUUGUCACUCCGUGUGACGGAGAGGUAUCUCUAGGCCCACUCGGUAGGACAUCAUCAUGAUGUGCACAAUGUGAUCAAAGAGUUGAUCGCGGGAUGAUGUGUUAUGGAACGAGUAAAGAGACUUGCCGGUAACGAGAUUGAACAAGGUAUUGGUAUACCGACGAUCGAAUCUCGGGCAAGUACAAUACCGUUAGACAAAGGGAAUUGAAUACGGGAUCGAUUGAGUCCUUGACAUCGUGGUUCAUCCGAUGAGAUCAUCGUGGAACAUGUGGGAGCCAACAUGGGUAUCCAGAUCCCGCUGUUGGUUGUUGACCGGAGAACGUCUCGGUCAUGUCUGCAUGGUUCCCGAACCCGUAGGGUCUACACACUUAAGGUUCGAUGAUGCUAGGGUUAUAAAGGAAGUUUGUAUGUGGUUAACGAAUGUUGUUCGGAGUCUCGGAUGAGAUCCCAGACGUCAUGAGGAGUUCCGGAAUGGCCCGGAGGUAAAGAUUUAUAUAUGGGAAGUCAUGUUUUGGUCACCGAAAAAGUUUCGGGUUUUAUCGGUAACAUACCGGGACCACCGGGAGGGUCCCGGGGGUCCACCAAGUGGGGCCACCAUCCCCGGAGGGCAGCAUGGGUCAAGUGUGGGAGGGGACCAGCCCCAGGUGGGCUGGUGCGCCCCCCACAAGGCCCAAGGCACAGGGAAGAGUGGGAGGGGGGCAAACCCUAGGGCAGAUGGGCCCUAAGGCCCACCCCAGGUGCGCCUCCCCUCUCUCCCCUUCUAGCCGCCACCCAGAUGGGAUCUGGGCGCUGCCGCCACCCCUGGGGAGGGAACCCUAGAGGUGGCGCAGCCCCCUCCCCUCCCCCUAUAUAUAGUUGAGGUCUAGGGGCUGCCCAACAGAUGAGUUUUCACCUCUCCCUGGCGCAGCCCUACCUCUCUUCCUACUCCUCUCCCGCGGUGCUUGGCGAAGCCCUACAGGAUUGCCACGCUCCUCCAUCACCACCACGCCGUUGUGCUGCUGCUGGACGGAGUCUUCCUCAACCUCUCCCUCUCUCCUUGCUGGGUCAAGGCGUGGGAGACGUCACCAGGCUGUACGUGUGUUGAACGCGGAGGUGCCGUCCGUUCGGCACUAGGAUCUCCGGUGAUUUGGAUCACGACGAGUACGACUCCUUCAACCCCGUUCUCUUGAACGCUUCCGCUUAGCGAUGUACAAGGGUAUGUAGAUGCACUCUCCUUCCCCUCGUUGCUAGUUUCUCCCUAGAUAGAUCUUGGUGACACGUAGGAACAUUUUGAAUUUCUGCUACGUUCUCCAACAGUUUGGAUAUAAUCCAAUGCUAUAACUCCGGAGUUUCUCAUUUUUCUGAUAGACUUUAACCUUAUCUGAACGUGUCUUGAUGACUUCAUGUUAUCCUUUGAGCUGUUCACUUUGGUGAUCACAGUUUGAUUGUCGCAGUUCAUAAGGAUACCCGAUACAGGUUUCUCAACAACCAGCAAGUCAUUCAAGAGCCGGUGAAGCCAAUCUGCUUCGACCGUAGCUGUAUCUAGUGUUGUGAGUUCUGCUUCCAUUGUUGACCUCGUUAAGAUGGUCCGUUUACAAGACUUCCAAGAAAUAGCGCCACCUCCAUGAGUGAAUACAUAUCCGCUCGUGGCCUUUAUAUCAUCAGCAUCUGAAAUCCAGUUUGAGUCACUAUACCCUUCAAGCACCUUUGGGUGCCCGGUGUAGUGAAUUCCAUAAUUCACAGUGCCUUUCAAAUAACGCAAAACUCUCUCUAGAGCUUUCUAAUGCACAUCUCCUAGUUUUGAGACAAACCGACUUAGUUUGCUAACAGCAAAAGAGAUGUCAGGUCUUGUAGCACUGGCUAAGUACAUAAGCGAGCCAAUAAUCUAAGAAUAUUUCAAUUGGUCUCUAGCAAUUCUACGAUUCUUUCAAAGCAACACACUAGCAUCAUAUGGUGUUGGACAGGGCUUGCAGUCACUUUAGCCAAAGCGACUCAAGAUCUUUUCCACACAGUGAGAUUGAAGCAACGUAUCCCACCAUCAUCGUCUCUCAACAACUUGAUGUUCAGAAUGACAUCUGCCACUCCUAAAUCCUUCAUCUCAAAGCAGCGAGAUAGGAAAUCCUUGACCUCCUUAAUAACAUUCAGGUUUGCUCCGAAAAUCAGUAUGUCAUCAACAUACAAGCAAAAUAACUCCCUCGCCCCCACCAUGGCGAUAGUACACACAUUUUUCAGCUUCGUUCACAACAAAGCCUGUAGUCGUUAAAGUUCUUUCGAACUUCUCAUGCCACUGUUUGGGUGCUUGCUUGAGUCCAUACAAAGACUUCAGCAACUUGCACACUUUCCCUUCCUGACCAUCUAUUACAAACCCAUCUGGUUGUUCCAUAUAAAUUUCCUCGUCCAACUCUCCAUUUAGGAAAGCAGUCUUAACAUCCAUUUGAUGAACAAGAAGACCAUGUGAGGCAGCUAGUGAAAGUAGAACUCGAAUAGUGGUCAGUCGAGACAUAGUUGAGUAAGUAUCAAAAAAGUCUUCACCUUCCUUUUGGGUAUAAACCUUAGCCACGAGCCGAGCCUUGUACUUUUCAAUAGUACCAUUAGGCCUAAGCUUCUUCUUGAAUACCCAUUUGCAUCCUAUAGGUUUGCACCCAUAAGGAUGAUCAGUUAUCUCCCAAGUUUCAUUCGCCAAGAUGGAAUCCAUCUCGCUACGAACUACUUCCUUCCAGUAGUCAGCAUCUUCAGAUGCAUAGCCCUCUAAAAUAGAACUGGGAGUGUCAUCUAUGAGAUACACAAGAAAAUCAUCACCAAAGGACUUUGCAGUCCUCUGUCUCUUGCUCCUAGUAGGAACUUUGUUGUUCUCCUCCACAAGACUUUUAAAGUGUUCCGUCAAAAUGGCAGGUUCAGUAAUUGUAACUGGUUCCUGAUUCGAUGAACUAGGCAUCUCCUGAUUAGAUGAGGUAGCCAUAUCCUUCGUGGGAAAGAUAUCUUCAAAGAAAGCCACAUCAUUCGACUCCAUGAUCGUACCGACAUGCAUGUCAGGUACCUCAGAUUUUAUAACCAAGAAUCUAUAACCAAUGCUAUGAAAAGCAUAUCCCAGAAAAACACAAUCCACAGUUUUUGGUCCCAGCUUCCGCUUCUUUGGAAUUGGCACAUUGACUUUCGCCAAACAACCCCAGGUUCGUAGAUAAGAGAGCUUUAACCUUUUCUUCUCCCAUUCCUCGAAUGGAGUUAUCUCUUUGUUCUUUGUGGGAACUCGGUUUAGGACAUGACAUGCACUCAAUAUCGCCUCCCCCCACCAUGCCUUGGAGAGACCCGAUGUGUCUAACAUGGUGUUAACCAAAUCAGUUAGAGUAUGGUUCUUUUGUUCGGCCACCCCAUUUGACUGAGGUGAAUAGCGAGGCGUCCUCUCAUGGAUUAUACCAUGUUCCGCACAAAAGGAAUCAGAUUCAUUUGAGAAAUACUCUCCACCAUGAUCGGACCUAAGCCUCUUGAUCUUUCGAUCAAGUUGGUUUUCCGCUUCAGCUUUAUAGAUCUUGAAGUAGUUCAAAGCCUCAUCCUUAGAUUUCAGAAGAUACACAUGGCAGUAUCUAGUGGAGUCAUCAAUCAACGUCAUAAAAUACUUCUUUCUACCUUUUGUCAAAACACCAUUCAUUUCACAUAGAUCUGAAUGUAUAAGCUCCAAUGGUGCAAGAUUUCUCGUUUCUGCAGUCACAUGAGACUUACGAGGUUGCUUAGCUUGCACAUACACUUGACACUUAGAUCCCUUGAUAGUGGUGAAACUAGGGAUUAAGUUUAACUUCGCUAGUCGCGACAUGCAACCAAAGUUAACAUGACAAAGACAUGAAUGCCACACAUUUAAUUCACUAUUGUUGCACACAUGACUAACAACUUUAUUGCAAACGGCUGAUAAGGAUAAACGAAACAUGCCUCCUGACUCAUAGCCUUUACCAACAAAGGUUCCAUACUUGAAAAUUACAAAUUUAUUCGACUCAAAGACAAGCUUGUAGCCAUCUCUACACAGAAGAGAUCCGCUAACAAGAUUUUUAUUGAAGGAGGGGACAUAAUGCACGUUCUUCAGCUGCACGAUCUUCCCCAAAGUAAACUUCAGAUCGACCAUGCCAACACCACGAACAGAAGCACUUGAACCGUUGCCCAUCAGCAUGGUUGAAGUCCCUGCGGUCUGAUAAGACUAAAACAUGGAAAUAUCACCGCAUACAUGCAUAUUAGCACCCGUGUCAAUCAACCAAUCAGGAGAAUGACAUACUGAAAGAAUAGUGGGAAAUAUACCAUACCCAGCAUCCUUCAUGUCAGUGUCUCCAAUGACAACAUUAGCGGUCUUGCCGCCUUUCCCAGGAUGACGCUUGUCAUAGCGAUUAGGGAAACUAGGAGCCCAAUGAUCAGGAUCCCCACACACAUGACAAACACCUUUCUUCUUGUCAUUCUUCUUCUUGAAGUUUGUGUGUUGCACAGCCUUGUUCUUCCCAUCAAACUUUGCUUUACCAUCAAACUUGCCCUUGUUCUUGAACUUGUGGGGCUGGAAGUUCUUCUUCUGUACCAGAUUGGCACUAGAACCUCCCUCAAUACCUCGAGCACGGUUGUCCUUUGCUCUCGCCUUUUCUUCCACAUCAAGAGUACCAAUGAGAUCCGGAACGGAAAACUCCUGCCUCUUAUGCUUAAGUGAGGUAGCAAAGUUCCUCCACGUGGGAGGAAGCUUAGUGAUGAUACCUCUGGCAAUAAACUUGUCCAGUAGGAUACAAUUGAAGUGCUCAAGUUCUCUAUAAAAUGACUGUAUCUCAUGAGCUUGCUCAACCACGGAGCGCUCUUCAGUCAUCCUGUAGUCAUAGAAUUGCUCCAUGAUGUACAGCUCAGUGCCAGCAUCCGGGACCCCAAACUUGGCCUCGAGUGCGUUCCACAUAUCUUUUCCAUUAUUAAUUGACGCAUAAUCAUCAACUAUGUUCUCACCAAGAACACUCAAGAGAGCAGCCUUAAAUAAGGUAUCCAUUUUCUGAAAAGUUUGUGCCUGUUGAGCAUCUUGCUCUUCUUCGGGUUUGCCAAGAGUGGCGUCAUAGCAACUCAUGGUUUGAAACCAUAAGACUGCUCUCAUGUGCCACCUCUUAUAGUGGAUACCCUCAAACAUAGGAGGUCUCAUGGAAGCAGCAAAACCACUUGGGGUAAAUUGCAUAUUAUAAGGUUUUUGGAUUGUUGAAAAUAUGAGCAAUUUACCGAAUGAUUUUAUUAACAGAAAUACUAGAUAAAGCACGACUAAUAUAGCAGUGAUAAAACAAGUCAAGUGAUUUGACAAAGAGAAGGUAAAUAGCAUCUGCAUAUAUAAACUAGAACCGAACACAUCUAGAACAUACACUAGAGCAAGAAGUUGUGACAGAACCUCUAACAGGAAGAAUAUUAGAACGUACAGAACGGGAGCAGAUGCACCGGUCUUAGGGUCGGUGUCCUCGCCAGCCAUGUCGUCGAGGAGGUUGUCAACGUCGGGGAAGAAGUCGUCAUCGGGGAAGAGUCAUCGGAGUCUGGGGCGUCCGUGACGAAGAAGUCAGUAGUCGCGCUGAGCGCUCCUCCAAAACCUUAUCACCCUUCUCCCAUACAGGACUCAAAAGGUGCGGUUUCGGAGACCUACUGUCCCGACCUGCGAUGCACGCCACAAGCCGGGAUGGGGAAGAUUGUAGCAGCAGCGCAGUGCUCAGGAACUUUGUGGCGAGGGGAAGAGGACUUUCUUAUGUGUCUCUCUGGAGAGGAGCGACCUCUCUUAUAUAGACACAGGAGAGGGAUGUGAACAGGCUGCGACGGGAGGUGAAGCAACGGAGGGAGACGAAGCGAACAGGCAGCACAUGAAAAGGUGCGCCGUUCGUAUUCAGUCUCCACUAUAGCAAAACGUUUCAGCUCCCGUGUGACCGUUCGUAUACCCGUCGUGCGUGGCAAAAAUUUAGACAUCGGCUCGUUCCCGCAACCCGGCUCGGCCCGGCCCGGCCCGGCAUGGUGUGGCAGGCGGCGGAGGAGGAGAGCGCGUGGAUGUCACUCUUGUUCUCAUGCUCAUACAUAUGGGGAAAGAACCUCCCUUAUAAAGAGGUCCAACUCCCUCUAAACUGGCAAUGUGGGACUAAACUCUUAGUUCCACCUCUUGCUUUGCACGAAUGGGUUGCGUGGGCCUCUAAGAUUUAUUAGGAGUUUCUGGAAUUACUAUUGGACUGGUCCAAAAUAGACAAAAUUCCAGCAGAGGUUGCCAAGGAAGCUCCGAUCGUAAGCGGCGGUGGCGAGCCCUGCCGGUACCUGGCCGUCGAGCUGGUUGGAUGACAGGUUGAGCGAGCUGAGCUGUAGUCCGAGCGGCAGCGGUAUGUCGCCGGAUAGCUUGUUUGAUGACAGGUCCAGUGCGUCGAGCACCCGCAUGGCGCCCAAUUCAGCCGGUAUCUCGCCGGCGAGCUGAUUCCUGUUCAGCUGCGUUAGGUAGCUGAACGUGGCUACGCUCCUUGGGAUCUCGCCAGAGAGCUGGUUACCGGACAAGUUCAUUGCCUGCAGCAGUGGCAUGCCGUUGCCGAUGUCCACGGGGAGCUCGCCGUGGAUGUAAUUAUCAGACAAAUUGAGGUGCCGGAGUGGAGCACACCGGUACACGCUGGUCGGGAAGGCGUCGGUGAUGUCAUUGUUGGAGAUGUUGAGGCUGGUGAGGCGGGAGAGGCCGGCGAUUGCAUCAGGGAACGGGCCGACGACGCCGGUGUUGGCGAGGGAGAGGCUGGUGACGCGCCCAGACGACGCGUCGCAGGUCAGGUUGGGCCAGGUGCAGUGGUCGGUCGGGCCAUUCCAUGCCGCGAGCACGGGCGGAUCGCCCAACGCGCGCUUGAUCUGGAUCAGCGAAUGCCUCUCGUCAGCGGCCUGGGCGGCCACGGGGUGCAGGAUGCAGCAGGGUAGCACGAGCAGCAGGAGGAAGGAGGCGCAACAUGGUACGGUUGCCAUGCUUCGGGGCGUUUUGGGGUUGGUUUUCUUCGUGCCGCGCUGCGAAAAUAAAAGGCCUUGGCCGUCCAUCGGAGUGUCGACAUGGCUGGCUGGGUUGGAGGGGAAAGACGUGUUUGUGAGAAGUUCAUGGGGGGAGGAGGGUUGGUGGGGAAAGACGUGUUGCGGGAAGGCGGAGGCCGGGGGCCGUGCUUGCUAGGAAGCUUCAGGCCUUGUUUGAUGGAGGAGGUUUGGGGAGGCCUCAUGGAGAACAAAGUUCCUCGUGGCGAGUGGAUGUUCUCGCUCACGGAUACAUGGAUGGAUGGAUGGAUGGAUGGAUGGACCUGUUGAGCGACGACGAUUCAGCGGGAAAACCUAUCGAUGAAAGUGGACCCACGAUCCAAACUGUCCAGAGGCAUCUCGUCAACGUUUACGACCACCAAACAUCGCUGGUUUCUCAUUCCAAUCGAAAAGUUACUCCCUCUUCUGUCAAGAAAUAUAAGAAUGAUAUAAACGCUUUUAUAUUUCUUUGUGGAUGAACUAGUCUAAACGGGCAGGAAAGAAGAAUAUAAAGACGUUGUUUCUUCUUGACAUUGAAAGUAUUCAGUAGUUAGAUGAGUACCUAAUUAUCAAUCGCUUAUUAGCAAAUUAAAACAAUGCUUAAUUUCUAGGCAUUUCCUGAUUUUGCUUAUCAUGCCCGGACAUGUGUUGUGCGGAUUGUUAGACUCACCAGCUGGUGCCAUGCCAAGCGCUCGAGCCGAGACUCAAACUCUGGUGGGCUGGGUGUGAACUCCCGCGCCUUGUCAACUGAGCUACGCUCCCUUCUCGCCAUGUCAAUUGUUAGUGUAAUCCUAUGUCCCCCUUUUGACAUGAUUUACAUGUACUAAACUUUUCACGAACCUUGCACGGAGAAUCGUUUUUGCAUGAUCUUUGAUUUACAUGUACUGAAUUUAGUCCUUUUAUGUGUCUCCUCAAACUUCACCUUCUUAUAUUUGAGGAGUUAUCGAAAAGUGAUUCCUAACUAAACUCUUAAAUUUAACUCCUUCAAAAAAUCAUACAAAUGUGAGCAUACAUACACAAUAUGAUUCAAACUACAUUGUAUAAUAUAGAUAUAAACAUAGAUAGAACAAUUCAAUUCAAACUACAUUGCAUAACAUGGAUUUAAACUAGUUGAUUUGAAUGAAAUAAAAACUAAAACAUUAAUCUUCUUUAUCAAUUCGAACUUAAACAAGGCAUCAACAUCGGGUUUGUAAUCUUUUUCGGCCAUGAUCUUCUCCCAAUUCGUGCUGCCCAGGCCAAAGCCGCCGGAGUCGGAGUUGGAGUAGCUAGAUGAAAGGUCGAUCACUUCCGGUCCGCCUGCUCCACCGGAUGACCCGACGUCAUCGGUAACCCCUUUGUUGUGUAGCUCGAGCUGCCGACGUUCCUCGGUAACGAGCUCCAGAUGCAUCUGGCAGAGCUCGACCAUGUACUCCUCUUUGGCGUGCGUCGCCUCGAGCUGCUUGAAGGCCUUCCGAUUCUCCAGCACCUUGCGGCGGGAGACCACACAAGGGUCAAUGUCAACGAACUGUGGACCUCAUGGCUGCCAAGGGAGAAGUUGAUCUUCGCCUGGCUGUUGUAGAGGCUCACCACCUUCAUGUCGUAGGCCCUCGCCGCCAGCUCUGCCGAUUGGAAGGAGCAAAGCCCGUACCGGUGGCUGGUGUCCUGAUUGGAAGGAGAUGCAUAGCAACGAGAGGGGGAGAGUGUGUCUACAUACCCUCGUAGACCGUAAGCGGAAGCGUUUUACAACGUGGUUGAUGUAGUCGAACUUCUUCGCGCUCCAACCGAUCUAGUACCGAACGCAUGACACCUCCGUGUUCUGCACACGUUCAGCUCGGUGACGUCCUCAGCUUUCUUGAUCCAACAAGAUGGCGAGGUAGUAGAUGAGCUCCGGCAGCACGACGGCAUGGUGACGGUGAUGGCGAAGUUAUCUCCGUAGGGCUUCGCCUAAGCACUAUGAAAAUAUGACCAGGGUGUAAACUAUGGAGGGGGCGCCGCACACGGCUAGGCAAUUAUCUGUUGUGUGCUAGGUGCCUCCUCCGACAUAUAUAUAGGUGGGUGGGAGGGAGGAGCAGCCAUAGGAGGUGCCCAAGUAGGAGGAAUCCUACUUGGAGUCCCUACCAAGCCGCGCCCCCUGCCAUAUAUAACCGAGGGGAAGGAAAGAGGGGUGGGGAGAGGGAAGGAAGGGGGAGGGGGGGUCCUACUUCACACUUUCCUUUUCCUUCCCCUCUUUCCUUCUCCUCCUAGGCCGGCCUGCUAUGGGGGGCGCACCAGCCCCUUGUGGUUGGUGCGUUCCCUCUCUUUGCCCAUAAGGCCCAUAUCUUUUGUCGGGGGUGCCCGGAACCCCUUCCGGGGACCCGAUAAGUACCCGGUACCCCCCGAAACACUUUCGGUGUCCGAAUACCAUCAUCCUAUAUAUCAGUAUUUACCUCUCGACCAUUUUGAGACUUCUCGUUAUGUCCGUGAUCUCACCCGGGACUCCGAAUAACAUUGGCUCACCAAAUCACAUAACUCAUAUAAUACUAUAUUAUCAACGAACGUUAAGUGUGCGGACCCUAUGGGUUCGAGAGCUAUGUAGACAUAACCGAGAUACCUCUCCAGUCAAUAACCAAUAGCGGAACCUAGAUGCCCAUAUUGGCUCCUACAUGUUCUACGAAGAUCUUUAUCGGUCGAACCAUUAUGACAACAUACGCAAUUCCCUUUAUCCAUCCGUAUGUUACUUGCCCGAGAUUCGAUCGUUGGUAUCUUCAUACCUAGUUCAAUCUCGUUACCGGCAAGUCUCUUUACUUGUUUUGUAAUACAUCACCUCGUGACCAACUCCUUAGUCAUUUGCAAGCUUAUGAUGUGUAUUACCGAGAGGGCCCAGAGAUACCUCUUCGAUACUCGGAGUGACAAAUCAUAAUAUCGAUCUAUGCCAACUCAAUAAAUACCUUCGGAGAUACCUGUAGAGCAUGUUUAUGAUCAUCCAGUUACGUUGUGACGUUUGAUAGCACAUAAAGUAUUUCUCCGGUAUUCGGGAGUUGCAUAAUCUCAUGGUCGAAGGAAUAUGUAUUUGACAUGAAGAAAGAAAUAGCAAUAAAACUGAACGAUCAUUAUGCUAAGCUAACGGAUGGGUCUUGUCCAUCACAUCAUUCUCCUAAUGAUGUGAUCCCGUUAUCAAGUGACAACUCAUGUCCAUGGUUAGGAAGCAUUAACCAUCUUUGAUCAACGAGCUAGUCUAGUAGAGGCUUACUAGGGACACAGUAUUUGUUUAUCUAUUCACACAUGUAUUUUAGUUUCCAAUCAAUAUAAUUUAGCAUGAAUAAUAAACCUUUAUCAUGAAUAAAUUUUUUUAAAAUAAAAACUUUAUUAUUGCCUCUAGGUAGGGAUGAAAACGGCGCGGAAACGGACGGAACUGGGUGCUACUAUAUUUGUUUUCAUAUUUUAUUGUAGAAGCGGAAGCGAAUACAGAAACCCCGGAAAUGAAUACGGAAACAAAUACUACCGAAAACACACAUGGAGCGAAUACAGAGCGGACACAGAAGCAAAACUGUUUGUUGACCGGAACUUAAAAGUCCCUUGAAUCAUAGAUAAAUACAGACAAACAAACAAAUUGAUGGAAUUGUUAACAUGGCUACAAAAUAAUAUGGUUGUGUUGGUAUAAUAGGGUAGUAUUGUAUUAGUACAUGACAAUUCCAUAUAGGGUCUAGUUGAGUAUGUGUGUGUUAGUAAAACUUGGUACUCAAAUACUCCCUCCGUCCAGAAAUACUUGUCGGAGAGAUGGAUGUAUCUAGACGUAUUUUUGUUCUAGAUGCAUUCAUUUUCAUCCAUUUCUACAACAAGUAUUUUCGAACGGAGGUAGUAAUAUAUUAUGCUCAUUUUACUCACUGUGUUAUUGUGUAUUGUUUGGUAGUUGGGCUACAAAGCAGCCAUGGGCCUAUAGUAGAAACGGAAAUUCCAUAUUAACAGAAACGGAAACUUCCGUUUCCACGUAAGUUCCACCAGAAAACACCAUUCCGAUUUUGUUUCCGUUUCCACAUUAAAAAUUCCAUUUCCAUUUCUGUUUUGCAAAUUUCCGAUUCCGUUUUUAUAUUUCCUCUCUGUUUCCAUUUUCCCUCCAGAAAAGUGGAAACUUUUCACUCCAUUUUCAUCCCUACCUCUAGGGCAUAUUUCCUUCACCAUGUCAGGUGUCGCACGCCAUGGUGCUUCCUCUUCGGCGGCGGCAGGGGCAACAUGUCAGUGAANNNNNNNNNNNNNNNNNNNNNNNNNNNNNNNNNNNNNNNNNNNNNNNNNNNNNNNNNNNNNNNNNNNNNNNNNNNNNNNNNNNNNNNNNNNNNNNNNNNNNNNNNNNNNNNNNNNNNNNNNNNNNNNNNNNNNNNNNNNNNNNNNNNNNNNNNNNNNNNNNNNNNNNNNNNNNNNNNNNNNNNNNNNNNNNNNNNNNNNNNNNNNNNNNNNNNNNNNNNNNNNNNNNNNNNNNNNNNNNNNNNNNNNNNNNNNNNNNNNNNNNNNNNNNNNNNNNNNNNNNNNNNNNNNNNNNNNNNUUGUGCCGCGGCGUGGAUCCGCGACUCGAAUUGGCGGUCGUGACCUCCGACGGCCAGAUCCCGCCAUUUCGAGGGAGGCGCGGGCCAAUUGGGAAUGCCAGCAUGGGUGCGAUGCAGGUGGGAGGGUCGGUAGGGGGUGGGGUGGGGGUUUGGGCGGCAGCGAUGUCGACACGACUUUAGCGAAGGAGAUUGGCGACACGGGGGAUAGAAUUUUUCUUCUGAGAAGUGGUGUGCGACCGACGCAGGGAGUAACAUUUUUGAGGACUUAAAAGAGGAUAAGAGAUCGGCUAGGUCUAGUUUAACUCCUCAAAAUAUUUUUUUAAUCCUUUAACCGGUUUUGAUGGUUCGGCUAGAGAUGCUCUAACAUCUAGACAAAAAUUUACCUUUUCCCUUGACUCAACCAUGUAUUUGUUUUUUUUCGGAAAAACUUCCAAUCUAUUCAUCUUCAAUCAUGGCAGUAUAAUGAAUACCAGAAAUAAAAAUUACAUCCAGAUUCGUAGACCACCUAGCGACGACUACAAGCACCGAAGCGAGCCGAAGGCGCGCCGCCAUCAUCGCCCCUCCAUCGCCGGAGCCGGGCACAACUUGUUGUAGUAGACAGUCGGGAAGUCGUCGUGCUAAGGCCCCAUAGGACCAGCAAUUCAGAACAGUAACCGCCGCCGACGAAAUAUAACGUAAAUUAGAAGGAUCCAAACCGAAGACACACGAACGUACAUGAACAACGACGAGAUCCGAGCAAAUCCACCAAAGAUAGAUCUGCCAGAGACACACCUCCACACGCUCACCAACGAUACUAGACGCACCGCCGGAACGGGGGCUAGGCAGGGAGACCUUGAUUCCAUCUUCAGGUAGCCGCCACCAUUUCGCCUUCCUGAGUAGGACACAAACCCUAACAAGAUUGAAAAAAACGACUAAAAACAGAGCCCUCCCGCCGGCCCUUGCCAGGAUCCACCGUGCCUCCAUGGGCCUAGGGCCACCGGAGAUGAGGCGGACCUGCGCCGGUGCCGGCGAGAGGCACGAACCCUAACUUUCUUUCUUGGAGGAGGAGGAGGAGGCGGAGCCCUGGCUCUUGACUCAACCAUGUAUUUGUUGGUGUUUUACAUUGCCGGGAUUUCCCUUUCGUUUGACAUCAUCAAUCUCAUGGCUUGCUUCAUGUGAAGAGAGAGGCUGGAGUGACAAACUCUUAACUAUUUACCGUCGUCCUUUUUGAUUGGAAACCGGAAAAACAUGUGUUGCACACAACGUUCUCCUAUGGAUAAUAAUAAUAUUUUCUCACUUUUCUUAGAGAAGAUCAUUGUGGCUAGCUUUAUUAGUUACUCCCUCCGUCUCACAGUAUAAGAACGUUUUUGACACGACACUAGUGUAAAAAACAUUCUUAUUUUAUGGGACAGAGAGCGUAUAAAAUAGUGUUAGGCUAGUCAUAGUGGGGAGUAUCAUAUAGGACUUUUUCACAAUUCUGACCCUUUCAACAAACUUUGUCACAAAAUAAACUCGACGUGAAAGUAUUUCACGAUCUGACCCUUUUAGCAACGCCACAGACCGCGGUGUUUCUGCCCAAAAUAGAAACGCCGAGGUAGCUAGCGUUUCUGACCAAGAAGAAACGCCGAGGUAGCUAGCGUUGCGGACCAGGUAAGAAACGCCAAAGGCGUUGGCGUUGCUGCCCAUCAUUGAGACGCCAAUGACCAUGGCGUUGCUGCCCUUCUCUAUGUUCAUGUGAAAUGUGGAUGAACAGCCCAACUAAUAAGGUUAAUUAAUUAUGACCAAAGAGGGCAGCAACGCCAUGGUCCCUUGGCGUUUCAAUGAUGGGCAGCAACGCCAGCGCCUUUGGCGUUUCUUUCCUGGUCCGCAACGCUAGCUACCUCGGCGUUUCUUCUUGGUCAGAAACGCUAGCUACGUCGGUGUUUCUAUGUUGGGCAGAAACGCCGCGGGCUGUGGCGUUGCUAAAAGGGUCAGAUCGUGAAAUACUUUCACGUCGAGUUCAUUUUGUGACAAAGUUUGAAAGGGUCAGAAUAGUGAUUUCGGCCUAUCAUAUACUCCCUCCGUUCCUAAAUAUAAGUCUUUGAAGAGAUUACACUAUGGACCACAUACGGAGCAAAAGGAAUGAAUCUACACACAAAAUGCAUCUAUAUACAUCCGUAUGUGAUCCAUAGUGAAAUACCUACAAAGACUUAUAUUUAGGAACGGAGUACUAGUAUCAUGCAUAUGAUACUAGUGUAUGAUACUACCUCCAUAGUACAUAGUAUCAUAAAGUAGUAUCAUAGGUGAUCAUAUUUAUUGCCAUGCAUGACACAAAGUAGCAUAUCAUUUAACAUGAUACGAUAUCUACCUAUGUUACUCUAACCCUCUUUUUUUUAAUUGUGUGCCACAUAAGCAUGUUUGCUAAUCCCAAGUGCAUGUUACCGGUUAUGUCACCCCACUAUGGCCAGCCUUACAUUGUCUAUGAGUUUAUGAACCAAACAGUCUGGUGGUCCAUCACUCCAAACACUAGAAACAACGCCCCCACAAAAAAAGACACACUAGAAGAAAUAAAAAUUUGCUAGCGCAUGGGCCACUUAAUUAGCCGAACGAAAGCAAUGAUUUAAAAUGACAUUUUUAAUUGAUGAACAAAUGUAAUAAAUUCUGUAAAUAUCACCGAAGCCGCAUCCCACCAGGCCACCAACUCGUUUGUUUCAUGCAAAAUUUUAACAUGUCUGGAGAAUUAGACUCCGCUUAAACUCGGUGAAAUCCAAACUAACAUUGUUCCUGGUCCAAAAUACUUCAUUCGUCUCACAUUAAUUGCUGCUCAAAUGAAUGUAUCUGUAUGUAAUAUGAGACUUUCAGCCGUACGGCCUGCUUCAUCAACCUAGAUCGACGCAAAGGCAAAGCUAGCUGCAUUGAAAAACGAGUAGCAUCCUGCCUAAUUUUGGACCAAAAACGGAUGGACGUCAUUAUACAUCAGCGCCGCCCCAGGGUCUUUCCAUGCAGGGCUCUCACAUGCAUGCAAAUCAAUACGUCAUGGGUCCUGAUAACGCCCACACGUACGGCACACUACACAUCCGCCCACACAUUGUGUGUGGCUUGAGCAGGAGGCAGCCCACACGGGCUGUGCGUGGGCGAACAUUAGAAUUAUUCACAUGUGUGGGUGCAGCUACUUCGUGCCACACGCACAAUAAGUACUACUCACCUUCACCAGGCGCGUGUGGCAUGAAGCAAAAAUGCCCAUACGUCCUGACACAGCUACAUUAGGUACCCGCGGGAUGACGAUUUAGUUGACAUUCGGGAUGGCAGAUGUAGUUAUUCGAAAUGGCAAAUAUAGUUGUAAAAGCAUGUCAACUCUAUUUGUUUUGGUUAACUAUAGUUGUCAAGUCUAAUUUAUGGUAGUUGCCGCGUGUAAUCAAACCAUAGUUGCCGUGUGUGAUUGCCUACUUGCCACAUAUAGUCAAACAGUAGUUGCCAUGUGUGUUUACCUAGUUGUCACGUGUGGACCAACCAUAAUUGCCAUGUAUGGUUAAUCACAGUGGUCAUAUGUGUUUAUCUGGUUGUCACGUACGCGCAACUACAGUUGCCGUCUAGCAACGAAUUAUAGUUGUCAUGUGUGUUUACCUAGUUGCCACGUACGCGUAACUGUAGUUGCCAUCCAACAACAUACGAGUCUCGUGUGGGCCAAAAGCAGUCUGCCCACACGCGCGUGGACUGGGUGGUGACUAUGAGGGCAGAAACUAAUUCGCCCACACAGCGCAGCUGGCAAACCGCGUGCUGCGGGCGUGUGGACGAAUUCUCCAACGCCCACACACCAGCCAUGUCCUACGUGGCAUGCAAAUUUUGCCUCAAUGUGUCAAGAUUCAUGCGAACUCGACUGGACGGUGAUCCACGCGUGUGGGCGAGUUACAAAACUGUCACACGUGUGAGCGUUAUCAUUUGGGUACGUCAUUACAUCAGUCAAAGAUUCCUCUAAUUUUGAAAAUUUAAAAAAAUUUAUUUUCUAAACCGUAAAUCCAAAUGACUAUCCACUUUCACCGUUAGCUUCCUCAUGACAAGAUCUUCAAAAUUAGAUCCCAUGUGACAUGUUUCGGUGAUUUUUGUUUCCAUCAAUAGUUGUUAGAUUUACUAUCACUUAGUUGUCGAAUUAUGAGCCACUUAGUGACCACAUUAAACUAACUUGCUAACCUUUUUCUACAUUGUAGUUGUCUGUUUUUUAUUAUGCCUGAGUUGACAUUUUUAUUUUGUAUAUAGCUUGCCAAUAAAAAAUACACACUAAUUGUCAUUUUAAGUUUGCCGAGUUGUCACUUUUAUUUCAUAUAGCUUGGUGGAGAGAAAACUUAUUGUCAUUUUUUAUACUCUCUCGAUCCCAUAUUAAAGGCAUGUUCGGUUUCACUCUGCUCCCCGCUCCGCUCCGGGAGCGGACCGAGCUGUAGCUCAAAAUUUUGGAGUGAGCCAACAACCACUCCGCAGAUUCUAGGAGCUGGUGGAUUUUCGAACGGGCCCUAACUGUAGUUGUUCAGGUUGCAGUGUCGUGGUUUGGUCUGCUAGGCGAUGCCCCUCGUCUAUGUCGGUGGCACACAUGUGUCGUGGCGUCAUCUCGGCCUCGCAUGACCCUUCGAAUGUGCCCCGUGACACAGGUGGUGUCGCGGCGUUGUGCAGUCUCGUUUGCGUUGAGCCUUUUGAUUACGUCGACGGUGCAAUUUCAUGGUUUAGUCUUGGCUAGCCGAUGCCGUUCGAUUACAUCUGCGGUGCUCUUUGUUGUGUUAUGUUGUGUUGUGCUUUCCCUCUUUGUUCUCCCCUGCUGUGUGUGACGGUGUGUUGUGUUGUUUUGUUUUAUCUCUUCUCACAUGUAUCACUAUACCUCUGGUUCACUUUGAACUUAUUUUGCGACAAGCUACAAAGCCUUAUAGGCUGGCAAAUGAAUACAAUUCAGGUGAGGAAUUCUCUCCCCAGCGAAAAUACAAAAAAAGGGUUCGAGUCCACUGGUGCAAGUGGAGUAGUGGCUUUCCGGCAGCUUGGUCACCGUGCGCCGAACGAAAGGGUGCUGCGUGCAAAGAGUGAACGCAAGUGGCCCACUGGUGGUCGACUUGCUCCGACUCUUUGGGUUUGGGCGGUCAAGCCGGCGAGAAGGAUCUAUACUACUAUUAAAAGAGCAAACAUAAAUUUCCCUAAAGCCACACAACAAACCGUACACAGGAUAACCAGGACCUUCUGAUCAGAUUAACUUAAAUACAUCCCACGGUCUAUAUUACGCCAAAGAUUUGUCAUUCAGAUCAACGUCUCGGAUGCAAUGUUCUGCCGAGCAGACGCCGUCGUCUGCCAAUCGUGGAAGCGCUUCGUGUCACCCAAUCCCGGCGGCCUCGCCCGCAGCUCCUGUUUUUUGGAUCGUGACUUCUUUCUCUAGGCGCCAGAUAGAGAAACUUGAGCGCUCCUUCCUUCCCCUCCUGCCGUGCGCUUCCCACUGAUCCGCCCCCGCGUCGACCCCGUCUCCGGUCGAUGGUCGUGCUCCUGCAAGCCGCCGCCGACCUCCUAUGCCGGUCAGCCGUGCCCAACUCCCCUCCUCCUCCCUUCUCUCCCCCUCUCCUCACUAAUCUCUCCUCUCUCUUCGUUCCCACGAUGCAGAACGCCAUGGCCAUGGACCAAAGCUCCGCUGGUCCCUCCCUCGCGACUGCCAGUCUUCCUCCCGACCAGAUCGACGACGGCGAUGACCGGAUCUGCCCCGCUGCCGUUCGUUUCCAAGGGACGUCCGCAGAUGGGGUUUCUUCCUCUCAGCGUCCACCACUUGCGGGCUCACCGGUGAUUGGACCUGCUCAGCAUGCAGGAUUGCGUGCUUCCUGGCGAAGUGGUCGUGUCUUGCCCGACGCGCCCUCGGCAGUCGAGUCUUUUUCCACGGUGCCCCAUCCUCCAGUAGCUCUGUCGCCAUUUGCACCACCAUGCGCCACUGCCCGCUCGCGUGAACCAUCCAGGUGGGUAGGUUUGCUUCUGAUCUUAAAAUUUUCCCCAUUCAAAUUUUCCUUGAUUUUGUUCAGAUUGAAAUUUGGGCUGUGUUUCGUUGGAAGGCCCGAUUUCACCUGCUGAGAGCUGUUGAUAUCUCAGUUUAAAGCUCAUAUCUAUUAGGUUCGAAACUGAAUUUUAUCAUAGGAAGUUUUGUGUGUUCGCAAGCCUACAACACCCGUUGCAUUUUCUUUAGCAUGACCAACAACUGCACCUCUGAAGUUAACCAUGGCCAGCUACCCAAUAUAUCGUCCAGAUGCUAGAGGGAUAGCGUCACCGCUGCGCACGAUUUUGAGGUGGCCAAUUAGCAGUUGUUGGAUGGCAUCUGGUCGGCAAGCACCUUCCCUCAAGUUUCCGCCUCGCUUAGCAUCCGCCCACUUCCCCAGCCAACCCAGCCGCCCCCUCCAUGCCGAACCCUGUGCUGGUGGUGGACAAAGUUUGCAAGAGGAACUUGAUUUUUUAGCUUUAUUUGUUUCUUAUACAGGUGAUGCUUUUCUAUAUUAUGGAUGGAUUCUUGAUAGCCAUCAUAGAUUACUGCCAAGUAGAUAAUUGAAUAUUAAAUAAGUAAAAAUUCUGCACAAUGUAGUACUGAUAACAUGGUGUUAGUUCCUAUGUUUUUUUUGCUUAAAGCCUAUAUUAGUCGAAUUUAAUUGGUUUCUACAGUUACACCCACAGAUUACAGCAUUCAAUGAGUUCGAUUUGUGGCAGAAUCAAUGUUGUUCGUUGUUCUGUUCCAUGAUUCCUAGCAGUUUUUUGUUUCAUCAUAGGUGGUCACAUUCAGAUUCAGAUUUUUAUAAUUACAUUCAGAUUUUUUUUACUUAAUGAUGAUAUGUGUAGCCAUCCUCCCUGGCGCUGCAAUCUGUGAGUAUGUUGGUGCAUUGCCGAGGACUGGAGGUACUAAUAUUUCACUUCAAGCUUUUAUUUCUUACGCAUCAUUUGUCUCAUUGCUCGGUUUCUUAGUUUGUCUCUGAAAAAUGGGUGUUUGUAAAUGAUUUGUUUCCACUCUUGUAGAGAAAAGGUCAGGGUCUGAUAUGCAUAUGCCAUCACUUCAUGUUGAGAACAAUUCCGAGGCACCAUCGGCACCGGAGUACUGCAUCGAUGCUGGAUCCGUUGGAAGUUUCGCAAGGUUCAUAAACCACAGCUGCAACCCUAACCUCUUUGCCCAGUGUGUCCUAACCAAUCACCACGACAUCAAGCUAGAAAAGGUGAUGCUUUUUGCUGCCGACACGGUACUUCCACUUCAGGUGAAUUGAUUUUUGUUGCAUCUCAACAAUUUCUACAGGAAAAACUAUAUAGCUUCUCUCCUGCAGUCACGCUAAUUAUUAGCGAAAGAAGCGCGUUAUUUUUGUGUGUAGGGUAGACGGCAUGCUGGACACGCUAAGUAUAGUUCGUAAAUGAAGUUUGUCUGGGUGACAUGCCUGUGGGUCACGAUGGCAUGACAUUUUGUGAACAACUGGUUCAUAUAAGUUGAUGGAAGAUUUAAUCGAUCUUUAGACAUUUACAUGGUCAGCAUCCUGCUUUUGAUGUACCUCUGUUCAUAUUUCAGCAUAUUUGUUCUUUUUAUUACCAGGUAGCACCUAACGUCGACAACUGCGAUGUCAGGAACUCCCUCACAAUUGCCGAAUAUGUCGCUGAAAUUACAACUUCUACAGACAGACCAAGGUAAUUAUCUGCUUGAAACCCUGUCGAGUUAUUUACAGAGUUCUGACCUGGUACGACAAUAAUAAUCUCAUUGCAAAAUUCUCUGUGCUGUAGGAGUUGAGUUGUGAGGCCCCCACCUACAUGACACACCAAACUGAUAUCAAUGAGAAAAGGCGUAGUAUUCCCAUUGACUGGUUGACUGAGGUAAGUAUUCCAUUCGAUGCUCCAUGGAUUCGGCAAAGUAGUCUUAACUUAGUAUUCUCUGGAAUGUAAUAAAUUUCUUACAAAACCAAUGUUUCAUUGUCCAAUGCAGGUGCAAUACAAGCUUGAGCUACUAGGUGAAACACUAUUCCUUGCUGUCAACAUCAUUGAUAGAUCAAUGCAUAGAAAAACAUGUCUCGAGUUUUCUCUUGAAUGAAACCUGCAAGUUUCUCAACUAUUUAGUGAAGCUUACCUUGAAAAGAACUAUAAAUACUACAGGAAGGAGAGCAAGACAAUGACAGUUCGUUGGAAUAUGGAUUUUUAGAGGAUAUUUAUGGGUUCAAACCUCUGUAAUUACAUAUUACUUUCCUUGCUGAUGCUAUUGCUCAUGUUAUAAAACUGUCCUACUUCGCACACAUGGUUUUCAGCAAGGAAAACAGUGUCAUGAUUUAUAAAGUACACUUAUAAACAAAAGAAACCAUUUUAUCACUCCUGCAGUCCACAAGAAAGAGAAAAAAGAACUUCCACCAUAAUCUUUGUCUUCCUACUUUUACUGACCAAUAAAAACAACUAUGAAGGAAUCUUUUCAUAAAAUAGAUAAAGAUCAUUUUCAGUUUGAAAUGCACAACUCCCAACUUGUCUUUUACUUCUGUUCUGUGCAUGUACAAGAUGAUCUAUACAUGAAUCUUUUCAGAAAAUGGAUAAAGAUCCUUUUCAGUUUGAAAUAAACUAUAAAGGAAUCUUUUCAAAAAAUAGAAAAAGAUCCUGCUGAAUGGUGUUGUACUUGUACAUACUGGAAUUGUAGCAAAACAAAGUGAUGGAUGGUCAUGGUCUGCAAGAUGAUCCACAUGAAUUCAUCUCCAAGUUAAAAGAGCCAACAAUCACGCAUGAUGUUUAGUUAGAAAUAAUAUUGCCUUUAAAAUGUAUGAGUGCAUUCUUGGCAUCUGACGUUGCCAAACCCGACAUUCAUGCUUGUUAAGAACUACUCCCUCUGUACCGAAAUACAUGUCGCUGGAGUAGCUAAACUUCAGCUACUCCAGCGACAUGUAUUUCGGUACAGAGGGAGUAUAAGAAUAUGGUAGUAUGAGAGACAUGUAGGCAAGGUCCCGACAUUCAUGCUUGUUAAGAACUAUAAGAAUAUGGUAGUAUGAGAGACAUGUAGGCAAGGUCCCGACAUUCAUGCUUGUUAAGAACUAUAAGAAUAUGGUAGUAUGAGAGACAUGUAGGCAAGGUGUAUUUGAUUGGAAGUAGAUGUAUCUCUAAAAAAUGGAUUGGUCGAGACGUGCGUUGCACGUGCAAGCUUACUAGUAAAAAGUUAAUCUUGGAUCGAGGGGCGACACAGAACUAGUUGGACUUCUAGUAACUUCUAGUUGGUCAAGGUCAUACUUCAAAGAUGGUCCAGCGAAAUGAAGGUAAGUGCGUCUCGAGGUUUGUCACAUUGCACGCAAGCGCAUCUAUCUAGAUUCAAAGAGAGCAAUAGCUUUUUUUGUCAAAGAGAGCAAUAGUUUCUGGUGCAGCGCGCGCCGGGAGCUCGGCGAACCGCACGAGUAUCACAUUGAUCGCGUGAGGCCGGCUCCCCCAUGCGAAGGGAAUGAAUAAUCAACGAGCACGGGAGAGAGGGAAUAAUUGGUACGUACGCUUGCGCCGGACGACGAUGGGAUUUGAAUUUGCUCAAGUUUCAACCAACUACUAGAGGGUGACGCGUGCUUUGCCACGCCAUCGUUUAGACAUGAGUUAAGCCUUCCUUUUUGUUCGACAUGAUAUUAUGGUUGCUGGCUUCGUUGCGUGUUUCACAUGAGUUAGGAUGACUUUUAGUUACUUGCAAAAAAAAUGACUUUUAGUUGCACCGAUAAUUUUCAUUUUUUGUUGACUUCGCUCUUGAUAGAUAGAUGCAAUAUCUAUCUGUGAGGUGAACUAAAUUGUUUUGUGGGUGGUUGUGAUAUUCUCAUAUGUAACACAAAAAUCAUUAUAUGAGUGUUACGUUCGUCUGGGAGUGGACCCAUGCAAAUCACGUAUGAGCGAUCCACUCUUUUAUAGAUGGGCCCGCCAGCUUCCCAAAACGCUGAUGGACUAAGAGCCAACAUCCCUAGAGAGUUUAAUAUCUUAAAAGAUAUGACACGAACAAGUAAAAAACAAAAUUUUCAGCAAAAGUAUUCAAAAAAUAAUAAUGUUUAGAUCCGCCAUUCAACAUUCGACAAAACUUCAGAACAAAUAAAGAAAUUGAACCAACACUGCUCAUGAACGAACAGGCAAGCCGGCUAGGAAAAGGUUUAAGACCUAGACCUUGCAAACUAAUAAAACUUACCAACACAAUCCAAAUUUAUACAAAGCAAAUACUCCAGGUGAAUCCAGCAAAAAACAUUUUAAAACUUUGGGCUAAACCCAUUUGCUCUAACUGAACCAAGCCAUCAAUUUGAAGUAGACAUCAACACAUGAGCAAGCAGCAAAGAGCUCUUGACGUCAAUUAAUCCCGUGCAACAAGCAGCUGUUUGAUAUAAUUAGAGCAACUCCAAGAGCCGACCUAAGUUCUACGUGCGUGUUCGUUUGCGUUCAAACGGAUGAAAGUAUUGGCCCUACGCGAUGAACCAAACCCAAAAGUUGUCCGCUCGCUGUUUGUCUGGACGCAUUUGCGGCCCAAAUUUACGUCCACACUGACACGAGACGGACACGCUGGGCGUCCGCUCGGUAUCUGCCUUGGGUGCGCGUGUCAGCCGCACAACUACCCCACACGGCCAUAGCCAUUGCAUCGACCUAACCCGAGCCCGCAUGGCAGUGUCUGGAAGCCCCCAACGUUCUCGUCCUUCCUAAUGCAAGCAUACGCGGUGUGGGUGUGUGUGUGGGGGGGAGGCUCAUCCACUUCUCCUCCCCGUCCACAUUUGGCCACGCUCACUCCCCUUGCCGGCGACAGCGCAAACGCUAGCCAUGGGUCCCGUGCAUCGCCCGAUCAACCUACACGAUGGAUCUGCGUGUGGCUAGUUGUUGCCGGCCACGGGACCAACUAUACAUCCCGAUGCACCAAGCGUGUUGGCACUAGCAUUACCGCCAGCCGCUGUCGUGGCCGGUGUUGACCUCCCGCAUGGCUGGAACCUUGACCCGCACCGCAUCCCGGUGUCGGCGGUGCCACGGUCGUCAUGGGUGCACACGGAGGAGCUGUGCAAGUGCCACACUCUCCUGAUGCUAGAGUAGCGGCGCUGCGCUGCCUACGCGCCAGACUCCCCCAACUGGAAGGCUUGGUUCGACACGGAGCACGAGGUGGCCUGCCGCGAUGACAUGCAUCUUAACCUUGGGUUUGUGCCGUCGCCACCGAAGGUGGCGCCGGAGGAGGAGGCGGCCUACAACUCCGCAUUAGAGGCGGUGCUCCAGUGCGCCUUGGAGGAGAGCCAACGCGAGGAGGAUAUGCGUUGGGGCGGCUUGGAGGAGGCCCUCGCGCUGUUCGCAACAGGGGACUGCGCCUAUGCCCCACCUCUGCUCGAGCCAAAGGCCGAGCUCGAGCAAACACUGGCGCUCACGCCCACGCCCACGCCGCCCACGGAGCCGGAUUCAAAUAAAUACGCGUGGACCGGUGUCGGUGUCAAAACCGGUGGAUCUCGGGUAGGGGGCCCCGAUCUGUGCGUCUAGGCUGAUGGUAACAGGAAGCAAGGGACACAAUGCUUACCCAGGUUUGGGCCCUCUCGAUGGAGGUAAAACCCUACUUCCUGCUUGAUUAAUAUUGAAGAUAUGAGUAGUACAAGAGUAGAUCUACCACGAGAUCGUAGAGGCUAAACCCUUGAAGCUAGCCUAUGAUGGUAUGAUUGUAAUUGUGAUCGGCCUUGUAAGGACCAACCUCUCCGGUUUGUAUAGACACCGGAGAGGGUUAGGGUUUACAUGGAGUCGGUUACAAGGAAGGAAAUACAACAUCCGGAUCGCCAAGCUUGCCUUCACGCCAAGGAGAGUCCCAUCCGGACACGGGACGAAGUCUUGAGUCUUGUAUCUUCACGCUUCAAUAGUAUGAAUGAUGUACAUAGUCCGGCUGUCUGGAUACCCCCUUAUCCAGGACUCCCUCAGUAGCCCCUGAACCAGGCUUCAAUGACGAUGAGUCCGGCGCGCAGUCUUGGCUUCGGCAUUGCAGGGCGGGUUCCAUCUCCGAAUACUCCAAAGUAAUUAUCGAACACUUAGAUCGUGUCCGGAUCCACGAGAGGAUACUUACACACCAUUGUAGGGAACAUAGCAUAAAUCUGAUCCGCUGGCAAUCUUCGUACGUCAUGCCUUUGCAUCGUGGCCUAGUUCAACACGAACCGGUGCUUCUCGCCCCACCUCGACUCGCGCUGCGAGGCGGUUUUAUUGGCACGUCCCGUCGAGGCAGAGAUCGUGUUCCUCUUAUUACGGGAUCUUCCAUUAAUGCGGGCGUGCGUUGCCCCAUGACGACCAUUGGUAUGACUCCGUGUUCCGUCAGGUAAACCUCCAGCAGACACCCUAAGGACUCUUGAUAUUCACCCCCUUUAUAAAAGGGGCCGAGGCCUAUGCCUCUUAUCCACCUCCCUCGCGCCUUCUCGCACAUCGAGUUCUAACACUGGAGACCUAAGCUCCAACACCCCAGAUCCUUCAAUAUGUCCGGAUCCAACCCUCAAGGCCAGUGGGUGGCCUCCUCGAUUCAAAAGGAGGACAUUGCGAAGCUUAGGGAUGUCGGAUAUCUGACCGCCGAUGUCGGUGUACAAAAAGAGGGGUACACUUUUCGUACCCCUAUAACUGUGCACGGGCAGUUCGAGCCAUGGACGCCACCACGCCAAGCAAGGCAAGGGAGGUAAGCCAAGGUAAGACCGAAGCUCGGAAAGAGCAGAACGACGCCAAGACCAAGACCACAAAGAGCAAAGGGGACGAAGCGGACUCCCCCGGCAAGAUCCUUGUCGGGGGGCGGUUUUAGCGAACCCGGCAAGGCCCUUGCUGUGGCAGCUCGCCCCACACCUAUGGAGCGAAUCACCCUUGAGUCCACUGCCCCCAUGGGGCAAGGAUUCGGGAGACAUUCCCGUGGUGGCAUGCAGAUCUUUGUGAAGACAUUCAAGAUCAAAUUCACACUAUAGAAGAUGACGACCCCUGGCGGGAUCCCAGCCAAGGAGGACCACAAGACCCCCGGCAGGAGCCUUGUCGGGGAUGAUAGCAGGCGCCGCGGAAAGACCCUUUCCGGGGCCACGGCAAGACCCUUGCCAGGGCCCUGGCAAGACUCUUGCCGGGGCUACGGCGAGGUCCUUGCUAAAGGCACCCGUAGGGCCACCGUCAGGCCCACACCAAUUCCAAACCCUCCACCGCCGUUCGCAUGCGGCUGCUGACCCAACCAGUUGGGCAAGCACCUGCAUGGCGGCAAGCAGAUCCUCGUGGAGGCCCACCGCUGUGCCACCUCAGCUACCUGCCUGCCUACAUGGCACCGCAGGCACCGCUGGCCAGGGCGCGUGUCGACGCGAUCAGCGACGAACAAGACUGGGCUCUCCCCCGCCCCCGAUAAAGUAGGGACACCUAAGCACGACGCAUUAAAUGCGCCUUGUCACGUAAUGCGAGGGAUAAACUCGUAUCACUGUGCCCUUUCCACCUCCCGUGUGCCACUGUGGCGGCCCCUUUCCCUAUAAAAGGAGGCCCAGGGCGACUAGGAGGGGGAUUCGGCUUUUUGGAGCUCUUCACACCCCAUUGCUAGCCCAGGAACACAGAUAAACAAAUCACCAAAGCAUGAGUAGGGUUUUACGCAUCCUCGCGGCCCGAACCUGGAUAAAGAAUCCGUGUGCUACCUGUUUGAUCCGCCCUUCUCACAACCCCGCGCCUCGCAACCGUAGUAGGGAUUCUCGUGAUCCCAUUGGUGUCGUCCUCGCACCGACAUCUUUGGCGUGCCAGNNNNNNNNNNNNNNNNNNNNNNNNNNNNNNNNNNNNNNNNNNNNNNNNNNNNNNNNNNNNNNNNNNNNNNNNNNNNNNNNNNNNNNNNNNNNNNNNNNNNNNNNNNNNNNNNNNNNNNNNNNNNNNNNNNNNNNNNNNNNNNNNNNNNNNNNNNNNNNNNNNNNNNNNNNNNNNNNNNNNNNNNNNNNNNNNNNNNNNNNNNNNNNNNNNNNNNNNNNNNNNNNNNNNNNNNNNNNNNNNGAGUAGGGUUUUACGCAUCCUCGCGGCCCGAACCUGGAUAAAGAAUCCGUGUGCUACCUGUUUGAUCUGCCCUUCUCACAACCCCGCACCUCGCAACCGUAGUAGGGAUUCUCGUGAUCCCAUAGGUGUCGUCCUCGCACCGACAUCUUUGGCGCGCCAGGUAGGGGGCGCAGUUGUGAUAAUCGGCUCUAGCAGUUAGUUCGACGCUUCUUCAUCGUCAUGGCACCCAAGAAGAAGAUGACGGCGGCAGUUGGACCGUCGGGGGCUGGGCAUUCCGUCCCGACGCGGGCGAGCAGCGGACCGGUCGCAGAAAGGACCCGGGGCACCGUUCGCGAACACCAACACCGUCCCAGCAACCGAAGUUUGGGAGGCGGCGAUGUUCAUGCGCCUGGUAACGGGCAACACGCCGCCAAAUCCAAAGACGGAGCCAGGCCCUCCGCGGGUGGCGCGGGGCCUUCCAGGGUCGCUGCCACCCCGCCCAAAGGCGACGCGAGGGCUUCCAAGACCCCCACGUUGACACCGGCGGCGCGCUCUUCUCAAGCGGCACGCGACGAACGGCGUGAUCACGCCGAAGACCCCAGGCAUCGCCGCGGAAAGAGCCCCGAGCGCCGCUCCCGGGAUUUAGAAGACCUGCCCACCCGCCGAGGCGCUGGUGAAGAUGGCAUGCGACCGCGGGGUCGUGAUAGAACUCCUUCUGACAUAGUCAGAAGUCGAAGUGCGUCGCGAUCCAUGCAGGUUUCGCUGCCCCCAACACCAGCAGAAGCCCUGGCACACGCGCAAUUGCUCCUUGAUUUCCCUCCCAUCGCGGGGAAACUCGAUGAAUGGAGAGCCAUUAUCCGAAGUCUUGUUGCGGUGGCCAACAAAGACGAACCGAGCCCGGUGGAGCCCCCAGGUCGAUGCUCCGACGGAGUCCCACGCACAAGUGGCAGAAGGGCCGGCGGCGCCGCGACCACGGUGCACUCGCCUCCUCCUCGUCCGGUACCUCGGACGCCAGCCCGUCGCGAUGUCACGGGCGACGAGAUCUCCGUAGCAUCGUCCGACCCGCGGGCCCACUGUGACCAGCGCCAAGUUCUUCGGGAACGAGAACAUGAAGACGCUCGAACCACUAUCGAGCGCCGGCGCGGGGCACGCCACCAAUCAGAUAGGCGAGCAGGGCCUGCUAUGAGCCACCCAGCACCGGGGAGCCCUGGAGGCCUACCUUACGAGGUAGGCUGUCCGGCUUUUACCGGUGAGCUGCGGCAGUUCCAGUGGCCCACUCACCGCACCUUCAAACCUGACGUGGGCGAGAAGUACAGUGGCAAGACCCAUCCGUCCGAGUUCCUCAGCGUCUACACCAUCGCGAUGCAAGCUGCCGGAGCCCGCGACGAUAAGGUGCUUGCGAAUUACUUUCCGUUGGCUCUUAAACCCAAUGCCAUGUCAUGGUUGAUGCACUUGCCGGUAGACUCUAUUUCCUCCUGGUCGGAUUUGUGCCAUGAGUUCGUGGGCGCCUUUACUGGAGGCCACCAAGCCCAUGGCCAGGCAAGCGACCUGCACGUCAUUCCCCAGAAGGGAGGCGAGAGUCUCCGUAAGUAUAUUUAGAGGUUCAGCGGGGUACAGUACAAUAUCCCUGAUGUUCACCCCGAUGCCAUCAUCAGCGCGUUCCACCAGAACGUGCGUAACUGCAAGAUGCGCGAAGAGCUGGCAAUGAACAAGGUGAGGGAUGUGGCAGAACUCUAUGUUCUUGCCAACAAAUGUGCCCGAGCCGAAGAGGGAAGGAAGUACCCCGACGAAGAUGCCGGCGUAGAAACCGACUCUUCAGAUGAGGAUACUGCUGCCCCGGCGAAGAAAGGCCGGCGCCGCAACAGGAAGCGCAAAGGAAAAGCCGUGCUUGCCGUCGAGGGAUCCGAAGACACCGACUCCACCAAGAAAACCAAGGCAGAUGACCCCGGCAAGGAGGUUGCCGGGUGCGUCGCAUGGCAGGCCUUGGCGGCUGCCGAGAAGCCGGGAAACUCCGACAAGCGAUACUGCAAGAUCCAUUGCACCAAGGGCCAUGCUCUCCAGGACUGCUGACAGGUUGAGCUCCUCGCUGAAAAGCAGAGGGCUGAGUAUGAGAGGCGGGACAAGGAGAAGGGCCCAGAUGGUGCUGAGGGGUCCGGCAAGAAGCAUGACGGCUAGGCGGGCAGUCACGGCAAGGAUAAGCAACAGGAGAGGCCCGCCCGGGGCCGUGACAGAAAGCCAGAACGCGACGAUCACGAAGAGGACGACGAAUCCGGCGACCAAGAGUUUCAGAAAGCUACAGAGGCCAUGUGCAUCGACAGCGGCGCCUCGCUGCAUACUUCUCACUGCCGGUUUAAACAGUGGGCGUGAGAGAUUACAGCAACAGAGCCGUCGUUUGAUGCCCAAAGGCCGCUGAAGUGGUCCAGCACACCUAUCAUUUUCAACACUGAGGACCACCCUGAUCGCACUACUGCGGUCGGGUGCUUGCCAUUGUUGGUUUCACCAACGAAACGUAACCUCAAGGAGAUGAAGAUGCUAGUCGAUGGCGGGGCUGGUCUGAACUUGAUCUCGCCUGCCGUGAUCGAGAAACUACAGAUUCCUGAUGGAGACCUCGAAGAGACGGGCACGUUUCAGGGGGUCAAGCUGGGAAGAAGCCAACCCAAGGGAAAGGUCACGCUUCCCUUGACCUUUAGAAGCAACCUCAACUUCAGGACGGAGAGGAUCGUGUUCGAUGUUGCCAGGAUCCCCUUGCCCUACAAUAGGAUCCUCGGCCGCCCAGUGCUGGCCAAGUUCAUGGCGGCGUCACACUACGCCUACAACACCCUGAAGAUGCCUGGACCUAUGACGAUCAUCACCAUCCCCUCCGACAAGAAAGAUGCGUUGGUUUGCGCCGACCAACUAUACCAGCAAGCAGUUGCAGCAGCUGCCGCCGCUAGGGCACCUGCUCCUGCCGCCGGAACCCCGGGAGGGAAGAAGAAGAAGAAGACCGGUGAGACCUCGGACACCCACUCCGGCAAGCGCACCUCUUCGGAGUGUAGCGCUGUCGUCGAGGGCGUGCCAGAGAACUCUACCGGCGGGAACAAGAAGCCCAGGGCCGUAUCACCAGGAACCAAGAAGGUCUCUGUCAAUGAGGACGGCACGAGAGGAGCUUUUACCAUAAGCUCUGCCCUUGACGGCAAAUAGGAAGACGCGCUCGUCACCUUCCUACGGGCGAAUGUCGAUGUGUUUGCAUGGCAAGCUUCCGACAUCCCCAGUGUUCCCAGGGAGGUGAUUGAGCACCACCUUGCUGUCUGUCCUCAUGCAUGGCCCGUCAAGCAGAAGGUCAGAAAGCAAGCUUUGGAACGACAAGUUCAUUACCGAAGAGAUCCGGAAACUGCAAGCAGCGGGUUCGGUAAGGGGGGUGCUCCAUCCAACGUGAUUGGCCAAUCCAGUCGUGGUGCGCAAGGCGAAUGGGAAGUGGAGACUGUGUAUUGAUUACACAGAUAUCAAUAAGGCUUGCCCUAAGGACCCCUUCCCGUUGCCACGCAUCGACCAGAUUGUUAACUCCACGGCUGGGUGUGAUCUGCUAUCAUUCCUCGACGCCUACUCCGGCUACCACCAGAUCUUCAUGACAAGAUAAGACGAAGAGAAAACAACAUUCAUCACCCCAUGUGGUAUGUAUUGUUUCAUGCGAAUGCCUUUCGGGUUGAAGAGUGCUGCCUCGACGUUUGCGAGGGCGGCCCAGAUUGGUUUUGAACCCCAGCUCCAUAGAAAUAUGGAGGCUUACAUGGAUGACAUAGUGGUCAAAACCAAGGACAGGGCAACCCUCAUACCAGAUUUGCAAGAAACAUUUUGCAAACCUGCGCAAGAUCAAUCUCAAGCUGAACCCUGAGAAGUGCGUCUUUGGCGUCCCGUCCGGCAAGCUUCUCGGGUUCUUGGUGUCACAACGUGGGAUAGAGGCCAACCCGGACAAAAUCAAAGCUAUAGAGCAGAUUAAAGCACCCAAGCGAAUCAAGGAUGUGCGUCGGCUUGCUGGUUGCGUCGCCGCCAUGGGCAGGUUCAUUUCCAAGUCUGCCGAGCGCGCCCUUCCCUUUUUCAAGAUCCUGAAAAAGGCGGGCCCGAUGGAGUGGACGCCAGAAGCCGAUGCAGCAUUGCAAGAUUUGAAGAAGUACCUCUCCUCCACGCCAAUACUAGUCGCGCCCAGGCCACAGGAGUCAUUGCUGCUAUACCUGGCGGCGACAGACCAGGUGGUCAGCGCCGCGCUGGUGACACAGAGAGAGGUCAACGACGAGGAUAUGGCAGCGGCAGAGCCCGACACCACCAAUGCAGAGAUGACGCAGCCAGUUGACGUGCCGCCGAAGAAGAAAAUGGUGCAGCACCCGGUCUACUUUGUUAGUUCCCUCCUGCAGGGGGCUAGAUCGAGGUACUCCGGCGUGCAGAAAUUGCUCUUCGGCCUUCUUAUGGCCUCGAGGAAGCUGCGCCACUACUUCCAGGCACACGAAAUCACUGUCGUCACUCGCUUCCCUCUGCAGCAGAUAUUGCACAAUCCGGAUGCGACGGGAAGGAUUGUGGAAUGGGCACUGGAACUAUCCAGCUUUGGUCUCAAGUUUGAAAGCACCUCGACAAUUCAGAGUCGAGUCCUAGUGGAGUUCAUUGCAGAAUGGACCGCAACGCUUGGCGAAGAAGCUCAAGAGAAUGCUCUCCCCGGCAAAGGGGCAAGUUGUGAUUGGGUCAUGUACUUUGAUGGAGCUUUCUCCUUACAAGGCGCCAGGGCUAGCGUACUGCUUGUCUCGCUCACUGGAGAGCACCUCAAGUACGUGGUCCAGAUGCACUUCCCUAGGGAGGUGUCAACCAACAAUACAACAGAGUCCGAAGGGCUUCGUGAUGGUCUUAGAAUCGCGGCGGACCUCGGAAUCAAGAAACUCAUUGUCAGGGGGGACUCGCAGCUCGUCGUCAAGCAAGUCAACAAGGAUUACCAGAGCCCGUUGAUGAAGGCCUACGUCGAUGAAGUGAGAAAGCUGGAAGAGCGUUUCGACGGUAUACGGGCUGAACACGUUCCCUGAGCAGAGAACGAUAUUGCCGAUUACCUGUCCAAAUGUGCUGCCCUCAAGCUACCUGUGGAACCAGGUACCUUUGUGCUUCAGCUAACUCAGCCAUCCGUUGAUCCAUCAACAGAGCAGAAUAAGAGGAGGAAAUCAGGGCCCGGCAAGUACUUCCCUGCCGAGCUCCCUAGAGCAGCCGACAAGGAUGUUGCCGAGGGUACUGAGCCUGCCACGGGACGACUGGCUCCAGCGGAGCGUCAAGCUCUCGCCGUCGAGACAGUCGUUCCUAUAGUGGAGGAAAUGCCUUUAGCCCUCGCCGUCGAGCCCCAGGCUCCAGCAUGGGCACAACAUACCGUCUGAUUCCUCCAAACAGGGGAAACUUCCUGAGGAGCAGGAAGAAGCGGAGAAAGUAGCCCGUCACUCUAUCAUGUACCAGUUCGUCGAUGACGUCCUGUACAGAAAGAGGCCGAACGGUGUGAAAUUGAAGUGUAUCCCUCGAGAGAAAGGACUGGAGCUGUUGGCGGAGAUACACGGAGGCAUCUGUGGAUCCCACAUUGGGUCAAGGGCCCUUGCCGGCAAGGCAUUCCGGCAAGGUUUCUUCUGGCCCACUGCCCUCCAGGAUGCGACAACACUCAUCACCAGGUGUGAAGCGUGUCAGUUCCAUUCAAAGAAGCUCCAUCAGCCAGCCCAAGCCCUUCAAACCAUUCCUCUCUCCUGGCCCUUCUCGGUCCGGGGGCUCGACAUACUGGGCCCUUUCCCCCACGCUGUCGGGGGCUUUGAGUACUUGUACAUUGCAAUCGAAAAGUUCACAAAGUGGCCAGAGGUGGAGGCAGUAAGGAAGGUCACAGCCCAGUCAGCCGUCAAGUUCUUCAAGGGACUGGUGUGCCGUUUUGGCGUACCUAACAGGGUUAUCACCGACAACGGCACCCAGUUCACAAGCCGCACCUUCAUGCAAUAUAUCCAAGACCUCGGCAGCAGAAUCUGUUUUGCUUCCGUCGCUCACCCACGAAGCAAUGGUCAAGCUGAGAGGGCAAAUGUUGAAGUACUGCGAGGCUUGAAGACCAAGACCUUUGACGGGCUGCAUAAGAGUGGAAGGCACUGGAUUGAUGAGUUGCCAACGGUUCUUUGGUCGAUCAGGACGACGCCAAAUCGAGCCACCGGCCAGACACCUUUUGCCCUGGUAUACAGGGCGGAAGCAGUUCUCCCCACUGAACUCAUAUAUGGGUCACCUCGAGUGCUCGCUUAUAACGAGCUUGAGCAAGAGCUACUGCGGCAAGAUGACGCGGUGCUCCUUGAGGAAGAUCGUCUUCGGGCGACUGUAAGAGCAGCACGCUACCAGCAAGCCUUGCGCCACUACCAUAGCCGCAAGGUUCAUGCCCGGAGCCUUGAGGAAGGCGACCUUGUCCUUCGGCGCGUUCAAUUGGCCAAGAAUUCCAACAAGUUGACGCCAAAGUGGGAAGGCCCUUAUCGGGUAAUACGAGUCACCAGGCCUGGCGCAGUCCGCCUAAAGACCGAAGAUGCUGUUCCGAUGAGUAACUCCUGGAACAUUGAGCAUCUUCGCAAGUUUUACCCGUGAGGCGCGGCUUGCCGGGCCCCCCGGCAAGCCACCUUUUGUACAAGCAUUGCCGAUGAUGCAUGUAACCCUUUGUACAAAGCCAGGCGCAGACCCUAAGCAUAAAUAAAUGAAGCGCUGGCGCCCUAAGUUAUAGCAUGCAUGCUAGGUCAAGUCUCAUCCUUGGUUAGGGUUGAUAAUGCUUAGCGGUGACUAACCCCUAGCUUAGAGGUUGAGUGUGCGUCUCUUUGCCAAUCUUUUGUCUUCUUUGGUUCGCAGGACUCACAGAUAUCCUUGUCGGAUCACUUGGGGAUGAGAAAGAAAAGAGGAACAGACUGGCACCUAAACCCCGGCAAGCUAGUGUUGCCGGGGGCUGCGAGUACAAAGAUUGGCCCACGGCAAACUAGAGUUGCCGGGGGCUACAGCUUCAGAUAAGUUCUUCGUCCCUUAUCAUGUAUUCCCCCAUGGACUGAGGGAUGUGAAACCUCAUUUUUUCCAAAACUACCAUGCUCCCCUAAAAACUCUAGGCCCUAGGGCUCGUUCCUGGGGCCAGGUUUGGUCGUAGUCGCGGCAGCAAAAGAAUGAAACGAGGAGCCUGAACCCACCUCAUCCCUGCCUCCGCCGAAAGCGUGAGAAAGGACGAGCGAAGUGGGAAGACGGCAGGGCCUGUUGCCGGGCAAGGAAAUUUUUAUCUUAAGGAUAUCAAGGAUUUAUUCCUCAUGGUGGGUUCUACCCGCAAACAAAUGACCCGGCAAGCAUCCCCUUUUUCAUUAAAAACAUUCCACUCAGGUACGGCCCAUAGGGAAUGAAAAACAUGAAUAGUGGGGAUUACAAGUUUUAAAUUCAGCUAGAGCCUAAAGGCUUACAUAUUAAAAAGAAAUAAGGUGCCCGUAAUCCCUUUCUUGUCCCUCUCCUCAGGAGGCAGGUCAAAGAGGCGAAAAGGGCAAGAGGGAGCGCCUAGGCAAACUACGGGUGGCAGGAGGCACCAAGAGAACAUCUCGGUGACCGUCCGAAGGCUGGAUGGUGAUGGCGGCGCCGGAAGCAGAGCUCGAAGACGAGGCGGUAGGAUGUCAGCACGCGUCGAAGGCAUCGGUGCCCGCGUACUCCGAUUUGACGGCCUUGCCGCCCGCCCUCUUCCUCUUCCGCAGCCUCCCAACGCCAGCCACCCAAGGAGACGACCCCAAGAAGUUCAGGAAGCCGGCGACACGGAUGAUGGGAUCGCCGGUGCCAUGCGGAGUGACACCCGACACCUAGUCGGACCCGUCAUCCUGCCGCCCGCUACCCUCGUCGUUGCUGCCGCUGUCCUCCUCAUCACUCCCACCCGAGGAAGAAUCUUCGCUAUUAGAAGAGCUCUCCAUGCAGCACCUCACCCGAGUCCCGAAGCACCCAAAGACCUUGACGGAGAGGAGGCCGCCCUCCAUCAGCUUGAAAUGGAGGGUAAGCCCCGCCGUCAAGCGAUGGAUAUGAGAGAACGUCUUCCACCCUCGGCCAAGAUACAUCAUGUGAGGGGCUGGGAAGUCGGCGCGAGCUCGUGUAUCGCUGAUCCAACAACCCCUCAUGUGCAACUGCAAGGACUCUGGCGGAUCCAGCUCCAUCUCGCUCACGAAUGGGGUCGGGAAACGAAGACGACGACGAGGCCGACGCAGCCUGACGAAGAACUUGCAAGGGUCAUCUCCAACAUGGCCCUCCAUGGGGGGAGGAACUACUGGCGGAGGCAGGACCGGCGCGCCGCCCCGUUCUCCUCUUCCCUGAGCGCCUCGACCUCAUCCGCGGCCUCGUCCGCGGCCUUGCCCCCUCCCCCUUCCCCUCGCGACUAGCUCUGCCACCGCGGGUAAAGGGGAAGGGAGGGUGUGUUGUCGAGCAGCGACCCUCGCCGCCACCGUUGAAGAGCCAGGAUCCCCUCUCUCCAUGGUGGAUGGGGGGAGCGGAAGGGCAGAAGCUAAAGAAAAAAGAAGAUGGAAGAGUGCGGGACUCCAUUUCCUCCCCCCCGUCUCUUUAUAAAGAGCCAGGAUGGGGGCUCAGCCACCCCACUCAGCCAAUCGAGACACGGAAGGCCCAGGGAACUAGGACCAACUCACUGCCCCGGCCUGCGAUGGCCCGGUUCCCCGCCUCCACCGUUCGCCACCCUGAGCGUGUGAGAACCACGUGGCGGGCAUGCAGGACCGAGGCGACGGGUGAGGUGACCUCUCCCCACCCUGUGAUUGUGGGGGGUGAGCACCUUGAAGACCACGCCCCGGCCCCGUUCAGUAAAUGGGCCGAGCCUCCACGCCUCCCUCCGUUUAUGGGGAAGGUGCGAACCGCCCCCUUUUACUACGACAUGACGCAUGUGCGCAGAGCUCAGCCCCACGCAUGCUGCCCACGUCACGCACGCCUCCCCACACCGAGCCAUGCGCGGAAGGUGUGGGAAGCGCGGCGUGUGAAGGAACUUACCGUGGUAAAAACUACCCCGCCUGCCCGUGCACCGUUUUUGGGCCUAGCCCAACGACGCGAUUACUCUCAUGUGUGGACCAGGCCCGGGGGCUCCUGCGGUGUACAAAAAGAGGGGUACACUUUCUGUGCACGGGCAGUUCGAGCCACGGAUGCCACCACGCCAAGCAAGGCAAGGGAGGUAAGCCAAGGUAAGACCGAAGCUCGGAAAGAGCAGAACGAUGCCAAGACCAAGACCACAAAGAGCAAAUGGGACGAAGCGGACUCCCCCCGCAAGAUCCUUGCCGGGGGCGGUUUUAGCGAACCCGGCAAGGCCCUUGCUGUGGCAGCUCGCCCCACACCUACGGAGCGAAUCACCCUUGAGUCCACUGCCCCCAUGGGGCAAGGAUUCGGGAGACAUUCUCGUGGUGGCAUGCAGAUCUUUGUGAAGACAUUCAAGAUCAAAUUCACACUAUAGAAGAUGACGACCCCUGGCGGGAUCCCAGGCAAGGAGGACCACAAGACCCCCGGCAGGAGCCUUGCCGGGGAUGAUAGCAGGCGCCACGGCAAGACCCUUGCCGGGGCCCCGGCAAGACUCUUGCCAGGGCUACGGCGAGGCCCUUGCUAAAGGCACCCGUAGGGCCACCGUCAGGCCACGCCAAUUCCAAACCCUCCAUUGUCGUUCGCAUGCGGCUGCUGACCCAACCAGUUGGGCAAGCACCUGCGUGGCGGCAAGCAGAUCUUCAUGGAGGCCCACUGCUGCACCACCUCAGCUACCUGCCUGCCUACAUGGCACCACAGGCACCGCUGGCCAGGGCGCGUGUCAACGCGAUCGGUGACGGACAAGACUGGGCUCUCCCCCGCCCCCGAUAAAGUAGGGACACCUAAGCACGAUGCAUUAAAUGUGCCUUGUCACGUAAUGCGAGGGAUAAACUCGUAUCACUGUGCCCUUUCCACCUCCUAUGUGCCACUGUGGCAGCUCCUUUCCCUAUAAAAGGAGGCCCAGGGCGACCAGGAGGGGGAUUCGGCUUUUGGAGCUCUUCACGCCCCAUUGCUAGCUCAGGAACACAGAUAAACAAAUCACCAAUCAGGAGUAGGGUUUUACGCAUCCUCGCAGCCCGAACCUGGAUAAAGAAUCCGUGUGCUACCUGUUUGAUCCGCCCUUCUCACAACCCCACGCCUCAAACCGUAGUAGGGAUUCUCGUGAUCCCAUAGGUGUCGUCCUCGCACCGACAGCCAACAUCCAGCACAGGCUUCCUGCUCCAGGGCAGGUCAUCCCCACACCGGAGCCCAAUGAGUGCGUCGUGUUUGUUGCUCACUUCCUCCGUGGCUUGGGCCUCACCCUCGAUCCUUUUGUGAGGGGGCUCAUGUUCUAUUAUGGGUUGGAUUUUCAUGAUCUAGCUCCGGACGCCAUCCUUCAUAUCUUGCCGUUCAUUAUAGUGUGCGAGGCCUUCCUCCAUGUCACCCCACACUUCGGCUUAUGGCUCAAGACCUUCAAUGUGAAGCCGAAGAUGAUCGAGGGGCAACACGCGGAGUGCAGAGGUGACGUAAUAAGUAGGAACGUAGAUGCCCCAUGGCCAAAGGGUUCUUUCCCAGAAGUAUCUGAUGAAUGGCAACGGAGGUGGUUUUAUGUCAUGGCUCCCAGAGGCACAAAGUGGGUGGUCGCCCCCGAAUUCCGCUCAGGCCCUCCAUCACAACUAGCGUCUUGGACCGACGUAGGACGGAAUUGGGGGCCCGUUGGCGAUAUACCAGUACUGCAGAGCCGCAUCCGGGAGCUUCUUGAGAGGGACAUUAACCUUGUGAGCAUAAUGCAAGUGAUGUUAAUCCGACGGAUGUUGCCAUGCCAACGCCGGCAUCUCCGGAUGUGGGAGUUCAAUCCAGAGGGUCCGCGGACUGCUAAGCACUUCUUCAGCCUGAAGCUCGAAGGGAUGUGCAAAUUAUUCUUCGGACCGAAAGUACAGUGUCCGGAAACCACCGAGGAUGCGGGCCUAAGCUGCAAUCGCCUAGAUACCCAAGUAAGUAACCUUGAUACCGGACACCUUGUUUUGUAUUUGUCAUAAUUGUUUAUUCUGAAAAUCAUCCGUGGCCAGGAAUGGCUCAGCAAGGCGGAGAGAAUCAGGUGUCUGGCGCCACUUCCCGAAGGCUCGCCUGGUCCCGCCAUGGCCAAGAUGUUUGACCGGGUACUCAGCAGAAUGCCCUCAGGGAAAGACAAGGGGAAGAACGAAGGAACCGAACUUCACACGCUACGCAUCCGAACCGGGGGAAUUGCCACCUCCCCUAAGGAGGAUAGUCAGAAAGGAGAGGCUAAGGCCUCCUCCCCGCGCGGGAAGAAAAGGGCUGCCUCCGAAGACUUGGAGACAGAGAUGCCCAAACCAGGGAAAAAGGUAUCCCCAGGGGGCCUGCCCCGACGGGCACCCUCACCGCUCCAUGCCCGCCAACGGGCCAGCCCUCCACCGAGCUAUAAGUCAUUCGUUAAUUCGAAGGUACUUUGUUUCUCCUAGAUCAAUAACCGGGAUUCGUCUUUUUUAGUCCGGCUAGCAGCUCUUCUCAACAGAGUUCAUCUUCGGGGGAUCUUCCUCCGAAGAUGAUGGAGAGCGAGACCCCACCCACCUCUCCGGCUCAUGAAGCAGGCGACACUGAGGUGUCGUCACGGAGGAGUCCGGAUCUGCCGAAGCCGGAAGCCAAUGCAUCAGCCGCUCUGAGCCCGGAGUGUUUGGCUCCCACGAGGGGCGAUGGGAAGGGUCCGGCACAGUUCAAUGUCCGGCCGGACAUAUUGACGGGCCUACUGGAGCGAGCUGCGCUCUCGGAGGAGCACCGCUCAUUAAUGAGUGCGGUGCUCAAGAAGAUUCCUUCCGCUACAAGCAGUUUGAAUGAAGCAUUUACAAGCCUGCUCAGAGGCUUUGAGGUAUGUAGUGAAGAAUACACCAUUUUAUGGCUGUGAGGCAUGCACUAGGUGUGCUUCAUAUGAUUGCUUUGUAAAUACGUGCAGGUACCUGUGGGUCCGGCCGCCGACCAGUCCGUUGAAGUUGCCGAACUAACGAGGCAGACUGGAUCGAUUGAUGCCGAUAUCACGCUGGUGAAUGAGCGGCUGGACAAAGCACAAGGUAUGUGCUCUGCCUUCCUUUAUAUAGGAAAAUAUGAAGGCGUCAUGAUAUUAAUGUAAUAUGUUUGGACUGCAGAUGGUGCUGCUGCCGUGGAGGCCCUGAGGGAGGAACUUGCCCAGGGCAAGGAACAAGCUCGGGUUAGCAAUGCGACUGCCCUAAAGGCGACCGAGGAAUUGAGAGCCGAACAGGAUGCUCAUCGCCGAAGCGAGGAAAAGAUAGCCGAAAUGGGUGUGGAGUUAAAAAAUGCCGCUGACCGGUAUGAGCUCCUUCAAAAGGAGCAUAAAGAUAAUUCGGCCGACCUAAACAAGGCACUUAAUGCCACCAAGGAAAUACGGAGCGAGCUCAGGGUGCACGGGAGGAGCUUCAACAGGCCGGUAAAAUCGCGGCUGGGGGCUCCUACUUGCUGUGGACGAAGUUUUUCGAUCCGAAGUACGCUCCCCUAGAUGGACGCUGGAGUCCUGCGGACGUGUAUGCGGAUUUGGCAAAGAGUAAAGCUGAUGCUGCCAAGUUCUUCGAGGAUCAGGGUGAUAAGGAAGUGGAGAAGCUUUUCUGGUCGCAAUUCAAUGCUCCCACUCGCCCGCAGCCGUUAAGUGACAAGAUGGCUGCUGUAGCAGAGCUUCACAGGUUGUCCGGGCUUGCAAUGCGGUCUGUAAUAGACCAUCUUUGGCCGAAGGGGCCUAAGCCGAACAGUUACUUUGGCUUGGUGCAACAGUUCCUUGGGGCCGUGCCCCAGAUUGAUGCCAUGAGAAGGUCGGCGUGCAUAGAAGGUGCACGGAUGGCCCUUGCCCGCGUUAAAUCAUUUUGGACAGGUAUGGAGGCCACCAUUGUGGCAACCCAGGAUCCAGAGGGAGGCCAAUAUCCGGCCGAGCACUAUUUGGCGCAGGUAACAAAAGGUGCCCGCCUAAUAGAGGCGCAGUGCUCGAAGGAUGUCUUGUUCGAGUGACAAAUCAGAUCAUUGUAAAAACAAUGUUAUUUUGGUUAUAUGGUUAUAUUUAUACUUUUUGCCUGAAAGUAUUAUGGUAUCUCCUGUGCGGCCGUUAUNNNNNNNNNNNNNNNNNNNNNNNNNNNNNNNNNNNNNNNNNNNNNNNNNNNNNNNNNNNNNNNNNNNNNNNNNNNNNNNNNNNNNNNNNNNNNNNNNNNNNNNNNNNNNNNNNNNNNNNNNNNNNNNNNNNNNNNNNNNNNNNNNNNNNNNNNNNNNNNNNNNNNNNNNNNNNNNNNNNNNNNNNNNNNNNNNNNNNNNNNNNNNNNNNNNNNNNNNNNNNNNNNNNNNNNNNNNNNNNNNNNNNNNNNNNNNNNNNNNNNNNNNNNNNNNNNNNNNNNNNNNNNNNNNNNNNNNNNNNNNNNNNNNNNNNNNNNNNNNNNNNNNNNNNNNNNNNNNNNNNCGCCUCGGACCCCACCCCUCGCUGGAGGUGCCCCGCCCUACCGCCGCCUGGCUUCCUGCGCGCCGCUGUCCUGACCACCCGCGCGCCGCCGCUGGCUCCCUGAGUGCUGCCGCCAUGACCACGUGCGUGGUGCCGCCCCGACCACAUGCCCGCCGCCGGCCUGGCUCUGUGCGCGCUGCAGACUCCAACCACCUGCGCGGCACCACCCCGACCACCUGCACACCGCCGCCUGUCUCCCUGUAUGUCGUCGGCGCUGACCACAUGUGCAUCGUCGGCGUUGACCACCUGAGCGUCGGUGCCAUGCCAAGAUCCAAGCUGGAGGUACACUACCUAUCAGCGUUUGAUCUCCCGUGCUCCUCCCCCCGAGUUCUUCUCUUCCUGUGUCGCUAGAAGCCAGCCAUGGUGAGCAUCGUCCCUCCCCAUCAACUCUCUCUAACCUUCCCUGUCAACUCUAUCUGACCUUCCCCACACCUCUCCCAGCUGUAGUGCAUGGUGCUUCGUGGCAUCCCAGGUUCCUCUCUGAAAACAGUCGUGAGUAGUGCUCCCAUGAAAAUCUUCUCAUGUGUGCAAAGCUAUGCCCUCCAACUAAUAUGGUAAAUUUGUUUAGCAGGUUUUUCUCUUUGAACUAGCUGACGAACAUGCUCCAACAUACGGUUGUGUUGCUCAUGUGAAAAAUGUGUUACCUGAACUUCACAAUCUUGACCAAACUGUAGGGACGCCUGUGUGUGAUUUACUGUAAAUUUUCUCGUUUUCCCCUUUUACAACCAUUGAGCUAAUUUUGAGACGUUCAGAGACGUUCCAUGAACUUCUACAACAACCAUAUGCCAAUUCCGACUAUGGCUAUACACCCGGUCGCUCGGUUUGCGUGACUUGCUGCUAGGAGCUACCUCCUUUCCAGGUCCUGAGCGGGGAGCCAGGCCAGCACCAUCCCCGUGUGCGUGCAAUCAGUCCAACUACACUGAGGAAUGCAUGCGCUUGCAGUGGACUGCUAGUCCAUGUUCAGAUUCUGCCCUUUCUGUGCAUCCACCCCUGUGAUUGCUGCAUGUCCAGCGGCUAAUCCCUAGUUCCAUGUUUCUUUGGAGAUUUUUUUGUACGAGUUUGGUGAAAGUUGUAUUGUGUUUGUACAAAUUUUGGUGCAGAGAAGACCAUAGGAAACCUAAAAAUAGUACAUGUAUUUAGUGCCGAUUUGGUGCUAUCAACAUGUUUGUGGUUAUGUCUAUGGUAGCUAACGUCAGCUUUUAUCCUUUGACCAAAUUUUUGCAAGCAACAAAAAAUCUUACGUGUGUAAUAUAUAAGUUCCUAUGUCAGAAUACCUAUACAGAGCAAGUUCAUUUUGCAACUCUUCUGGGAAAAAGUUCAUAUUAUUGUACAAUUAAUUGUAUUUUUUUUGAAGUUCACAUUGUCAAAGCCUCGAAGCUCACAUAACACAAUACGGUAUAGUUCAGAAGUUUGGAUGGCUCGGGUCUGAGAAAAAUUCUAAGAUACCUACACGCGGGUUGUUCAUAUUAGUAUAUUUGUUGAUUUUGUUAUUAUCUGUUUGGAUCUGGUAUUUGUAUUCUAUAUUUUAUGAACUAGUGUUGUUCAAUGGAUGCCUGUUAUAUUGUGCGUCUGUAGUUCAUGUUGUCAAGAUCACAAAGUUCACUUGUUGUCACCAGGGAUCCUGAAACAAAAAACAUGCGUGUUUGGCAUGUUUCACAUCCUGCAAUGACGAGCCCUGCAAGCAGCGAGCCGUCGGUGUUCCGUCCACAAAUCUGCCAGGGAUGUAAAAGCGCCUGUGGCAUCUUGUCAGCUGCCCAUCAAAUGUAAGCCUAUUAUGUUGUCAUUCAGUAGCAGUUCAACAAAAAACUGCGGCAAUUCUACAUGGGAAACUAUGAUAUUUCAGGUCUGCUACAAUGUACGUGCUUGUUGGUAUGCCAAUGAGUACAUUCAUUUCAGGUCUGGCACAGCUAUGUGCUUGAUGAUACUAUGUGUUAAUGCACUGAAUUAAUAUUUGUUGUGUUUAGUCUUCUGCACUUGUCAUUUUAUAGAUCCAACAUCUCCUGGGAAACAUUUGAUUUUGCGUUCAUGUGUUCAUUUGAACUUCAGUGCAUGCUCGCCAGUGAGUGGUUAACAUUUGAAAAAACAGAGUUCCACUUGUCUAAAAAACCAUAGAAGUUCAAUUAAAAUAAUAGGCUAGUUCAAUGUUUACUAAAAAAAGAGUUUACAUCGAAUUUAAAUAAAAAGGGGAAAAAUAGUGGCGCUAACUAUUUCUCACUAGGUACACACUUUUGUGUGUCAUCCCUCAUUAAGUAUCACAUUGGUUUUUUAAUUGCAGUUUCAUGGUCCCAUGCUCUGUUGUAUUGUAGGAAAAAUGAGAGACCAAGGACUACAGGGUGUUCCAGUUUGGUAAAGUUGAGGGGAAUAAAAGGGGGUACUAAUUGUUUUUCAAGUUACAAAAACAAAACACUAAUUUUCUUAAAAAUAUAUAAAGAAUUAAUUUAAAAAUAAAGAAACGAAGCAUUCGAUGUUUAUUACAAAACUAGGAUUUUUUUUGUUAAUUAGAAAUAAAACAAAGAAGUCCAAAUUAAAAAGAUGGAGCAGUUCUAUGAUUAUAUAAAUCGUCUUUAUUAAAGGAUGGAAACAAGAAGUUCAAUAUAAAAUAACGCAGUAGUUUGAUGUGUAAAAAAUGGCAAAAUCUGAAUCUGUUGACGGAAGAACAAAAGAAGUUUAAUAAAAAACACAGUAGUACAAAAAUAAGAGAGCACUUUGAAGUGGAUAUUUCAUUGUUUCUAAUAUAUAAAAUAAGCUGUUCGAAUUUUAAAGAUAGAGCAGUUCAAAAAUCAUAACGACGAGAUUAUGAUCAUCUCUAAAAAAAACUCUAAAAGUUCAAAUUUAAAUAACGGACAUGUUCAAUAUUUAUGACAAACCUAGGAUUUCUCUGUUACUAAACCAAGUCCAAAUUACAAAAAUAGAGAAGUUCAACAUUUAUAAAAAAACUCAGAUUUUCCUUGUUACUAAAGAAUAAAAAUGACGAAGUUCAAAUUAAAAAAGAGGAUUAGUUCGAUGUAUACGGGAAACUCAAAUUAUUACCGUUUCUUAGAAAAAUAGAACUAUGAAGUUCAAUUUAAAAAAACAUAUUUGAUUCUUAUUUAAAAACAUGUUUCCUUUCUAAAAAUAUGACUAAGAAGUUGAAAUUAAAAUAACAUAUAAGUUUGAAGUAUAUAAAAAACUCAGAUUUGUUGUAAGAAGUUCACGUGCACCUCCGUGCAUGGUUCAGAACGUAUAUUGCAGGACGUCCAACUCCAAUUACAUGUUUAAAAAUGGCAAAAAAUGACGUCUGACCUUCAAUUAUGUGUAAUUUGACGUAUACACAAAAAUGUGACAGAAGUUCAUAGUGAAAACAACGAGAAGUUCAAGUACUGCAAGGAAUGCAUUUCAGGUGAGAGUAAAAGCGUAAAACAAUAAAAGCUUAAAAGGUUUGUUGAAAGAAGUUCAAGUGCUCUGUCCGGGGAAGUUCAAAAAUUCUCCCAAUCCAUUACAAAUUUGGAACAAAAAUGCUCUACAUGAAAAAGUUCUUUUCUAUUCAACAACUUUCCAAAAGGGGUAUAUUGUAUGCUCUAUUCGAAGAAUAAAACCAAUAAGUCCAAACUAAAAUAACAGAGUAGUUCAAUGUAUAUAAAAAACUCAGAUUUUCCUCCUUACUAAAAUAGUAAACCCAAGAAGUUCAAUUUAUAAUAGUAGAGUGGGUUGAUGUUUUUUCUACAAAAAACAGAUUUCUCCCGUUAGUAAAGAAUAAACCAAGAAGUUCAAUUUAUAAUUAUAGAGUAGUUCAAAAUUCAAAUAACUCGGUUUUCUAUACAUAAGCUUUUCCGUGUCACCACCUUGCACCUCGGGGCACCGAAUAUGGUAAGGAUCCACUAAAAACAAUUCCUAUUUAACAGUAGAGAAUUUGGAAAAAGUUUCUACAUGGGGAAGGAGCGGAUUUGCAGCAGCUUUCCAACGCCAUCUCAUUUGCCUCAUUCCGAUAAACAGUUUAAAAAUAGACUCGAAAAUACGAUUCACAUUUUUUGUAUGAAGAAAACGGUUUUAAAAACUGCUCUUAAACCGUGUACAUCUUGCCAAAAAUAUAACUUGGGUCACGAUACUCGUGUCCAUAGCUUUCCAACAGUAUAUCGCAAGCCCCAUUUGGGCAAUGUUUGCGGAAGUUCAACCUAGCACUUGGGGAAGUUCAAGUGCUACUGUUGCAGCAUGUUAUGUAAUUAUUAGAAUAUUAUUCGCAUCACACGUUCAUCAUGACCCGAGAGCAAAUCCGCCAAUGAGCAAGAUUCCAAUUUAAAACGGGCAUUUAGUUGCUAAAAACCGUUUCCAGGUUACACUUACAUCACAUAGAACACUACUGACCAGAAUAAUUCGUGCGGGGAGACAUGGUUGCGAAGAUAGCCCGAAGGUCGGGUUCCAACAGAGGGAGUUCAUGGUUGUGUAACUCAGGAAGUUUAGGAUUUUUCCCGUUACUAAAAUAAAUAAAACCAAGAAGUCCAUAUUAAAAAGAUGGCGAAGUUCGAUGAUUAUAGAAAACUCAAAUUUUCCUCGUUAUUAAAGAAUGGAAACAAGAAGUUCAAAAAUGAAAUAACAAAAGGUUCAACUUUUAAAAAUAGAGCGCUUCAAAAUUUCAUAAAAAAGAUUAAGAAAAAAACCAGGAAGUCCAUAUUAAAAAGACUGAGAAGUUCAAUGAUUAUAGAAAACUCAGAUUUUCCUUGUUAUUAAAGAAUGGAAACAAGAAGUUCAAAACUAAAAUAACAAGAAGUUCAACUUUUAAAAAAUAGAGUGCUUCAAAAUUAAAAAAAUGAUUAAGAAAUUCAGAUUAAAAUUCAUAAAAAAAUUAGAUAUUCUCACGUAACCUAUAGAAAUUCACAUUAAUAACUGCGAGAAGUUACACAAAAGUUAAAAAAUGAUCUUGUCAUUUUCUAAUUUACUUCAAAAUGACAGGAAUAUCAUUUGUGUAAGUUCAAGUCCUCGGUCGGAGAAAGUUAAAAAAUUUAUUGUGAGAAGGGUUUGUACAAAAGGAAAAUCAUUUGUGUAACAUUAACGAAUGGAUGAGAAAAAAUACAAACGAAAAUACGUCACAGAAGUUCAACGUGAAAAUAGUAAGAAGUUCAACUACUACAUUGAAUGCAUUUCACAUGAAAAACUUUUAAAACCGUCGCGAGUAUGAAAAAACGAUCAACACGGGAAAGUUGCGUGUUCACAGUAGCUUUCGACUGGUAUGACACUUGUUCAAUUCCAGUGAGUGUUUUGGUGAGUGGAUGGAGAGCUACGGUCAAAAAAGCACGUGAAAAACAGAGUGAAGCUCAAGUAGACAUGUCGAGAAGUUCAAGUCUUCACGCGGUGCAUUUUCGAAAAUCUGUUUCGCGAUAAAGGCAGAAUGAAUAAUCUCGCCAUUUUCUCAAUUACUUGAAAACGGCUAAGAAUCAGAGAAAACCAUCAACAUGAAAAAGUUUCGCAUUUUCCGUAGCUUUUCAACGGUAUAUUAUUUGCGCCAUUCCGUUAAAAUUUGUAGAAAAUACGGCAAAAAUACAUUUUUCGCUCUUUUCGAAACUGACUUAAAACCAUAAAGAAUUAUGAGAAAUAAUACAUAUAAAAAAGUUUCGCAUUUCCUCAAGCUUUCCAAUGGCAUAUAAUUUGCUGCAUUCGGACAUACGGUUAAAAAAUUAGCUCGAAAAUACAAAUUCGCUAGAACUUGUAUUGUUUUCUAAAUCUAUUUUAAACCAUUCAAAAUUAGAAACAACUUUCAACAUGAAAAAGUAGUGCAUUUUCAUAAGCUUUCCAACGCCAUAUCAUUUGCCUUAAUUGGAUUAGCCGUUUAGAAAUGCCAUCGAAAAUACGAACUCGGCUGUUCGGUUUGCAAAAUUUUACGAUUUUCCAAAUUACUCUUUAGCCAUAAGGAGUUAGAAAAAACUUUCAACAUGUGGAACGAGCGGUUUUGCAGCAGCUUUCCAACGCCAUAUUAUUUGCGUUAUUCCGAUAAUUGGUUUAAGAAUGCGAUCAAAAAUACGAUUCACGUUUUUUGUAUGAAGGAAAAACGGUUUUCAAAACUGCUCUUAAACCGCUUACAUUUUGCCAAAAAAUCAACUUGGGUCAUGAUAAUGGUGUUCAUAGCUUUCCAACGGUAUAUCGCAAGCCCCAUUUGGACACUUUUUAGCUGAAGUUCAACCUUGUACUCGGGGAAGGUCAGGCGCGUUACUCGGGAAGUUCAUGUUGUGAUCAGAAUAUUAUUCAGAUCCCGUGAUCAAAAUAAUAUUUUGAUCACAACUUGAACUGUCUGAGUAACACGCCUGAACUUCUCUCUGUACGAACCCGACCUUCGGGCUAUCUUCGCAACCGUGCCUUCUACCGCGAAUUUUUCUGGUUAGUCAUGUUCCAUGUGAUGUAAGUGUAAUCUUCAAAUUAUUUUUAGCAACUAAAUACUCGUUUUAGAUAGGAAUCACGCUCAUAGGUGGAUUUUGCACUCGGGUCGUGAAGAACUCGCGUUUUUUGCGAUUUUACUGCCUGAGUUGUUUGACCUGAACUUCCCCCUGUGCUAGGUUGAACUUCCCGCAACAUUGCCCAAAUAGGGCUUGCUAUAUACCGUUGGAAAGCUAUGGACACGAGUAUCAUGACCCAAGUUAAUUUUUUCGCAAAAUGUAAGCGGUUUAAGAGCAGUUUUGAAAAUCGUUUUUCUUCACACAAAAAACGUGAAUCGUAAUUUCGAUCACAUUUCUAAAUCGUUUAUCGGAAUGAGGCAAGUAAUAUGGCUUUGGAAAGCUGCUGCAAAGCCGCUCCUUCCACAUAUUUAAAUUUUUCUCUAAUUCCCUACGGUUAAAGAGUAAUUUAGAAAAUCGUAAAAUUUCACAAACCGAACAGCCGAGUUCGUAUUUUCGAUGUCAUUUCUAAACGGCUAAACCAAUUGAGGCACAUGAUAUGGCGUUGGAAAGCUUAUGAAAAUGCGCUACUUUUUCAUGUACAAAGUUUUUUCUAAUUUUGAACGGUUUAAAAGUGAUUUAGAAAACGGUACAAGUUUCACCGAGUUCGUAUUUUCAAUUUAUUUUUUUAACCCUAUGUCCGAAUGCAACAAAUGAUAUGGCGUUGGAAAGCUUGAGGAAAUGUGAAACGUUUUGUUACAUAUUAUUUCUCCCAAUUCCUUACUGUUUUAUAUUAGUUUUCAAAAUGGGUAAAAAUGUAUUUUCGCUGUAAUUUCCACAAACUUUAUCGGAAUGGGGCAAAUAAUAUACUGUUGAAAAGCUAAGGAAAAUGCGAAACUUUUUCAUGUUGAUGGUUUUCUGUGAUUCCCUGCCAUUUUCACGUAAUUUGGAAAAUGUCGAGAUCAUUCGUUCUGCCUUUAUCGCGAAACAGAUUCGUGAAAAAUGCAUCGCGUGAAGUACCUGAACUUCUCGGUAUGAAACCUUGAACUUCACUCUGUUUUUCACGUGCUUUUUUUGUCAGUAGCUCUCCAUUUAGUCAUCAGAACACUCACCGGAAUUGAGCAAGUAAUAUACCAAUGGAAAGCUGCUGUGAACACGCAACUUUCCCGUGUUGAACGUUUUUUCAAACCCGCGAUGAUUUUAUCAGUUUUUCAUCUGAAAUUCAUCCACUGUAGUAGUUGAACUUCCUGUUGUUUUCAGUUGAACUUCUGUGACGUAUUUUGUUUGUAAUUUUCUCACCCAUUCGUCAGUUUUACACAAAUGAUAUUCUUUUUGUACAAAGCUCUCUCACAAUAAUUUCUUUAACUUUCUCUGACGAAGGACUUGAACUUAUAACAACAAAACUUUUAGCCUUUGCUUUUUUAUUCUUUUUUUAAUACAAAAUGCACACUGUGUAGUACAUGAACUUUUGGCAGUUAUCAACCUGAUCUUCUCUUGGUUACGUGAAAAUAUUUGAGUUUUUUUAUGAAUUUUUAAUCUGAUUUUCUUAAUCUUUUUUUAUGAAUUUUGAAGCUCUCUAUUUUUAAUAGUUGAACUUCUUUUUAUUUUAUUUUUGAACUUCUUGUUUCCAUUCUUUAAUAACGAGGAAAAUCUGAGUUUUCUAUAAUCAUCGAACUUCUCCAUCUUUUUAAUAUGGACUUCCUGGUUUUAUUUCUUAAUCAUUUUUUAUGAAAUUUUGAAGCGUUAUAUUUUUAAAAGUUGAACUCCUUGUUUUUUAUUUUUGAACUUCUUGUUUCCAUUGUUUAAUAACGAGGAAAAUCUGAGUUUUCUAUAAUCAUNNNNNNNNNNNNNNNNNNNNNNNNNNNNNNNNNNNNNNNNNNNNNNNNNNNNNNNNNNNNNNNNNNNNNNNNNNNNNNNNNNNNNNNNNNNNNNNNNNNNNNNNNNNNNNNNNNNNNNNNNNNNNNNNNNNNNNNNNNNNNNNNNNNNNNNNNNNNNNNNNNNNNNNNNNNNNNNNNNNNNNNNNNNNNNNNNNNNNNNNNNNNNNNNNNNNNNNNNNNNNNNNNNNNNNNNNNNNNNNNNNNNNNNNNNNNNNNNNNNNNNNNNNNNNNNNNNNNNNNNNNNNNNNNNNNNNNNNNNNNNNNNNNNNNNNNNNNNNNNNNNNNNNNNNCUUCUCCAUCUUUUUAAUAUGGACUUCCUGGUUUAUUUCCUUAAUCUUUUUACGAUAUUUUGAAGCGCUCUAUUCUUAAAUGUUGAACUCCUUGUUAUUUUAUUUCUGAACUUCUUGUUUCCACUCUUUAAUAACGAGGAAAAUCUGAGUUUUCUAUAAUCAUCGAACUUCUCCAUCUUUUUCAGAAACAUGGAAAAACCCAUUUUUAUGAACCUUUUUUAAAUUUGAACUUCAUGCUCUUAUUUUUUUAGAAACAUGAAAUAAUGAUUUUUAUAUACUAGGUUUACUAUAUGUGAAUGUGUGCUUUUUAUAUUCAAACUCCUCGCGUGAUUUCCACGUAAACGGUAUUUUUUAGCGUGAUUUACAUCUUGAUAUUUUUUUCAUGAACUCCCCGGAAAUCGAUACAUUUAUGCUUCACUACACAUUUUUAUCGUUCUUUAAUUGCGAUAGUUUUUACUAUGUGUGUAUGUGUGCUUAUAUUCGAACUUCCCACGUGAUUUUCAUGUGAACUUUAAAAAGAAAUUGAUUGGGAAUUUUUUGUUCUCACUUUAGCUAACACUAAAGGCAACAAAAUUACACAGCUCACACUUUUGUGCUUGUUUGUACAUCUUGCAUGCAUUCGAGAACAAAACUGGGUUGCAAACAUGUCAUUUAUUUGUCCAAAUUUUCUACAAAAAACAACAAUCAUCUGGCCAAAGCACCACCUAUCGCAUUCAUAUAAUGAAGAUGUUUUUUCUAUCAUUUGAAUUGCUCAAAUAUACGCACUAGAACUUCUGUCAAGAACAUGUUGACAGGUACAUAUACAAACAACACCCACAUGCCCCAAAUGCUACACAUCUAUAGUAGCUCAAUAAGCAUCUUCUUUCUAAAGUUUUUUUCUUCUAUUUCCUGUAACUUGAUUCACGUAACUUCAGAGAUAAAAAAGAAGAAACAAUAGCAAUGGUAGCUAAUCUUCUCCCCUUGCUCACCUCACCAUUCAGCAGCAACAAACGGCAACACUUUAUAAUCAUAGAAACAUGCAGAGAUCACAUGCAGUGUAUACAGAAGAGAAAAAAAAUAUGGGCGAACAAUCGGCUAUUCUUUGGCACGGCAAUGAUUGGGGCACUUCAGGAGUGGUGCUAGCUGGAGUAGAUGUGAACAUCAGUCUGAAGAAGUAGCCGGCCGGUCUGAGUAGAAGGCCCUCCUCUCAUUCUGUACCUACGUACUUAGACCAAGUUACAUAGUUCUACGACUAUAUAUACAAAACUGAAGAAAAGGAAUACACCCCUGAGUGAACACUGAUGGCACUAGACAUGAGUACAUCGCCUGGUAAAAACCACCCGGGGAGAGGGCCUUACAUUCGUUUGCUUCUAAAAGUAUUUCAUCUCUGAUUAAAUGGACCGUCGGCUGUCAUGCAUUUUCGAGAUAAACUUGGAAGAAAACUCAAGUUUUCCAUUACUGAAGCUCCUGUUAAACUGAAACCAACAGACCAAAACACCAAUUUCUUUGCAUCUGCAGAUAAGGUUGACCUUCAGAUAUCAAAUCACUUUGAAACAAUACAUAAUUGGACAGGAGGAAGGAACCAAUGCUUGGCUGAAGACGCACAUGUGCCAAUGGCUAGAACAUGAGGAAUAGUAGAAAAGCGAGAUGAUGGAGGAUGCGAACAUGUGCCAGUGGCUCGACGCAACGUUUGCUGAAGACACACCAAAUGGUCUUCAGAUAUCUGCACUACUGCUGGCAGAAGCUUCGACACGAAGGAGCACGGACAGAUGAACUCGGACGGACUUCAGUGGGGCACUUGGACUGCCAAAGCAGCGGCUGGAGCAGCAUUGUAUGACGGCGGCUGGGACAUGCUGGAUAGAAGACACAUGCACUGGAUCAGGACCCGUACGCGCACAGCGCUCACUGGAGAUGCAGGGGCUUGAAGGCGGAGGAUCCAGUGGCACGAUGGUGGGAUCCAAGCGCCGCCGUAGCGAGGCAUGGUGGACGGAAGUAAGCAUCAUCCGCACUUUUGUAUCUCACUGGGCUGCUAUUGGUGCACCAGCGGGCGCCGUUUGGGGCGAUGUCCCUUGGAACGAAUCACCGGUGAUGAGCGAUUCCUGCAUGCGCCCCUGUCUUUGGACUUCUCCCUAGUUGAUACGAUGAUAACACCUGAGAGGAGGUUCCCGUCCGAGCUAUGCUAGUGGCAUCGACCGGGAAGGGGAGGAGCGGCAUGGAUCCGUCUCGGGGCCUGCUGGGGAUGGCGGCUGCUCGAUCCAUGGCGUGGGACGGCGGUUGCGCGCAGCCAGCUGCAGGUCAUGCCCUUCUCCAUCUGAAGUUCAAUACCUCCUCCAACUACAGCAUAGCACCCAAUCCGGAAGCGGACUCAUGGUCGCCGGCGAGUGGAGGGAGGUGAAGGACCCUUGCUAGAUCUGGCGACCCCGAGGUGCUCCGGCAGGCGGUGCAGCAUGUCUCCGGUUGGGGUCAUGGUUGUGGCGCGUCGUUGGCUGGGGUCGGUGCUUCUGCCGGGGAGGGAGAUGGGGGCGGCCGCGCUUCUACCACCCGAGGGAGGUGGGGGCGGCCGUGCUUGCUGUUGGGGAGGGAGGUGGUGGCGGCCGUGCCUACAGNNNNNNNNNNNNNNNNNNNNNNNNNNNNNNNNNNNNNNNNNNNNNNNNNNNNNNNNNNNNNNNNNNNNNNNNNNNNNNNNNNNNNNNNNNNNNNNNNNNNNNNNNNNNNNNNNNNNNNNNNNNNNNNNNNNNNNNNNNNNNNNNNNNNNNNNNNNNNNNNNNNNNNNNNNNNNNNNNNNNNNNNNNNNNNNNNNNNNNNNNNNNNNNNNNNNNNNNNNNNNNNNNNNNNNNNNNNNNNNNNNNNNNNNNNNNNNNNNNNNNNNNNNNNNNNNNNNNNNNNNNNNNNNNNNNNNNNNNNNNNNNNNNNNNNNNNNNNNNNNNNNNNNNNNNNNNNNNNNNNNNNNNNNNNNNNGAUGGCGUAGAGCGGGCGUGGGGAUAAGGUUGGGAGGUUUUUUUUUGUCCGCGUGUUCGGGAGUUCCGGAGGAUAUGUGUCGGCUUCUUAUAGGGCGGCCCUUGUGAUCCAAAUAGUUAGAGGGUGUUUGUUUCGAGGGACUUAUGGGUUUAGGGACUUAAAAAAGUUCCUAUAAGUCCCAUCCAAACCAAAUAGGAGGGACUUAUUGGGACUUAUUGGGGUAAUUAGGGACUUAUCAAAUAAGCUCCUCAGGGAGAAGCUUAUUGGGACUUAUCUGGACCCGCACCUCUCGAUCCCCUCGUCGCCUCGCGUACCGCAUCGCCCCACGCCGCUCGUUCGCCUCGUACUGUUCGCUCGCGCCGCUCGGUUCCCCUCGUCGCCUCGCUCGCGCCGCACAGAUCGCCGCCGCCGCCAUGGCCGACGAGGAAAACGAGAUCCCCUUCUUCUCUCAAUUCCCCUCGUCUCAGGAGGCACCCGAAGGCUCAUCCGCCGGUGGAAAUCUCGGGAGGGGAAUGGGUUUCUUGGAUCUCAACAACAACACGGACGUCUUCCCGGAGUUGGGCUCGUACCAGCAACUUCUCUUUGACCAGUCGGCCGGUCAUGGCCUUCCUCCGGUUGGAUGUGGUCGUGGGAGGCCCGUACCCCAGGGCAGAGGAGGCCGCAGCCGGUCUCUGAACAUCGAAGGCCGAGGCGGCUCUAACCUGCGUCCGUUCGUCGCCCCGGCCGCAGCUGCCGUUGAGGGAGGCGUCAUAGGGCGUGGGAGGACCUCGUCCCAGGUCACCGGACGCGGCGUAGGUCGAGGCAAUGGGUCCUCAGCGGCCGGCAGUAGAGGCAAAAAUGCAGGGAAGCAACGUGUGUCAUCAACUUAUAAGUCCCUGUAAACAAACAGGCAGGGACUUGGGACUUAUAAGUCGAUGUAAACAAAUAGGCAGGGACUUAUGACUUAUAAGUUGGGACUUAAAAAAGUCCUGGGACUUAUGAAACAAACAUGCCCUUAUUCUAAUCCCGGGAUUAGAAUAGUGUUGUCCUAUAUAUAUAGGAUGGGUCUAUUAUGAUAACUCCCUCUAGAGUCUUAUUCUGCACACCAAACCCUUAUUGUGCUAACACCCUCACUCACAGCGAACCGAUCAACCCAGUUGAAACCCACCCCCACUCCCACGACUCCUCGUGCCAACCAACCCAUCUCCUCCCACCUUCUUCCCCUUCCCCACCGCAGCACCUCCCUCCCUCCACCGCACCAUCUCCCUCCACGCGCCGCCGGGGGCCCCGAGCCACCGAGCUUCCACAACCUGCUCCGGCUUCCUCCCUUGAGCAACCGGCUCACCCCUCCACCUCCUCCUUCGAAUUAGAUCACAUACGCCCCCCUCCCGGUGAUGCGCGGCCGCGCAGAUCCCGUACACGCCGACGCGCCCCUGACUUCACGCCGCCCGGCGUCGGGCCCUGGCUACCAACCUCCACANNNNNNNNNNNNNNNNNNNNNNNNNNNNNNNNNNNNNNNNNNNNNNNNNNNNNNNNNNNNNNNNNNNNNNNNNNNNNNNNNNNNNNNNNNNNNNNNNNNNNNNNNNNNNNNNNNNNNNNNNNNNNNNNNNNNNNNNNNNNNNNNNNNNNNNNNNNNNNNNNNNNNNNNNNNNNNNNNNNNNNNNNNNNNNNNNNNNNNNNNNNNNNNNNNNNNNNNNNNNNNNNNNNNNNNNNNNNNNNNNNNNNNNNNNNNNNNNNNNNNNNNNNNNNNNNNNNNNNNNNNNNNNNNNNNNNNNCUCCCUUGCUGCAUCGGCCCCGCCCCUCUGUGGAUUACCAACCGGACGCUCCUCCCCUCCCUGCUCGCCCCCGGUGCCCUCUUGGCCUUCCCUUCCUCUCGUCUAUCCCCACUGCCACCUCCUUCCUCCAGCUGCGACCAACCAUCCCCUACAUCCCCGUCUUCCUUCUGACCGGCAUCAGCCAUGGCCCCGUGUCGCCGCAUCCCGUGGGCUGAUGGAUCUCGGCCCCGCCGCCAACCCCUGCCCCUGCACCUCCUCUUCCCACCUCCAGCACACGCCUCCCCCUACUGGAUCGGGCCGGACUCCGCCGUGCUAGUCUUACUCUGGGCUCCAGUCGCCGAAGAUCCUCAGUACUCUUCUACAGAAAACAAUGGCCGCGCGAGCACCUCAGGCGUGAGGGGCGCGCCGGGAUCCUCCACGCCUUGCUCCUCCAGCACGCCGGAGACGUGAAGGGGAGGAUCCCCUGACUCCACUGUCAACCGUUGCGGCAUGCGAGCUCCCCCAAGCUGCCGUGCGCAACUGCUCCCCGUCGAGGGUCCUGGCACACCUCCUGCGAUCAUCCCUGCAACCUCCUUCCCCGCCCGCCUCCUCCCACGACAACUCCCAGUACAAGCCGACGCUGGAUCCAGGCCGCGGCACACCCCUCUCUGGUUUCCAGCGUGUGGGGUGCAGUGCGGGGCGCGCACGCUUGCAGUCCGGCGGCGCCUGUUGUCUGGUGAGAUGCCCCAUCCCUCUUUGUACCUCGCGCGUUUCAGAUGCAAAAAGGAAUUGCAAAGGAGUUCAGAACCGCGUUGGCAUCCUGUGUCUCUUUUAGUUCUUUUUUUGCCACUAGUUGCUCCGCAGCAGCUCGACUUUUCACCAGAGGACCCCCUGCAGCUCUCUCCUCCCCAAUUUGCAGUUCGUCUGCUCAGCACUUUGCUGAAUCGGGAAGUUUUGCCCGGCUGAAAUUAGAUGAGAAAUUGUAUGAUUGGUUGGAAGGUUCAGUUCACUUCAGGUGUGAAAAUUUCUUUGCAGUCAUUUCUCAGUAAAAUGCUAUCUAGUUCCGCUGCUCGGCGGCGUCUAGAUCAGCAAUCCUCAUCAGAGAAAAAAAAGCAAGGAGAUUAUUUGCUCUCUUGUAGAAUAUACUGGCGUAGUAGUUCUUUUUUUCCUCUCUGGUAUGUUUAAAGUUGUAAUUAUUUAUAAUUGGCCUCUGUUGUUUAGUGUAAUCACAAAAAAACAAAUGAAAUCCUCUUGGCAUGAAAUGGUAGUCGACAUUUUGGAAAAGAUAAAAAGAGUGCCGCUGUUGUAAAAAGUCUGCUAUGUGCAACGCAAUGAAGUCCUCUUGUUGUGUAGUGCAGUCCUCUGCAGUUAAUUUUGCCUUUCUGUUCUCUAAUGACGGCGGCUAUUGUGCAGUACGCAUCAUAACGUACUGCUGUUGUCGAGCUCUUUAUUUACCUCGUGAAGGUCAACGGCGGCACCGAUGCCUCGUGCAGUUCAUAAAAAGUUAUUUUGCUUCUUUUUGUUUGCCUUGGGAUGCAGCUCGCCAUGGCCUCGAAUGCGGUCCGGUUUCACAUCCGUUUCAGUGCGCCAACGGCACCCCUUGCGUGCGUUCACAACAGUUUGCAGUGCAGUGGAUGUGGUUCCUUUAGUGCUACUGUGCAAUUUUGGGUUUGUGUUUUUGUACUUCACUUUGAUUAAGUAUGUAAAAAUGGGAAAAUGAAAAACCAUGUAGUUCCUUUGUGGUUCACUAUAAAACUCCUUUUUGGUUCACUUGGUAAUCCGAAAACAAAACGCCUCGGAAAGCAGCUCACUUCUCAUUACAUGUGGUUCACUUGCUCGGUCACUGCGGUCCACUCACCCGGUCUACGCACGAAAAAAUUAUUGAGUAUGGAAAAAACUCGCACCUCUCACUUUCGGUAGUGUCGCGGCCCGUUUACGGUAGUCUCGAGGUUCACUUUUCAUAGUAUUGCGGUUCACUAACGCUCGACAUGAAGUGCACUUUACCUUGUUUGGGAAAAAAUAUGUUCCACAAAAAAGAAAUCAUGCACUGCACUUGUCUCGUCUGAUGAAGUGCGGAUUUUAGUCUAAAGAAGUGCGGUUUGCUACCUCGUUUGGGAAAAUUUACGUCCCACAAAAAAGAAAUCAUGCAGCGCACUUGUCGGUCUGAUGUAGUGCGGUUUUUUGUCCGUUGCAGUGCGGUUUUCAGUCGGAUGAAGUACCCACAUCGAUUUGGGUGUCGCGAAAAACAGAGUGUCCGCAUUUAGGUAAUUCGAAAUUCCUCUUAAGCCGUAAAGAAUUAGAGAGAGUGUUCUACAUGAAAGAGUUGCGUCUCGUUGAUAUCUUUCCAACGAUGUAUCAUUUGAAUCAUUCUGAAUAGUGGUUUGCAAAAAUUUCACAAAAAACGGCCGCUGCCACUCGUCAUCCGCCGCACGAUUUUCAAAAUUAACUUAAAAUCGUAAGGAAUCUCAAAAAAAUUUCAGCAUAUGAAAGUUGCGCCUUGUUUGUAGCUUUCCAACGGCGUAUCACACGCCUCGUUUUGACAAACGGUUAAAAAACUGGAGCGAAAACAGUACCAAAAAUUUGAAAAAAAAUUGAAAAACAGAAUUCCGCGAUUUAGUAAAUUGGAAACUGCUCUUAAACCGUAAGGAAUUAGAGAAAAAUUUAUAUAUGAAAAAGAUGCGCCUCGAUGAUAUCUAUCCAACGGCGUAUCGUUUGCUUCAUUCCGACGAGCAAUUUAGAAGAAAUCGCGAAAAAACACUCGCUGUCACUCAUCAUGGGCCGCACCAUUUUUAAAACUGCUCUUAAACCGUGUGGAAUCUCGAAAAGUGUUCAACAUGUCGAAGUUGCGCCUAAUCCAUAGCUUUUCAACGGUAUAUUACAGGCCUCAUUCCGAUAAACCGUUAGAAAAUUAGAGCGAAAAAAGUACCGAAAAAAAUAACGCGUGCAAUUUUUUCUGACGAGAAGUUCACUCACGUGAGUGCUGCAGCACACUUGGUUCAAAGAAUGACGUGCACUUGCGUUCAGCGUGCAGUGCAGAAGUGGUGUGCAAAAUAGUUAUUCUGCUAAUAUUAGCAGAAUAGACCGUCAUAUAUAUAUAAACACUAUUCUGAUCACGGGAUGAGAAUAAUAUUCUGAUCACAAGCUGUCCUGCCCCGCUAGUAGUACGUUGAACUUCCCUGUGAACUAGGUUGAACUUUCGCCAACAUUGCCCAAACGGGGCUUGCGAUAUACCGUUGGAAAGCUAUGGACACCAGUAUCACGACCCAACUUAAAUUUUUGGCAAAAUGUAAUCGGUUUAAGAGCAGUUUUGAAACCCGUUUUUUCUUCACACAAAAAACGUGAAUCAUAUUUUCAAUCGCAUUUCUAAACCGUUUAUCAGAAUGAGGCAUAUAAUAUGGCGUUGGAAAGCUGCUGCAAAACCGCUACUUCCACAUGUUAAAUGUUUUCCCUAAUUCUCUAUGGUUAAAGAGUAAAUUGAAAAAAGGUAAAAUUUUGCAAACCGAACAGCCGAGUUUGUAUUUUUGACGUCAUUUCUAGACGGCUAAUCCAAUUGAGGCGUAUGAUAUGGUGUUGGAAAGCUUAUGAAAAUGCGCCACUCUUUCAUUUUGAAAGUUUUUUCUAAUUUUGAACGAUUUAAAAGUAAUUUAGAAAACGGUAUAAGUCCUACCGAGUUCAUAUUUUCAAGCUAAUUUCUUAACCAUGCGUCCGAAUGCAGCAAAUGAUAUGGCGUUGGAAAGCUUGAACAAAUGCGAAACUUUUUGGUAUGCAUUAUUUCUCCCAAUUCUUUAGGGUUUUAAGUCAGUUUCGAAAAUGGCGAAAAAUGUAUUUUCGCCGUAUUUUCUACAAACUUUAUCGGAAUGGCGCAAAUAAUAUAUCGCUGAAAAACUACGGAAAAUGCGAAACUUUUUCAUGUUGAAAUUUGUCUCUGAUUUCUAGCAAUUUUCAAGUAAUUUCAAAAACGGCGAGAUCAUUCGUUCUGCCUUUAUCGCGAAACAGAUUCGCCAAAAAUGCAUCGUGUGAAGUACCUGAACUUCUCGGUAUGAAACCUUUAACUUCACUCUGUUUUUCACGUGCUUUUUUAGCUCGUAGCUCUUCAUCCACGCACCAGAACACUCACCGGAAUUGAGCAAGUGAUAUACCGAAGGAAAGCUGUUGUAGACACGCAACUUUCCCGUGUUGAUCAUUUUUUUCAUACUCGCAACGGUUUUAAAAGUUAUUCAUAUGAAAUUCAUUCAGUGUAGUAGUUGAACUUCCAGCUGUUUUCACGUUGAACUUCCAUGACGUAUUUUCGUUUGUAAUUUUCUCAUACAUUCAUCAAUGUCACACAAAUGAUAUUUCUUUUGUACAAACCUCUCUCACAAUAAAUUUUUUAACUUUCUUCGACCGAGGACUUGAACUUACACAAAUGAUUUCCUACUAUUUUGAAGUAAAUUAGAAAAUAACGAGAUCAUGAUUUUUGCCUUCAUCCCGAAUGAAAAUAUACUGCGUGAAGUAGUUGAACUUCUCGUGCAUGUCUGUUCGAACUUCACAUUGUUUUGAACGUGUUGUUUUUUGCACUGCGUGAAGUAGUUGAACUUCUAGGACGUGUCUGUUCGAACUUCACUUUGUUUUUGACGUGCUGAUUUUUUAUGUGGUGUUUUUUGCACUACAUGAAGUAAUUGAACUUCUGGGGUAUCUCUAUUUGAACUUCACCCUGUUUCACUUUUUUUGUAUUUUUUCUUAUAUGAAAUACACACCAUGUAGUACGUGAACUUCCUGUUGUUAUCACUUUGAACUUCUCUCUAGUUUGAGAGAAUUGUUUUAAGACAAAAAAAUAACAUAUUUUUUUAUGUAUUUUGGACAUCUAAAUACACGGUGAACCUCUCUCAGAAGAAUUUUUCAACUUUUCCUCGCCGAGCACUUGAACUUCUAGCAACCAUUUUUUUAUGAGUUGUUUUUAAAAGUGCAAAAAAUGGUGUUGUGUUUUUUAUUUUUUGAACAGGUAAAUCCUAUGUUUUAAUAAACUCCAAACUUCUCUGUUAUUUCAAUUUGAACUUCACCUUUUUAUAUUUUGAGUAAAGAAUUGUAUUCAAUUUUUAUACAGAAAAAAUCAAACAUGGAAAUACAAGGUGAACCUCUCUCGCAAGAAUUUUUGAACUUCCCCGGACAGAGCACUUGAACUUCUUGCAACAAACCUUUUAAGCCUUUUGUUUUCUAUUCUUAUAUUCUUAUGUGAAACGCAUUCCAUGUGGUAGUUGAACUUCCCGCUCUUUUCACCUUGAACUUCUGUCACGUUUUUUUGUUCAACCUCUCUCACACGAAAUUUUUGAAUUUUCUCGGGCUGAGCACUUGAACUUGUAGCAACAAAACUUUCAAUGUUUUCUUUUUUCAUUCUUUUUUAAUACAAAAUGCACACCGUGUACUACGUGAACUUCUCGUAGUUAUCAAUCUGAACUUUUCUCGGUUAUGUGAAAAUAUCUGAAUUUUUUAUGAAUUUUAAUCUGAAUUUCUUAAUCCUUUUUUAUGAAGUGCUCUAUUUUUAAAAGUUGAACUUCUUGUUAUCUAAUUUUUGAACUUCUUGUUUCCAUUCUUUAAUAACGAGGAAAAUCUGAGUAUUCUAUAAUCAUCGAACUUCUCCAUCUUUUAAUAUGGACUUCCUGGUUUUAUUUCUUAAUCUUUUUAUGAAAUUGUGAAGCGCUCUAUUAUUAAAAGUUGAACUUCUUUGUUGUUUAUUUUUUUGAAAUUCUUGUUUACAUUCUUUAAUAACGAGGAAAACCUUGCCUUUUUAUUCAUUUUUCUCAUAUUAAACACACACCACGUAGUACAUGAACCUUUUCCAUUUUUAUAAUUUGAAUUGUUUAUUUUAUUUUUUGAAAUCAAAUUGCUAUCAAAUAAUAACUGAACUUCUUUGUGGAUUGAGAGAAUUAUUUUAAAACACAAAAAACAAUUUCUUUUUUGUGUUUUCGAACAUGGAAAUACGCGGUGAACCUCUCUCUCGAGAAUUUUUGAACUUCCGACGGAAGAGCACUUGAACUUCUAGCAACAAAAAAUUUAGACUUCGCCUUUUUACUCUUUUUUCUUGUAUGAAACACACACCAUGCAGUAAGUGAACUUCUGGCUCUUAUCACUUUGAACUUCUGUCUAUUUCACUUUAGUAACCAAAAAAAUCUGAGUUUUUUACAGACAUUGAACCGCUCUAAUUUUUUUUAUUUUAACUUCUUUGUGUGUUUUCUAGAAAUGUGAAAUUUGGAGUUUUGUUACAAACAUCGAACUUCUUCGUUAUUUCGAAUAGAACUUAUUGGUCUUGUUCUUUAGUAACCAGAAAAAACUAAGUUUACAAAUAAAUAUCAAAUUGCUCUGCUUUUAAAAAUUGAACUUCUUGGCUUUAUUAUUUAAUAACAAGAAAAAACUGAGUAUUUAAUAUGCAUUGAACUACUCCAUUUUUUAAAAUUGAACUUCGUGGUUUUAAUCUUUAGUAUCGGGACAAAUCUAAGAUUUUUAUAAACAUCAAACAACUUCAAUUUUUAAUUAGGACUUUUUGGUGUUAUUCAUUAGUAAAGAGAAAAGUCCUAGUUAUGUUAUAAACAUCAUGCCGCUCUCUUCUUUAAAUUUGAACUUCCAAAUAAAAAAACGGGUGUCGUGGUUCUAAGUAUGACAGUAAUGUAGGGGGGUACUAAGGAAAGGCAAUAUCCUAGCUAUGGAGUAGUUGUGCACACAAGUGUUUACGAGUUCAGGCCAUUCUCGGAAGAAGUAACAGCCCUACGUCUCGGAGCCCGGAGGCGGUCGACUGGAUUAUAUGUGUGAGAGUUACAAGGAUGCGAACCCCUCUGCCAGUGGGGAGGGGUGGCUUAUAUAGAGGGUGUCAGGACCCCAGCCUGCCCACGUAGCGGAGGGUUAAAGUACAUCAAGGCCAGGCGUUAUUGGUAACGCCUUACAUAAAGUGUCAUCAUGACCAUAAAGACUACUUAAUUACAGACCGUUUGGAUACAGAGUAGAUCCUAAACUCCUGGUGGUCGAGUGAGUCUUCAUGGUCGAGUGUCUUCAAGUUCGUCGAGUGUCUUCCAGUCCGUAAAGUGGAAUCUCUCUUGGUCGACUGGGAGACAGUCUCUUCUGUAGAUGUCCUUGGGGAGGGUACCUAGGACAGGUACAUGACCCUACCCUAGAUACAUGACUUCAUCAUUAGCCCCCGAAUGGAUCGAGGUUUGAGUGACGAAGGAGUUGAAAAUUCUUCCGAUUCUUCUUUCGAAGCUAUGAGUACGUCUUGUUCUGGAUCAACUGACUGUAGGUGACAGCAUCAACUUCUUUUUCAACCGCCUUGAUCCAUUCUGGAUGUAGGUCGAGUGAUCUUUCUACACUUGGAGAUCUCCGAGCGACGGAUCGCAGGAGAUCUUCCGUCUGACAAGUUUCCCUGCGGUUAUCGGAUUUAGUGGGAUCCGAAUUUUGGGAAGCGCGCGAAGCGGAGAAGGCCGCGGUACUCGGAUGGGAUAAGACAGAGAUGCCUCGAUCUCCGCACCGCCUUUUUCGCCACGUAUCCCUCGCGCGACUGUUUCGGGAUUUGACAGGAUUGCCUGGGUCCACCAGUCAGCCACUCGGAAGCGACUCCAUAUAAGGAACCGGGCGAAGGUUUUUGAACAGUGCUCCUUCAUUUUCCCCUCUCCCGUCUUCAGAUUCAUCCGCUGCCCUUGCCAUCUAUUCAGUGUCGUUGCUCCGUACCAGCCUCGUCGGCGAUAAUGGUGAAGGAGAAGAUGGCGGCUUUGGAGCGGGCGAAGAAGGCGACAGCGCAGGCGAAAGGGAGAGCGCCCAGUCGGGGUGGAUCCUCAUCGUGGUCCCGCCUGCCGCAAGGUUGGAUCCAAGGGGACUGGAUUCGUUCGACCAUCACCCAGAAGGACCGUGAUGACCUAACCAACGAGGCUUCCGGGGACGGAGUGGCAACCGCAGCCUCAGGAGGGUGAGUGUGUCCUCCUAGCGACUCUUGUCGAUCGCGGAUUUUCUUUGCCACCUCAUCUUUUCUUUAGGGGGUUUCUGAAUUUCUUCGGGGCUCAGCUCCACCACUUCACACCCAAUUCCAUUGCCUAUCUUGUCGCUUUCGUUUCUCUGUGUGAAAACUUCUUGGGUUGUCGGCCGCAUUGGGGCCUCUUCAAACACAUAUUCACUUGUUGCUCUCAGACAGUUAAAAAGGCUAACCCGAAUGACGAGAGAACCCAAGUAAUCCAGAUGUGCGGGGGUCUUGGGGUCCAGAUGAGGAGUAAGAGUGCUUUUCCAGCUAUGACCCUCCCUGAUUCAGUUAGAGGGUGGCAGUCGACCUGGUUCUACUGCCGAGACCGGUCGACGCCAGGGCAGUCGACUGGGCUCCCUCCCUUCUCUAUGAGUCGAGUGAACAAGCCGUCUUCUCUGAAAGUAGUUCUGGAGGAGAAGGCCCAGGUUAGAAUGUUGAUGGAGCGAGUAGUCCAACUCAUUCGCGAUGGUGUGACUGGCAUGGAUCUUCUGGAGGUUUUCCUUUGUCGGCGUAUCCAACCACUCUAGUACCGGGGCCACCCGAUGCGGUUGUACUCUGGUAUUGAAGACACCACCCGGGUUCACCCAGAAGAGGUCGACGAUGUCACGCUGGAGAGGUGGAUGACCGCCAUCACAGGGAACAAGGACAACCCUCGUGGGGCCAGGAGGAUCCCGCCACUCGGCCAAUCUUAUGAAGCAGACAAGGUAUAACCACUUAUCUCUGACUAUAAUCAUAUUUCGUCUAUUCUGUUUCGCUGCAGAUCAGUCGAUCGACUUUUGUCUUGUUUGUUGUUUUUCAGGUCACCACUGAGUUGUAUUCAAUGCCCAACGGAGCGCAAGCACAGACCGAGGAGGAGGAAGGAAGUGGAGGUGAAAGUCAGGAGGAGUGGGAAUCGGAUGGCGAUGAGGGUGAUGAAGAUGUAGGCUCCGAUGAGGAGGAGGAGGAGGAAGAGGAGGAGGAAGUAGCGCCUCCGUGUUCUGAAAGAAGGUCCAAGCUUGCCCAUGACCCUGAUGUCGAGCACGGCAAGGGGGUCGCGUCUGUUGUGCAAUCGACCAAACGUCCUCGGACGACCUCUCCGGCGCUGACUGAGAAAGCGCCGAAGCAAUCUCGAGUGGUGCUGUCGAAGCCGACGAAGGCUUUACCGAAGAUGAAGAUGGUGAUUCCAACUAUUUCUGGGUAAUGACAUAACUUGUGUCCUCUUGUUUCUCAUAGAUUCAUUCUUGGUCGACUCGUUAGCUGACCGACUGAUUUCUGAAACUGCAGCGCUGCCACUUCUGAUACCUCGGCCAGACCUGAAGAUCAGGAAAUGGAGGAUGCCAUUACUUCCAACCCUGGUAUGACCUUUGCAGUUUUGUUUUCAGUCAGUGGGAUCUUCGUUUUUAACUUUGACUCUUUUCUGCAGCUCCAUCCAACAUCGUCAUUGAUCUUCCUGAUGAUGAUGAAGACGAGGAACCACUGAGACAAAGGAGGAAUAGGAGAGCGACUGCUGGCAAUGCAGCUCAGGCCGUGUCAGCACCUGAGACGUUAGUCACGGAGUGGGACAGCGUCACUUGGCCAACCGUAUCCUUUGCGGUGCCGCUGACGAGUGCUCGCCCUCCGUCGUCGAGUGCUGGCCAGCCUUCACUUUUCUCUACCCACCAUGUCCCUGAAGACCAAGCAAGUGCUGCUAAAGAAGCUACACGCCAGGCAGGAGUUAUGAUGGAGCAAGUGAAGGCGAUCCGAGAUGCCAGUCAAGCAGCCUAUGACGCCAGUUCAGCCCUUCAGAGCAAUGUUCAGGUUGGUCAAUCACUGCCUGUUCUAUUAGGAUAUGUUGUCUGAGAACUUUUCUUUCUGAAAAUCUUAGUAUGUGUCGUACAUCCACUGGGUGUGUCAAUUGAGAAUUUGGACUGGUGGGGGCACACUGAGUGCACCCACUGGGUGUAGUCCCCAAGGCUAUGGUCGACUGCUGGCAGUGGACUAUAGUCUUUAUGUCUUGAGUUUUUCUUUUUUAUCGUUAUUGUCUUCACUCGAUCUUGUCGAAUGGAAUCAUAAACCGGUGGGGGCACGCUGAGUGCAUCCACUGGGUGUAGUCCCCGAGACUGUGGUCGACUGCUAGCAGUCGACUAUAGUCUGAAGAACACACACACUCCUUUUUUUUGGGUCGACUGAUCGACUCUGAGUCUAGCUGAUAGAACUAGUGGGGGCACGCUGGGUGCACCCACUGGGUGUAGUCCCCGAGACUAUAGUUGAAUGUUUAGAUUCAGCUGUAGUCUUAGAAAUACUACAAUUUUUCUCUUAGUCACUCGGAAGUGACCUAUCUUUGACAUCUGUCGAUUGGUUUUUUGCAGAAAUCUUGCGAGCUUUCAGCUUGUUAUACUGAAUUGGAGAAAAAGCAUAUCCAACUUGAACUUGAUCUGAAGCUCGUCCAUGAGAACUUCACGAAGGCGAAGGAGGAGGCAAAAGGUAUGUUUGGUGAGAAUCUUGACGACUGUCUUUGCUUUUUUCCUGUCCCCGAGUCUGAUCUUAUUGUGAUUUUGCAGAUAAACCGAGGGACUCUCUAAAGAAGAAGGAUCUUGAUCUCGCUGAGGCGCAGAAAGCAGCUUCAGAAAAGACCAAACUCGCAGAAGAGAAGUUGGCUUCAAUCAGCAAACUUGAAGAGGAGAAUACCAGUCUGAAAGCUGCUCUCGAUACCGCCAAAGAGUAUGCCAGCUGACUGAAAAAUGACAAGUUGGCCUUGAGCGAUAAGGCUAGUGAGCUGGCAGGAAAGAAGAACGACUUAGAGGUUUAUCUGGGGGGGCUCGCCAAGAAGUUGUUCCUCAUGCUCGAAGGUAACCCCUUAUAUCCGACUGGUAAACACUAACUUAUUGUAGGAAUAUUAGCUUAUCUUUGGAUCGUUUCCACAGAAUUCUGCCCAAACUUUGAAGAGGAGACCAGUCGAGUGGAGACUGGCUUGGAUCCCAUCAACUCUCCUGUGAAGGAUGAAGCCGCCAUGAACGUGCUCCGACUCGAGUCUCGCGUUGCUGCUGUUGUCGACUAUCUUGCAAGGCUGAAGGUCGCGACGUCACGCAUCGACACGGUGCUCUGGCCAGGAGAAGCAUUUCAGAAUGAUCUUGAGUCCCUGAUGACUCGACUGAAUGAGGUUCCAAGUCGAGUGCAAGAAUGGAAGAAGUCUUCUGCCAGGUGCGGUGCUGACGUUGCUCUAUCUCUUGUCCGUGUCCACUGCAAAGAUGCGUGAGAGGACAAGCUGGCGGCUCUCAAGGUGGCCAAUACUAAGAAGCAUGACUUCCGAUCCUUCAUGGAGACCUUCAUCGCCGCUGCCACUCGGAUCGCAGAUGGAAUCGAUCUGGACAAGUUUGUCGCGCCUUCCAGCCCUCCGCAGGAGGGGUAAAAAACUUCUAUGCUUGAUGCUUUGAAUUUGCCUCGGAAUGCCGAGUGAUUUUUGUAACCGAUAAACCUUAACAUGCUUGAUGCCUGAGCACCUCUGGAUCUGUAGGACGCUAUGCGAACUUGGUUUGCCGUUGAAUAUGUCUGCUUCCGCUUUCGAACAAUCAUCCUUCUGUGAUGCUCUUUUGUAGGUAGGGACGGAGCACAUAUUACAGUUGACUUGUACUCGUCAUGUUUCUAGGGAAGCGCUGGGAUGCAGCUAAGCUUUCGAGUGGGAGAUUAGUUCUCCACUCGACGGGAUUUGGAAACUUAGGCGAGCACUGUGCUGCAGCUAAGCCCCCGAGUGGGGAGGUUUGCUCUACACUCGGUAGGAUUUUAUAAACUUAGGCGAGCACUGAGCCGCAGCUAAGCCCCCGAGUGGGAGGUUUGCUCUCCACUCGGUAGGAUUUUACAAACUUAGGCGAGCAUUGGGCUGCAGCUAAGCCCCCGAGUGGGAGGUUUGCUCUCCACUCGGUAGGAUUUUAUAAACUUAGGCGAGCACUGGGCUGCAGCUAAGCCCCCGAGUGGGAGGUUUGCUCUCCACUCGGUAGGAUUUUAUAAACUUAGGCGAGCACUGGGCUACAGCUAAGCCCCCGAGUGGGAGGUCUGCUCUCCACUCGGUAGGAUUUUACAAACUUGGGNNNNNNNNNNNNNNNNNNNNNNNNNNNNNNNNNNNNNNNNNNNNNNNNNNNNNNNNNNNNNNNNNNNNNNNNNNNNNNNNNNNNNNNNNNNNNNNNNNNNNNNNNNNNNNNNNNNNNNNNNNNNNNNNNNNNNNNNNNNNNNNNNNNNNNNNNNNNNNNNNNNNNNNNNNNNNNNNNNNNNNNNNNNNNNNNNNNNNNNNNNNNNNNNNNNNNNNNNNNNNNNNNNNNNNNNNNNNNNNNNNNNNNNNNNNNNNNNNNNNNNNNNNNNNNNNNNNNNNNNNNNNNNNNNNNNNNNNNNNNNNNNNNNNNNNNNNNNNNNNNNNNNNNNNNNNNNNNNNNNNNNNNNNNNNNNNNNNNNNNNNNNNNNNNNNNNNNNNNNNNNNNNNNNNNNNNNNNNNNNNNNNNNNNNNNNNNNNNNNNNNNNNNNNNNNAGUGGGAGGUUUGCUCUCCACUCGGUAGGAUUUUAUAAACUUAGGCGAGCACUGGGCUGCAGCUAAGCCCCCGAGUGGGAGGUCUGCUCUCCACUCGGUAGGAUUUUACAAACUUAGGCGAGCACUGGGCUGCAGCUAAGCCCCCGAGUGGGAGGUUUGCUCUCCACUCGGUAGGAUUUUCUAAACUUAGACGAGCACUGGGCUGCAGCUAAGCCCCCGAGUGGGAGGUUUUCUCUCCACUCGGUAGGAUUUUAUAAACUUAGGCGAGCACUGGGCUGCAGCUAAGCCCCCGAGUGGGAGGUCUGCUCUCCACUCAGUAGGAUUUCUGUGGCGUACUUCUGAAGAAGAAGGUAAUAGUCGACAUGCACCUCGUCCUUCUUGCGGGUCGCAUGUUUGUGUUUGUGGCAUAGCUCAGAAGGCGAGGGUAGCAGUCGACCUACACCUCGUCCUCUUUGCGGAGCGCAUGUUGUAUUUGUGGCGUAGCUCGGAAGGAGAAGGCAGGAGUCGACCUGUGCCUCGUCCUCCUUGCGGAGCGCACGUUGUAUUUUGUACUUAGGCGAACACUAGGUUGCAGCUAAGCCCCCGAGUGGGAGGUUUGCUCUCCACUUGGUAGGAUUUUAUAAACUUAGGCGAGCACUGGGCUGCAGCUAAGCCCCCGAGUGGGAGGUUUGCUCUCCACUCGGUAGGAUUUUAUUUUAACUUAGGCGAGUACUUGGACUGCAGCUAAGCCUCCGAGUGGAAGGUUGGCUUACCACUCGGUAGGAUUUUGUUUAAUCUUAGGCAAAACGGAUUCGCAUCUAAGCCUCCGAGUGGAAGGCUGGCUUACCACUCGGUAGGAUUUUGUUUAAUCUUAGGCGAAAUGGAUUCACAGCCAAACCUCCGAGUGGAAGGCUGGCUUACCACUCGGUAGGAUUUUUUUUACAAACUUAGGCGAAACGGAUUCGCAGCUAAGCCACCCACUGGGGGACUGAUUUAUGAGAACAAAAGCAAUAACAAUCACUGGGAAAAUUAUGAAACUCUUGUCUUUGAUAAAUAAACUACAGAAGUACUUUUAUUACAACUCGUCUGAGUGAAUAUUUAACUAUAGAAGGGGCGGAGCAGCUCCACGUUCCAUGCUCGGGGCUCGUCAAUCUGGUGCUCGACAUUGUAAAGGCGGUAUGCUCCAUUGUGGAGAACCUUGGUGACGAUGAAGGGACCUUCCCAAGUAGGAGCAAGCUUGUGUGGCUUCUGCUAAUCCACUCGGAGAACUAAAUCUCCCUCCAGGAAAGCUCGACUCUUCCCGUUUCUGGCAUGGAAGCAACGCAAGUCCUGCUGAUAAAUGGUCGAUCGGAUCAAAGCCAUCUCUCUUUCUUCUUCUAGAAGGUCUACUGCGUCCUGUCGGGCUUGCUCUGCUUCAGCUUCGGUGUAGAGCUCGACUCGGGGUGCAUUGUGAAGCAGGUCACUCGGCAAGACUGCUUCAGCUCCGUAGACCAAGAAGAACGGAGUUCUCCCAGUCGACCGGUUUGGCGUGGUCCUUAAUCCCCAAAGCACCGACGGAAGUUCGUCGACCCAUGCACCAGUUGCAUGCUUGAGGUCGCGCAUCAAUCGGGGUUUCAACCCUUUGAGAAUUAAGCCAUUUGCUCUUUCUGACUGUCCAUUCGACUAGGGGUGAGCGACUGAAGCAUAGUCAACUCGUGUACCUUGAGAUGUGCAGAAGGCUCUGAAUUCCUCGGAGUCGAAGUUUGACCCAUUGUCUGUGAUGAUGCUGUGUGGGACUCCAUAUCUGAAUAUCAACUCCCUGAUGAAGCUGAUGGCGGUGCCGGCAUCCAGAUUCUUGAUGGGUUUAGCCUCAAUCCACUUGGUGAACUUGUCGACUGCUACCAGCACAUGGGUGUAGCCGCUUCUGCCUGUUCUCAGUGGUCCAACCAUAUCCAACCCCCAUACAGCGAAAGGCUAGACGAGUGGAAUGGUCUUCAAGGCUGAGGUGGGCUUGUGCGACAUAUUGGAGUAAAAUUGACAUCCUUCGCACUUGUCGACUAUUUCCUUUGCCAUUUCAUUUGCUCUGGGCCAGUAAAACCCCGCUCGGUAUGCUUUAGCCACAAUGGUCCGGGAGGACGCAUGAUGGCCACAGGUCCCCGAGUGGAUGUCGUUGAGAAUCAUUCGACCUUCUUCCGGUGUUAUGCAUUUCUGGCUGACUCCAGUCGUACUUUCUCUGUACAACUGUCCCCUCAUGACAGUAAAGGCUUUGGAUCGGCGGACGAUCUCCUGAGCCUAUUCUUCAUUUUCUGGGAGCUCUUUCCUCAGAAUAUAGGCGAUAUAGGGCACUGUCCAGUCAGGAGUAAUGACCAGAACUUCCAUGAUUAAGUCGACCACAGCUGGGACUUCGACUUUAGUCGGAUCUGUGGCGCUUCUUGGCUGCGGGGCUUCCUCAGUGAAAGGAUCUUCUUGAACCGACGGCGUGUGAACAUGCUCCAAAAAUACGCCACUCGGAAUGGCUUCUCUUUUGGAACCUAUUUUCGCCAAGUCAUCGGCUGCUUGAUUUUUCAGUCGGGGGACGUGAUGGAGCUCUAAUCCCUCAAAUUUCUUCUCCAGCUUUCUGACUACAUUGCAGUAACCAGUCAUGGUUGGGCUUUUGACGUCCCACUCCUUCAUCACUUGGUUGACCACCAAAUCCGAGUCACCAUAGACCAUGAGGCGACGGACGCUGAGUGAAAUGGCCAUACGCAACCCGUACAAGAGUGCUUCAUAUUCUGCUUCAUUGUUGGAGGAAUCAAAGUGAAUCUGGAGUACAUAUCUGAGCUUAUCUCCUUGGGGGGAAACCAACACUACCCCGGCACCGGAACCAUUCAGCAUUUUGGAGCCAUCGAAGAACAUAGUCCAGUGCUCCGAGUGAACUUGAGUCGGUAAUUGUUGUUCAGUCCACUCGGCGAGGAAAUCUGCUAUUGCUUGGGACUUGAUAGCUUUCUUUGCCUCAAAUUUGAUAUCUAGGGGAAGGAGUUCAAUCGCCCAUUUUGCCACUCGACCAGUUGCGUCUCUGUUGUGCAGAAUCUCUGAUAAGGGGGCGUCGCUGACGACUGUGAUGAUAUGGUCAGAGAAGUAGUGAGAAACUUUCUUCAUGGUCAUAUAAAUCCCAUAUACAAGCUUCCGAUAAUGAGGGUAAAGUUGCUUGGAUGGGGUCAGGACUUCGGAAAUGUAAUAUACUGGGCGCUGAACUUUGAAGGCUUUCCCUUCUUCUUCUCGCUCGACCGUAAGUACAGUACUGACGACUUGUCCUGUGGCUGCAAUGUAAAGCAGCAAAGGCUCUUUGCUGAUCAGGGCAGCAAGCACCGACUGGGUGGAAAGCAGGGUUUUUAGCUCUGCAAACGCUGCGUCAGCUUCAGGAGUCCACUCGAACUUGUCUCACUUCUUCAUCAGUCGGUAAAGAGGCAAUGCCUUCUCACCGAGACGAGAGAUGAAUCGACUUAAAGCGGCCAAGCAACCAGUAAGCUUCUGAACAUCGUGCACACGCACAGGUCGUUUCAUUUGGAGUAUAGUGCCUACUUUCUCUGGGUUUGCAUCGAUUCCUUAUUCAGAAACGAGAAAACCGAGUAACUUUCCAUCAGGAACUCCGAAUGUGCACUUGGAUGGGUUAAGCUUGAUAUCGUACCUCCUGAGGUUCGCAAAUGUUUCAGCGAGGUCAGUCAAUAGGUCGGAACCUUUCCGUGACUUGACCACAAUGUCAUCCAUGUACGCUUGCACAUUCCGACUGAUUUGAGUGAGCAAACACUUUUGAAUCAUCCUCAUGAACGUGGCUCCGGCAUUCUUGAGGCCGAAAGGCAUGGUGACAUAACAGAAGCACCCAAAUGGGGUAAUGAAAGCUGUUUUGAUCUCAUCAGGUCCAAACAGACGGAUCUGAUGGUACCCGGAAUAAGCGUCCAAGAAAGAUAGUCGCUUGCACCCCGCAGUCGAGUCGACUAUUUGGUCGAUGCGGGGAAGAGGAAAAUGAUCUUUCGGGCAGGCCUGAUUGAUAUGCUUAAAAUCGAUGCACAUGCGAAGCGAAUUGUCCUUUUUGGGAACAAUGAUGACAUUGGCGAGCCACUCGGAGUGGUAAAUCUCUCGGAUAAACUCUGCUGCUAGGAGCCGAGCCACUUCUUCGGCAAUAGCCUUCCUUUUCUGGACGGCGGACCGUCGCAGAUGUUCCUUCACAGGUUUUGCCUUUGAAUCGACCCGUAGACGAUGCUCAGCCAGUCCCGUGGGUACACCCGGCAUGUCAGAAGGUUUCCAUGCAAAGAUGUCCCAGUUCUCACGGAGGAACUGGAUGAGCGCUUUUUCCUAUUUGGGGUCGAGUGUUGUGGAGAUAUGAGUCGGAGCAGCGUUGGGGUCGGUCGGGUGGAUGUGAACUGGUUUUGUCGCACCGGACGACUGGAAUGCUGAUUCCGUAGCAGGUUUUUUGGCUCGCAACAAAUCACUCGGGUCCGCAUUCCUCUGGUGUUCCUGCCACUCUUUAGCCACCAUCUGAGCAUCGGCGAUCUUUGAGCCUUUCUGGAAGCACUCUUCUGCCUUCUUGCGAUUACCAGUGACAGUGAUCAUGCCUUUAGGGCCAGGCAUCUUUUGUUUGAGGUACACGUAACAUGGUCGGGCCAUAAAAUGUGCAUAAGCUGGCCUGCCCAAGAUAGCAUGGUAGGCACUCUGGAAAUCCACAACCUCAAAUGUCAGCUUCUCUUUGCGGAAAUUCUUUGAAUCACCAAAAACCACAUCGAGAGCAAUCUGGCCGAGUGAUGCGGCCUUCUUGCCAGGGAUGACUCCAUAGAAACUCAUGUUGCUUGUGCUCAGUCUGGACAUCGGAAUGCCCAUACCUUUUAGUGUCUCGGCGUACAGUAUAUUCAAACUGCUGCCGCCAUCCAUCAACACUUUGGUCAAUCGGGUGCCCUCAACGACUGGGUCAACCACCAACGCUUGCCUCCCAGGGGUGGCUAUGUGCGUUGGGUGAUCAGAUUGGUCGAAUGUAAUGGCAGUUUGAGACCACUUCAGAUAAUUGGGUGUUGACAGAGCAGCCAUAUUCACUUCUUGGUUUAUAACUUUCAGUCGGUUUUUGCUCUCCACAUCAGCAAAAAUCAUCAGGGUGGAAUUGACCUGUGGAUAUUCUUCGUCACUGUCCUCCUUACCCUCAACCUUGUCCGACUCUUUUUCUUUGUCCUUGGACUGCUUCCCUUGGAACUGUUGUAUCAGGAGUCGACACUGUCGAGUGGUAUGCUUAGGGUAAAUGAAGUUACCCUCUUCAUCUUUCUUGGUGUGGAUGUGACAUGGCAAAUCCAUCACGUCAUUUCCUUCUUUAUCUUUUACUUUCUUAGGGUUCCAAGGCCCCUUGGGUUUCCCUUUGAACUUUCCUUGAUUCAGGGCCUAGGCUUCUCCAGGUGCGGCUGGCUCGGCUUUACGCUUUUGCUUCCGACUGGAAUUUCCGCCUCCGGUGUCCUGGGCGAUUGACUUGUGCUUGCCGCUUCGGAGCCGAUCCUCUUCCUCACCAUUGGCAUAUUUGGUGGCUAUUUCCAUCAUUCGACUCAGAGACAUGUCUCUGGUUCGACUGAAUUUCAGGCUUAGCUUUUUGUACUUUACGCCCUCCUUGAAGGCGCAAACUGCCUGGUGAUCAGAUACAUUCUUUACUGUGUGAUGCAGUGUGAUCCAUCUCUGGAUGUAAUCCCUCAGAGUCUCAUUCGACUUCUGCACACAAGAUUGCAGCUCUGUCAGUCCUGCUGGUCACUUGCACGUUCCUUCGAACGUCCUGACAAACACUCGGGAGAGGUCUUCCCAUGUGUAAAUGCUGCUGGGUGUCAACUGAUUCAACCAUGCUCUGGCUGACCCUUCCAACAUUCCCGCCGCCGAUCUGAACAACCACUCGGUAGUCCUCAAGCCAAGUAUCAGGCUUGGACUCACCGUUGAACUUGCUGACUCCAGUCGCCAACCUGAAGUUGGGAGGAAUCACCGCAGCUCUGAUGGCUUUGUUGAAACACUCUGUUCUGGAGACAUGAACUCGGCUGCUGGUGGGUAUAUCUCUGUCAUUACCCUCUCUGUGGGCUCUGCUCCGGUGGACCAAACCUUGAACGAUGAUGGAUCUCACAUCAAAGCCUGGUUCCCUGGGGUCGACUGGAAUCCUUCGCCCGCCACUGUGCUAGCGUCUAUCAUCCUGCUGUCGAGGUACAUAUGAUCCACUCCUUGGGGGAGGAGUGGGCACUCGACGUCGAUCAUUGCGAUCGAAUCGGUGAUCAUACUGCUCAUAGUUCAUGUACUGAUCGUGCCGGUCACCGCGCCCUUCACGCCUCGGGGGCGAUCUGGGGCUAUGAGCCGACUGGACCGUAUUCACCGCCAUAGAUCUGCUGUGAAUCCUGUUCCGUGACUGCGAUACAGCCGAAUUCUGAUCUCCUGCUGCCCGGAGCAAAUCCCUGAUCUGCAUCAAGCCUCUGCCAGCUUCUGACUGGGAUGGCUGAAUCGACUCUGCUAUACGGGUUGCAGCUACUAAAUUCUGAAUCGGAGUUCGAUAUACUUGAGUCGGAGGUUUAAAGAGUUGGCGUCGACUGGAGUCUGGAAUCCAUUGCCGCGCGCGCUUGUCGAGUGCUCGCUGAAGGUUCUCUAGUCGAGUGCGCUCAGCCAGGUUGGCCAAGCGCGCAUCCUCUAAGGCGCGAGCCUUAGGGGUUUCUCCAACGAUCGGAGUGUGAAGCGCAUCCAUGUUCCGGCGGCAAAGCUCUUCCCUCUGCUGCGAAUUGAGGGGCUCGGGGAGGUAUUCCUCAUGGUCGUGCGACGGAUCGCCUCCGCCGUUGCCUCCCUCGGCGCCAGGAAAGCUGGGGGAACAUGCGGUCCAUUGACCAUCAGGACCUCCGCCGCGGGAUCACUGCUGUCGCACUCGGAUGCAGUAUCUGCGGAGCCAGUCGACAGGUCGAACAUGCCGUAGAGAGAUUCGUCGGGCUCGAUUGCCGUGACUUGGGCGGUGGUCGACUGGCGAGCCACCGUGUGUCUCACCCACCGCUGAAGCCUCGACCGACCGGAGCGCUUACGCCCGCGGGAGGCGGGGAGGGAGGAUGACACGAAAACCGGCCGAUACAGGGUCGACGGUUGCCGCAGAAGGACGCCGCGGACGCAUGCUCGAAAGUGCAUAGCUCCGCGGACCGGGAGCGCAUCCACGUCGAGCGGAGCCUCCUGCAGCCAGGAAGAGUCGUCGGCGAUGAAUGUGAGUGCGCCGAAACGGAUCUCGCGGCCCUCAACCAAAACUCCACCUGAAACCAUGAUGAUGGGAAUCAGAAAGAUUGCAACUUCUCCAAUAAGUCGUUAAGACACCUGCCCCACGGUGGGCGCCAACUGUCGUGGUUCUAAGUCUGACAGUAAUGUAGGGGGUACUAAGGAGAGGCAAGAUCCUAGCUAUGGAGUAGUUGUGCACACAAGUGUUUACGAGUUCAGGCCCUUCUCGGAAGAAGUAACAACCCUACGUCUCAGAGCCCGGAGGCGGUCGACUGGAUUAUAUGUGUGAGAGUUACAGGAUGCGAACCCCUCUGCCAGUGGGGAGGGGUGGCUUAUAUAGAGGGUGCCAGGACCCCAGCCUGCCCCCGUAGCGGAGGGUUAAAGUACAUUAAGGCCAGGCGUUACUGGUAACGCCUUACAUAAAGUGUCAUCAUGACCAUAAAGACUACUUAAUUACAGACCGUUUGGAUACAGAGUAGAUUCUGAACUCCUGGUGGUCGAGUGAGUCUUCAUGGUCGAGUGUCUUCAAGUUCGUCGAGUGUCUUCCAGUCCGUCGAGUGGAAUCUCUCUUGGUCGACUGGGAGACGGUCUCUUCUGUAGAUGUCCUUGGGGAGGGUACCUGGGACAGGUACAUGACCCUAACCUAGAUACAUGACUUCAUUAAGGGGCAAAUCCAUGUUUAUAAACUUUUUAAGCUACUCGGUUUUUUAAUUUGAAUUUCUAUGUUAUUUAAAUUUGAACUUCUCCAAUGUUUUAGUAAAAUGUAGAAACACCAUAUUUUUUAUAAACUUCUCGAACUGCUUCAUUUUUUAUUUUUGAAACUUCUUGGGUAAUUCUAUGGUAACGAGGAAAAUUACAGAUUUGUAAUAAACAUUCAACCACCCCUAUUAUUUAAAUUUGAACUUCAAGGUAUUUUUGUAGAAAUGGUUAAACUUACAAAACAAUAUGUUUUUUCCACCUUUCUACGAACUUACUAUGGUAUGCUUGUGAAGUUCUUUUUGCCUCGCGACAUUUUUAGGCAUUUUUAUGCUGUCGGUAAAAUGGCCUAGGCGGUCUUUUUUUUGAUGAAUUUCUGCAGUUUGUGUUACACGUGAACUUAUGAAUUUCUAAAACAUGAACUUCGCAUUUAUAUCUAGUAAGUAUACUGUCAGUCUGCUCCCUGUGACCCUGUGUAGAUAUUUGUAGGAAAGAAAUUACGAAGGCAAAUAUUUUAUUUCAGAACAAUAGCGCUCCUUGUCACCCUAUGCCAAUCAUUGACGCCAAGUUAAACAUUUCUUCUGAAAAGAUAAAAGGUCUCUUUUUUCCUUGCUUGAGCUAGCCAGGGGCCACUAAAUAUCUGUGAAUGGGUUUAUACCACACGUUUUGCACUAAUCAAUUCCUCUUGGUAGCUCCACCCGUGUUGUAGUGUCCGGACACCAAAAAGCUAGCCGCACCGGGAGAUGUGGGGUAUAAAUGCUUCUAUACAAGGUUGUGCUUGUUUUUACACCACACCUUUGGUCCUUAUCUCUACAUCUUAUCUUCUUGAACUACCCACCACCACACGUAUUCUUUUGUUCUCUCUCCUCCAUGUAACUUUGUCUCAUGGUCUUACUAGUUAAGAGAAGACCAUUUUCAUUCGGGUUCAGGCGCCCGGCCGACCACGUUCAGACCAACUCGGGAGGAUUUGGUGACCUGGGCACCUGCGGCGUGGUGCUCGGCCUUGUACAUCGGGCGGUGGCCUGCAUCCCUACCGAAGAAAGCCGAAUCUCUCGACCUGCUACUUCUUGAUAGUUCGACCUGCUUUUUCUUCAGAGUCCGACCUGCUACUUCGUCAUGCAGGAUGGAGCACGACAUGGUUGGCUUGAUGGGAAACCUUGUUGAGGAAAUAGUUGUCCUCGAAUGCAGCCAAUAUGAUAGAAUGGCCUCGAUGCAGAUGGACCGACGGGGAACGCAAUGAGAAAAGGAACAACAGGGAGAGAUGGCUGCCCGCUAGGACUUCUUGCCAGCGAGGCGUUGGACUGCCCGCACAGAAUGGUGGGGCAGAAGCUUGUGGAUGGUGCAGAUGGCACAGCGACGACUUCUGCUUGGGGGCGCGAUGGUGGUCAGUCGGUGACCCCGAGAGCACCGACACCCUUUAAUUGCAACGGUGACACUUCUCAAGAUCGUGCGAGGGCCGUCCAUGGCGCAUGCUGGUGGUGCAGGGCGCGUCGACGGUGGAGAUGGCCCCGGAGGCAUCCAAUCCAGAUGACCGGCAGCGGCGGCGGCCUGUGAUAUCUCUGGUUAGUAGAACACAGGCUUCGAGGGGCGUGAUGCUCGCUGGCUGGGGCGCCGCGCGCUGAUGGUGGUGCCGCUACGGGUGGGGCCGCGCGUGGCCGCGGGAGUAGGCGGGAUCCGGCAAGGGGGCGGCGCUGGGGUGGGGGAACAGGGGAAGAGGCCAUGGCGGAGCGGGAGCUCGGCGGGGAUGGAAUCUGGGGAAGUUGGGGAUCGGGGGGAGGCGGUGUGUGGUCUUUUUUUCCUCGCGGGUUCUGGAGUUCAGGAGGACCCGCGCGCGCCUACAUAGGGAGGCAUUGUGAUCCAAAUAGUUAUUCUGAUCCCAGAAUCAGAAUAGUGCUAUAUAUAUAUAUAUAUAUAUAUAUAUAUAUAUAUAUAUCUGAAAGUUAGUAGUUGUUGGCUUCAGCCUCCCACAUACAAUGUGGGGGUGUUCGUGAAAAAUAUGCUUAAUCAUAUUUGAUCCAACGUUUUGGUCCAUUAAGGAGGUGAUCACACAUCGAACUAGGCAACCGGACUAUAUAGCUGUAACACUUUCGCUUAGCCAUGGGAGUCUAAUGGUGGGGCUACUAUGUAGCCCUGGUACCUUCGCUUCCAUCCGAAUACGGGCGCGUGUGUACAUGACCGGAAAACGGUCAUUCGUUAAUGCGGAGGGAUCCUAAAGAUUCCGAUAAGUCUUCGAGUGGUUGAACAGUCUCUCGCUGUAUCAUGACAGUCAGUUUUCGGCUUUCUCUACUGAGGUGCUCGUUCGGAAUAAUCAGGGCACAAUCGCAGUAGUUCUCCUUUGGCCACCUUAGCCGAUAAUAACGGAACGUAAGGCGGCAAACCCAGGAGCCGGGCAAACCCAACAUUUGACCAAAGACAUGAUUCAGAGCUGAUGCAUAUAAGGCCAAACUCGUGACGCCGAACACUCCCGAAGGUAUUCGGACUUUAUAACAGGCGAUGGGCUCAAGAAUGCACAUUCAUUAUAAACUCAGUGUUUCCAGGUACGUGCAUUAAUCUAUCGUGGCAAAAUGCCAAUAACGGCAAUAUCCUCUGCGGGUAUGGAACCCAUGGGAUGGUUAAACAACAAGAUGCAAUAGAAAAAGGUUUACACAGGGGCUUAAUCUAAAAAGAAACCUGUUGAACGGGGAUCUGCUGCACAUUUGUGCCUUUGUCUCCGUUGUGCCGUAUCCUGGAAGGGUAUCGCGCGACAAUUGUCUGUGGAAAAAAGAAAAAUCGUAGGAGAGUACAACGUAAGUAUGCGAUGGAUAAUAAAAGUGUAAGAUGUUGGCCUGCCAAUAAGGUUGAGCCAAGUGUGGGGAUGUAUUAAAUAUUUAUAGCCCCUGGUGUUCGCAAUGGGAUUACAUAUACGGUGCCCUGGUUCAAUUUUGUCCGGGCUACCGGACUCGUCUAACCGUGUCUGUGGUCUUAAUGACCAGUCAUGUUUUCUGAUAUUGGAGGCCGCUUAUAGUCCGGCCGCCAGGGCCGUCGCGUGUUCCUCUGCGCGUGAAGAGCGCCCUAUGAUUCCGCUAACGGUGAUGACGCCACGUGAACCGGGCAUCUUGAGUGUAAGGUAGCCAUAGUGCGGCAAUGUGUUGAAGCGGGCAAAGGCCGUUCUUCCAAGCAAUGCAUGAUAGUCGUUUUGGAAGGGUGCAAUGAUGAAGAGUAGUUCUUCGCUUCUGGAGUUGCCUGGAGAGCCGAAUGUUACCUCCAGUACGACGGAGCCCCUGCUGUAGGCUUCAACGCCUGGUAUCACCCCUUCAAAGGUGGUGUUGUUUUGACUAGUUCUGGAUGGGUUUAUCCCCAUCCCGCGGACAGUGUCCUUAUAUAUUAAAUUGAGACUACUGCCGCCAUCCAUGAGGACACGGGUGAGACGGUAUCCGUCGAUUAUUGGGUCGAACACCAAGGUGUUUGAUCCUCCAUGCCGAAUACUAGUUCGGCCGUCCAAGUGAUCGAAGGUGAUCGGAUAAGACAUCCAGUAGUUAGGUGUGGGUACGAUGGGCUCUAUAUCGAGCGUGUCUCCAUGCGCGCGUUCGUGCCUUCUCAUGGAUGUGUGAGUCGCGUGGAUCAUGUUCACUGUUUUAACCUCUAGCGGGAAUUUUUUUCUGUCCCCCCGGUGUUCGGCUGGCGAGGUUCAUCCUCGUCUUCACUUGGUGUUUCCCUUCCCUUGUGUUCGGCAUUUAAUUUGCCGGCCUGCUUGAAAACCCAACACUCUCUAUGCGUGUAGUUCGCAGGUUUGUCAGGGGUGCCAUGAAUUUGGCACAGUCUGUCUAGGACUCUAUUAAGACCGGACGGUCCCUCUUUACUGCCUUUAAAUGGCUUCUUUUAUUGAUCAGGUCGAGAGCCCCUGAAUCCGGCAUUAACCGUUGUGUUAUCCGGGCUCUCUUCCUUGUUUUGGCGUUUGUUUUUAUUACGCCGUGGCUUCUCGUUGCCAUCCCUUAUUUCGGAUGUGCUGGGGUCGCUGGUGCCUUUACGGGCUAGCCAGCUAUCUUCACCCGUGCAAAAGCGGGUCAUAAGGCUUGUUAGGGCUACCAUUGUCCUUGGCUUUUCUUGGCCGAGGUGUCUGGCGAGCCACUCGUCGCGGAUGUUGUGUUUGAAUGCCGCUAAGGCUUCGGCGUCUGGACAAUCGACAAUUUGAUUCUUCUUAGUGAGGAAUCUGUUCCAAAGCUUGCGGACGGACUCUCCGGGCUGUUGGAUUAUGUGACUUAAAUCGUCAGCAUCUGGAGGCCGGACAUAAGUCCCUUGAAAAUUGGCUCUGAAAGCGUCCUCGAGUUCCUCCCAAUUCCUAAUUGAAUUUUCGGGGAGGCUUUUCAACCAGUGUCGAUCUGGUCCCUUUAGUUUGAGGGGAAGGUAUUUGAUGGCAUGGAGGUCAUCCCCACGAGCCAUGUGUAUAUGCAGGAUAAAGUCCUCGAUCCAGACCCCUGGGUCUGUCAUUCCGUCGUAUGCCUCUAUGUUCACAGGUUUAAAGCCCUGUGGAAAUUCAUGGUCCAGUACUUCAUCGGUAAAGCACAGGGGGUGAGCAGUCCCUCUGUAUCUGGACAUGUUGUGGCAUGCCGUCGGCUGUUGUUGUGUCUAGUGUUUAUUCCGAACUGGUAUUUGGUUAGCAUAAUCGUUUUGGUGACCACAGUCCCUCACCAGGGUGUGUCCUUUAGAUCCAUAGAUGGACCUAGCUGUGCCAGCUUUCUUAUCCAGGUGCUCAUGUAGAUCGUGCGCGACGUCGGUAGCUGCUUUGUUGCGGUUAGGGAGCGGUACGUUGGGCCUCCUAGUCGUAUUAAUCCUUGGUGGAACGGCCUCGUCGUCGAAUUCUGGUAGUAGCUUGCGUUUUGGAUAGCUCUUUGUAUGGCGAUCGUCGCCAUAUCUUUCUUCAGUGUCUAGCACCUUAUUCCAUCUGCGAUUGAGCGUUUCCUGGGCAGCUUUGAGCCGCUGCUUCUGCUUCUUCAGACAUCUCGCUGUGGCCAUAAGCUUUCUGUGGAGGUUAUCUCGUCCCACGCGUUCCUCCGGAAUGAUGAAUGCAUCAUCUUCCAGACCGUCUUCUUGUCCUGGGCCAGUUUGAUGAACUCGUCCCUUUGGAUCAUUGUCAUCGGGCAUCUUCUCCGAACUGUGUUUGGCGUGACCUGGCUCAUCCUGCUCCAUCGCUGGUUCCGUAUGGUCGUUGUUGCCUUCGGGGUUGACCGGAGUAUCGAUCCUUCUGGCGCUCUUACUGCUAUUUUUACUGUUGCUGGACUUGGAACAACGUCUGCACCGUCGCUUUGGCUUUUGCCCGAGGGUUUUAUAUUCCGGAUUGUCGCCCUCCUCCUCCUUGGGCGUAUCCACCAUGUAUAUGUCGUGUGGCGAGGCAGAAGUCCGGCACCCCAUAGAUUCUGAAUCUUCUCCUGCAUCUUCAUCCAUACCGUCGAUGCCUUCAGAGUCGAAGUCAAGCACGUCGGUUAAAUCAUCAACCGUGGCUAUGAAGUGGGUGGUGGGUGGGUAACAAAUUUCUUCGUCGCCUGCUUCCCACUCGAGCCGGACAUAGUUCGUCCCGGACUUUUCUGUCAAAGAGAGAGUUUUUAACAAGUUCAGCAUGUCGCCAAAGGGCGAGUGCUAGAAGAUAUCCGCAGCAGUGAACUCCAUUACCGGAGCCCAACCUGGCUCGACUGGCUCGGGAGUGCCCGGUCUGGAACCAGCAACCGGAUAAGAGUCCGGGGGUCCGGAGUCACAGGUUUCCACAGAGGCCGGAACUGUAUUCGGCUCCACCGCCAAUGAGUGUGCAACCUGCGGGGCGGGGACCAUCCCUCCGUCCUCACGCGAUGCAGCCUGCUCCAGAUUUAGGUCCAGAGCCGCUGCGGGGGUGAUAACCCGAAUAUUGUCCGACAACAGAUCUAGGCGUGCUCAUCGCGACUGCCCGGUGCUUCUGGCACACGCCCGAAUCCGUCGAAGAUCAAGUCUUCGCGAACGUCGGCCGUGUAAUUCAAGUUUCUAAAACUGACCCGGUGGCCAGGGGCGUAGCUGUCGAUCUGCUCCAGAUGGCCAAGUGAAUUGACCCGCAUUGCGAAGCCGCCGAACACGAAGAUCUGUCCGGGGAGAAAAGUCUCACCCUGGACCGUGUCAUUGAUGAUGAUCGAAGGAGCCAUCAAGCCUUGUGGUGACGACACAAAGGAACUCUCAAUGAAAGCACCAAUGUCGGUGCCAAAACCGGUGGAUCUCGGGUAGGGGGUCCCGAUCUGUGCGUCUAGGCUGAUGGUAACAGGAAGCAAGGGACACAAUGUUUACCCAGGUUCGGGCCCUCUCGAUGGAGGUAAAACCCUACUUCCUGCUUGAUUAAUAUUGAAGAUAUGAGUAGUACAAGAGUAGAUCUACCACGAGAUCGUCGAGGCUAAACCCUAGAAGCUAGCCUAUGAUGGUAUGAUUGUAAUUGUGAUCGGCCUUCUAAGAACCAACCUCUCCGGUUUAUAUAGACACCAGAGAGGGCUAGGGUUUACAUGGAGUCGGUACAAGGAAGGAAAUACAACAUCCGGAUCGCCAAGCUUGCCUUCCACGCCAAGGAGAGUCCCAUCCGGACACGGGACGAAGUCUUGAGUCUUGUAUCUUCACGCUUCAAUAGUCCGAACGAUGUACAUAGUCCGGCUGUCUGGAUACCCCCUUAUCCAGGACUCCCUCAACCGGCAUCAUCCGUGCGUGGGUGAGCACGCCGCCCAUCGCGAUGGGCACCACACUGGAGCAAGAGGAGACCUACCUGGAGCACUCGCGAUAGCUCCACCUAUCGGAGGAGUACGCCGACAGCAAGCGCCAGAUGCAGGCCGAGCACGAGGAGGAGGAGCGUCGUGCCUGCUGGUCACGGGAGUGUUGGGGAACGUAGUAAUUUCAAAAAAAAAAUUCUACGCACACGCAAGAUCAUGGUGAUGCAUAGCAACGAGAGGGUAGAGUGUCGUCCACGUACCCUCGUAGACUGUAAGCAGAAGCGUUAUGACAACGUGGUUGAUGUAGUCGUGUGUCUUCAUGAUCGACCGAUCCUAGUACCGAACGUACGACACUUCCGCGAUCUGCACAUGUUCUACUCGGUGACGUCCCACAAACUCACGAUCCAGUAGAGCUUCGAGGGAGAGUUCCGUCAGCACGACGGCAUGAUGACGGUGUUGAUGAAGCUACCGACGCAGGGCUUCGCCUAAGCACCGCAACAAUAUGACCGAGGUGGAUUAUGGUGGAGGGGGCACCACACGCGGCUAAAGAUCAAUGAUCAACUUGUGUGUAUUGGGGUGCCGCCCUAUAUAUAAAGGAGCUAGGGGGGAGGCGGCCGGCCAGGAGGAGGGUGCACCAAGGGGGGAGUCCUACUUAGGACUCCUCCUUUCCUAGUAGGAGUAGGAGAAGGGGGAAGGAGGAGAGAGGGGGGAAGGAAAGGGGGGCGCCGCCCCCCCCCUUGUCCAAUUCAGACUAGAGGGGAAGGGGCGUGCGGUCCUGCCUUGGCCGCCCCUCCUCUUCUCCACUAAGGCCCAUAAGGCCCAUUAUACUCCCCGGGGGGUUCUGGUAACCCCCCGAUACUCCGGUAUAUGCCCGGAACACUUCCGAAGUCCAAACAUGGUCAUCCAAUAUAUUGAUCUUUAUGUCUCGACCAUUUCGAGACUCCUCAUCAUGUCCAUGAUCAUAUCCGGGACUCCGAACUACCUUCGGUACAUCAAAACACAUAAACUCAUAAUACCGAUCGUCACCGAACGUUAAGCGUGCGGACCCUACGGGUUCAAGAACUAUGUAGACAUGACCGAGACACAUCUCACCAAUAGCGGAACCUGGAUGCUCAUAUUGGCUCCUACAUAUUCUACGAAGAUCUUUAUCGGUCAAACCUCAUAACAACAUACGUUGUUCCCUUUGUCAUCGGUAUGUUACUUGCCCGAGAUUCGAUCAUCGAUAUCUUAAUACCUAGCUCAAUCUCGCUACCGGCAAGUCUCUUUACUCGUUCCAUAAUGCAUCAUCCCGCAACUAACUCAUUAGUCACAUUGCUUGCAAGGCUUAUAGUGAUGUGCAUUACCGAGAGGGCCCAGAGAUACCUAUUUGAAAAUCGGAGUGGAAAAUCCUAAUCUCGAUCUAUGGCAACUCAACAAACACCACCGGAGACACCUAUAGAGCACCUUUAUAAUCACCUACUUACAUUGUGACGUUUGGUAGAACACAAAGUGUUCCUUCGGUAUUCGGGAGUUGCAUGAUCUCAUAGUCAUAGGAACAUGUAUAAGUCAUGAAGAAAGCAAUAUCAACAUACUAAAUGAUCAAGUGCUAAGCUAACGGAAUGGGUCAAGUCAAUCACAUCAUUCUCUAAUGAUGUGAUCCCGUUUAUCAAAUGACAACUCAUGUCUAUGGCUAGGAAACUUAACCAUCUUUGAUUCAACGAGCUAGUCAAGUAGAGGCAUACUAGUGACACUCUGCUUGUCUAUGUAUUCACACAUGUACUAAGUUUCCGGUUACUACAAUUCUAGCAUGAAUAAUAAACAUUUAUCAUUAAAUAAGGAAAUAAAUAAUAACUUUAUUAUUGCCUCUAGGGAAUAUUUCCUCCAGUCUCCCACUUGCACUAGAGUCAAUAAUCUAGUUCACAUCGUCAUGUGAUUUAACACCAAUAGUUCACAUCUAUAUGUGAUUAACACGCAUAGUUCACAUCGCCAUGUGACCAACACCCAAAGGGUUUACUAGAAUCAAUAAUCUAGUUCACAUCGCUAUGUGAUUAACACCCAAAGAGUACUAAGAUGUGAUCAUGUUUUGCUUGUGAGAGAAGUUUUGUCAAAGGGUCUGUCACAUUCAGAGCCGCAUGUAUUUUGUAAAUAUUAUAAGUCUACAAUGCUCUGCACGGAGCUACUCUAGCUAAUUGCUCCCACUUUCAAUAUGUAUCCAUAUUGAGACUUAGAGAUCUGGAUCAGUGUAAAAGCUUGCAUCCAUGUAACUCUUUACGACGAACUCUUUAUCACCCCCAUCAUCGAGAAACAUUUCCUUAGUCCUCACCAAGGAUAAUUUUGACCGCUGUCCAGUGAUCUAUUAUUAGAUCACUAUUGUACCCCCUUGCCAAACUCAUGGCAAAGUACACAAUAGGACUGGUACACAGCAUAACAUACUUUAUAGAACCUAUGGCUGAGGCAUAGGGAAUGACUUUCAUUCUGUCUCUAUCUUCUGCCGUGGUCGGGCUUUGAGUCUUACUCAACUUCACACCUUGUAACACAGGCAAGAACCCUUUCUUUGCUUGAUCUAUUUUGAACUUCUUCAAAACUUUAUCAAGGUAUGUGCUUUGUGAAAGUCCAAUUAAGCGUCUUGAUCUAUCUCUAUAGAUCUUGAUGCCCAAUAUAUAAGCAGCUUCACCGAGGUCCUUCAUUGAAAAACUCUUAUUCAAGUAUCCUUUUAUGCUAUCCAGAAAUUCUAUAUCAUUUCCAAUUAACAAUAUGUCAUCUACAUAUAAUUUUAGAAAUGCUAUAGAGCUCCCACUCACUUUCUUGUAAAUACAGUCUUCUCCAAAAGUCUGUAUAAAACCAUAUGCUUUGAUCACACUAUCAAAAUGUUUAUUCCAACUCCGAGAUGCUUGCACUAGUCCAUAGAUGGAUCGCUAGAGCUUACACACUUUGUUAGCAUCCUUUGGAUUGGUAAAACCUUCAGGUUGCAUCAUAUACAACUCUUCUUCUAGAAAUCCAUUCAGGAAUGCAGUCUUUACAUCCAUUUGCCAAAUUUCAUAAUCAAAAAAUGCGGUAAUUGCUAACAUGAUUCGGACGGACUAAAGCAUCGCUACAGGUGAGAAGGUCUCAUCGUAGUCAACUCCUUGAACUUGUCGAAAACCUUUUGCAGCAAGUCGAGCUUUGUAGACAGUAACAUUACCGUCAGCGUCAGUCUUCUUCUUGAAGAUCCAUUUAUUCUCGAUGGCUUACCGAUCAUCGGGCAAGUCAACCAAAGUCUGCACUUUGUUCUCAUACAUGGAUUCUAUCUUAGAUUUUAUGGCCUUGAGCCAUUUUGCAAAAUCUGGGCUCAUCGUCGCUUCCUCAUAGUUCGUAUGUUCAUCAUGGUCUAGUAACAUGACUUCCAGAACAGGAUUACCGUACCACUCUAGUGCGGAUCUUACUCUGGAAGUGAAGGAAAUAUGCCCUAGAGGCAAUAAUAAAGUUAUUAUUCAUUUCCUUAUUUCAUGAUAAAUGUUUAUUAUUCAUGCGAGAAUUGUAUUAGCCGGAAACAUAAUACAUGUGUGAAUACAUAGACAAACUUAACGUCACUAGUAUGCCUCUACUUGACUAGCUCAUUAAUCAAAGAUGGUUGUGUUUCCUAACCAUAGACAUGUGUUGUCAUUUGAUUAACAGGAUCACAUCAUUAGAAGAAUGAUGUGAUUGACUUGACCCAUUCCGUUAGCUUAGCAUUUGAUCGUUUAGUAUGUUGCUAUUGCUUUCUUCAUGACUUAUACAAAGUUCCUACAACUAUGAGAUUAUGCAACUCCCAUUUACCGGAGGAACACUUUGUGUGCUACCAAAUGUCACAACGUAACUGGGUGAUUAUAAAGGAGUUCUACAGGUGUCUCCAAUGGUACAUGUUGAGUUGGCGUAUUUCGAGAUUAGGUUUUGUCACUCCGAUUGUCGGAGAGGUAUCUCUGGACCCUCUCGGUAAUGCACAUCACUAUAAGCCUUGCAAGCAAUGUAGAUAAUGAUUUAGUUACAGAAUGAUGCAUUACGUAACGAGUAAAGAGACUUGCCGGUAACGAGAUUGAACUAGAUAUUGGAUACCGACGAUCGAAUCUCAGGCAAGUAACAUACCGAUGAUAAAGGAAACAACGUAUGUUGUUAUGCGGUUUGACCGAUAAAGAUCUUCGUAGAAUAUGUAGGAGCCAAUAUGAGCAUCCAGGUUCCGCUAUUGGUUAUUGACCGGAAACAGUUCUAGGUCAUGUCUACAUAGUUCUCGAACCCGUAGGGUCCGCACGCUUAACGUUACGAUGACAGUUAUAUUAUGAGUUUAUAGUUUUUGAUGUACCGAAGGUUGUUCAAAGUCCCGGAUGUGAUCACGGACAUGACGAGGAGUCUCGAAAUGGUCGAGACAUAAAGAUUGAUUUAUUGGAAGCCUAUAUUUGGUUAUCGGAAUCGUUCCGGGUGAAAUCAGGAUUUUACCGGAGUACCGGGGGGUUACCGGAAUCCCCCCGGGGCUUAAUGGGCCUACAUGGGCCCUAGUGGAGAGGAAGAGAGGAGGCAAGGGGCUGGCCGCGCCCCUCCCCCCUUAGUCCGAAUAGGACAAGGAGAGGGGUGCGGCGCCCCCCCUUUCCUUCCCCUCUUCCUCCUCCUUCCCCCCUUCUCCUUCUCCAACUAGGAAAGAAGGGAGUCCUACUCCCGGUGGGAGUAGGACUCCCCCUUGGCGCGCCCUCCGUGGCCGGCCACCCCCUCCCCCUUGGCUCCUUUAUAUACGGGGGCAGGGGGCACCCCAUGACAGACAAGUUGAUCUUCGUGAUUGUUCCUUAGCCGUGUGCGGUGCCCCCCUCCACCAUAUUCCACCUCGGUCAUAUCGUAGCGGUGCUUAGGCGAAGCCCUGCGUCGGUAGAACAUCAUGACCGUCACCACGCCGUCGUGCUGAUGGAACUCAUCCCUGACACCCUGCUGGAUCAGAGUCCGGGGAUCGUCAUCGAGCUGAACGUGUGCUGAACUCGGAGGUGCCGUACGUUCGGUACUUGGAUCGGUCGGAUCGUGAAGACGUACAACUACAUCAACCAUGUUGUUAUAAUGCUUCCGCUUUCGGUCUACGAGGGUAUGUAGACAACACUCUCCCCUCUCAUUGCUAUGCAUCACCAUGAUCUUGCGUGUGCGUAGGAAUUUUUUUGAAAUUACUGCGUUCCCCAACAGUGGCAUUCGAGCCAGGUUUUAUGCGUAGAUGUUAUAUGCACAAGUAGAACACAAGUGAAAUGUGGGCGAUACAAGUCAUACUGCUUACCAGCAUGUCAUACUUUGGUUCGGCGGUAUUGUUGGAUGAAGCGGCCCGGACCGACAUUGUGCGUACGCUUACGCGAGACUGGUUUUACCGCCGUGCUUUGCACACAGGUGACUAGCGGGUGUCAGUUCUCCAACUUUAGUUGAACCGAGUGUGGCUACGCCCGGUCCUUGAGAAGGUUAAAACAACACUAACUUGACGAACUAUCAUUGUGGUUUUGGUGCGUAGGUAAGAACGGUUCUUGCUCAGCCCGUAGCAGCCACGUAAAAUUUGCAACAACAAAGUAGAGGACGUCUAACUUGGUUUUGCAUGGCUUGUUGUGAUGUGAUAUCGUCAAGACGUGAUGAGAUAUAAAUUGUUGUAUGAGAUGAUCAUGUUUUGUUGAAGUUAUCGGCAACUGGUAGAAGCCUUAUGGUUGUCUCUUUAUUGCAUAAGAUGCAAGCGCCAAAUAAUUGCUUUACUUUAUCGUUAUGCGAUAGCAAUAGUUGCAAGAGCAAUAGUUGGCGAGACGACUAUGUGAUGACACAUUGAUAUAGAUCAAGAUGAUGGAGAUCAUGGUGUCGUGCCGGUGACGAUAGAGAUCAUGACAGUACUUUGGAGAUGGAGAUCAAAGGCGCAAGAUGAUCAUGGCCAUAUCAUGUCACAUAUUUUGAUUGCAUAUGAUGUUUAUCUUUUAUACAUCUUAUUUUGCUUAGUUUGAUGGUAGCAUUUUAAGAUGAUCUCUCACUAAUUAUCAAGAAGUGUUCUCCCUAAGUAUUCACCGAUGCGAAAGUUCUUCGUGCUGAGACACCACGUGAUGAUUGGGCGUGAUAGGCUCUACAUUCAAAUACAGCGGAAUACUCAGGUUAAACUUGACGAGCCUAGCAUAUACAGAUAUGGCCUCGGAACACGGAGACCGAAAGGUCGAAUGUGAAUCAUAUAGUAGAUAUGAUCAACAUAGUGAUGUUCACCAUUGAAAACUACUCCAUCUCACGUGAUGAUCGGACAUGGUUUAGUUGAUUUGGACCACGUGAUCACUUAGAUGACUAGAGAUAUGUCUGUCUAAGUGGGAGUUCUUAAGUAAUAUGAUUAAUUGAACUUAAAUUUAUCAUGAACUUAGUCCUGGUAGUAUUUUGCAAAUUAUGUUGUAGAUCAAGAGCUCGCGUUGUUGCUUUCGUAUGUUUAUUUUCCCAGAGAAAACUGUGUUGAAAGAUGUUAGUAGCAAUGAUGUGGAUUGGAUCCGUGAUCUGAGGUUUAUCCUCAUUGCUGCACAGAAGAAUUAUGUCCUUGAUGCACUGCUAGGUGACAAACCUAUUGCAGGAGCAGAUGUAGACAUUAUGAACGUUUGGCUAGCUCAAAAUGAUGACUACUUGAUAGUUUAGUGCACCAUGCUUAAAUGGCUUAGAAUUGGAACUUCAAAGACGUUUUGAACGUCAUGGACCAUAUGAGAUGUUCCAGGAGUUGAAGUUAAUAUUUCCAGCAAAUACCCGAGUUGAGAGAUAUGAAGUCUCCAACAAGUUCUAUAGCUAAAAGAUGGAGGAGAAUCACUCAACUAGUGAGCAUGUGCUCAGAUUGUCUGGGUACUUCAAUCACUUGAAUCAAGUGGGAGUUAAUCUUCCAGAUAAGAUAGUGAUUGACAAAGUUCUCUAGUCACCAUCACCAAGUUACUAGAACUUCGUGAUGAACUAUAGUAUGCAAGGGAUGACGAAAACGAUUCCCGAGCUCUUAGUGAUGUUGAAAUCGACGAAGGUAGAAAUCAAGAAAGAACAUCAAGUGUUGAUGAUUGACAAGACAACUAGUUUCAAGAGAAGGGCAAAGGGAAAGAAAGGGAACUUCAAAUAGAAUGACAAGCAAGUUGUCACUCCUGCGAAGAAGCCCAAAGCUAGACCAAAGCCUGAAACCAAGUGCUUACAUUGCAAAGGAAAUGGUCACUGGAAGCGGAAAUGCCCUAAAUAUUUGGUAGAUAAGAAGGAUGGCAAAGUGAACAAGGGUAUAUUUGAUAUACAUGUUAUUGAUGUGUACCUUACUAGUGUUUAUAGUAGCCCCUGAGUAUUUGAUUCUUGUUCGGUUGCUAAGAUUAGUAACUCGAAACAGGAGUUACAGAAUAAACAUAAACUAGUUGAAGGGGAAGUGAUGAUGAGUGUUGGAAGUAGUUCCAAGAUUGAUAUGAUCAUCAUCACACACUCCCUAUAUUUUCGAGAUUAGUGUUAAACCUAAAUAAAUGUUAUUUGGUGUUUGCGUUGAGCAUAAAUAUGAUAAGAUCAUGUUUAUUGCGAUACGAUUAUUCAUCUAAGAUAGAGAAUAAAUUGUUAUUCUGUUUACAUGAAUUAAACCUUCUAUGGUCAUACACCCAAUGAAAAUAGUUUGUUGGAUCUCGAUCGUAGUGAUACACAUAUUCAUAAUAUUGAUGCCAAAAGAUGCAAAGUUAAUAAUGAUAGUGCAACUUAUUUGUGGCACUGCCGUUUGGGUCAUAUCAGUGUAAAGCGCAUGAAGAAACUCCAUAAAGAUGGAUUUUCAGAAUCACUUGGUUAUGAAUCAUUUGAUGCUUGCGAACCGUGCCUUUUGGGCAAGAUGACUAAAACUCCGUUCCUCGGAACAAUGGAACAAGCUAUUGACUCAUUGGAAAUAAUACAUAACGAUGUAUGCGAUCCGAUGAGUGUUAAGGCUCGUGGCGUGUAUCAUUAUUUUUUGACCUUCACAGAUGAUUUGAGCAGAUAUGGGUAUAUCUACUUGAUGAAACAUAAGUCUGAAACAUUUGAAAAGUUCAAAGAAUUUCAGAGUGAAGUGGAAAAUCAUCAUAAGAAGAAAAAUAAAGUUUCUACGAUCUGAUCGUGGAGACGAAUAUUUGAGUUACGAGUUUGGUCUUCAUUUGAAACAAUGUGAAAUAGUUUCGCAACUCACGCCACCUGGAACACCACAAUGUAAUGGUGUGUCCGAACAUCGUAAUCGCACUUUACUAGAUAUGGUGCGAUCUAUGAUGUCUCUUAUCGGUUUACCACUAUCGUUUUGGGGUUAUGCAUUAGAGACAACUGCAUUCAUGUUUAAUAGGGCACCAUCUAAUUCCGUUGAGACGACACCGUAUGAACUAUGGUUUAGCAGUAAACCUAAGCCAUCGUUUCUUAAAGUUUGGAGUUGCGAUUCUUAUAUGAAAAAGUUUUUCAACCUGAUAAGCUCGAACCCAAAUCGGAGAAGUGCGUCUUCAUAGAAUACCCAAAGGAAACUGUUGGGUAGACCUUCUAUCACAGAUCUGAAGGCAAAACAUUCGUUGCUAAGAAUGGAUCCUUUCUAGAGAAGGAGUUUCUCUCGAAAGAAGUGAGUGGGAGGAAAGUAGAGCUUGAUAAGGUAAGUUGUACCUUCUCCCGAAUUGGAAAGUAGUUCAUCACUGAAAUCAGUUCCAAUGAUUCCUACACCAAUUAGUGAGGAAGAUAAUGAUGAUGAUCUUGAAACUUCAGAUCAUGUUACUACAAAACCUCGUGGGUCUUCCAAAGUAUAGUCCGCACCAGAGUGGUACGGUAAUCCUGUUCUGGAAGUCAUGUUACUAGAACAUGAUGAACCUACAAGCUAUGAGGAAGCGAUGAUGAGCCCAGAUUCCGCGAAAUGGCUUGAGGCCAUGAAAUCUGAGAUGGGAUCCAUGUAUGAGAACAAAGUGUGGACUUUGGUGGAGUUGCCCGAUGAUCGGCAAGCCAUAUUGUAUAAAUGGAUCUUCAAGAGGAAGACAGAUGCUGAUAGUAGUGUUACUAUCUACAAAGCUCGACUUGUCGCAAAAAGGUUUUCAACAAGUUCAAGGUGUUGACUAUAAUGAGAUUUUCUCAACUGUAGCGAUGCGUAAGUCUGUCCGAAUCAUGUUAGCAAUUGCCACAUUUUAUGAAAUCUGGCAAAUGGAUGUCAAAACUGCAUUCCUUAAUGGUUUUCUUAAAGAAGAGUUGUAUAUGAUGCAACCAGAAGGUUUUGUCAAUCCUAAAGGUGCUAACAAAAUGUGCAAGCUCCAGCGAUCCAUCUAUGGACUGGUGCAAGCAUCUCAGAGUUGGAAUAUAUGCUUUGAUAAGUUGAUCAAAGCAUAUAGUUUUAUACAGACUAGCGGUGAAGCCUGUAUUUACAAUAAAGUGAGUGGGAGCACUACCGCCUUUCUGAUAUAUAUAUAUAUAUAUAUGUGAGUAACACAUUGUUGAUCAGAAAUGAUGUAGAAUUUUUCUGGAAAGCAUAAAGGAGUAUUUGAAAGGAGUUCUUUAAAAGAAAGACCUCAGUAAAGCUAUUUACAUAUUGAGCAUCAAAAUCUAUUGAGAUAGAUCAAGACGCUUGAUAAGUUUUUCAAUAAGUACAUACCUUGUCAAGAUUUUGAAGUAGUUCAAAAUGGAACGGUCAAAGAAAGAGUUCUUGCCUGUGUUGCAAAGGUGUGAAGUUGAGUAAGACUCAAAGCCCAGCCACAAUAGAAAAUAGAAAGAGAAUGAAAAGUCAUUCCCUAUGCCUCAGUCAUAGGUUCUAUAAAGUAUGCUAUGCUGUGUACUAGACCUAUUCUAUAUCUUGCUCUGAGUUUGGCAAGGGAGUACAAUUUUGAUCUAGGAGUAGAUCACUGGACAUUGGUCAAAAUUAUCCUUAGUGAGAUAAGGAUAUGUUUCUCGAUUAUGGAGGUGACAAAAGGUUUGUCGUAAAGGGUUACGUCGAUACAAGUUUUGGCACUGAUCCAGAUAACUCUAAGUCUUAAUCUGGAUACAUAUUGAAAGUGGGAGCAAUUAGCUAGAGUACCUCCGUGCAGAGCAUUGUAGACAUAGAAUAAUUGCAAAAUACAUACGGCUCUGAAUAUGACAGACCCGUUGACUAAACUUCUCUCACGAGCAAACCCUGAUCACACCUUAGUACUCUUUGGGUGUUAAUCACAUAGCAAUGUGAACUAGAUUAUUGACUCUAGUAAACCCUUUGGGUAUUGGUCACAUGACGAUGUGAAAUAUGGGUGUUAAUCAUAUACAGAUAUGAAUAUUGGUGUUAAAUCACAUGACGAUGUGAACUAAAUUAUUGACUCUAGUGCAAGUGGGAGACUGAAGGAAAUAUGCCCUAGAGGAAUUAAUAAAGUUAUUAUUUAUUUCCUUAUUCCAGGAUAAAUGUUUAUUAUUCAUGCUAGAAUUGUAUUAACCAGAAACAUAAUACAUGUGUGAAUACAUAGACAAACUUAACGUCACUAGUAUGCCUCUACUUGACUAGCUCAUUAAUCAAAGAUGGUUGUGUUUCCUAACCAUAGACAUGUGUUGUCAUUUGAUUAACAGGAUCACAUCAUUAGAAGAAUGAUGUGAUUGACUUGACCCAUUCCGUUAGCUUAGCAUUUGAUCGUUUAGUAUGUUGCUAUUGCUUUCUUCAUGACUUAUACAAAGUUCCUACAACUAUGAGAUUAUGCAAAUCCCAUUUACCGGAGGAACACUUUGUGUGCUACCAAACGUCACAACGUAACUGGGUGAUUAUAAAGGAUCUCUACAGGUGUCUCCAAUGGUACAUGUUGAGUUGGCGUAUUUUGAGAUUAGGUUUUUUCACUCCGAUUGUCGGAGAGGUAUCUCUGGGCCCUCUCUGUAAUGCACAUCACUAUAAGCCUUGCAAGAAAUGUAGCUAAUGAGUUAGUUACAGAAUGAUGCAUUACGUAACGAGUAAAGAGACUUGCCGGUAACGAGAUUGAACUAGAUAUUGGAUACCGACGAUCGAAUCUCGGGCAUGUAACAUACCAAUGACAAAGGGAACAACGUAUGUUGUUAUGCGGUUUGACCAAUAAAGAUCUUCGUAGAAUAUGUAGGAGCCAAUAUGAGCAUCCAGGUUCCUCUAUUGGUUAUUGACCAGAAACAGUUCUAGGUCAUGUCUACAUAGUUCUUGAACCCGUAGGGUCCGCACGCUUAACGUUACGAUGACAGUUAUAUUAUGAGUUUAUAGUUUUUGAUGUACCGAAGGUUGUUCGGAGUCCCGGAUGUGAUCACGGACAUGACGAGGAGUCUCAAAAUGGUCGAGACAUAAAGAUUGAUAUAUUGGAAACCUAUAUUUGGAUAUCAGAAUCGUUCCGGGUGGAAUCGGGAUUUUACUAGAGUACCGGGGGGUUACCGGAACCCCCCCGGGGCUUAAUGGGCCUACAUGGGCCCUAGUGGAGAGGAAGAGAGGAGGCAAGGGGGUGGCCACGCCCCCCUUUCCUUCCCCUCUUCCUCAUCCUUCCCCCCUUCUCCUUCUCCAACUAGGAAAGAAGGGAGUCCUACUCCUGGUGGGAGUAGGACUCCCCCUUGGCGCGCCCUCCUUGGCCGACCACCCCCUCCCUCUUGGCUCCUUUAUAUACGGGGGCAGGGGACACCCCAUGACAGACAAGUUGAUCUUCGUGAUCGUUCCUUAGCCGUGUGCGGUGCCCCCCUCCACCAUAUUCCACCUCGGUCAUAUCGUAGCGGUGCUUAGGCGAAGCCCUACGUCGGUAGAACAUCAUCACCGUCACCACGCCGUCGUGCUAACGGAACUCAUCCCCGACACCCUGCUGGAUCAGAGUCCGGGGAUCGUCAUCGAGCUGAACGUGUGCUGAACUCGGAGGUGCCGUACGUUCGGUACUUUGAUCGGUCGGAUCGUGAAGAUGUAUGACUACAUCAACCGCGUUGUUCUAAUGCUUCCGCUUUUGGUCUACGAGGGCACGUAGACAACACUCUCCCCUCUUGUUGCUAUGCAUCACCAUGAUCUUGCGUGUGUGUAGGAUUUUUUUUGAAAUUACUACGUUCCCCAACAGGAAGACCUACGAGUUUCUGUAGUAACUUGAUUUGAAGCUUCAUGAUCAUCAUCAUUAGCUUCCUCACUAAUUGGUGUAGGAAUCACGGGAACUGAUUUCUGUGAUGAACUAUUUUCCAAUAAGGGAGAAGGUACAACUACCUCAUCAAGUUCUACUUUCCUCCCUCUCACUUCUUUCGAGAGAAACUCCUUCUCUAGAAAGGAUCCAUUCUUAGCAACAAAGAUUUUGCCUUUGGAUCUUUUGAUAGAAGGUGUACCCAACAGUUUCCUUUGGGUAUUCUAUGAAGACGCACUUCUCCGAUUUGUGUUCGAGCUUAUCAUGUUGAAGCUUUUUCACAUAAGCAUCGCAGCCCCAAAUUUUAAGAAACGACAACUUCGGUUUCUUGCCAAACCACAGUUCAUAAGGCGUCAUCUGAACGGUUUUUCAUGGUUCCCUAUUUAAAGUGAAUGCAGUUGUCUCUUAUGCAUAACCCCAAAACGAUAGUGGUAACCCGGUAAGAGACAUCAUAGGUCGCACCAUAUCCAAUAGAGUGCGGUUACGAUGUUCGGACACACCAUUACGCUGUGGUGUUCCAUGUGGCGUGAGCUGUGAAACUAUUUCCACAUUGUUUUAAAUGAAGGCCAAACUCGUAACUCAAAUAUUCUCCUCCACGAUCAGAUCGUAGAAACUUUAUUUUCUUGUUACGAUGAUUCUCCACUUCACUCUGAAAUUCCUUGAAAUUUUCAAAUGUUUGAGACUUGUGUUUCAUUAAGUAGAUAUACCCGUAUCUACUCAAAUCAUCUCUGAAGGUCAGAAAAUAAUGAUACUCGCCACAAGCAUCAACACUCAUUGGAUCGCAUACAUCGAUAUGUAUUAUUUCCAAUAGGUCACUAGCUCAUUCCAUUGUUCUGGAGAAUGGAGUUUUAGUCAUCUUGACCAUAAGGCAUGGUUCACAAGCAUCAAGUGAUUCCAAAAGUCCAUCUUUAUGGAGUUUCUUCAUGCGCUUUACACCGAUAUGACCUAAAUGGCAGUGCCACAAAUAAGUUGCACUAACAUUAUGAACUUUGCAUCUUUUGGCAUCAAUAUUAUGAAUAUGUGUAUCACUACGAUCGAGAUCCAACAAACUAUUUUCAUUGGGUGUAUGGCCAUCAAAGGUUUUAUUCAUGUAAACAUAACAACAAUUAUUCUCUGACUUUAGAUGAAUAACCGUAUUGCAAUAAACAUGAUCAAAUCAUAUUCAUGCUCAACGCAAAUGCCAAAUAACAUUUAUUUAGGUUUAACACUAAUCCCGAAAGUAUAGGGGGUGUGCGAUGAUGAUCAUAUCAAUCUUGGAACCACUUCCAACAUACAUCGUCACUUCACCCUCAACUAGUCUCGGUUUAUUCUGUAACUCCUGUUUUGAGGUACUAAUCUUAGCAACUAAACAAGUAUCAAAUAUCCAGGGGCUACUAUAAACACUAGUAAGGUACACGUCAAUAACCUGUAUAUCAAAAAUACCCUUGUUCACUUUGCCAUCCUUCUUCUCUACCAAAUAUUCAGGGCAUUUCCGCUUCCAGUGACCAUUUCCUUUGUAGUAUAAGUGUUGGGGAUCGUUGCAGAAAUUAAAAAAAUUCUACGCAUCACCAAGAUCAAUCUAUGGAGAGACUAGCAACGAGAGAGAGGGGAAUGUAUCUUCAUACCCUUGAAGAUCGCAAUACGGAAGCGUUACAAGAAUGCGGUUGGAGGAGUCGUACACGCAGCGAUUCAGAAUGCGGUCGAUUCCGAUCUAAGCGCCGAACAACGGUGCCUCCGUGUUCAACACACGUGCAACCCGGUGACGUCUCCCGCGCCUUGAUACAACAAGGAGGAGGGAGAGGUUGGGGAAGACAACUCCAGCAGCAGCAUGACGGCGUGGUGGUGGUGGAGCAGCGUGGUUUCCAGCAGGGCUUCGCCAAGCACUACAAGGAUGAGGAUGUGGAGAGGUAGGGCUGCGUCGAGAGAGAGAGAGAGAGAGACUCGUGUCUUUGGCAGCCCCAAAACCCCACUAUAUAUAAGAGGAGGGGAGGUGGCUNNNNNNNNNNNNNNNNNNNNNNNNNNNNNNNNNNNNNNNNNNNNNNNNNNNNNNNNNNNNNNNNNNNNNNNNNNNNNNNNNNNNNNNNNNNNNNNNNNNNNNNNNNNNNNNNNNNNNNNNNNNNNNNNNNNNNNNNNNNNNNNNNNNNNNNNNNNNNNNNNNNNNNNNNNNNNNNNNNNNNNNNNNNNNNNNNNNNNNNNNNNNNNNNNNNNNNNNNNNNNNNNNNNNNNNNCCAUCUGCACCUAGGGUUUCCCCUCUCUCCUCCUAGCUGCGCCUUGGGCCUUGGUGGGAGGCGCACCAACCCACUCAGGGGCUGGUCCCUUCCCACUCUUGGCCCAUGCAAGCCUCCGGGGCUGGUGGCCCCUUCCGGUGGUCCCGGUAACUUAUCGAUGACGCCCGAAAUACUUCCGGUGGGCAAAACCUCACUUCCUAUAUCUUAUUCUUUACCUCCGGACCAUUCCGGAACUCCUCGUGAUGUCCGGGAUCUCAUCUGGCACUCCGAACAACAUUCGGUAACCACAUACAAACUUUCCCUAUAACCCUAGCAUCACCGAACCUUAAGUGUGUAGACCCUACGGGUUCAGGAAUCAUGCAGACAUGACCGAGAUAGCUCUCCGGCCAAUAACCAACAGCAGGAUCUGGAUACCCAUGUUGGCUCCCACAUGUUCCAUGAUGAUCUCAUCGGAUGAACCACGAUGUCGAGGAUUCAAGCAAUCCCGUAUACAAUUCCCUUUGUCAAUCGGUACGUUACUUGCCCGAGAUUCGAUCGUCGGUAUCCCAAUACCUCAGUCAAUCUCGUUAUCGGCAAGUCACUUUACUUGUUCCGUAAUGCAUGAUCCCGUGACUAACUACUUAGUCACAUUGAGCUCAUUAUGAUGAUGCAUUACCGAGUGGUCCUAGAGAUACCUCUUUGUCAUACGGAGUGACAAAUCCCAGUCUCGAUUCAUGCCAACCCAAUAGACACUUUUAGAGAUACCUGUAAUGCACCUUUAUAGCCACCCAGUUAUGUUGUAACGUUUGGUACACCCAAAGCAUUCCUAUGGUAUCCGGGAGUUACACAAUCUCAUGGUCUAAGGAAAUGAUACUUGGCAUUAGAAAAGCUUUAGCAAAUGAACUACACGAUCUUGUGCUAUGCUUAGGAUUGAGUCUUGUCCAUCACAUCAUUCUCCUAAUGAUGUGAUCCUGUUAUCAAUGACAUCCAAUGUCCAUAGUCAGGAAACCAUGACCAUCCGUUGAUCAACGAGCUAGUCAACUAGAGGCUCACUAGGGACAUGUUGUGGUCUAUGUAUUCACACAUGUAUUAUGAUUUCCGGUCAAUACAAUUAUAGCAUGAAUAAUAGACAAUUAUCAUGAACAAGGAAAUAUAAUAAUAACCUUUUUAUUAUUGCCUCUAGGGCAUAUUUACAACAGUCUCCCACUUGCACUAGAGUCAAUAAUCUAGUUACAUUGUGAUGAAUCGAACACCCAUAGAGUUCUGGUGUUGAUCAUGUUUUGCUCGUGGAAGAGGUUUAAUCAACGGAUCUGCGACAUUCAGUUCCGUAUGCACUUUACAAAUAUCUAUGUCUCUAUCUUGAACAUUUUCACGAAUGGAGUUGAAGCGACGCUUGAUAUGCCUGGUCUUCUUAUGAAACCUGGGCUCCUUGGCAAGGGCAAUAGCUCCAGUGUUGUCACAGAAGAGAGUCAUCGGGCCCGACGCAUUGGGAAUAACUCCUAGGUCAGUAAUGAACUCCUUCAUCCAGAUUGCUUCAUGCGCUGCCUCCGAGGCUGCCAUGUACUUCGCUUCACAUGUAGAUCCUGCAACGACGCCUUGCUUGCAACUACACCAGCUUACUGCCCCACCAUUCAAAAUAUACACGUAUCCGGUUUGUGACUUGGAGUCAUCUAGAUUUGUGUCGAAGCUAGCAUCGACGUAACCCUUUACGACAAGCUCUUCGUCACCUCCAUAAACGAGAAACAUAUCCUUAGUCCUUUUCAGGUACUUUAGGAUAUUCUUGACCGCUGUCCAGUGUUCCAUGCCGGGAUUACUUUGGUACCUCCCUACCAAUCUCACGACAAGGUUUACAUCAGGUCUGGUACACAACAUGGCAUACAUAAUAGACCCUAUGGCUGAGGCAUAGGGGAUGACGCUCAUCUUUUCUCAAUCUUCUGCCAUGGUCGGGCUUUGAGCCGAGCUCAAUUUCACACCUUGCAAUACAGGCAAGAACCCCUUCUUGGACUGAUCCAUAUUGAACUUCUUCAAUAUCUUAUCAAGGUAUGUGCUUUGUGAAAGGCCUAUGAGGCGUCUCGAUCUAUCGCUAUUGAUCUUGAUGCCUAAUAUGUAAGCAGCUUCUCCAAGGUCCUUCAUUGAAAAACACUUAUUCAAGUAGGCCUUUAUGCUUUCCAAAAGUUCUAUAUCAUUUCCCAUCAAUAGUAUGUCAUCCACAUAUAAUAUGACAAAUGCUAUAGAGCUCCCACUCACUUUCUUGUAAACACAUGCUUCUCCAUAAGUCUGCAUAAAACCAAACGCUUUGAUCAUUUCAUCGAAGCAAAUGUUCCAACUCCGAGAUGCUUGCACCAGCCCAUAGAUGGAGCGUCGGAGCUUGCAUACCUUGUUAGCAUUCUUAGGAUCGACAAAACCUUCCGGCUGCAUCAUAUACAACUCUUCCUUAAGGAAACCGUUAAGGAAUGCCGUUUUGACGUCCAUUUGCCAUAUUUCAUAAUCAUAGAAUGCGGAAAUUGCUAACAUGAUUCAAACGGACUUUAGCUUCGCUACGGGUGAGAAGGUCUCAUCGUAGUCAACCCCUUGAACUUGUCGAUAACCCUUAGCGACAAGGCGAGCCUUAUAGAUGGUCACAUUACCAUCUGCGUCUGUCUUCUUCUUAAAGAUCCAUUUAUUUUCUAUGGUUCGUCGAUCAUCCAGCAAGUCUGUCAAAGUCCAUACUUUGUUUUCAUACAUGGAUCCUAUCUCGGAUUUCAUGGCUUCAAGCCAUUUGUUGGAAUCUGGGCCCGCCAUCACUUCUUCAUAGGUCGAAGAUUCACCGUUGUCUAACAACAUGAUUUCCAGGACAGGGUUACCAUACCAUUCUAGUGUGGAACGUGUCCUUGUGGACCUACGAAGUUCAGUAGCAACUUGAUCCAAAGUUCCUUGAUCAUCAUCAUUAACUUCCUCUCUAGUUAGUGCAGGCACCACAGAAACAUCUUCCUGAGCUGCGCUACUUUCCGGUUCAAGAGGCGGUACUUCAUCAAGUUCUACUUUCCUCCCACUUACUUCUUUCGAGAGAAACUCUUUCUCCAGAAAGGAUCCAUUCUUGGCAACAAAGAUCUUGCCUUCGGAUCUGAGGUAGAAGGUAUACCCAAUGGUUUCCUUAGGGUAUCCUAUGAAGACUCAUUUUUCCGACUUGGGUUCGAGCUUUUCAGGUUGAAGUUUCUUGACAUAAGCAUCGCAUCCCAAACUUUUAGAAACGACAGCUUAUGUUUCUUCCCAAACCAUAAUUCAUACGGUGUCGUCUCAACGGAUUUAGACGAUGCCCUAUUUAAAGUGAAUGUAGUUGUCUCUAAAGCGUAUCCUCAAAAUGAUAGCAGUAAAUCGUUAAGAGACAUUAUAUCUCGCACCAUAUCCAAUAGAGUACGAUUAUGACAUUCGGACACACCGUUACACUGAGGUGUUCCAGGCAGCAUGAGUUGUGAAACAAUUCCACAUUUUCUUAAGUGCAUACCAAACUCGUGACUCAAAUAUUCUCCCCCACGAUCUGAUCGUUAGAACUUUAUUUUUUUGUCAUGUUGAUUCUCCACCUCACUCUGAAAUUCCUUGAACUUUUCAAAGGUCUCAGACUUGUGUUUCAUUAAGUAGACAUACCCAUAUCUACUUAAGUAAUUAGUGAGGGUGAGAACAUAACGAUAGACACCGUGAGCCUCAACACUCAUUGGACCGCACACAUUAGUAUGUAUGAUUUCCAACAAGUUGGUUGCUCGCUCCAUUGUUCUGGAGAACGGAGUCUUGGUCAUCUUUCCCAUGAGGCAUGGUUCGCAUGUGUCAAAUGAAGCAUAAUCAAGAGACUCCAAAAGUCCAUCUGCAUGGAGCUUCUUCAUGCAUUUGACACCAAUGUGACCAAGGCGGCAGUGCCACAAGUAUGUGGGACUAUCAUUAUUAACCUUACAUCUUUUGGUAUUCACACUAUGAAUAUGUGUACAUCACGUUCGAGAUUCAAUAAGAAUAAACCAUUGACCAGUGGGGCAUGACCAUAAAACAUAUCUCUCAUAUAAAUAGAACAACCAUUAUUCUCGGAUUUAAAUGAGUAGCCAUCUCGCAUUAAACGAGAUCCAAAUACAAUGUUCAUGCUCAAAGAUGGCACUAAAUAACAAUUAUUGAGGUUUAAAACUAAUCCCGUAGGUAAAUGUAGAGGUAGCGUGCCGACGGCGAUCACAUCGACCUUGGAACCAUUCCCGACAUGCAUCGUCACCUCGUCCUUCGCCAGUCUCCGCUUAUUCCGCAGCUCCUGUUUCGAGUUACAAAUAUGAGCAACCGCACCGGUAUCAAAUACCUAGGAGCUACUACGAGUACUGAUAAGGUACACAUCAAUAACAUGUAUAUCACAUAUACCUUUGGUGUUGCCGGCCUUCUUGUCCGCUAAGUACUUGGGGCAGUUCCGCUUCCAGUGACUGUUUCCCUUGCAAUAAAAGCACUCAGUCUCAGGUUUGGGUCCAUGCUUUGGCUUCUUCCCGUCAACUGGCUUACCGGGCGCGGCAACUCCCUUGCCGUCCUUCUUGAAGUUCUUCUUACCCUUGCCUUUCUUGAAACUAGUGGUUUUAUUGACCAUCAACACUUGAUGUUCCUUUUUGAUUUCCACCUCCACUGAUUUCAGCAUUGAAUAUACCUCAGGAAUGGUUUUCUCCAUCCCCUGCAUAUUGAAAUUCAUCACAAAGCUCUUGUAGCUAGGUGGAAGCGACUGAAGGAUUCUGUUAAUGACCGCGUCAUCCGGGAGAUUAACUCCUAGCUGAGACAAGCGGUUGUGCAACCCAGACAUUUUGAGUAUGUGCUCGCUGACAGAACUAUUCUCCUCCAUCUUACAACUGUAGAACUUGUCGGAGACUUCAUAUCUCUCGACUCGGGCAUGAGCUUGGACAAGCAUUUUCAGCUUGUGGAACAUCUCAUAUGCUCCGUGCUGCUCAAACGCUUUUGGAGCCCCGAUUCUAAGUUGUAAAGCAUGCCGCACUGAACCAGGGAGUAAUAUUCACUACAUGACUGCCAGGCAUUCAUAAUGUCUUGAGUUGCUGGGAAAACAGGUGCUUCACCUAGCGGUGCAUCAAGGACAUAUGCUUCUUGGCAGCUAUGAGGAUGAUCCUCAAGUUCUAGACCCAAUCCCUAUAGUUGCUACCAUCGUCUCUCAGCUUGGUUUGCUCUAGGAACGCAUUGAAGUUGAGGGCAACAUUAGAGUGGGCCAUUUGAUCUACAAGACAUAUUGCAAAGAUUUUAGACUAAGUUCAUGAUAAUUAAGUUCAUCCAAUCAAAUUAUUUAAUGAACUCCCACUCAGAUAGACAUCCCUCUAUUCAUCUAAGUGAUACAUGAUCCGAGUCAACUAGGCCGUGUACGAUCAUCACGGAAGACGGACUAGUCAUCAUCGGUGAACAUCUUCAUGUCGAUCGUAUCUGCUAUACGACUCAUGUUUGACCUUUCAGUCUCUUAUGUUCCGAGGCCAUGUAUGUACAUGCUAGGCUAGUCAAGUCAACCUAAGUGUUUCGCAUGUGUAAAUCUGGCUUACACCUAUUGUGUAAAUCACGUGGUGCUUCGAAACAACGAACUUUCGCAACGGUGCACAGUUAGGGGGAACACUUUCUUGAAAUUUUAUGAGGGAUCAUCUUAUUUACGCUACCGUCGUUCUAAGCAAAUAAGAUGUAAAACAUGAUAAACAUCACAUGCAAUCAAAUAGUGACAUGAUAUGGCCAAUAUCAUUUUGCUCCUUUUGAUCUCCACCUUCGGGGCGCCAUGAUCAUCAUCUUCACCGGCAUGACACCAUGAUCUCCAACAUCAUGAUCUCCAUCAUCAUGUCUUCAUGAAGUUGUCUCGCCAACUGUUACUUCUACUACUAUGUCUAACUGUUAGCAAUAAAUUAAAGUAAUUACAUGGCGUUUUCAUUGACACGCAUGUCAUACAAUAAAUUAAGACAACUCCUAUGGCUCCCGCCGGUUGUCAUACUCAUCGACAUGCAAGUCAUGAUUCCUAUUACAAGAACAUGAUCAAUCUCAUACAUCACAUAUAUCAUUCAUCACAUCCUUUUGGCCAUAUCACAUCACAUGGCAUAUGCCGCAAGAACAAGUUAGACGUCCUCUAAUUGUUGUUGCAAGUUUUUACGUGGCUGCUAUAGGUUUCUAGCAAGAACAUUUCUUACCUACGCCAAAACCACAACGUGCUAUGCCAAUUGCUAUUUACCCUUAAUCAGGACCCUUUUCAUCAAAUCCGAUCAGACUAAAGUGGGAGAGACAGACACCCGCUAGCCACCUUAUGCCACUAGUGCAUGUCAGUCGGUGGAACCUGCCUCACGUAAGCGUACGUGUAAAGUUGGUCCGGGUCGCUUCAUCCCACGAUGCCGCCGAAUCAAGAUAAGACUAGUAACGGCAAGUAAACUGACAAAAUCGACACCCACAACAACUUGUGUUCUACUCGUGGAUAGAAACUACGCAUAGACCUAGCUCAUGAUGCCACUGUUGGGGAUCGUUGCAGAAAUUAAAAAAAUUCUACGCAUCACCAAGAUCAAUCUAUGGAGAGACUAGCAAUGAGAGCGAGGGGAGUGUAUCUUCAUACCCUUGAAGAUCGCGAUACAGAAGCGUUACAAGAAUGCGGUUGGAGGAGUCGUACACGCAGCGAUUCAGAUCGUGGUCAAUUCCGAUCUAAGCACCAAACAACGGCACCUCCAAGUUCAACAUACCUGCAGCCCAGUGACGUCUCCCGCGCCUUGAUCUAGCAAGGAGGAGGGAGAGGUUGGGCAAGACAACUCCAGCAGCAGCACGACAGCGUGGUGGUGGUGGAGGAGCGUGGUUUCUAGCAGGGCUUCGCCAAGCACUACAAGGAUGAGGAUGUGGAGAGGUAGGGCUGCGCCGAGGGAGAGAGAGAGAGAGAGAGAGAGAGAGAGAGAGAGAGAGAGAGAGAGAGAGAAGAGAGAGAGAGAGAGACUCGUGUCUUUGGCAGCCCCAAAACCCCACUAUAUAUAGGAGGAGGCGAGGUGGCUGCGCCCCCUCUAGGGUUCCCACCCUCGAGGGUGCGGCAGCCCUAGAUGGGACUAGAGGGGGCGGCCAAGAGGGAGAGAGAGGGGGCGCACCCUAGGGUGGGCCUUUAGGCCCAUCUGCGCCUAGGGUUUCCCCUCUCUCCUCCUAGCUGCGCCUUGGGACUUGGUGGGAGGCGCACCAGCCCACUCAGGGGCUGGUCCCUUCCCACUCUUGGCCCAUGCAAGCUCCGGGGCUGGUGGCCCCUCCCGGUGGACCCCCGGAACCCUUCCGGUGGUCCCGGUACAUUACCGGUGACGCCCGAAAUACUUCCGGUGGCCCAAACCUCACUUCCUAUAUCUUAUUCUUUACCUCCGAACCAUUCCGGAACUCCUCGUGACGUUUGGGAUCUCAUCCGGGACUCCGAACAACAUUCAUUAACCACAUGCAAACUUUCCCUAUAGCGUCACCAAACCUUAAGUGUGUAGACCCUACGGGUUCGGGAAUCAUGCAGACAUGACCGAGACAGCUCUCCGGCCAAUAACCAACAGCAGAAUCUGGAUACCCAUGUUGGCUCCCACAUGUUCCACGAUGAUCUCAUCGGAUGAACCACGAUGUCGAGGAUUCAAGCAAUCCCGUAUACAAUUCCCUUUGUCAAUCGGUAUGUUACUUGCCCGAGAUUCGAUCGUUGGUAUCCCAAUACCUCGUUCAAUCUCGUUACCGGCAAGUCACUUUACUCGUUCCGUAAUGCAUGAUCCCGUGACUAACUACUUAGUCACAUUGAGCUCAUUAUGAUGAUGCAUUACCGAGUGGGCCCAGAGAUACCUCUCCGUCAUACGGAGUGACAAAUCCCAGUCUCGAUUUGUGUCAACCCAACAGACACUUUAGGAGAUACCUAUAAUGCACCUUUAUAGCCACCCAGUUACAUUGUGACGUUUGGUACACCCAAAGCAUUCCUACGGUAUCCGGGAGUUACACAAUCUCAAGGUCUAAGGAAAUGAUACUUGACAUUAGAAAAGCUUUAGCAAAUGAACUACACAAUCUUGUGCUAUGCAUAGGAUUGGGUCUUGUCCAUCACAUCAUUCUCCUAAUGAUGUGAUCCCGUUAUCAAUGACAUCCAAUGUCCAUAGUCAGGAAACCAUGACCAUCUGUUGAUCAACGAGCUAUUCAACUAGAGGCUCACUAGGGAGAUGUUGUGGUCUAUGUAUUCACACAUGUAUUACGGUUUCCGAUCAACACAAUUAUAGCAUGAACAAUAGACAAUUAUCACGAACAAGGAAAUAUAAUAAUAACCUUUUUAUUAUUGCCUCUAGGGCAUAUUUCCAACAAUAAGCACUCAGUUUCAGGCUUUGGUCCAGCUUUGGGAUUCUUCAUGGGAAUGACAACUUGCUUGUCAUUCUACUUGAAGUUCCCUUUCUUUCCAUUUGCCCUUUUCUUGAAACUAGUGGUCCUGUCAAUCAUCAACACUUGAUGCUCUUUCUUGAUUUCUACCUUCAUCGAUUUCCGCAUCACGAAGAGCCAGGGAAUCGUUUUCAUCAUCCCUUGCAUAUUAUAGUUCAUCAGGAAGUUCCAGUAACUUGGUGAUGGUGACUAGAGAACUUGGUCAAUCACUAUCUUAUCUAGAAGAUUAACUCCCACUUGAUUCAAGCGAUUGUAGUACCUAGACAAUCUGAGCACAUGCUCACUGUUUGAGCUAUUCUCCUCUGUCUUUCAGCUAUAGAACUUGUUGGAGACUUCAUAUCUCUCAACUCGAGUAUUUGCUUGAAAUAUUAAAUUCAACUCCUGGAACAUCUCAUAUGGUCCAUGAUGUUCAAAACGUCUUUGAAGUCCCGAUUCUAGGCCGUUAAGCAUGGUGCACUAAACUAUCAAGUAGUCAUCAUAUUGAGCUAGCCAAACGUUCAUAACGUUUGCAUCUGCUCCUGCAAUAGGUCUGUCACCUUGCGGUCCAUCAAGGGCAUAAUUCUUCUGUGCAGCAAUGAGGAUAAACCUCAGAUCAUGGACCUAGUCCGCAUCUUUGCUACUAACAUAUUUCAACUUAGUUUUCUCUAGGAACAUAUGAAAAAACACAUGGAAGCUAUAACGCAAGCUAUUGAUCUACAACAUGAUUUGCAAAAUACUAUCAGGACAAAGUUCAUGACAAAUGAAAGUUCAAUUAGUCAUAUUAUUUAAGAACUCCCACUUACAUAGACAUCCCUCCAAUCAUCUAAGUGAUCAUGUGCUCCAAAUCAACUAAACCAAAACCGAUCAUCACGUGAGAUGGAGUAGUUUUCAAUGGUGAACAUGUUGAUCAUAUCUACUAUGUGAUUCACGUUCGACCUUUCGGUCUCAGUGUUCCGAGGCCAUAUCUACAUAUGCUACGCUUGUCAAGUUUAACCCGAAUAUUUCUGCGUGUGCAAAACUGGCUUGCACCCGUUGUAGGUGAACGUUGAGCUUAUCACACCCGAUCAUCACGUGGUGUCUCAGCACGACGAACUUUGGCAACGGUGCAUACUCAGGGAGAACACUUAUAUCUUGAAAUUUAGUGAGAGAUCAUCUUAUAAUGCUACCGUCAAUCAAAGAAGAAUAAGAUGCAUAAAGAAUAAACAUCACUUGAAAUCAAUAUAAGUGAUAUGAUAUGGCCAUCAUCAUCUUGUUCCUUUGAUCUCCAUCUCCAAAGCACUGUCAUGAUCACCAUCGUCACCGGCGCGACACCUUGAUGUCCAUCGUAGCAUCGUUGUCGUCUUGCCAACUGUUGCUUCUACAACUAUUGCUACCGCUUAGUGAUAAAGUAAAGCAAUUACAGGGCGAUUGCAUUGCAUACAAUAAGGCGACAACCAUAUGGCUCCUGCCAGUUGCCGAUAACUCUGUUACAAAACAUGAUCAUCUCAUACAAUAAAAUUUAGCAUCAUAUCUUGACCAUAUCACAUCACAACAUGCCCUGCAAAAACAAGUUAGAUGUCCUCUACUUUGUUGUUGCAAGUUUUACGUGGCUGCUACAGGCUAAGCAAGAACCGUUCUUACCUACGCAUCAAAACCACAACGAUAUUUCGUCAAGUUAGUGAUGUUUUAACCUUCAACAAGGACCGGGCGUAGCCACACUCGAUUCAACUAAAGUUGGAGAAACUAACACCCGCCAGCCACCUAUGUGCAAAGCACGUCGGUAGAACCAGUCUCGUGUAAGCGUACGGGUAAUGUCGGUUUGGGCCGCUUCAUCCAACAAUACCACCGAAUCAAAGUAUGACAUGCUGGUAAGCAGUAUGACUUGUAUCGCCCACAACUCACUUGUGUUCUACUCAUACAUAUAACAUCUACGCAUAAACCUAGCUCGGAUGCCACUGUUGGGGAACGUAGUAAUUUCAAAAAAAUUCCUACGCACACGCAAGAUCAUGGUGAUGCAUAGCAACGAGAGAGAAGAGUGUCGUCCAUGUACCCUUGUAGAUCAUAAGCGAAAGCGUUAUGACAACACGGUUCAUGUAGUCGUACGUCUUCAUGAUCGACCGAUCCUAGUACCGAACGUACGGCACCUCCGCGAUCUACACACGUUCAGCUUGGUGUCGUCCCACGAACUCACGAUCCAGUAGAGCUUCGAGGGAGAGUUCUGUCAGCACGAUGGCGGGAUGACGGUGUUGAUGAAGCUAUCGACGUAGGGCUUCGCCUAAGCACCGCAACGAUAUGACCAAGGUGGAUUAUGGUGGAGGGGGGCACCGCACACGGCUAAAGAUCAGUGAUCAACUUGUGUGUCUUGGGGUGCCCCCCGCCCCCGUAUAUAAAGGAGCUAGGGGGAGGCGGCCGGCCAGGAGGAGGGCACGCCAAGGGGGGAGUCCUACUCCCACCGGGAGUAGGACUCCUCCUUNNNNNNNNNNNNNNNNNNNNNNNNNNNNNNNNNNNNNNNNNNNNNNNNNNNNNNNNNNNNNNNNNNNNNNNNNNNNNNNNNNNNNNNNNNNNNNNNNNNNNNNNNNNNNNNNNNNNNNNNNNNNNNNNNNNNNNNNNNNNNNNNNNNNNNNNNNNNNNNNNNNNNNNNNNNNNNNNNNNNNNNNNNNNNNNNNNNNNNNNNNNNNNNNNNNNNNNNNNNNNNNNNNNNNNNNNNNNNNNNNNNNNNNNNNNNNNNNNNNNNNNNNNNNNNNNNNNNNNNNNNNNNNNNNNNNNNNNNNNNNNNNNNNNNNNNNNNNNNCGCUAUAUGCCCGAACUUGCCUGGAACACUUCCGAAGUCCAAACAUAGUCAUCCAAUAUAUUGAUCUUUAUGUGUCGACCAUUUUGAGACUCCUCGUCAUGUCCAUAAUCAUAUCCGGGACUCCAAACUACCUUCAGUACAUCAAAACACAUAAACUCAUAAUACCGAUCGUCAACGAACGUUAAGUGUGUGGACCCUACGGGUUCGAGAACUUUGUAGACAUGAUCGAGACACGUCUCUGGUCAAUAACCAAUAGAGGAACGUGGAUGCUCAUAUUGGCUCCUACAUAUUCUACGAAGAUCUUUAUCGAUCAAACUGCAUAACAACAUACGUUGUUCCCUUUGCCAUCGGUAUGUUACUUGCCCGAGAUUCGAUCGUCGGUAUCUCAAUACCUAGCUCAAUCUAAUUACCAGCAAGUCUCUUUACUCGUUCCAUAAUGCAUCAUCCCACAACUAACUCAUUAUUCACAUUGCUUGCAAGGCUUAUAGUGAUGUGCAUGACUGAGAGGGCCAAGAGAUACCUCUCCGACAAUCGGAGUGACAAAUCCUAAUCUCGAUCUAUGCCUACUCAACAAACACCAUCGGAGACACCUAUGGAGCACCUUUAUAAUCACCUAGUUACGUUGUGACGUUUGGUAGCACACAAAGUGUUCCUUCGGUAUUCGGGAGUUGCAUGAUCUCAUAGUCAUAGGAACAUGUAUAAGUCAUGAAGAAAGCAAUAGCAACAUACUAAACGAUCAAGUGCUAAGCUAACACUACAAAAAAAUACACUUCCAUGAUGAUACGUGUUUGUCACAGUAGGUCGCGUUUUUUGUCAUGCAUGUACAUCCAUGAGAAAUUUAUGACAGAAUCAAGAUAGUCAUACCUGUGCUAUCGUAGAAGUGUUCGAUGACAUUACCAAAAUUAUCAUCACGGAAGUGUACACUUCCAUGACGAUAAAUCGCGCGUCACAGAAAUGCUUUUGUCAAGGGUGACUGACACGUGGCAUCCACCGUAACGGAACGCCGUUAAGCUAUCGGGUCGGGUUUUGGAUCCGAUAACCCGUUAACAGCCCCGACCAAUGGGGAUUUUCCACGUGUAAAAUCAUCAUUGGCUGGUGGAAACACGUGUCGGCGCACUAUUGGGACAGAUGUCAUGCACUCAUUGGACAAAAGGCGCCUAUGAUACGUCGACACGUGGCACAACCCAACAGAGGCCCAUUCCUGUGAAAAGGCCGGCCCGUUUGACUUGGUCAAAAGGUGGCGGGCCGGCCCAUGGAAAGCCUAUUAACGGCCUGUUCGCAUAUAGCCCAUUUACAGCCCGCUAACCCAAGGCCCGUUACGCCCUAUCCGGAUUAGGCCCAGUAGCGUCAUCUGGGCCAUCCAAUAUGAUUCCAGCCUGUUUUCACUUCUGGCCCAUGUAUGGCCCAUGACGUCUUUCGGCCCAUAUGAGGCCCUAUGUAACUCUUGGCCUAUUAACGGCCCAUGGUGAAACUGGCCCGCAAUGAACAGUGUAUCACUUUACACCCACUAAUGGCCCGUGGUGAAACUGGCCCAUAAUGAACAAUAUAUCACUUUAUACCCAUUAAAGGCCCGUUAUUCAGUUGGGCUGUUUCCAGCAAAUGUUAUCUUUUGGCCUUCUCAGAGCCCAUUUAUUCUUGGGCUCAUUUUGAGCAUUCGUUUACUUACGGCCCGUUACUGUCAUUUUCUGCUUGUGGGCCAAAUUUAGCCCGUGGUUACAUCGGCCCGUUUGUGGUCCGAUAAUACGUUGGGCCGUUUUCAUAGCGUCAUCAAAUACGGCCUAUUAACGAUAGCCCGUUAUGGUCAUACGGCCCGUAUAAGGCCCAUUGAUGAUACGGCCCAUAGAAGGCCCAUUGUUUCUAUGGCCCGUAGAAGGCCCAUUGUUUCUACGGCCCGUAGAAGGCCCAUUGUUUCUACGGCCCGUAGAAGGCCCAUUGUUUCUAUGGCCCGUAGAAGGCCUACUGUUUCUACGGCCCGUAGAAGGCCCACUGUUUCUACGGCCCGUAGGAGGCCCAGUGUCACUACAGUAAAUAUUAGCCCAUGGUUAUUGUGGCCUAGUUUUAAAAAGAACUGCACUGACUACAAGCAAACAAAUAAACAAGACAACAAGGAAAUAAGUAAGCAAGCAACUUAUGCUAGGCUAUCACGACUGUUACACAUAUUACAUCCACUGGGCAUCAAAGUUCGCCACCAGUGCAAAUAUAGGGAACAAAGCAGCAUAUCAUAUACACUGGUUGUCGAAGUUGGCGACCAGCGCAAAUAAACGCCACAGGAAAACAAAUCUAGAACUGAAACCACUUCAGAAGAUCUCAAGAAACAAUAUCCUGGGUACCCAUAAUGCUGGCAAGAUGCUUAGCAAGCUUAUUAACUUUCUCUUGUUUGGCGCUUAAAUCCUCCAGCGCUUGCUGUUGGACCAGAAAAUAUGCAUCUGUAUUCUGCAGGGACUUCCUUAGUCCUUCAGCUUCCUGUCGCAGCACAUCUGAUCGAUGUCUUUCAACUUGAAGUUGAGACUCAAGAAGACGAACUGAUUCAGGCAGCGAGUUCGAAGAGCUUGUGCCAACAGUAGUGGCCAAUAACUCGAACACUACAUCAAGACAAGACUUUUGGGUUCCCUCACUAUCGUCAAGAUAGUUUUUAUCAGCUUUCUUGGAGACCAACAGGGAUGUCUCACUAUCUUGAACCUUAUCUGCAUUACGUCCUUUACCAUUGGAUAACGCGGUACUGUUCUCCAAUAUUUUGUCCGCAUUCUAAAAGAGAAACAAGCAGACACAUCACAUGUUUACCAUGUUGUAUAUGAAACUCAUUUUGGUAAAUGAGUUCAGUAGUAAAGUGGACAGGAUAACAACAUGAAACAAACAUAUAUCUAUGUGCCAUGGUCACUUUAUGGUCUAUAUCAUUCUAGUUUUUGUUGCCAAAUCAAGAUAGAGACACAGUUCAAAUAAUAUUUGUUCAAGACAAAGCAGAAUAGACAGAAUAUAAGUGUGGGUAACUAUAGAGCAAUAACAACACUUGUAAUGUGCAUGACAUGAGAACAUAAUUGUUUAUUCAAUUGAAACUGAAAUCAACAUAGAGCAGGUUACAACAGCAAACCAGUUAAAGAAACAGGUUUAAAACAUACCUGUUGCGCCAUUGGAGUUUCAAUUCCAUCCUUCAAAUUUGAAAAUAGUUGGUAUGAGUAAAUACAGUAAUGCAAGAGCAAAGGAGUAUGAACCAUAGCUACAGAACCUGACCUGAGAACAAAUCUUCUUCUCCUUUAAGUGUUGAGCUGGGAUUCAGAGUGGUGGUCCUCGUGCUUUGGGCACUGCAGUUCCCUUACUAACCGCUCGUGUUUGGGUGCUCUGUGGUGGAGACGGUGCUGUGUCAACUAGAACUGGGUUACUAUCUGCUGGGGUAGGGGUUAAAAGGGGUGUAGCUGGUUCUCUGUCCAACUGGGUAGGGGUACAAUCUGCGAGAGUCUGGGUUAUGUGUGGUGUAUCUGGUCCUUGGGCAAGUACAACCAUUGUUGUAUCUGGAUCAACUGGUAGCACUAUCUUUUCUGAAGACCGUGUUGUUACUCCCUUAGAUACUCCCAUCACGCUCUUCAAUUCAAAUGGCUGAUAAACAAGAAAAGUAAUUGAAAGUAUAGACAUUGUAUGAUAGACAGGUGCAAUGGAUAGUGGGGAAUAAAAGAGGGCAUGAAAUAAUUCAUAUUUAUGUUGUCUAACCAAAUAGGCUAGCAUGACACAAUUUCAUAUAUAUGAUGGCUAACUAAACAGGAUAGCAUGACACAAUUUCACAUUAUGAUGGCUAACUAAAAAAGAUGGAAAGACAUAGUUCAAAAUAUGAGACUAUGUAAACAGGAUGACAUGACAUAACUAUAUAAUGUGUUUAUUAAAUAGGUUGGCAUGCCAUAAUUCACAUACAUUCAUGGAUAGAAUGCCAUAAUUCUAAAUAUGAUGACUGUAAACACUAAACAGGAUGAGAUGAUAUAACUAUAUGAUGUCUUUAUUAAAUAGGUUGCCAUGCCAUAAUUCAGAUAGAUGAUGUGUAUGUACUAUGUAAACAUGAUGGCAUGAUAUAAUUCAAAUAUAUGAUUUAUAUAGUAAGCAAGUAAGCAGAUGGCAAUCUAUAUAUGAUGUAAAAACUAAGCAAUGCAAGACAACAUGCAUGACAUGGGUAAUAUAACCCUGCCAAGUUUGAGCAUAGACCUCAGGGGGGAAAUAGGACUGGUCAUCAGUCUCUGAAUCAUCCUCCGAGGAGCUCUCUGUAGCCAGCAAGAUGUCUGCUUCAGCAGGUAGCAUUGUCUGCUCUGAAUACCUUGUUUUCACUCCAGAUACUUCCAUCACCGCUUCAUAUGGCUGAUGUACAGGAAGAGUAGUUGAAUAUACAAACAUUGUCGACAAAUUGAACACGUAAUACAAAAAAAUGAUAGCAUGAUAUAAUUCACAUACAUGAUGAUUGGCUAAACAACAUGGCAUUGCAUAAUUCACAUAUAUAAUGCCUUUGCAACAAGAUAGCAUUGUAUAAUUCACAUAUAUAAUGUCUUGAAACAAGAUGGCAAUGCAUAAUUCACAUAUAUGGUAAUUAGACACUGAACAGGUGGCAUUCACACAAAGCAUGUCUAAACUAAUCAAAUGGCAUAGCAAUGCGAGACACCAUACGCACGAUAUGAGCAACAUAACCCUGCCAAGUUAGAGCAUACACCUCGGGGGGGGGAAUAGGACUGGUCAUCUGUCUCUGAAUCCUCCUCUGAGGAGCUAUCUAUAACCAGCGAGAUAUGCGCUUCGUCAGAUAGUAUAGUCUGCUCAGAAGACCUUGUUUUCACUCCAGAAUUUGCCAUCACCGUGUCAAAUGGCUGAUGCACAGGAAGAGCAGUUGAAUGUACUAACAUUGUUGAUGAAUGUAAUAUGUAACGAAAAAAAAGAUGGACUGAUAUAAUUUUACAUAUAAGAUGACUAGCUAAGCAGGAUGGCAUUGCAAAAUUCACAUAUAUGAUGCCUGGCUAAACAAGGUGGCGUUGCAUAAUUCACAUAAACGAUGAAUAAACUAAACAGAUGGCAUUCGCACAAAGGAUGUCUAAACUAAGCAGAUGACAUAUUUGAUGUAUAAAGUAAGCAAUGCAAGACACCAUAUGCAUGAUAUAACCAACAUCAGCAUGCCAAGUUAGAGCGAAGACCUCAGGGGGUAAAUAGGAGUUAUUUUCUCCUUCUGAAUCCCCCUUAGAACAGAUAUCUUCCUCUCGAUUACAAUCCAAAAUGCGUGGAGGGGGGGGGGCUUCCUUUGCGCCUACCAUGGAGCAACGUCUGCAUGAAAUUAUAUUGCCACGCAAGGCUCGUCUCUUUUGCUCUACAUGUUCAGUUCCAUUGUUUACAAUAACUAUCAUGCAUAGGAAUAAAACAUAGUGAGAUUAUGUAAGGAGUGCAUGCAGAAAUCCAGAGUGAUGGUAGCAACCUGUGGAUAGACCCAAAACCAAUAAUAGCAGGCAGAUAUUGGCUUCAGUUAAUAAAUACAGAUAAUGGCUUCUUUACUGUUUGUUUCCCACCCAACAUGAAAUUCAUAGUAGACACCGGAGAUUAACCAGAUAGUAGAUAGAUACUAUUGAUAGCGGCCCCGAUAUGUACCCCACAACCAUUUAAAAACUCAAGUUUGACCAUUAGUUUGGAGCUGACUUAGAGUCUAAUCGGUGAACAGGACGAUAAAGUAGCAUGUAAUAUUAAGCGAUGCAUAACGUAAGCAGACACGAAAGAGUGCGACCUCUCUUGCGGACUCGUGUAGUCCUCGAGGUCAUCUGCUUGGUUGAUGAUGGUAAUGUAGUUUUAAUGGCUGCCAGCGGCGGGGAAGAAGAUCUGAGGUGGCGAAAGACAUUCUGGAGGCCGGAUCCCUGCUCUGCUGGACCCUUCUGUCGUUGGAGCAGCUGAGCUGGGGUGGACGACGGCGCAGCAGGACCGGGACAAACCAUGCAAGGUUUUCUUUGACAACUAUCUGUAAGAGAAGUAAUUCUGUAAGGGCUCAUUUGAAUUGGAGGAUUCCAACAAUGCAGGGAUAGGAAAUAGACAGAAAUAGGAUAGGAAUGCACGUGCAAAACAGAGAAUUUAAAAACACAGGAUUUCUGCCAAUCUGGGUGUUUGAUUCACAACAAUUGGAAGAUCACAGGAUGCAAAGAAGCAUGGUGAGAUUAAGUCAAACCACAAGAAAAUGUACGGUUAUAAUGCUAUUAUGCUACUAUCUCUUAGUCUUGUGCUUCAUGAAUAGGAAUUUGAAAAGGAGGACAAGUGAAAAUUAAAAUUCCUAUGUUUUUUAUUUCAAGGAGACACUAAAGGAACAAAUCCAUGUGCUCAGUGGACAAUAUAUAUAACAUGUAGAGUAAAAAAGAGAUGCAACAAGUGUACAACCUCUUUGGCGAAGCCAUGUCAAUCUCAGCGUGAUUGGGUUGGCCGGCGAGGAUGCUCCGGCUGACUUUGCUGUCGGAGGAGGGUAAGAAGAUCUUAGGCAUCUGGAGAUGGAGCCCGAGGUACUGCUCCGCUGUGAUGUAGGGUUUCGUCGUUGGAGCAGCUCCGGUGAGUUGUACGACGCCAAGGCUAAAGCAGGACAAGAGAGACAACGAACAACGUUAACCUGAGUGGAAUUCUAAUAGCAUCUCCAAUACAUGACAUAAAAUACAUAACCACAAAGUGCUAGAUGUAAAAUACAUCAGCCGCUCAUCUCUAAACUUAACCGUCAAAACUGAACUUAACUGUCGAAACUGAACCUAACUGUCCAAACUGAAUUUUGCUGUCGAAACUGAACGCACUAGCAAGGUGAGGCUACACGUCGGUCGACUGACUUUUUCAUCUCUGGUCAGUCGAUUUUGCAGCCGUUGGAUACGAAAUCAAGGGCCUGCGGUUCAUCUUCAACCUCCACCCCCCCUGAGCCGCCAGCCACCACCGGCCAAACAGCAGCCCGCCGCCGCCCGCGGCCGGCGGUGCGUCGCCCCGCCUGCCCCGAAAACACUCCCCUCCGCCGGUCCGCCGCCGCCCCGGCCAUCCCUCUAGGCCCCGGCCAUCCCUCUAGGCACCGGCCAUCCCUCUAGGCCCCCACGGCCAUCCCUCUAGGAUCCCCAUGCCACCGCCCCGCCAACGCCCCGCCACCGCCAGCGACCACCGCCCCAUCCUGAACUAUAAGAUAGAUAGUGGGGUACCUCUCCGGCGAGCCCCCCUCCCUGCUGCGGCUGGUUCUUCCUUCACCCCGGCGAGCCCACCCCUUGGAAAUCGACUGACCCAAAAGUCGAUUCAGUCGACUGAAGUGUAGCCAAAUCGGAGCAGCAUUGCAAGCAAGAGUAAGAGCGAGAGCAGCAGCGCGAGCAAGAGCAAUAGCAAGAGCAGACCAGGCAGGGGACCGAGAGCAAGAGCAGAACAGCAGCGCGAGCGAGAGCUAUAGCAACAGCAGCUCCUACUGAUGUGGACGUCGCCGCCGAGGGAGCGACGCCAUGGAGGAAGUGGCCAGUGAUGUCGCCAUGGAUGGAGUCACGCCGUGUCGGCUCGGGACCGAGCGCCAGCAGCACCGUGAGAUCGAAUCAAGAAGAAACUACGGAGAUUAGUGUAUAACCUCUUUGGUGGCGCCAAUUAGGCCGCAGCUUCAUCCGAGGAAAUGGUGAUGAUGAUGCUCUUCCGGUGGUGCAGGUGAAGACGGCGGUGUGGGAAUGGAGGUGGAACGAAAGACGAGGGGAACAUCGAGGCAGCUCCUUGGAGGUGGAGGACGGGGUGGCUGAACCGGCGGGAUGAUGAGAUUGACGACGGAUCCUCAUCCGGUACGGUGGAUGAGGGACGUCGAGGUGUUCUUGUGGACGACAUCAUCGGGGAAGAAGCUCUGGCUGGGUGGCGGACGGAGCAGGGUGUGGGGUUUCGUCGCGGGUUUUCGUGGCCUUGGUGUAUGAAUGGGUGGGCGGAUGGGAUGGCAGUGGGGAACCAUGGCUUAGAGACGCGCUUGUCCGAAAUGCGGGGUAAGUUACGAAAGUACCCCCUCCAAUUUGAGGCGGUUCUUUUGGUUCAGGGGUACCACGGGCAUUUCGCGUGUCGGGAUUUCACAGGAGGUGGGAGUUUUUGCGCGCGUUGUAAUUUUGGAAUAGCAAGGCGCGGGUUGAGAUGGAGGGAAUUGUCGGAGCACAACAAGACAAAGAUAUAUCUUAAAUAUUUCGGGCUAACAAGGCGCGGGUUGAAAUUUUUGGACAAGCCUAACAUGUACUGUACCAAAUCAAUGGACACUACAAAUGUCAUUCAAAACUUUGAAUUCAUGUUAUGUUCAAUAAAAAUAUUUCGCUACGUGUAUAAUGCAUGCAACCUACUACUCAAAUGAACGUUUUAGUGCAUUCUAAACGUAUAUACUAUCGCUUCAAUAUGAGCUAAAUUUGAAUCAGAUCUACAGUAAUGAUUGUUGUGAAGUCAAAGCAUUUGAAUUCGUUUCUCUGUUUUAAUAAGAUCUACAAUCAUCAUUAUUGUCAAGUUAAACCAUCGUUUGUGUAUUAUCUUCACAGCACACCACAUGAUCAGUAUCGAGUUACAUAUGAACUAUGUGUACUAUAUGAACUCGAACUAGAUUUUUUGAAUCCACUUUAUUUUGAUUUCAAAUCACAUUACAUUUCUAGCUCUAGCUAGAUCUUCAUAAUCUAAACCAUGUCUCAUAUGUAUAAUGUGUUUAUCACAUUAUGUAUGGUGCCCCGCCCCCUACGCCUACAAGUAUUUAGAUGUGAGUUGCAAACACCACACAUUACCACAAAUUCAAAUAAAAUGUGAGAAUGUUCGAUAUAUAGUAUUGUUUAGAUUGCUCGAUAUUUAGUUGUAAGCUGCAAACGCCGCACAUUAUCACAAAUUCAAAUAAAAUGUGAGAUUGUUUGAUGUAUAGUAUGGUUUAGAUUGUUCGGCAUUUAGCUGUGAGUUGCAAACGCCAUGCAUUAUCACAUUAUGGUAUAACAUGUGCACAACACGUGUAUCACCGCUAUAUUCAUGCAUGCAAUGUUUAAAACACUAUGAUCUCCUAUUCAAAUAUAUGAAUCCAUUUUCAUAUCAAAUUAUGAUCUUUGUUAGUCUCUUACACCCACACAGUCCUCUAACCUUUGUAGCUACCACUAACUUUCUCUCGUGCAUGCACACGCCCUCCUCGCCCUCCCACUCCCUCGGCAUUCUAUGCACCAGGCGCAUUCAUUUUUUCCUUUAGGUCAUUCUCCCAGAGUCUCCACAACUCCUUUCCGACACACACCGAUCGAUAAACCUCUCCAGCGAUGCCUGCCUACAGCAUACACACACAGCUUCAAUCUCCUCCUUUAUGUGUCCUUGCCUCGUGUCUCUCAUAUGGUCAGACACACGUGUAAACUCUCACCCCUCUUUUAAUCGAUCUCACAACCGCACACUCCUCCCCCUAUCCAGCUAGUAGUUGGGCAUCUCGCACCACCUCCUAGCUCCAUUCUCUCUGUCUAUCCGUCUCGCUAGGCCUUAUUUGCCUCUAACAAAUGGACAUACACCGACCGAUCUCUCGCUAUACAUAUAGCCAACUAGGUCCUUAUAACUCGUUUUUACCCACACAUCGAUCGAUCUACCUCAUUAGUUGUGUCUCUUCCUUCCUCCGACAAACAACAAUUGAUCUACCGAUCUAGUUAGGUUUGCUUACCAAACACAUGGUUCCCCUUCAUCAUCCAUGGAUGCGUCCCGAUAGAUCUAUCACGCACAGGCACACACAGAAACACAUCCCCACUCUUAUUGAUAACAUUGCAGUUCCACCCUCAGUUUGUCUAGUAGGCCUCUCCCAACAUCUCCGAGAAGCAACUCCAUCACCCAUCCAGCACUCUACCCCUCUCCCUCCCUCUCCCUCCCUCUCUCUCUCCUCUCUCUCUUUGUCCCAUCAAAUUUCCCGUCCUUCAGUUAUGUAUGGAUGUCGACCAAUCUCCCUCAUGAUAUAGCUGGGUCUCUCCUUCUCAACACAUAUACGAGUCGUUCUACGUCUAUAGUUAGGCCUCUGCCUACCCCUUCCCCCACCCCCUCCCCCCCACACACACCGAUACAUCAAGCGCUCUAGUCAUGUCUCCCUGCCACACACAAACUUGACAUGUGCCCUCUAACGUUCCGGUAGGCCAGUCGCCCUAUAUCUUUGACUUGCACACACACACAAUUUCGAUGGCUCUCUUCAUCGAUCUUGCACCCACCCGUACUUGAUCCUCUCUUCGACUCUAUCGAUAGCUAUGACCCAUCCCUCUCUUCUCGUGGAUUGCCCGACCCUCUAUGUAUGAUAUGGAUAGGCCUCCAUUUCACACACAUUGCAUGCAAAAUUUUGUUUGAGAUGUCAUCGACACAUAUUCCCACAAAUAAUUCACGAAAUCAACCCCCCACCCCACCCCACCCCCCACCACAAAACAAAAAACACUCAAGAACGCGGUUUGUAUCUCUCACGCACACCCACGUAGGUGGGGGACAUGCACGAAGAGAAGAGGUGCAUGCACGGCGCACGUACUCCCGUCUCUUUCCCAACCACACCCGCGCGGGCACACGGUGGAGCUCAUUUCUGUACGAAAAAGGCAGCCCACGUGGUACUUUGGCAUGUGUACUGGUUGUCCACUUGGUGGAGGGAGAUUCUUCUACCACAGGUGAACAAACAAAUUGCGACUUGACGCGUUAUGUUAAAUUAAGAAAAGAGGCAAACCAUGUGGGGCCUACCUUAGAGGCAAGGCUCUAUACACUGGAGUACUUUUGAUGUGUCCCAUCACCUCACAGAACGAGGAGAAGCUUGCUUAGUACGCCGUCUCCCCCGCCCACGGGUGCGGUGGCUCGCAGGAUGAGGUGAAGCUUGGUCCUCCCUCGCCCAUGCGCGCGGUGGCUCGCAGGACGAGGAGAAAAAUUUACUACUCCCUCCGUUUCCUCCUCGUCCCUACUACCUUGGUUAUAGAGAUUAUAUCAUAUUGUUUGGAAUAUAUAUGUCCUUAGUAGAUUUCAAUAUGAACUACUAGUACAUACUCCAAACACUGAUGUAUAUAGAUGUAUUUUAGAUUGUACAUUCACUCAUUUUGCUCCGUAUGUAGUAGCACUCUCCCUCGCCCCUCGACCCUCGCCCACGUGGUGGACGUGCAGCAAUUCAUUCGGUCUCAUAUAGCCAGAAUGAUAUAUACUGCACUACCAUUAUUGCUCGACUUCCCGAAUAGGCGAAGAGCCAAUCGCAAGGUUAAUAUUUUGGAGAUGCCAAGUGCAAGGUUAUAGGAGAACGAGUAGUAGGUGCCGCGUCAUUUAUAAAUAAUUUUUUUCUUAAGUGGCACGUACGCAAUAUGAUAGGUUCAUAUGGAGAGAAAAGGAAACCGCUCCACUAUAUACAUAGUCAGGACGGGCCAGCCUACACGGUUGCUUGCUGGGGAUGCUCUCUUCACACUCGCUCGCACAAAACGACUAUGGCCACAUCUCUAACAUCCCGGCGGAUCACGUCCACUUGGGGAAGGGGUGGAUGCUUAGUGUAGAUGCCGUGUCCGUCGCCGACGGCGAAAACCCACUAUCGGCACGUCCCGAUCAGGGGUCCCCGCCGUUCUCUCUCAGAAAGCCGGUGAGGUUACCUUUGUCCCUUGCUCACUGCCGCGACGUGGGCAGUUGCCGCCUCCCGCCGCCCUCUCAAGGUUGAGCUACGUCCCUCAGGUACAACUCCCUUUACAGCCGGCUUGCACCACUGCUCCAGCUGCCCACAUCACUCCCUGUGGAUAUUUCUCUACUUCUUUGCCCCUCACAUACCUGAUACCUCUACUGGCUUCUACAUACUGUAUUUGUGAUGAGUUUAUGUCUCAUCAACUAGUCCUAGUAAUCUUAUUCUAAUCACGCUUCUUCAAUUUCUUUGCCACAGGGAUGCUCAUCUCAAUUUUGGUGAAACUGCAAAAAAUGAUCCGAUGGUCAAAAUGUUGCAAACUUCAUUUAUUAGGAAGCUCGAACUUUGCCAGCAAAUUGAAGCCUGGUCAGGGUUCAGGGUUCAAGGGCUAGGGACUGCAUGGAUCGUUUCUUUCUUUAGCUGCCUCUGUUCCAAAAUAAGUGUCAACUUUAGUAGUAGUACAACUUUGUACUAAAGUUUGCACAAAGUUGAGACACUUAUUUUGGAACGGAGGGAGUACAUAUUUGCUAUGAUCUGUCAAUCAUUGAGAUGCAAUAGCAUGCAUGUUAGUCUCCUUUGUAUUUGAUGAAAUGUUGCAACGGGCAACCUUGGACACAAGAUACAUGUAACAGGAGCUGGAAGCUUCAUAACAUUGUACAAAUUUAUCUCGCUGAUAAAUUACAGUACGUAAUAGUACUAUACUAGUACUUCCUCCAUUCCUAAAUAUAAGUCUUUGUAGAGAUUUCACCAUUAACCACAUGCGGAUGUAUAUAGAUGCAUUUUAAGUGUAGAUUCAUUCAUUUUGUUCUGUAUGUAGUUCACCUAGUGGAAUCUCUACAAAGACUUAUCUACUAGUAAUAGCUAGCCCCCGCUACUAGGAAUUCUCUAUCCUCUCCUUGAGCCACAUCAUCAAAAUUGACGUAGCCAUUAGAUGAAGUAAAUCAGUCAUAAUAGCCGUCUGAUCUAGACGUUAAGAGGCUCAGCACUAAGCCACAUGCAAGCAUGCAGAAAUACCAUGGCACAUGCAUGUGAGUGGGUUUUAAAUCACAUCAACAUGUCUGCAUGAAAGCAUGCACCGGUAGCAUGCAUGUAAGUGAGCUUUUAAGUCCCAUUAACAUGUCAAAAAGAAAAAUAUAAUCCCAUUAUGCAGUAGGUGUUGGCUGAUCUUUUUUCCUUAUGUGGGAUGAUCUAAAUGAUGAUGGGAGUUUAUUUAGUUUCGCUACCACAUUUGUCAUGCGGUUAUAGAUUUUUUUUAGUUCUAUGAAAUCGAUAAUUUGGCGCAGAGAGAUAUACCGUUGUUCCGUGGCAACGAGCGGGGACUCAUCUAGUAAUAUUUAGGAACGGACGGAGUACUAUGUAAAGAGUCAGGUGUCGCAUGGUGAUAGUGUGAGGUGGGCCAUGUAAUCACUGAGCUUGCGUGUUUUCACUGCUCUUGCACUCCUCCGCUGUAAGAAUGGAGAAAAUUGUAAUCUACUACCUCCUUUCGCCGAAAGCGUGGGACAUCCAGCAGUCCUACCACCUCAGUAAUAAAGACCAAUGAGCCGUCAAAUCACAUAGAUCCAGAAGUAAGUUGGACGGACGAAGCAACCAUCACUCUUGCGCCAGUGAGAGGUCGCGUCCGCUCUGCCCGUGCAUGAAUGUGGCACCGAUUCUUUGGAGCGGUGCUGACUGUUUCGGGCGGGAAGCGCGCGCGGGCGGUGGAGGGGCUUUGGGUGGGCCAGGCUGGUCAGGAGCGGGCGUGGUAGCUGUCCGCAUGUCCCUACCGGACACGCCCGGAAACGAGAGGAUGCACCGACUCUCGUGGCUAAAAUCGUACACUACACACCAUAUCUUUGUAGGAGUAGGUCGAUCUGUCGCACUCUCUAACACACACAUGCUGUUAAACACACACACGCACAUGCAUGCACCUUGGUCCUGUUGCACCUUCUAACGUGACUUAUUACACCUAGACGGAGGGAGUAGUAAGUAUAGGAGAUACGGUGGCACACUGACUUAAUUCGAAUACAAGUGCCCAAAAUUGGUGUGCAUGUUAUAAUAAGGAUUCACUUAAAAUAGUACGUGAGCGAACAGAGGGAUCAAUUGGACAGUGUUCCCGAGCAGUAGCGAGAUGUGUGAGGUAGUAAGAUACACCAUUGGCGCUUUUAAUUUUUCUUAUUAAUUUGUUUGUUUCACCCUCUGACUGGUGGGACCCAACGUACUACGUGAAGAGAGGUAAGGUGACUAAGGCUGCAUUAUUUCUGCACCACUGUGGAUAGUGUUACCACCAAAGCCACAUGACACGAUUAUGAUUGAAAUCCUAAUGACUCCCACACACACACACACACACACACAAACACGGCAUGCCUGUCACACGAAUGCAGGAAUGUAUAAAAGGUUAUUUUCCUCUCGUUGAACAUAACGGGAGGGUUGUGUAGCUGGUUAGCUUGUUCGCUCAUCAAACUUGAGGUCUCGGGUUCGAUAACUACACUUGAGCAUAAUUUUUGCCAGGAGGAUUCUUUGACUGGUCAAAAUGUUUUCUAGGGUUUGCACGCUUCACACUCUCUCCAGUAUAUAUAUACACGCUGGAGCCUCAGCGCUUGUAGUUGCUCCCUUCACGCUCUCUCGCCCUCUCCCGCUGGAUCCUCAGCGCUUGUAGUUGCUCUCUUCACACUCUCUCGCCCUCUCCAGAUCUAAACAAGACUUCAUUGGCCUCUCUCUCCCCUCACUGCUGCUCAAAGAACCGGCAGGAUCCGUCCGCCGGGAAGGGAAGGAGGCUUAAUGCUGUCGCCGUCGGCGAGGGAGGGAAUCCACUACCGGCGCUGCUGUUCACUUUCCACCCAGCGGCGGCGCGGGAGGGACUCCGACCCUUCUUCUUCGCCGCCGUCCCGUCGCCCACCGAACCAUGCCCCAAGAACCUUAAGGUAUAUUUUACUUACUCCACAUGCAUUGCUCUAGCUGCAUGUAUACCAUGAAUCUAGGACGUGGUUCAAAGAGGAAAGGAGUGGGGGAAAGUAGUGAGAAAAGUUGUAUAUAGCAUGAAUCUAGGACGUGGUUCAAAGAGGAAAUGAAGGGGGAAAGUUGUAUAGCAUGAAUCUAGGACGUGGUUCAAAGAGGAAAGGAAUGGGGGAAAGUAGUGGGGAAAGUUGUAUCGCAUAAAUCUAGGACAUGGUUCAAAGAGGAAAGGAAGGGGCGAAAGUACUAGUUCAAAAAGGAAAGGAAGGGACAAGGCUGUAGAGUUUGAGCAGGACUAGAUUUGCUGCGCUCACAUAGGGAAAGGUGUCUAAAGAUAAAAAAACUGGGACCAACACAAAUAUGCUCCUUGGUUGUUUGUUCUUUGUUGCAACAGACUGUGCAUGACCAUAGUACAUCAGUAGAUGCACAUGGUGCUGGUGCGUCCACUGUCCCGUGCAACUUAUUAGCUGGUGUUAAUCUAUGGCCCUGUUUGGUUAAAAACUCCCUAGUCCCUACCUGCUUGGUUCCAGGGACUAAACAUGGACUAGAUGUUAUUAAAUGACAUGAUAAAAGACCAUGUUACCCCUAGUAAUGAACUAAUAGAAACAAGGUGUGAUGCGUGGCAGGGGCAACUAUUGGAAAAAGUCCCAAAAAGACUCCCUCGGGGUCUUCUUUCUUUAGUCCCAAAUGCCCACUUUUAGUCCCGAAAAGUCCCUCCUGUUUGGUUUAGAUGUGACUGACAUGGAGUUUUUUUAGUCCCUACACCAAAAUGUCCUCGUAAACAAACACCCUCUAACAAUGCCGCUAGAAAAUUGAUGCAAUGCCAUAGUUAAAAGUAAAUUACAUGUUUAACGAAUUUUAUUGUUAAUAUAAUCUCUAUGUUAAUAUUAAUCAAUGCCACCGUUUGAGAAAUGCUACUGUCUUGCUUUCUUUCCCAUUUAGAUAAGGUAGAUGCUUCUUUUGUUGGCUUCUGUGUCAUCCACCGUUAUUGACCACUAAUUGUUUCCUUUGCACCUUUGUGUAAACAGGGUUAUCUACUUCACCUCGUUGCCAUUGUGACCUUUUGUUGCACUGCACAAAACACUUUUGUUUUAAGAGUGUUUUGUGCAGUUCAACCAAAAUGUCACACCGACAACGUUGCUUGAUUGCUUGAUCUUAGUGGAACUGCACAAGAGGAGAUCUUACUUCCUAUCCGUUAAGGCGAAUUUGGUUCAGAUCUUCUUCUUGUGAGUUGUUUGAAUUCCGCAUCAUGAGAGGUCAGUACUAGCCUUCUUUCACAUGAUUCUCCAGUGUGCUUUCAUAUGUUGUGCUACUUGUACGAUAAUGUUGCUUGAUUUUAGUGAACUGCACAAAUGGAGACAAGACUUCCAAUCUGUAUGUGCACCGUAAUAUCCCAUUGAGGUAAGAUAAGGAUAUUUCACAACUGCUCGCCUGUAUUUUGCCACUUUCAUCAGAAAAUUAAGUUUAGUACUAUACUUGUGCUCCCUAAUUGACAUGUCAAAUCUUACAUUGAAGGCGAAGCUUGUCUGUUAUUGAACCAAGUGAUGACGGGGAAGAACAAGCGGAAGAAAAACAAAAAUCAACUCCCGGUGCUGUAAUGAAGCACUGGAACUGUGAUGACACAAGCAAUGAUAUAGUUUUGCAUCUUAAUUUAUUGCUAUGGCUGGAACGAGCAAUUGUUUUGCCACUGAUUUGAUGCCAUACGUAAUUAUCUCUACUUGUGCAAAUAGGGAUCUUCUUUGAAGAUACCAUAUAUUUUAGUGGAACUGCACAAGAAGAUGUUGGAAACAUUAAACUAAUCGAGGAGUAUAUUGUAAGCAUGGCCACCCCCGUAGAUAGCAAUAGAUGGUUCCCGAGAAGUGCUUCAUCUGUAUACUCUACACAAUCAGCCUCCUGACAAAGGUUGGUACUCGCCCACUGAUUUUAUCCAUAUGAUUGAGCUUUGUCAUCUCUAUUGGUGUUGUGCUACUGUUCAGAUACUGUCAUGAAAAAGUGGUAUUGUCCUUGGGAAGUGCUUCAUCUGUGCUGUUUUAAAUAUUUCCUUUCCUUUUUUUCGAGCAAACAUGGAUGCUAGCAUUUAGUAGUCCUCUUGUCUUUGCACAAUAGGAUCAUCUUCCUCUGAAGAAGAAUAUGGAGUAUGUGAAGUGACUAGUUCCGAUUAUGCCAGGAUGAAGAAGCACUGUCUAUCUUCUCAUCAGAAGGAGCAGUCGAAGGAUGGUUAUAUUACUCCCCACAAGACCAAACUAACUUCAGCUCAGAAGGACUGACAAAUCUCCAUUUUUUGUUGUGAUGCAUGAGUACAAUGUUGUUCUAGGAUUCUUUCUGGUGAGUUCCAUUUUUCUAAAAGUGUGCUCUAUAUGGACCAUGUAUGUGCCUGUUAAACUGUCAAUUCAUAGUAUAGUUUGCUUUAUACUAAUCACUUUUUUGUAUUUGUGCAAACAGGGGUGCUCAGCUUGAUUUCAACGGGAACUGCACAAAAUGUUCAUGAAUACAUCGAAUCAUUCAUUUCCACCACAAGAAAGGAGGUGCCCAUAAGUUCAAGGCGUUGCAACAUAUAAGGGCAAAAUCAUACAAGUUACACACGAAUUUGGUUGGUUUUGGUGGAACUGCACAAAAAGAACAACUGGUUUAUUUAGCACGAGUUGCCAUGUCAAUGUCCGAACUGAUGGCAAACCCUGCCCAUUCCACAAUCGUAGGCAUUUGAUAUUUUGGAAUGGGACAACCUUGUCAAAUUUUGCUCAUUGAUUUUAGCAAGAUAUGCGUUUGAUAUUUUCGAAUGGGACGCCCUUUGCUGUUAGCAGCGGCGAUCAAUUUUUUCUUUAUUCUUUAGUUGUGAAGUAAAUAUUGCCUCUGACAUGUGAGUCACUGAGAUGCAUAAUCAUCGAUUGUUUUGAAUGUUCUCUAUGAAUUGCCAGGCCUGUGUGUUUGAUUGCAAUGUACAGAAACGCUGAAAAGCUGCUCAAACUCUUUGUACUCCUUCUGUUCCUUUUUACUUCGCACAUUGUGAAAGUGCAUACUUUUUUGUACAAGAUUGGUCAAAGUAGAGAUACUUUGACUAUAGACAAAAAUUGUAUGCAGACUAGAAAGGACCGGAGGGAGUACAUGUGAAACUGCUGCAAACGUGGUGAUCACCCUGGGAAUAAUGCUAGUACGUAUUGUUUUGCAUGUUAAUCCAAUGCCAGUGAUACAGGAAUUCGAACUAAUCAAAAUAAAUUCAUUUAACACGGUCGGAUUUCAUAUAAACAUGCCGGAUUUCAUUACAUUUCAUACAUUCUUCAACUAAAAAGGGGUGUUUGUGGCCGCAUGCAUCUCCCAGAUGCAGAGGCCAGGGGUCAUCCUCCUUUUCGGAAAAGCUAAAAAGGGGUGCGCUGGAGGUAUAAUUAAUUAACCAAAGCUACCCACCUGUGUCCCGCUGAGCCGAACAGAAGCUUCAGUGACUUAACUACAGGUGCAGUUGCUUAACUGACAUGUGGCCUGUUGGGCCCACGUGUCAGUCAGCCAACUGCACAUAGCAGUUAAGUAGAAGCAGCGUUCUUCUCCAGUGCAGCUCUCCGACUCCACGUCACCGCCAAGAAGCUAACCAGCCAUCAAUGGUCAACCCGCCUAGCUUGGCUUCAACCGGAGGGUAGCAGCGGUGGCCUUACUUGGACCCGAGCGGCGGCGACCUACCGUGUUCUACUCUUCCUCGUUUUCUGUGUGGCGCGGCCUCGUUGGCAGCGUGGCGGGGCCUCGGCGGAGCCGGCGAUGCCUCUGUCUCGUUGCUGGCGGGCGGCGCCUCAUCAGAGUGGUGGAAAUCCUCCCCCAUGUUGCCGGCACGGUGGCGCCUCGGCUGAGCCGGCGAUGUCCUCUGCCUCGUUGUUGGCGGGGCGGGGCCUCGACGGAGCCGGCGGUGUCCUCUGCCUCGUUGUUGGCGCCGUGGGGCCUCGGCGGAGUCGGCGGUGUCCUCUGCCUCGUUGUUGGCGCCGUGGGGCAUCGGUGGAGCAGGGCAUCAUCGACGCCAGCGGAGCGGGGACUCCUCGGAGCCGGCAUUGUCCUCUGCCUCGUCCUCGGUCUCGCCAAACAGCGUCUCGCCCGCUUCAUCGCCCUCUUUGCUAGCCUCUUUGUAGGCGGCCGCAGCCUCCGCCACCCGCAUGCGGUACCGCCAGCGCUCGAGGCGGCCCUUGCGGGUGGAGCGGUACGAGUCGAGCAGCGCCUCCUGCUCCGCCCGCUCCGCGGCGAUCUGCUCGUCCGCCUGCAGGUGCUCCUAGAGGAGAUGGUGGUUGUAGGCGGCGUCAGCCUGCGCCUCCCGAAACUACUCCUCACGCAUCUGCCUCACCCUGUCCAUAUAUUGGGCACGGGCCUCGCCGAUGGUCAUGGUGCAAUGCACCGGCGAGAAUGGCGCGGAGGAGGGGGUUGGCGCCGGAUCGUCGACUACCAUGUUCUCCAUUGGGACGUCGUCGUCCUCCGGUUGCCUGCCGGCCAGCCGGUCGACAGCAAUGGCUGCUAUCUCCUUGUGAUCCGUCGUCCGCCCGUCCCGAAGAGCGCUGGAGCGCGAGGAAGCCAUGGUGGGCAGUAGUGGUGUGGACAGGAGAAAGGCAACGGAUGCGGAUGACUGCAGCUAUGGCCGGCGCAACAGUUUAUAUAGCAAUGGUGGGCGGGCGAAGGGACGGACGUGUGACGCCGGAGUAGCCUCCUAGGCAACCGCGUAUCAUUAAUGUGUGCGGCAGAUGGACGGACGGACGACACUUGUGUCGUUUGAAGGCGGAGCAAUCGCCUGCACCGGGAAGCGGGGCGGCCGGUGUUGACUGUUUCGGGUGGAAAGCGCGCGUGGGCGAGGAGAUCACUUUACUUGGAUAGGAUGACAAUGGGGAUCCACCAGGUCCAUAGCCUCACGUACGCAAGUGCCUCCUUAUUUUAUAUAUAUAUAUAUAUAUAUAUAUAACUAUAAUUUAUUUUGCUUCCUCCUGGUUUCCUGACAUCAUGGUCCCACACCAUUGUCUACCUACGUACUCCCUCCUUUCUGGUUUAUAGGGCCUAUCUCAAAAUUUUUGUUUUUCCAUUUUAUAAGGCUCAAUUUGGUUAUUUUCCAUCACAUGUUCAGAUUCCAAGGUGUAUUAAAUCAUUGCAUGCAAGUAUUAAGAGAAAAUUGACCAAUGCAUGUACUUUAUGCAUGCAUGCAUUGCAAUUAAUGCAUUUAUAAACAUAAUUUUUUGAGGAUAACAAGAGCAUUAAUUAGGUGCUCUUGCAAAACUAGAAAAAGUAUUCCACCACUCGCCAUCUACCUUGAUUGGUGAGAUUUUUGAAUUGAGCAUUAUAAACCGGAAAGGAGGGAGUAGUCAAUAAACGAGAGAAUUGCACAAGAAGCGGCCGACAGCUGAGACCAAGCAGCUCAAGCAGUAUUUGUGUUUUUGAGGUGUGAGCACUGCAGAGUUUUUCGAUGCUUACCCUAGAUAUUAAUUUUUCUCCUCUAAACAACAACGAAAACAUCUCUGCAGGUAUUAACUGGGGAGGCUGUGGCCCGUCUAGCCCAGGCCAGAUAUCCAGCCGAGAUAUUAAUUUUUUUCAAACUGAAAAUGGCUAGCCCAGCUAUACUUUUUUAGGAAUACCCAGGCAAGGUCAAGUUGUUAUUCUCCGCCCCGCUGGGCUGCAAAUCUUUCCUAGGAGGGAUGCAUUAGGCUUAACAAGAAAAUGGGCUUUAAGAAAUAAUAAAUGGGAUGUAAUUAUAAAAACUGGGUAGUAACUAUAAAAAAAUGCACCAAACAGUGAUUACUUUAUAAAGUAUUAUUUUUGGAAUAUUGAAAAUUUUAAUUUCAUUAAUUGUUGCGAGCGGAAUGUUUCAUUGGAUUUUUACGCAAUAUAAAUUUAUAUUGAAAUUGUAUUUAAUCUGACUAAAAUUUUGGGAUAAAAAUAUUCAGAUCCCAUCAAAAUGUGGGAAAUUUUAUUGAAUUCUGUUUUGAACGGUUGGUUGAAAUGGGCUGUACUUUUAACAAACUGUAAAUGGGCUGUAGUAAAUUCCAUUAGAAUUCAAAAAUGGGCUACACAUUCUUACAAAUCUCAAAUGGGCUAUAAGUUCUCUGCCGCACACUUCUGGCCUUACUAAGUUGACGCGUCCCCUAAAAAAAUAGAGUUGACGGGUAUGCAAGGCUUUGUCAACUUAUAGUUAACACACGGUUCUAGCAGCAGUGGCCGUUGGAUGUCCAUCCAAUGGAUGCCGUGCUUCUUCUUCAAUCUCAGAUAUUCUAGCUUCACUCACCCAAAAAAUGAUUCAUCCCCUUGACAUCUGGGGCGCACCGUUUCGGAAGCUGACCUGUGGGCCUACUAAGUUGACGUACCAACGGCUUUGUCAACUUAGUCAAUAUAAACGAUUCUAGCUGCAGUGACCGCAUGAUGUCCAUCCAACGACCAUCGUGCUUCUUCAACCUCUGGUCUUCUUGCUCCAGCCGCCCAAAGUAGCGCCGGUCGUGCCGCCUGCUCCUGCCUCCCGUGGCCGGCUGUGCUACUGCGGAGGCCUCACCGUCCCCUACUACUCCCACUGCUGACCAGUCCAUCCCUCCACUCACCCACUGACCCACACCCCCUGUUAUUUUGUAGCAACGGCAGCGCAGCCGAACCAGUGAACCCUCGUACUCCUCUCCGCGUGUGCAUCCACUGCCACGUCUUCCCCGGCUCCACGUCGUCCCCUUCCUAGGCCUCGCCGUCGUCCACCGCCGUGGUGCUCUCGGCGCGGCGUGGUCAACAUGGUCAAGGAACGACUUCCAUCGGACGUGGACUGUAUGUGGAGAGGCUGACAGCUGGGUCCACGGUAGCCGCAAGGAAGUGCCUCCUUAUUACGCGCAAAAUAAUUAUUCCUCCACCUGACAGCGGGGACCCACCGGACGGGCCACCGUAUUUCGUGAAAAAAAUGAUUCGCCCCCUGACUGCUGGGACCCACGAGCUACAUCUUUGCACACAAGGAAGUGCGUCCGAAAAAAACAAUUCGCCCCCCUGACUGCUGGGACCCACCAGCUACAUCUUCGCACGCAAGGAAGUGCGUCCGAAAAAAAAGAUUUGCCCCCCGACUGCUGGGACCCACCAGCUACACCUUCGCACGCAAGGAAGUGCNNNNNNNNNNNNNNNNNNNNNNNNNNNNNNNNNNNNNNNNNNNNNNNNNNNNNNNNNNNNNNNNNNNNNNNNNNNNNNNNNNNNNNNNNNNNNNNNNNNNNNNNNNNNNNNNNNNNNNNNNNNNNNNNNNNNNNNNNNNNNNNNNNNNNNNNNNNNNNNNNNNNNNNNNNNNNNNNNNNNNNNNNNNNNNNNNNNNNNNNNNNNNNNNNNNNNCAAAAAAAAAAGAUUCGCCCCACUGACUGUUGGGACCCAGCAGCUACACCUUGGCACGCAAGGAAGUGCGUCCGGGCAAAAAAAAACGAUUCGCCCCCCUGACUGCUGGGACCCACCAGCUACAUCUUCGCAGGCAAGGAAGUGCAUGACAGUCGGGACCCUCCUGGUCGAAGCGUACGUAGCAUUGUCAUCCUGGUCGCGAACGUGUACGUACAUACUGGUCGAUGUAGAGGCGCACACGUGUUGUAGUAGAGGCGCGCACGUGUCAUAGUAGAGGCGCGCACGUAGCAUGUACACAUACGUACAGCGGCCAGGAUGCAAGAAAGAAAAUACGGUCACGUAUGUGUACAUACGGGCGGGGUCUCGAACGCCUAGUCGCGCAUACCGCAAAACGGAGGAAACGGACCUCCUACGGUCGAAACAGGGGUCCUGUUGAUUGGGAGGGUUGUGGCGUACCGCAAAACGGAGGAAAUGGACCUCCUACAGUCGAAACGGGGGUCCUGUUGAUCGGGAGGGGUGUGGUGUACCGCAAAACGAACGAAACGGACCUCCUAUGGUCGAAACGGGGGUCCUGUUGAUCGGGAGGGGUGUGGCGUACCGCAAAAUGNNNNNNNNNNNNNNNNNNNNNNNNNNNNNNNNNNNNNNNNNNNNNNNNNNNNNNNNNNNNNNNNNNNNNNNNNNNNNNNNNNNNNNNNNNNNNNNNNNNNNNNNNNNNNNNNNNNNNNNNNNNNNNNNNNNNNNNNNNNNNNNNNNNNNNNNNNNNNNNNNNNNNNNNNNNNNNNNNNNNNNNNNNNNNNNNNNNNNNNNNNCCACGGGCUCCUGUUCAUCCAGCCUCCACCGCGCGCUACUCCACCGGCUACUGUUCAACCACCCCUCCAUGGGCACCCCUCCACCAUCUACUGUUCAUCCAGCCAUCCACACCACGGGGUCCUGUUCAACCACCCCUCCACGGCCACCCCUCCAUCAUCUAUUGUUCAUCCAGCCCUCCACACCACGGGUUCCUGUUCAUCCAGAGGCAACGCCACCACUCAAUGUUCAUCCAAACCCCCCCGCAACGCUCACUGUUCAUCCAAUUUAUCGGCUUCAGUUAGCAGCAGUAGCGAAGGAAUCGCUCCAUCGGGUUCAGUUAACAGCCAUUGAUCGAUCGCUCGGGUUCAGUAACACGUAGCCUGCAGUGCAAUCGCUCGGGUUUAGUUAGAGCCCAACGCCUCGCUCGGCUUUAGUUAGAGCCAACGCCUUGCACACACACGCGUGUACGUACAAGAGAAACACGCAUCGCUCGGCCCCCGACCUCCCACCGUAACCGACAACUCCCCGAAAUUUUCCUCCCCCUUGCUUCUACCAUGGUUUUUUCCGUCAUGGACGGCCCAAAGAAUGUCAUGCAUCUGCGUCUCCAGCCCUCCUAGGACGAAAAGCCCAUUUUCUGUCAUGUUUUUUUGUCAUAGAAGUAGGAGCCCACCACAUCUAUGAUGAUACUGGGUUUUGUCACAAUUAUCGUCAUAGAAGUGUCAUAUGUAUGACAGAAAAAAAUUCUUUCGAGCCAAAAUGUCACGGAUGUGUCUUUUUUUGUAGUGUAAUGGAAUGGGUCAAGUCAAUCACAUCAUUCUCUAAUGAUGUGAUCCCGUUUAUCAAAUGACAACUCAUGUCUAUGGCUAGGAAACUUUACCAUCUUUGAUUCAACGAGCUAGGCAAGUAGAGGCAUACUAGUGACACUAUGUUUGUCUAUGUAUUAACACAUGUACUAAGUUUCUGGUUAAUUCAAUUCUAGCAUGAAUAAUAAACAUUUAUCAUGAAAUAAGGAAAUAAAUAAUAACUUUAUUAUUGCCUCUAGGGCAUAUUUCCUUCAGGGAGGUGGAGGAAAGGCGCUGAAAGCAAGAGAAGGAGGAGCGCGUGUCGUGCAGCAAUGCCGCCGGCGGAGAAGAAGCCAAAGGAGUUGGUGCAGGUGGCGUGGGAGACCGCAUUCCCGUGGGCUGGGCCGCCAGCAACCUUCAUUGACCUCACCGGCGGCGACGACAACGAUGAUGUCACCUAGGGCAGUGUGCUGGGUGGCUGGGAGGCACAUUUAUUUAGUUUUUAAUGACUUAUUAAUGUUUAAGUGGAUUUUGGCCGGCGGUUGACCGACCAUUUAAUGUUUAGUUAUGUUUAAUUCGAAUGCAUGUUUUCAAAAUUAUUUUCUUUAAGUGGACUCGGAAUAAAAUGUGUCGGGCACCGUUGGACGACGUGGCCGGCCCAAACAAAAAAGCGGACAAUCUAAAAAAACCAACUUUACUUUCGCUUCUACUAAUACGUUGUCACGUAGUAAUCAUUGGCUAGAAAACCAGUGUGUUGCAUCACUACAAAAAAAAUACACUUCCGUGAUGAUACGUGUUUGUCACAGUAGGUCGCGUUUUUUGUCAUGCAUGUACAUCCAUGACAAAUUUAUGACAGAAUCAAUAUAUUCAUACCUGUGCUGUCGUAGAAGUGUUCCAUGACAUUACCAAAAUAAUCAUCACGGAAGUGUCCACUUCCAUGACGAUAAAUCACGCGUCAUAGAAGUGCUUUCAUCAAGGGUGACUGACACGUGGCAUCCACCGUAACGGAACACCGUUAAGCUAUCGGUCGGGUUUUGGAUCCGAUAACCCGUUAACAGCCCCGACCAAUGGGGAUUUUCCACGUGUAAAAUCAUCAUUGGCUGGAGGAAACACGUGUCGGCUCAUUGUUGGGACAGAUGUCAUCCACUCAUUGGACAGAAGGCGCCUAUGAUACAUCGACACGUGGCACGACCCAACAGAGGCCCAUUCCUGUGAAAGGGCCGGCCUGUUUGACUUGGUCAAAAGGUGACGGGCCGACCCAUGGAAAGCCUGUUAAGGGCCCGUUCGCAUAUAGCCCAUUUACAGCCCGCUAACCCAAGGCCUGUACGCCCUUCCUGAAUUAGGCACAGUAGCGUCAUCUGGGCCAUCCAAUAUGAUUCCAGCCUGUUUUCACUUCUGGCCCAUGUAUGGCCCAUGACGUCUUUCGGCCCAUAUGAGGCCCUAUGUAACUCUUGGACUAUUAAUAGCCCAUGGUGAAACUGGCCUGCAAUCAACAGUGUAUCACUUUAGACCCAUUAACGGCCCGUGGUGAAACUGGCCCGUAAUGAAUAGUGUAUCACUUUAUACCCAUUAAUGGCCCGUUAUUUAGUUGGGCCGUUUCCAGCCCAUGUUAUCUUUCGGCCUUGUCAGAGCCCAUUUAUUCUUGGGCUCAUUUCGAGCAUUUGUUUACUUACGGCCCAUUACUGUAAUUUUCUACUUGUGGGCCAAAUUCAGCCCAUGGUUACAGUCGGCCCGUUUGUGGCCCGUUAAUACAUUGGGCCAUUUUCAUAGCGUCAUCAAAUACAGCCUAUUAACGAUAGCCCGUUAUGGUCGGCCCAUGAACGGACGAUUCCAACUCUAGCCCAUUUACGGCCAUAAUGCGGCCUGUUAUUGGCCCAAGUUUGGCCAAUCGAUCAUAUGGCCCGUGUAAGGCCCAUUGAUGAUAGGGCCCGUAAAAGGCCCAUUGUUUCUACGGCUAGUAGAAGGCCUAUUGUUUCUACGGCCCGUAGAAGGCCCACUGUUUCUACGGCCCGUAGGAGGCCCAGUGUCACUACAGUAAAUAUUAGCCCAUGGUUAUUGUGGCCUAGUUUUAAAAAAUAGGUUAUUGCAGCCACUAGCAAACCGCGGAAAAAGAACUGCACUGACUACAAGCAAACAAAUAAACAAGACAACAAGGAAAUAAAUAAGCAAGUAACUUAUGCUAGGCUAUCACGACUAUUACACAUAUUACAUCCACUGGGCAUUAAAGUUCACCACCAGUGCAAAUAUAGGGAACACAGCAACAUAUCAUAUAUGGCCCAUGACGUCUUUCGGCCCAUGUAUGGCCCAUGACGUCUUUCGGCCCAUAUGAGGCCCUAUGUAACUCUUGGCCUAUUAACGGCCCAUGGUGAAACUGGCCCGCAAUGAACAGUGUAUCACUUUAAAUCCACUAACCGCCCGUGGUGAAACUGGCCUGUAAUGAACAGUAUAUCACUUUAUACCCAUUAAGGGCCCGUUAUUCAGUUGGGCUGUUUCCAACAAAUGUUAUCUUUCGGCCUUCUCAGAGCCCAUUUAUUCUUGGGCUCAUUUCCAACAUUCGUUUACUUAUGGCCCGUUACUGUCAUUUUCUGCUUGUGGGCCAAAUUCAGCCCGUGGUUACAUCGGCCCGUUUGUGGUCCGUUAAUACGUUGGGCCGUUUUCAUAGCGUCAUCAAAUACGGCCUAUUAACGAUGGCCCGUUAUGGUCAUACGGCCCGUAUAAGGUCCAUUGAUGAUACGGCCCGUAGAAGGCCCAUUGUUUCUACGGCCUGUAGAAGGCCCAUUGUUUCUAUGGCCCGUAGAAGGCCCAUUGUUUCUACGGCCCGUAGAAGGCCCAUUGUUUCUACGGCCCAUAGAAGGCCUAUUGUUUCUACGGCCCAUAGAAGGCCCACUGUUUCUACGGCCCGUAGGAGGCCCAGUGUCACUAUAGUAAAUAUUAGCCCAUGGUUAUUGUGGCCUAGUUUUAAAAAAUAGGUUAUUGCAGCCACUAGCAAACCGCGGAAAAAGAACUGCACUGAAUACAAGCAAACAAAUAAAUAAGACAACAAGGAAAUAAAUAAGCAAGCAACUUAUGCUAGGCUAUCACGGCUAUUACACAUAUUACAUCCACUGGGCAUCAAAGUUCACCACCAGUGCAAAUAUAGGGAACACAACAGCAUAUAAACUCUGCAGCAAAACAAGUCUAGAACUGAAACCACUUCAGAAGAGUUCAAGAAACAAUAUCCUGGGUACCCAUAAUGCUGGCAAGAUGCUUAGCAAGCUUAUUAGCUUUCUCUUGUUUUGCGCUUAAACCCUCCGGCGCUUGCUGUUGCACAAGAAAGUACGCAUCUGAAUUCUGCAGGGACUUCCUCAGUCCUUCGGCUUCUUGCCGCAGCACAGAUGACUGAUGCCUUUCAUCUUGUAGCUGAGACUGAAGAAGCCGAAGUGAUUCAGGCAGCGGGUUUGAAGAGCUUGUGCCAGCGGUACUAGCCAGUAACUCGAACACUACAUCAACGCAGGACUGUGGGGUUUUCUCACUGUCUACAAGAUCGUUUUUAUCACCUUUCUUGGAGACCAACAGGGUUGUCUCACUAUCUUGAACCUUAUUUGCAUUACUUUCUCUACCAUUGCAUAGUGGGGUGCUCUUCUCCAAUAUUCUGUUUGCAUACUACAAGAGAAACAAGCAGACACAUCACAUGUUUAGCUUGUAGUAUACCAAACUCAUUUUGGUAAACCGGUUCAGUAGUAAGGUGGACAGGAUAAUAGCAUGAAACAAACAUAUAUCUAUGUACUAUGGUCACUGUAUUGUCCAUAUCAUUCUAGUUUAUGUUCCCUAAUCAAGAUAGAGACACAGUUCAACUCAUAUGUUUUUAAGACAGAGCAGCAUAGACAGAAUAUAAGUGUGAGAAACUACACAGCAUUGGCAGCACUUGUAAUGUGCAUCACAUGAGAACAUAAUUGUUUAUACAACUUAAACUGAAAUCAACAUAGAGCAAGAAGUUAGAACAACAAUCCAGUUAAAGAAAUAGGUUUAAAACAUACCUGUUGCGCCAUUGGAGUUUCAAUUGGAUCCUUCAAAUUCGAAAGUAGUUGGUAUGAGUAAAUACAGUGAUGCAACAGCAAAGGAGUAUGGACCAUAGCUACGGAAUCUGACCUGAGAACAGUUGCUCUUCUACUUUAAACGUGGAGUUUGGGUUAGCUGUGGUGGUCUUCGUGCUUUGGGCACUGCAGUAGCUUUACAAACUGCUCGUGUGGGGGUACUCUGUGGUGGAGAUGGUGCUUUGUCUACUAUAAGUGGGUUACUAUCCGCUGGGGUUGCGGUUAGAUGGGUUGUAGCUGGUUCUCUACCCAACGGUGUAAGUGUGCAAUCUGGAAGAGUCUCGAUUAUGUGUGGUGGGGCUAGUUUGCGGGCCAGUACAACCAUGGUUCUAUCUGCAUCGACGGGUAGCACUAUAUUUUGUGAAGAACGGGUUUUGCUCCCUUAGAUACUGCCAUCACCCCCUCCAAUUCAAAUGGCUGAUAAACAAGAAAAGAAAUUGAACGUACAGACAUUGUAUGAUAGACAGAUGUGGUAAUUCACAUAUAUGUUGUCUAACCAAACAGGACAGCAUGACACAAUUUCACAUAUAUGAUGCCUAACUAAACAGGAUAGCAUGACACAGUUUCAGAUAUAUGAUGGAUAACUUAACAUGAUAUAAUGGCAUAAUUCAACAUAUGAUGAGUACCUAAACAUGAUGACAUGACAAAACUAUAUGAUGUCUUUCUAGAAUAGGUUGGGAUGAAAUAAUUCACAUACAUGUUGUCUAAGUAUACAUGAUGGCAUGAUAUAAUUGACAUAAUUGAUUCAUAUACUAAGCAGCUGGCACUCGCAUGUAUGAUCUCUAAACUAAGCAGAUAGAAUUCAAUAUUGUGCAUAUGAUGUCUAAACUAAGCAAUGCAAGACACCAUAUGCAUCAUAUGAGAAAUAUAAACAUUGCAACUUAGAGCAUACACCUCAGGUGGGAUAUAGGACUGGUCAUCUGUCUCUGAAUCCUCCUCUGAGGAGCUCCCUGUAACCAUCGAGAUAUAUGCUUCAACAGGUACCAUUGCCUGCUCUGCAGACCUUGUUUUCACUCCAGAUUUUUCCAUAACCAGCUCAAAUGGCUGAUACACAUGAAGAGUAGUUCAAUAUACACAGAUUGUCGACAAAUGGAAUACGUAAUGAAAAAAUGAUGGCAUGAGAUAAUUCACAUAUAUGAUGUCUGGCUCCAUGGCGGUGCAUAAUUCACAUAUAUGAUAACUGGCUGAAAAACAUGGCAUUGCAUAAUUCACAUAUCUGAUAUAGAAAGCAAACAGGAGGCAUUCACACAAAGCAUGUCUAAUCUAAGCAGAUGGCAUGCCAAUGCAAGACACCAUAUGCAUGAUAUGAGCAAUAUAACCCAGCCAAGUUAGAGCAUGCACCUCGGGGGGGGGGGGGGAUACGACUGGUCAUCUCUCUCUGAAUCCUCCUCUGAGGAGCUAUCUGUAACCAGCAAGAAAUCUGCAUCGACAGGUAGAACUGACUGCUCAGAAGACCUUGUUUUCACUCCAGAUUUUCCCAUGACCGACUCAAAUGGCUGAUGCACAGGAAGAGUAGAUGAAUGUAUAAACAUUGCUGACAAAUGGAAUACAUUACGAAAAAAAAUGGCAUGAUACAAUUCACAUAUAUGAUGACUGGCUAAACAGGAUGGCAUUGCAUGAUUCUCGUAUAUGAUGCCUGGCUAAAGAAGAUGGCAUUGCAUAAUUCCCAUAUAGUCCCUCCGUUCCUAAAUAUUUGUCUUUUUAGAGAUUUCAAAUGGACUACCACAUACGGAUGUAUAUAGACAUAUUUUAGAGUGUAGAUUCACUCAUUUUGUUCCGUAUGUAGUCACUUGUUGAAAUCUCUAAAAAGACAAAUAUUUAGGAAUGGUGGGAGUAUGAUAUAGAAACCAAACAGGUGGCAUUCACACAAAGCAAAUCUAAACUAAGCUGAUGACAUAUAAGAUGUAUAAUGUAAGCAAUGCAAGGCGCCAUAUGCAUGAUAUGACCAACAUCAGCAUGCCAGGUUAGAGCAAACACCUCAGGUGGUAAACAGGCAUGGUCGGCUCCUUCUGAAUCUCCAUCUAAACAGUUAUCUUCCUCUGGAAUACAAUCUGUAAAUGCAGGAGAGGGGGUGGGGCACUUCGCCCACCAUGGAGCAGCGUCUGCAUGACAUUAUAUUCGCACGCAACGGUCUUCUCUUUUUCUCUACAUGUUCAGUAUGAUUGUGUACAAUAUCUGACAUGCAUAAUAAAAAAAAUAGUUAGAUUUUGUAAGGCCUAAGGGGUGCAUGCAAAAAUCAAGACUGAUGGUAGCAAACGAGUGGAUGGAUCCAAAACUAAUGAUAGCAGGUAGAUUAUAGCUUCAGUUUAAAAAGAUAGACAAUGGAUCAUCUAUUGUUUGUUGCCCACCCAACAUGAACCACAUAGAAGACGCCAGAUGAACCAGAUAGUAGACAGAUACUAUUCGUUGCUGGCUCGAUAUGAGACCCAUGGGCAAUUCAAAACUCAAUAUUGAACGAUAAAGUAGCAGGUAAUAAUAACCGAUGUACAACGUAAGCAAACACGAAAGACUGCGACCUCUCUUCCGGAACUAUCUAGUCCUCAGGUUCAUCUGCUCAGUCGAUGAUGGUAAUGCAGUUGGCAUGGCUGCAGGCAACAGGGAAGAUGAUCUAAGGCGGCGAAAGAAAGUCUGCAGGGGUUAUCUCUGCUACAGUGAAUGCUUCUUUCGAUGGUGCACCUCAGGUGGGGUGGAUGACGGCACGGCAGGAGCAGGACAUAACACACAAAGUUUUCUUUGACGCCAAUCUGAAAAUGAAGUAAAUCUGUAAGGGCUCCUUAGAAUUGGAGGAUUCUAUAAACGCAGGGACAGGAAAAACACGGGAAUAGGAUAGGAAUGCACGUGCAAAAUAGAGCAUUUGGAAACAUAGGAUUUCAGUCAACCUGGGUGUUUGGCUCACAUGAAUUGGAAGAACAGAGGAAUGGAGAAACAAAGUGAUGUGACGAGUGUACAACCUCUUUGGCAUAGCCUUGUGGACCUCAGCAUCAUUGGGUUGGACGUGGAGGAUGGUGAUGAUGCUGGUGUGACUGUCGAAGGCGAGGAAGAAGAUCCAAGGCCUCUGGAAACGGCGCCGAGGGUACUGCUCCGCUGUGAUGGACGGUUCCGUCGUUGGAGCAGCUCCGCUAAGGUGUACGGCGACGAGGCUGAAGCAUGACAAGACAGACAACUUUAAUCUGAAGUGGGACCCUAAUAUCAUCUGCAAUAGAUGAUGUAAAACACAUCACCAAAAAGUGCUAGAUGUAAAACGCAUCAGCCGCGCCACGGCCGCUCCGACAGAUGCUCUAAGUACUGUUCACUCUGAACUUAACUGAAGAAAAUGAACUUCACAGUCGAAACUGAUUGAACUAGUAACAGAGCAUUGCAAUAGAUGUUUAGGGCGUUCAAGCACUAGUAGUAUAGAAGCAGUGAUCUAAAUCAGCAGACGCUCGAGCAGGGAACGCACUAGCAGAGAGCAAGUUGUGCAGUAGCACCGCGAGCGAGUGCUAAAGUAGCAACUCCUACAGCUGUCGGAGGUCGUGCAGCAGCAGCAGCAGUGCAAGCAAGAGCAAGAGCAGAGCAGCAGUACGAAAGAAAGCAGGAGCAGUGCAGCAGUGCGACCGAUAGCAAGAACAGAGCCGCAGCACGAGCGAGAGCCGGAGCAGCUGCAGCUAGUGCCGUUGUGGAAGUCGCCGCUGAGGAAGCAAAGACAUGGGGGAGAGACGCCGUGGAUGAUGUGGCCGGCGACGGCGCCGUCGAUGGAGACGCCAUGUCUGCUCGGUAUCGAGCACUGGCAGCUCCGUGAGAUCGAAUAAAAGAUAAAAUGCAGCGGUGAGUGCAGAACCUCCUUGGUGGCGCCGAGUUGGCUUCGGCUUCAUUGGAGGAAUUGGUGAGGGUGCUGCAGUUCCGGUGGGGCAGGUCAAGACGGCGCUGUGGGGAUUGAGGUGGCGCGAUAGACGAGGCGAACAUCGGGGCAGCUCCUUGGAGGUGGAUGACGGGGCGGCUGAUCUGGCGGGAUGACCAGAUCGACAACGGAUGCUCAUCCAGUGCGGUGGAUGAGGGACGACGAGCUGUUGCGGUGGACAACGUAGUCGGUGAAGAGUCUCUGGCUGGGCGAUGGUCGGGAGGCCGACAGAGGAGCGUGGGGUUUCACGGGUUUUGGCGGCCUCGGUGUACGAAUGGGGGGAGGGGGGCGAAGGGGAAGGGGGAGCCAAGCUUAGAGACGCGCUUGUCCGAAAUGUAGGGUAAGUUACCAGCGUACCCCCACCGGUUUUGACACCGCGAUGUGGAGCUUCAUUUCCGGCUGAGGGGUAGAAGGGGGAUUUCGUGUGUCUGGGCUGUGGGAGCAAUUUCGAUGAGGAGGGAGUUCUCGCACGCGUCCAAAUUUCGGGAUAACAAGGCGCGGCGCGGGUUGAAGAAGUGGGAGUUAAAAAGCAGGUGAGACAAAAGAUACUCGAUCUUGAAAAAUUCGGGAUAACAAGGUGCAGAUUCCUUGUUUGGUAGAACAAACUUAACAUGUAAAAAAAACCAUACAAGACACAAGAGAGUCAUGUCCCCUUUUACUAUAUUGCUAUAGAUGCCAUUGAAAAAACUACAAGAAAAAUGUAAAAAAAAUCGGGAGAACAUGAUUACCCUGCACAGUACCAAAUCGAUUCGCACUUCCCUCCUCAACAACAAAAAACAAAUCAAUUCCCACCAAAGAAAGAGUAAUGUCCCUUUUUAUAUGAUUACACAUGCCAUGAUCUCGAAUUUCAAUUUUUGAAUCCAUGUUAUGUUGAAUUCGAAUAUAUCAUUAGGUGACCUUGCAGUUUAUAAUUGAUGUAAUCAUACAUUUUGAUCUUCCAUCAUAUAUGAACAUUUUACUCCACCAUGUGAACAUAUAUAUUGUCGUCUACCAUAUGGAAUAAAUUUGAAUCAAUUUUCCUUAUUUGAAUACGAUUGUUGUCAAGCUAUACAAUAAUUUAAAUAUUAUCUUGAUAACAAAAAGACAUGCAUAUAGCAGUAAUCAUAUUUCACUAUGAACUACAUGUACCAUACGUUCUCCAAUUCAAAUAUCUGUAUCCAUUUUAUGUUGAAUUCAAAUCACAGUACAUUAUUGGUCUAGGUAGCGAGAUGUUCGGGAUAAUCUAAACCCUGUUUUCAUACGUAUAAUUUUUGGCUGAAUUUGGACAAGUUUUGGUAUAAGCCUCUUGCAAAACCGGAGAUUCUCUCAACAAGCCUCGUGGUUCCGAGAGGGAACAUGUCAUCUUUGUGUGCGAAACGAUAUACGCUGCCUCCCCCCUGAUUUUAUUUACAGAGGCAACAUAGAACUAUAUGAGUGCCCUGUUAAAUUUUGGAAUUAUUUCGGGUUCAUUUGGCCUUUUUAUACAUUAAUUGAGUUUCUGGACUUUUAAUGUGCAUAAUCUAAAUAUGAAUUGCAUGCACAUGCUCCGGUGCACCAAAGUGGGUUGAAAAAUCACAUGUGUGUCCUUGGUUGAAUUUCUAGGUCCCAUAGAAGAAAUGAAAAUGAAAUUCAAACAUCUGGGCGUCAUGACUCUGCCGAGAACAUCGAGAAACUUAGAUUUUAAAUUCAUGUAAUGAAACUUGGCAUGGUGUCAUGUCAUGGCACUAACAUGUUGUGGUAAAAAAAUUGGGCCGAUUUGGAAGCUCGUGGUUCUAAGAGGGAACGUGCCACCCCCCCGCCCUUGAGUUUCUUAACAAAGGCAACAUAGAACUACAUUAGUGCCAUGUUAAAUUUUGGAAUUAUUCCGGGUUCGUUUGUCGUUUUUUAUACAUUUAUUGAGUUUCUGGUCAUUUAAUGUGCAUAAGUCAAAUUUGAACUAAAAGAACAUGCUCUCGUGCACCAAAGUUGGUUGAAAAAUCACAUUUGUGUCCUGGGGUGAAUUUCUAGGUCCCAUGCAAGAAAUGAGAAUAAAAUUAAAACAUCUGGGCAUCGUGGCUCGGCCAGAACAUUGAGAAACUUGGUUUUGAAAUUCUUGUAAAUCCAAAACAUGUCUGAAAAUCAUGAAACUUGGUAUGGAUGUCAUGUCAUGGUACUACCAUGUUGUGGUAAAAAAAUGGCCGAAUAGGAACAAAUUUUGGUAUAAGCUUCUUGCAAACCGAAGCUUCUCUCAAGAAGGCUCGUGGUUCUGAGAGGGAACGUGUCACCUUUGAGUGCGAAAUGAUAUACGUUAUCCCCCUUGAGUUUAUUUACAAAGGCAACAUAGAACUACAUGAGUGCCCUGUUAAAUUUUGGAAUUAUUCCGGCUUCGUUUGGCCUUAUUUACACAUUAAUUGAGUUUUUGGUCAUUUAAUGUGCAUAAUUCAAAUUUGAACUACAAGCACGUGCUCCCGUGCACCAAAGUUGGUUGAAAAUCACAUUUGUGUCCUCGGGUAAAUUUCUACUCCCAUGCAAAAAAUGAGAAUAAGAUUCAAACAUCUGGGCAUCGUGGCUCGGUCAAGAACAUUGAGAAACUUGGUUUUAAAAUCAUGAAACUUGGCAUGGUGUCAUGUCAUGGUAGUACCAUGCCGUGGUAAAAAAAAUUGGCCGAAUAGGAACAAAUUUUGGUAUAAGCUUCUUGCAAAUCGGAGCUUCUCUCAAGAAGGCUCGUGGUUCUGGGAGGGAACGUGUCACCUUUGUGUGCAUAAUUCAAAUUUGAAAUACAAGCACAUGUUCCAGUGCACCAAAGUUUGUUGAAAAAUCACAUGUGUGUCCUCGGGUACAUUUCUAGGUUCCAUGCAAGAAAUGGGAAUGAAAUUCAAAAUUCUGGGCGUCGUGGCUGGGUUGGAAACAUUGAGAAACUUAGUUUUUUAAUUCUUGUAAAUCCAAAACACGCAAGAAGAUAAUGAAACUUGGCUUGGUGCCAUGACAUGGCACCAACAUGCUGUGGUAAAUUUGCAGUCCGAUUUGCGAAGGCGCACACAUUAACAAUCAACAAAGUCAUUUUGGAACAAGUGAUGUCACGUUACAAUCAGAAACACAAGUAUUAUUGAAACCGUGGGCGUUCUACUUACUAGUACCAGUUACGUGCCACCACGCACCCCCAUUUUUUAUUAGCUAGGAGACGCCGUGCAGGGUAGCUAUUUGAGUACGAGAGGCGUGCGAUCAGACCCGUGCGCGUGCUUAUCGGGAGGAGAGCCCUUUGACCUCCAUCUGCCGUCCACCUCUCUCCCAAGGUCUCCAUUAAUGGCGCCCGAGCCUCUGUUUAAUGGCGUGGCUAUGUCUCACUCGACUGAGAUUUAAGAGAGAAUAAAGAAAAUCUGACAGCACGGAUCUUGAUGUAAGAUCCGACGGACCUAUAUAGCAUCUACUGCAACUUAUAGCAAGACUGAUGAAUAUAUAAGGACGAUUUUUUUAUCAAAGAAGGGCUUGCCCCUUCCAAUUUUCAUUACUGAAAACCACCACAAUUCACAAGAAGUUCAGCACAACUCCAGCCUAACACGAAGGACUAAAAGUACCAGAUUGAAAUCACAACAUCCCAAGAGGCCAACAAAGGCCAAACAUCCGCGCUAGAACCCAACAUUUCAUAAGCGACGACACAAUCGACAUCCUAAACCGAUUACUACAUCAAAAGAAACCAGGAAACUGAAGGAAGCCUAGCAGCAACUAGAAGAACAGCAACGCCAGGGUCUCCACAGCAAGAGUUUUCUUCAUUCCAGCCUCACAACAUUGAUCUUCCACAGAAAGAUAAGGACGAUUAAUUGUCUUACAUAAUUAGAAAGAUAAUUAAAAAAGCAACAUGCGGCUACGCUCGAAAUACACAAGGGCAAAAGAAGAAGGAAGACAAGGAUCUGGCUCGCUGAUCUCUACUUUCUUGAUGCGUUGCUGCAGGCCGCGGGAACUAGUCUCUACGGCGAGCGGCGAUGAGUUCUUUCGUGUCCUCAAGACGCUGCUUGAGAACAUCCACGGAUUCCUCCACCAGCCUUUGGCGCUCGUUGCGGAGCAUGUCAUUCUCGUCCAUAAGUUCCUUGAUGAUGACGCCGGUCCUCUUCAACAAGGCACUGGUCUCCUCCUGCUGGUCUGCACUUCGGACGAUCUUCUCCCUCAGCAGGUCACACUCGGCCCGGAGCCUCUCAUUGCCCUUCCUUAGUUGCUGGAUGACGCUGGUAGCCUGUUUAAACGAGGCUUUCAUGUCGUCCUGCAACCUCGCCAAGCCGGAGAUCUGAUCCAUCUCGCUAUGGACGAUCGCAUGCAUGCGCCUGUAACAGUCAUCGCCUACCCGCGAGAAAUUUUCCCAGGCCGCCGCGGUGCGGCGGGACAUCUCUGCUGCAUUCGUGGCGUGGCGGGACAUCUCUGCUACUUCCGCGGCGCGGCCGGACCAGUCUGCUGCAUCGACGGUGCGGCGGGACCUCUGUGCUGCUACUUCCGCGUGGCGGGACAUGUUGGCUGCUCUCGCAGUGAUGCGGGACAUCUCUCGUGCUUCCGCUUCCAUGCUCGCCUCUCCCUGGUAGCAAUCUCUCGACCCAGAACUCACGCUGGCCAUGGCAGACGCAAGGGAAGGAUACUGAAUGACUUGUUUGUUUUUGUGGAUGAGGAGUUGAGGAGGAAUGUGCAGUCAUCUUGGCAUACUAGUAUUUAUAACCAAGUACUAAUACGCUCCUAAGUUGGAAACCGUUUAGGUUGUGAUCAGUGUGAACAGGUUUGGAAUUCAAUAUACUAGCGUGGUACUAAUAUGCUCCUAAGUGGGAAACCGUUUAGGUUGUGAUUGGUGUGAACAGGUUUGCAAUUCAAUAUAGCGUGGAGUAAUUUGGAAUGUGACGAGACACAAGCUCAAAAACUUGUACUCUGAGUUUAGUAGUACGUUAUACAGGAAGAGAACAGGUGCACGCACGUACUCGUCCUCUCACGCACGCGUCUAUUUUUUCUCAAAAAGGAGGAUGAUGACCCCCGGCCUCUGCAUCUGGGAGUCACACACACAUCUGUAGCUACGAAUUGUAGAGCCUGUUUGGUUUGUAGCCUAAGGUUGCCACGCCUAAGCUUAGGUGUGCCACAAUAUCUUAGGCAUGUGUUUGCUUCAUUGCCACACUUCUGGCUUGCCACACUUUUCUAGAUACAUGGUCCACAUGUCAUAGACUCAACUUCUUGCCAAAUCUUGCCACACUUGUGGUGGCCAUUUUGUUAGCCACACUUUUUGUGGCAGCCACUCUUUGCCUAAGCUUAGUUGUGGCAAAGUUAGUCAUGAACCAAACAGACCCGUAGUGUUCUCAACCAUCUGAUUGGCUAUAUCAUGGAUGUACCUAUAUACUAAAACAUGUCUAGAUACAUCUAUAUUUUGAAAAAUGGAAGUCAUGUAUUGUGGAACGGAGGGAGUGCUUGUCAUCAAAAUGGAUAAAAAGGGAUGUGUCUAGAACUAAAAUACGUCUACAUACAUCUCCGUUUAUCCAUUUUGAUGACAAGUGUACUCUUACCCAAACGAACUUUAUAUCCAACAGACACAAAAUAUCCGUUCGACUGUUGGAAAUUACUGAUCUGAUGUCAAAGUAAUUGUUGCAGCGCCACCAAAACCCACCAUUUCUUAAGCUAAAGUAGACCAUGGUAAUCCCUAUAUUAUCAUAUUACUAAGAUAAACAGAAGGCACCGUCGAAACAUUUAGGACGUGAGCUUGUCAAUCUGAAUGUGGAGGGACACAAGCUUAGCCCCGGUCGACAGCUUGAGCGGAACUGUCAAGAAGGUUAGCUCCUGCACGUCGACGUCGCCGGGAUCCUUGCUGCUUGUCACCUCCAUUUCCACCUUGGCGGCGUCGGUCGUGCCUUUGGGCUCCCCCGGCCGGCCGUUCGCUGACAGCUUGGCCAAGUAUUGCGGCAGUGGGGAUGCCCCCGCUCUGAUAUAGACGACCGACACGGUGAUAGGCGCGCCGAUGUCGAGCACGCCGCCGACCAAGAAAAACGCGCUUCGGUCCUCCUCCGCGAACAGCAAGAGCCGUGGCUCCGCCAUUGGCACUUGCAGCUGGAGCACCUUGCCGUAUUGUAUCCUGUGCAUGGGCAUGGGAUGCGCGGUGCUGAUGUGGUGGUAGAGCGCUAGCGGCGGGCCUUCAUAGCCGCAGAUGGGCACGGGGCAUUUGCAGGGCGCGAGCGGACACACGCUCUGGUGAUCGGCGAGCUUGUGGUAAGUGACGUAGAGCCCACAACCUUCAUGCGGGCACUCCAUCCUCACCGAUGAAAGGGCGGAGUCCCCGCCGUGUUCUGCACGUCGAAGCCACCGCCACGCUCACAGUUCUGGCACUGCCGCUAGUUCCCGGGGCGCUCGACGCGGCAGUCCACGUAGGACAGGUGCCCUCCCUUGCACUGCAGAAAUCAAUCCACCAACACAUCAAUCAAGAAACCUGCACCUUGCUCAACCAGCCGAACGGACAAGGUGUAUUCGAACCUCAUACACUGGAGGCAUCAAGGGGCAGAGGCACAAGGGGCAGUGGAGCACGGUGAGGUCCAUCGAGACCUUAGAGAGCUCCAUCGUCGGGUCCAGUUCCUGUUCGGUCUGCAUGAUCUCGCCCUCCUCGUGCACAACCAUCCUUCAAGGUGCAUUAAAUCAACACAUGCAAGUACUAUCAAAAGAAGAGUCACGGCAUGCAUGCAUGCGUUGUAAUUAAUGCAUCGGUAAACGCAAAUUAUUGAAAUAUAUCGAGUGCAGUGCUUUGAUGUGUCGCGUCAACUCGUACAUCAACGAGAAGUUUGAUUAUCCUCUCCCUCGCGGACUUAACUGCACCUGCCUUUGGUUGUAUGACAGGUUGGCCACACACCUGUCGGGCCCACCUGUCAUACACGCAAAUAUAGGAGCGUCCCUCCCUCGCCCAUGAGCGUGGUGGCUGGCAAGGCUAGGAGAAGCUUUCGCUACACGCUCUCCCUCCCGCACGCGGUGGACAUGCAGCAGUUCAAUCUGUGCCAGAUGGCCGGAAGCAUACUGUAGUACUCCUCCAGUGCAUAGUACACCAUCAUUGUUCGACUUCCCGAAGAGGCGAAGAGCCAAGCGCAGCCCGGACGCUCGUGUGGCAGUUUCAUGUGUAGAGUAGUCUAGAUAGCGUGUACCGUGCCUGUAAGCUUAAAAUCGUUGGGGUCGGCUCCAUGCUAUGUGGCCGUCUCGAAGUUUUUUUAAAAUUAAAAUAGUCUUCUGGCCCUACCUGUCACCCUGGUGAUUGUAGUUUGCACGCUCAUCUGGCCAAGACAGGAAUAUAUAUUUUAAUUUGUUUUUUUGAAAAGGGGGGACUCCCCGGUCUCUGUAUCAGAAUGAUGCAUACGGCCACAUAUAUUUUAAUUUGUGGUGGGUAAAUGUUAGAGGUUGCAGCAAAUAUAUUGUACACUGCGGGUCUUUCAGCCAAGUUUAGAGGCAAGCAUGUGGGGCUAGUGCUAUGAUGUGUCGCGUCAACUCGUAGAACAAGGAGAAGCUUGAUUUUACUACACGCCUUCUCCCUCACCCAUGCGCGCGGUUUCUCGCAAACGAGGACAGACUUUUGCUUAGUAGUAGUACUUCCACAACAAGCUAUCCGUCCCGCUCGCGGUGGACGGACAUGCAGCAGGAUUCGACACUGUAGAAGCAGUAGUAGUAACAUCAUUGUUCGUCUUCUCGAAGAGGCGAAGAGCCAAGCGCAAACCAAACGUUGCAGUUGCGAACAUUGGAGCACGCAUAUAGCCAGGCUCUUGCAUGAGAGAAAAUUGCUAUGUGAGCCCACUAUUGUACUAGUACGUACAACUAGUUGCUAGUAUAGCCCUAUAAACCAUAAAGGAGUAUUUGCCCUUCUAGAGAUUUCAACAAGUGACUAGACUACACCGAGACGGAGUACAUAUGGAGCAAAAUGAGUGAAUCUACACCGUAAAUAAAUACGUACUAGUUCUAUCGUUUUCCUCUCCGAGGUGCACAAUAUUGAGUAUACUGACUAGUCUCUUUUUGACACACAUUUACAUUUUUUUUGACACAGUACAGACGCAAGCGCUCAUAUACACGUGCAUACACUCACCCCUAUGAACGCACACACGCACGACACUAUCAUCUUGAAAUUUACGAAGUCACCAUAGGCACCCCGUGGUCGAUGGGUCCAUAGGUGCUUGAAUGCCAAGGGGGAAUAGGGUAGCGGUUCCCGAGACGUUGAACGGUCAAUGAUGCAUCCUCAGUUACAUGCAGAGGGAAUUAAUUGGAGAAGCAGACUAGAGCCAGCACGAUGUGAAUGCAACAGAGUUUGGACUCUCAUAUAAUAGAGGCGCCCACCACUCCAAUCCAUCUACUCCCAAGUCUCUGCGCAACACUGCUCACUCCAAUCCAAAACCAAGUGACCAGAAGCCACAAGCACCUAUGGAGGCGAUGGACGCGAGCGGCAGUCGGCUGUGCCAAAUCAUCCAAGGCGUCGGCCUGUGGCCCCACACCACGCAGCGUUUCCAGACGGUGCUGGCGACCGCAGGCAUCAUAGCCCUUGCUGACACCGGCUUUGCCUCUCGCAUGGACGACAUGAUGGUCAACUCCAUCCGCAAGUUCACCGCCGUCAAGAAGUGCGCGGACGACCUUGCCGUGCUGCUCCAGCCCGCGCGCCCAGGCUCCUCAUUGCCUGCCACCCUCAUCGGCGCCUACAUGGUGACAAACUCUUUCAAGCCCUGGUGGCCCUGCAGGUGCCGGAGGUCGCGACGAAGAAUGUGCACCUCGAGGCCGCGCUCGCCGCGCAUCACCUCGCCCUGCACAUCCACGUCUACGAGGAAAUCGUCUACAUAGGCCACUACAAGGCAAACGAGGACAGAAAGACAUUGGCCUUCUUCCAGCGGCUGGAAUCUUUGGACGCCAUUGUUCAGAAGCACGUCGACCUGGCCACGAAAGCUGCUGCUACUUAGGCGCUGUUCGGUGGGCCGGCGCCCUGAGUCGAGGAGGUGGACGUCGUCGAUGGAUGCAUCUCUUCUUCUUGCCUCCUGUAACCAGCACUGCAUCGCCUCGUGGCCUUAAUGUUUUAUUAGUAUAGUACUCCCUCCGUUCCCAAAUAUAAGUCUUUCUAAAGAUUCCAGCAAGUAACUACUACAUACGGAGGAAAAUGAGUGAAUCUACACUCUAAACUAAGUCUUCAUACGUCUGUAUGAUGUAUUCCAUUUGAAGUAGUAUCUAAAAAGGCUUAUAUUUAUGAACGGAGGGAGUAUAUGGCAUUUUUUAUUCCAGUCGUAACGUUUUCACUGUGAGGUGGGGCCGCAGUUGAGCAAACCCACCCCACCCACCGGGCGUCGGCCGAGUUUAGAGCAAGUACAAUAAGGUGAUGUAGGUGGGCUGUAAGACAUUAAAUAUUAUAUUCUUGCUUACUUGGAAGAGAGAGAAGAGGAGAGAGAAGAGAAGCAGGCUACUAGUUAACAGCUGGCUGCAGCACGUGCUCCUAGGUACUUUGUGAGAGAGUGGAAUGGGCCAUGUAUCAACAAAGGAGUACAUAUUUAUAUCUAGCUAUUGUACUUGUUGGCUAUAAACUUGACUAUAUGUGAUAUGGAAACAUCAUAUAGCCAGCAGCUGGCUAUAUUAUUAACCAUGCUCUUAGAGAGUAGAAGAGAGAAAUGAGGGAGGAGGGCCAGCGGUAGCACGGACGCUGUUGUCAGAUGGGACUCGUGUUUAUAGAAUAGGAGUAGUGAGCACUCGUGCCUCUUUUUUUUUGAGGGAAAAAUAGUCGUAUGUCUAGUACCACUAGUUGGGUGCGUGCGACCUAUAGCUGUCAUCACUUUAGGUCUACUUUUUGAACCGCGGCUACGCUUCACAGUACAUAUUUUUAUCCUCCUAUAUGUACUCCUAGGCUAUUUCCACGUGCUCCCAUUUGCCGACAUGUGGGACAUAGAGCAUCUGGGUCAUAGUGCAUGCACGACUCGGAGCAUAUGCCGGGGUACUUUACAUUUCAGACCUCACGAAUUACAUGCAAACCCCCCGCAGAAGAAUAAAUAAAUCAAUGAAUUACUACAUGAAAACGGAUUAUUUUCGUGGAAACCGGAGCACGUUCAUUAAAUUUUGGACAUAACACGUUUAUAAAAAAUGACCGGACCUAAACCAGUCUAAGGGCCUCUUUGAUUUUUCCCGAAAAAAGGGCCUCUUUGAUUCGCAUGAUAUUGAAAACACAGGAAUGGGGAAAGUAUGAUGGCGAUGAACCGAGACGAGGAGAACUCUAACUCAGUUAGAGGUUAGAGUUAGAUUCUAACCCUGAACUAACUCUAAACCAAAGAGGUGUAUGGAUGGCAGGGUUAGAUUGACAAUAAAUGCGCUAUCCCAAUCAUUUGACUACUUUGGACCCUAUUUUUAGUCACACUAAAAUAAGUCCCUUGGAUCCAAGCACCCUCUUGGUGUGGUCGGCUCUUCUGUGGCCUCCUCCCGCUCACAAUUGACAUAAAUGAUCCAUCUAUACAAUCAAGCAUGCAAAACAUGAUAAUUUUUACUUUGUCCAUACAAAUGAGAUAUCCCACUUAAACAUACAAGUCGUCAAUCAAGCUUCACAAAAUAAAAAGAACACUUCAUGAAACAAAGAAUGAGCUAACUCAUCACGGAAGUUGUUCACGAUAGGGAGGGAGCCCGGAGCCCCUCACGCACCGAGGGAGGAGCUCACCAUCGUCGCUCUGGAGGAAGGCUCUGUAGAGCCCAAGCCCCAGGAACUCCUUCGACGCUAGCCCUUGCGAGUUGAUGUCGACACCGGCAUGGGUAGCAGGGCCACUUGCCGCCGACUGGGAACUUAAUCUUUGGGCCUCUAUAAAUAAUGCAAGCCUGUAACUAAAAUACCUAGAAAGGUGAACUGAAUCUUUCGGCCUCUAGAAAUAAUGCAAGCCUGAAACUAAAAUACCUAGAAAGGUGAACUGAAUCUUUCGGCUUCUAGAAAUAAUGCAAGCCUAAAACUUAAAUACCUAGAAAGGUGAACUGAAUCUUUGGGCCUUUAGAAAUAAUGCAAGCCUGAAACUGAAAUACCUAGAAAGGUGAACUGAAUCUUUGGGCCUCUAGAAAUAAUGCAAGCCUGAAAAUGAAAUACCUAGAAAGGUGAACUGAAUCUUUGGGCCUCUACAAAUAAUGCAAGCCUGAAAUUGAAAUACCUAGAAAGGUGACCUGAAUCUUUGGGCCUCUAGAAAGAUUUAUUACCUCCUCAAGCAGCAUCAAACAAUUCCAUGCGUGCACCACAAAUCUAUAGCAAGUUUGAUCAGGAUCUACUUUUCCAAAUCAGAAUUAGCGCUAGAGCAAGCAAGAUCAAUGAUAUGGCCGUGAGACAGAGAAGGAACGAACAAACUCACCCCUCNNNNNNNNNNNNNNNNNNNNNNNNNNNNNNNNNNNNNNNNNNNNNNNNNNNNNNNNNNNNNNNNNNNNNNNNNNNNNNNNNNNNNNNNNNNNNNNNNNNNNNNNNNNNNNNNNNNNNNNNNNNNNNNNNNNNNNNNNNNNNNNNNNNNNNNNNNNNNNNNNNNNNNNNNNNNNNNNNNNNNNNNNNNNNNNNNNNNNNNNNNNNNNNNNNNNNNNNNNNNNNNNNNNCCUGAAAAUGAAAUACCUAGAAAGGUGAACUGAAUCUUUGGGCCUCUAGAAAUAAUGCAAGCCUGAAACUCAAAUACCUAGAAAGGUGAACUGAAUCUUUGGGCCUUUAGAAACAAUGCAAGCCUGAAAUUGAAAUACCAAGAAAGGUGAACUGAAUCUUUGGGCCUCUACAAAUAAUGCAAGCCUGAAAUUGAAAUACCUAGAAAGGUGACCUGAAUCUUUGGGCCUCUAGAAAGAUUUAUUACCUCCUCAAGCAGCAUCAAACAAUUCCAUGCGUGCACCACAAAUCUAUAGCAAGUUUGAUCAGGAUCUACUUUUCCAAAUCAGAAUUAGCGCUAGAGCAAGCAAGAUCAAUGAUAUGGCCGUGAGACACAGAAGGAACGAACAAACUCACCCCUCUCGUGACCUCCCUGGUAGAUGCGCCGCCGCCGCGCAUGAUAGAGGGAGAAAAAUGACUGGUGAAGGGGGAGCGGGGCGACCUUCGAAGGUCGGAGGGAGAGGGCGGCCGGAGUAGGGCGGCGGAGGCCGGAAGGAGAGGGCAGCCGGAGGAGAGAGAGGGCGAGCAGCGCUUGGGCGGGCGGCCCUAUGGGGAACAGAGAGGAGUCAUGCGAGAGGGGGGGGGAGCAAUCUGGUGCUGGCAGGUGAGAUUUUUUUAGGGUAGCGAUCUGGUGCGGGCAGGUGAGAUUUUUUUAGUUCUCUUUUAGUGGGCCCAGGAUAACUAACCCAAUUAAAACCUCUCCACCGGGCUAGUUUUUUUAGCUGGGUUAGAGCAAACUAGCUCAAACUAACCCCUCUUGUUUUAAUAAUUUGAGGCUAUUUCAACCCAAACUAGCUCUAACUCAGGGAUCCAAACAAAGAGGAGUGUUACUGUACAUGCUACAGUGUGGACCGUAGCACAUUGUUUUUUAUGGCCAUAUCACCACAUUAUUGUUUUCUACUGCUGGUUCACUGGGCUACCGUGGUUCGCACGGCUGGUUCACUGGGCUGCCGUGGUUCGCACUCCUCCGACCCGAGUAGUACUCCCUUUGUUCCUAAAUAUAAGUCUUCGUAGAUAUUUCACUGUGGACCACAUACAGAUGUAUAUAGAUGCAUUUUAUGUGUAGAUUCACUCAUUUUUCUCCGUAUGUGGUCCAUAGUGAAAUCUCUCCAAAGACUUAUAGUAUUUAGGAACGGAGGGAGUAGUAUAGUACUAGUAUAUACCGCAUCAUUCUUUGCUCCUUCUUACUACUCCGACAUGUGGGAGAGCCAGCAUCCGGGUCAACGUGUCAUGCACCAGAUUAGAGCGCGGAACGGAAGGGGGGAAUCACCCCGGUCGGAGCGCCAGUAAUUCAUGACUAUAGUGAGUGUUCAUAUCACAAGUCUUUCUAGCAAUAACGCAUCAUCAAAUCGCACAGCCCCACUCGCUCACCCUCCUCGCCUCUCUGUCAAACCGCCUACCCGAAAACUGCCGCGCGUACUGCCCGGGAAAAGCCCUGCCCUCAACUUUUAACUACGCGAAAAUAGUUCGAGCUUGUUCGUUCUAUAUAAAUACAAUACUUACUGUAUGUUUAUUCACCCAUGGGGUUGUUCAAUGAAUGGAGGGGCGGGGAGCACAAGUGAACAAUACUGUAGUAGUAAGUAGGAGUCAUAGAGUAGUCACCUUAAAUAGAGAGUUUCUUUUCUUUAAUGCCACGUACACAAAUUGAAACGCUUGUUGUGGAGAGAAAAAAGAUAAUCACUCCUAUAUAUGGAUGCAGGGGCCUGAGCGCUUGCUUUACUAGGGUUGCUCUCUUCAUUCUCUCAUCCUCUCCAGAUAUAAACAAGACAGCGGUAGCGACAUUUUCUCUCUGCUCACCGCUGGUCACAGAUCCGGCCGGAUCCCUUCGGCCGGUGUGUGUAGAGGACUAAAAGGUGCAUCGUUCACGCGGUCAUCGCCGCCGAGGGAGGAAACCCACAGCUGCCGGAGGGUCCCGAUCCUCUGCCCGUGCCGUUCUCUCCGACACAGCACCGGCUCGGGAGGUCCUUCGACCCUUCUUCCUCCCUGCCGUAUUGUCCGCAGAUCCGACCUGCCGCCGCCGACAUCCCGGCGACCCUCAGGUAUAAGUUCUUCGAAAGCGGCCUUGCUCUACUGCCCCAGCUCCCCAUGUGUCUGCAUGUGCAUCUUUUUCUACUCCCAUCAGCUCUUCCAAAGCCACCUAAAUUUUUAGUAUUAUUAGAGGUAAAGCUACUUCAUGCAUUCGAAUCUAGGGCUUUGUUCAAACAACGAAGAAAGGGGGGGGGGAAGUUGUAGCAUGAAUCUAGGACUUAAUUCAAAGAGGAAAUAAUAUGGUGAAAGUAGUAGAGACCGGAUACCCAACCGGUCUCUUGGUUGAAAAGGGAAAUAAUGGGAAAACGCAGUAUAAACUGGAUAAGGAACAGAUCUAUUAUUGGUUGAAAAAAGGAUAGAAAGUGGCGGCUGGUGGACAAGUCAACAGAGUAUGUCCUGGAUUAGAUUUGCUGCCAUCACAUAGUAAAAGGUCUCCAGGAUUAGAUUUGCUGCCCUCACAUAGUAAAAGGUCUCAGGAUUAGAUUUGCUGCCCUCACAUAGUAAAAGUCUCAGGAUUAGAUUUGCUACCCUCACAUAGUAAAAGGUCUCAGGAUUAGAUUUGCUGCCCUCACAUAGUAAAUGGCCUCCAGGAUUAGAUUUGCUGCCCUCACAUAGUAAAAGGUCUCCAGGAUUAAGUUUGCUGCCCUCACAUAGCGUGAACAAGCUCGGCAUCACCACUUUAUGCCUCCUUGUAGGUACAUUGUGCUGAUGCGUCCACUAUCGCAUGUUCUUAUACCAACCUUUUGUUGGGUUUUUUGCGGGUAAACCAACUGAGGGAGUCCUGGACUAGGGGGUGUCCGGAUAGGCGAACUAUCAUCAUCGGCCGGACUCCAAGACUAUGAAGAUACAAGAUUGAAGACUUCGUCCCGUGUCCGGAUGGGACUUUCCUUGGCGUGGAAGGCAAGCUUGGCGAUACGGAUAUGUAGAUCUCCUACCAUUGUAACCGACUCUGUGUAACCCUAGCCCUCUCCGAUGUCUAUAUAAACCGGAUGGCUUUAGUCCGUAGGACGAACAACAAUCAUACCAUAGGCUAGCUUCUAGGGUUUAGCCUCCUUGAUCUCGUGGUAGAUCUACUCUUGUAAUACCCACAUCAUCAAUAUCAAUCAAGCAGGACAUAGGGUUUUACCUCCAUCAAGAGGGCCCGAACCUGGAUAAAACAUCGUGUCCUUUGUCUCCUGUUACCAUCCGCCUAGAUGCACAGUUCGGGACCCCCUACCCGAGAUCCUCCGGUUUUGACACCGACAUUGGUGCUUUCAUUGAGAGCUCCUCUGUGUCAUCACCGAUAGGCUCGAUGGCUUUUUCGAUCAUCAACAACGACGUAGUCCAGGGUGAGACCUUCCUCCCCGGACAGAUCUUCGUAUUCGGUGGCUUUGCACUGUGGGCCAAUUCGCUUGGCCAUCUGGAGCAGAUCGAAAGCUACGCCCCUGGCCGUCAGGUCAGAUUUGGAAGUUUGAAAUUCACGGCUGACAUCCGCGGGGACUUGAUCUUCGAUGGAUUCGAGCCACAGCCGAGCGCGCUGCACUGUCACGACGGGCAUGACUUAGCUCUGCAGCCGGACAGUAACCUGGAGGCCGCACACGAGUCCGCUCCAAUCUUCAAUUCGGAGCCGGCUGCGCAGAUCGAGGACGGGUGGCUAGACACCGCCUCGGGGGCUGCAACCUCUAUGGCGAUAGAGCCGAACACUGACCUUGUCCCUCAUGAAGCUCAUGACUCCGAGGUGCCGGACUCCUUGCCGGACUCCGAACCUCCCGCGCCCCCUCCAGUCGAAUCCGAUUGGGCGCCGGUCAUGGAGUUCACCGCUGCGGACAUCUUUCAACACUCACCUUUCGGCGACAUCUUGAAUUCGCUAAAAUAUCUCUCAUUAUCAGGAGAGCCCUGGCUGGACUGCGGUCAGGACGGUUGGGAUACGGACGACGAAGAAAUUCAAAGCCCACCCACCACCCACUUAGUAGCCACUUUCGACGAUCUAACCGACAUGCUAGACUUCGACUCCGAAGACAUCGACGGUAUGGACGACGAUGCCGGAGACGACCAAGAACCAGCGCCUACUAGGCACUGGAAAGCCACCUCAUCAUAUGACAUAUACAUGGUGGAUACACCAAAAGGAAGCGACAACGAGGAACAACGGGACGUGGCGAAGGACAACUCCCCCAACAAACUACCAAAACGGCGAUGCAAGCGCCGCCCGAUGUCCCGCCUCGAUAACAACGGCACCCAUACUGACCCAGCCUUAGAGCAGGGUGAAGCGGUGGACGACAAACAUGCCACCAAGCAACCAUCCGAACAGGAUGGAUUGGACAAGCAACCCAUCCCCGGCGAAAACAACAGUCCAGACGAUCUCACGCCCGACAAACCACCGGAGCAUAAGAACCUUCAUAAAAGGCCCGUCACCAUUGCAAGAAGUCUGAAGAAGCAAAAGAAGACGCUCAAAACAGCGGAGGACGCACUCAGAAUGAGACGGAGCAAAGUACUCAAUACCGCAGAUAAAUACGGCAAUAGUCACCAGGCGAAGAGCUACCCGAAGCGCAAGUUGUUGCCCGAAUUUGACGAGGAGGCCGUAGAGCCCCCACAGUCAAAAAACAAAGAUGCCGCCUGGCCGGAUAGACGACCAGAUGACAGGCUAAGAGCGACAAGGGGCGCCGCACACAAGCCGGCACACGAUCCACAUAAAGAUCCUCGCAAAAAAGAUGGCCCAGUCAGGUCCAUCUACGGGCCAAAAAAGAAGACUCCAGGGAGCAAUACAACCCGCCGAGUGUUUGAAGACAACAGCACACCUAAAUACAGGGGCGCCGCACACCCACCGAUGAGAUACUGGACCAUGAAUUUCCAGCGGGAUUCAAACCCGUCAACAUAGAGGCAUAUGACAGAACAACAGACCCCGGAGUCUGGAUUGAGGAUUAUAUCCUACACAUACAUAUGGCCAGAGGAGACGAUCUCCAUGCCAUAAAAUACCUACCCCUCAAGCUCAAAGGGCCAGCUCGGCAUUGGCUCAAAAGCCUCCGGGGAGCUCGAGGAUGCGUUUCGAGCAAAUUUUCAGGGGACUUAUGUCCGCCCUCCGGAUGCAGACGAUUUAAGUCACAUAACUCAACAGCCUGGAGAGUCAGCACGAAAAUUCUGGAAGAGGUUCCUCACCAAAAAGAACCAAAUAGUCGACUGUCCGGACGCCGAAGCCUUAGCAGCCUUUAAGCACAACGUCUGAGACGAAUGGCUCGCCAGACACCUCGGCCAGGAAAAACCAAGAACAAUGGCCGCACUAACAAGCCUCAUGACCCGCUUUUGCGCGGGGGAAGACAGCUGGCUGGCUAAAUGCGGCACCAGCGACCCGAGUACAUCCGAAGUCAGGGAUGGAAAUGGGAAAUCACGACGCAGAAAAGAUCAGCGCCGGAAUAAGGAAAAUGGCCCAAAUAGCACGGCGGUCAACGCCGGAUUCAAAAGCUCUUGGCCGAAUAAUAAAACACUGCCCCUCAAGGACAACAGUGACGAGCUAUCCAACCUAAACAAAAUUUUGGAUAGGGUAUGUCAAAUACAUAGUACCCCCGGGAAGCCUGCAAACCGUACCCACAUAGAUUGUUGGGUCUUCAAGCAGUCCGGCCGACUUAACGCCGAAUGCAAGGGGUCCGACACACCAAGCGAAGACGACGAACCCCACAAGCAGCACGCCGGAAAACAGAAGACUUUCCCACUAGAAGUCAAAACAGUGAACUCACUUCAUGUGAUAACACAGAAACAUAGUGCGGCACCUGCUAUACCAGGACACCGUCCGCAGAAUGGGGAUAGACCCUACCAAAAUUCACCAUAGCAGCACUUCCUUCAAAGGAGUGACGCCUGGCCUUUACGCCAAAUGUACAGGCUCUGUACUACUAGAGGUCGUGUUCGGUUAAUCCGACAACCUCUGUCGCGAAAAGCUCAUUUUCCAUAUCGCCCCAUUCAAAAGUAGCUAUCAAGCACUACUGGGACGCGAAGCAUUCGCCCGCUUUAAUGCAAUACCGCAUUACGUGUCUCUUACGCUUAAAAUGCCUGGUCCAUACGGCAUAAUUUCAGCAAAGGGUAAAUCUGAGUGUUCCUCGUCCACGGAAAACGUGAGACUGCGUUGACAGCCGCACACUAAUCCGACCUUGCUGGUCAAAGCCCUAAAAACAGGUCAUUUAGACCUUGGACACGGUUAGGCGAGUCCAGCAUAAAUAAACAAGGGGCUUCACCGCCGCAUACCCCUUUACAAGGGGCUGCACGUAUAAACAAUGAGAGCCAAUAAAGCUCAAAUUCAUCAUACUUUAUUUUAACUACACCUUUUGCACAAUAUUUUUCCAAACUAAGUUCUUCUCCUUUACAGAUGAAGCGCGUGCUACACCCGUCCAGGAUACAGCACAAGGGAGACACAGGCGCAGAUGUGCAGCAGGGACCCGUUACAAGGAUUCUUUUCAGAUUAAGACCCUGCGUAAACCUUUCUUACUGUCUCUUGUUGAUACACAUCCCCCGGUUUCUUACCAUAACCGAGGAGGAGGCUGGCGUUUUGGCAUCGGCCGCGUUAGAAGUUCCCGCCCAUACCUGGACACCAGGGGCUUAGGGCAUUGUAUUGCCCGAUAUCAUAAAGACCGAACACCUCAGGGAGUGCUCGGCGUCUCGAGUUAGGCCUUAUAUGCAUCAGCUCUGAAUCAUGUCUUCGUUCAAAUGAUGGGUUUGCCCGGCUCCUGUGUUUUGCUGCCUUACGUUCCGCUCCAUCGGCUAACACGGCACCAGGAGAACUGAUGCGAUUGUGCCCCGGUUCGGCCGGGCGAGCACCUCAAUAGAGAAAGCCGAAAACUGACUGUCAUGAUAUAGCGAGAGACUGGUCAACCACUCGAUCGACCACUGGAUUGUUUAGAAUUCGUCCGCUUUGACGAAGGACCGCUUCCCGGUCAGGCACAUACGCACCUCGAGUUCGAAGAAGCGCGGUGCCUCUAGGGGCUAUAUAGUAGCCCCACCUUCGAGCUCCUAUGGCUAAGUGAAAGUGAUAAAGCAUUAUAGUCUGGUUGCCUAGUUUGCUACGCUAUCACCUCCUUCAAAGGACCAAGACGUUGGAUUAAGUGUGAAAAAGCGCUUUUCUUUUUGCAAACACCCCCGCACCAUGUGCGUGGGGGCUAAAGCCAAAGACUGCCAUCUUUCAGGUUAUACAUACAUAUACGGCCGCACAGGAGAUAAUUCAAUACUUGAACGCACAAGUAUAAAAAGCUAUUGCAUUAUAAACAUGAUCUCACAAAUCAUACACGUCAUUUGAACAUAACAUCUUUCGAGCACUGCGACUCUAUUAAACGAGCGCCCUGCAGGACUUCCUCAAAAUAGUGCUCGGCGGGUAAUCGGCCUUUGUCCGAACCCCGGGAUGCAACAGCGGUGGCAUCCAUUUCCGCCUAGUAUGUCUUAACACGGGCGAGAGCCAUCUGUGCACCUUCUAUGCAUGCCGACCGCUUCAUCACCUCGAUAUGCGGCACCGCCCCAAGGAAUUGCUGCAACAAGCCAAAAUAACUCUCAGGCUUGGGCCUUUUCGGCCACAGAUGAGCGACCACAUCCGUCAUGGCAAGUCUGGACAAUCUAUUCAGCUCAGCCCACUCAGCCAGCCGAUCAGUCAACGGAAGUGGAUGCUCCAGACUAUGGAAUUGAGACCAGAAAAUCUCUUCCAUUUCGUGAUCCUUCUGGCUUCGGAAGUGCACGACUGCGUCCGCUGCACUCGCCGCCAAAUCCAGAUAAGGAUCCUCCGCACCACACAAUUGGCCCAACUGAGCAUACUUUGGAUCCGUGAACUUCCUACGCAGCAGAAAGGGCUUUCCAGCCGCAAUGUCUCUGGCCUGACGCAGUUCCUCCUUCAUAGCCCGCAUCGCACUAUGGGCAUCCUUGGCUUCAGCGGCGGCCUUCUUCAGGUCCUCUUGCUCCACUCGGCGUUCUCUUUCAAGAACCUCAUAGCGGUCAGUAGCAUCUUUUAAUUUCACGGCCAUUCCGACCAUCUCCUCCCUGCUUCGGCAGUGAGCAGCCUUUUCGGCUUUUAGCUCUUCCGCUGCCUUCAAGGCAGCCGCAUCACUUUUCUUGGCUUGCUCCUUGGCUCGAGCGAGCUCUGCUCGAAGGUCUUCCACAGCAGCGGCACCAUCUCCAUCAAGCAUACAAAUUGUAAGGAACGGGCAUCAGCUCCCUUACUGGGUAACCGCGGAGCAACCGCCUACCUUGUGACUCGUUAAGUCGUUUAUUGACCAGCGCGAUGUCCGCAUCCGCAGCGUCGAGUUGCCGCUUCAGCUUGGCAACUCCAUCAGUCCGGCUGGCCACCGAACAUUUCGCCACCUGCAUAGAAAAGCCGACAUUCUAUAACUGAGAUUAUGAUCCUCAGCACAUUGUCGCUUUCGACAACAUACCAAGUCUCAAGGGCUACUAUCUAUACAGGGCGCACUCCAUGUGCAAAACUGUUAAAAGGUAUGUCAUUUUUCGUGUACCUCAAGCCCCAUCAGCAAACUUCUGACGGCCUCAUGCAACCCGCUCUCGGCGGAUGAGAUCCUUUCAAUCACCACACUCAUUAAUGUGCGGUGAUCUUCUAAGAUAGACGCCCUCUUGAGCAAAUCCUGCAGCUCCACCGGCCGUACUCCAGUGGGUGCCAAACUCCCCAGCCCCGCCGGACUCGGGGAGACCCUCCGUGACGACACCUCAGGGUCGUCCGCCCCGCCCGACGGGGCGGCAGAUGGAGGCGUUUCGCUCUCCAUCAUCUCCGGACGAAGGUCCCCCGAAGAUGAGCUCUGCUGAGAUGGGCUGAGAUCCGAACUACAAGGUGAAAACUUCGGUUACCCUUAGAAAUAAAGUAGGGGUGUCCCCUAUUACGAAAUUCCCACUUUUUACUUACGGCUCGCUGGAGGGCUGAUUCCUCUAAGGAGACAGUGCGGCCGGGGCUCUUCCCAGCACAGGACCUUCCGGUGCAGAUUUCUUUCCCCGCUUUGAGGCCUUGGCCUCCGGGUCUUCGGAAGCGGUCCUCUUCUCCCCCUGGAAGGAGGGACUCUCGAUUCCCCCCUUACUGAAAGCCUCCUUGGCAGAGGUGGUAGUUUCCCUGUGCCCCCCUUCGCCCUCCUUCGAAGGUGCAACCUCCAACAUUUUGAUUAACACAGGAUCCGGCGUGGUCUCAGGGAGGGGGGCCGGACACCGUAUCAGUUUUGCUUGCGCUAUCCACUCCUGUCCAAGGGAUAGCUGGUUAAAAGGAAAACCCAUGAUAAAUAAAUGGACAAUGUGUCCGGACACAGGGCUACUUACUUGAGUAUCCGGGCGAUUGCAGCUUAGGUCAGCAUCCUCGGUCAAGUCCGGACGCAUCUCUUGCGAUCCGAAGAACAGUUUGUACAUCUCCACGGGUGUCAAACCCAUGAAGUGUUGGAGAGCCCGUGGCCCCUCCGGAUUAAAUUCCCAUAGGCGGAGGGGGCGACGUUUGCAGGGCAGAAGGCGCCGAAUCAACAUAACAUGUGCCACUACGACCAGAUUGAUCUCCCUUUCCCGAAGGCCUCGAAUCCGGCCCUGCAACAGGGGUACGUCUUUGGACGGCCCCCAGUCAAGCCCCUUGUUGACCCAUGACGUCAGCCGUUGUGGAGGGCCCAGGCGAAAGAUGGGCGGCGGCCUCUGCCUGCUGCCCCUGGGAGCGGUGAUAUAGAACCACUCCUGUUGCCACAAGCCAAGCUCCUCCUGAAAAGAGCCCUCGGGCCAUGGAGCAUCGGCCCUCUUGCUUAUAACCGCCCCGCCGCACUCUGCCUGACGCCCCUCGAUCAUCUUUGGCUCCACGUUGAAGGUUUUGAGCCACAAGCCGAAGUGAGGGGUAGUGCGGAGGAAGGCUUCGCAGACGACAAUGAAUGAUGAGAUGUGGACGAUGGACUCCGGAGCUAAGUCAUGGAAUUCCAGCCCAUAGUAAAACAUGAGCCCCCUCACGAAGUGAUCCGUCGGGAAGCCUAAACCCCGACGGAGGUGAGACACGAACAUGACGCUCUCACCGGGCUUGGGAGUAGGAAUAACUUGCCCUCGGGCAGGUAACCUAUGUGAAAUCUCGUAGGUUAAGUACCUGGCGUCUCUCAGCUUUAGCACGUCCACUUCCGUGACGGAGGAGGGCAUCCACCGGCCUCGUAGGUCGGAGCCGGACAUUGUCGAAGGUCGAAAGUACCCGAAUCUGGAGCCCUGGGUGUUCGAACUCGGGGUGAGGGGCGGAUUCAAUUGAGGAUUGAAGAAAAAGAACGGGCCUUGGUCUCAUUAUAAAGAGGGAGAAUACCAAGUGCCGUCCCCGUGACCGUUUGGAACCCGCCUUCGAUGGAGGGGGCGUGGCAACGGGCGCAGUUGGGUUACCCACGUCCGUAUUGAUGGGAAUCCCGGAAUAAGGGGAACACGAUCUCUGCUUCGACAAGACGUGCCAAGGAAACCGCUUCGCUAAACACGCUGAGGUGGUACAAUAAAAACGAUUCGAGUAAAGGCUUGGUAGUGGUGUGACGUCAUGCCACCAAAUACGUCAGCAGAUUGAACUUGUGUAAAUAUUAUUCUCUCUACGGUGGUAUGUGGAAUUUAUUUUGCAGAGCCGGACACUAUCCUGGUGUUCACAAUCUUCUAUAAAUUAUUCGGAGAAGGAACCCGCCUUGCAAUGCCGAAGACAACAUGCGCCGGACUCAUCGUCAUUGAAGCCUGGUUCAGGGGCUACUGAGGGAGUCCCGGACUAGGGGGUGUCUGGAUAGCCGAACUAUCAUCAUCGGCCGGACUCCAAGACUAUGAAGAUACAAGACUGAAGACUUCGUCCCGUGUUCGGAUGGGACUUUCCUUGGCGUGGAAGGCAAGCUUGGCGAUACGGAUAUGUAGAUCUCCUACCAUUGUAACCGACUCUGUGUAACCCUAGCCCUCUCCGGUGUCUAUAUAAAUCGGAUGGCUUUAGUCCGUAGGACGAACAACAAUCAUACCAUAGGCUAGCUUCUAGGGUUUAGCCUCCAUGAUCUCGUGGUAGAUCUACUCUUGUAAUACCCACAUAAUCAAUAUUAAUCAAGCAGGACGUAGGGUUUUACCUCCAUCAAGAGGGCCCGAACCUGGGUAAAACAUCGUGUCCCUUGUCUCCCGUUACCAUCCGCCUAGACGCACAGUUCGGGACCCCCUACCCGAGAUCCGCCGGUUUUGACACCGACACCAACCUUUUGCUGUAAGGGCGCAUGUAAAAUGAAGCGAUCACACUGUUACCUUAGGGACAUGUCUAACCAGUGUUAUUGUUAAUCUAAUGCCUCUAGUGAUAAGAUGCAAUUAAACUGUAUUUCAAAUGGCACUCCUGCUGUUUUCCCCAGUAUGAUAAGUAAGUCGCUCCUUUACACUGCUAAGUGUCCUGGUGUCCGCACGGUCCCAUGCCCUUAAACCAACUCUUUAGCUGCUGUUGAUUUACUGUGUCUGGUAGACAAGCAAUGCCACCAUUAAAGUAAUCCCAUAUCUAAGGAAUCUCAUUGUUGAUCGUAAUGCUUCUGGUAACAUGAAGCAUUGCUCACGUUUUAAAAUUUCUACUGUCCUUGUGUGAUUGCCAUGAACAUAGUUAAGAUGCUUCUUUUCAUUUUGUAUAUGUUUCGUAUAUUCUUAUUGACCAGCAACUGUUUACUUUCUAUCGUUUUGUGCAGAUAGGGAUAUCCAUUUCACCUUGUUGCUAUUGCGACCAUUUGGUGAACUGCACAAAACACUUUUUUUUGGAAUGAGUGUCUUGUGCAGUUCAACUAAAAUGCCACAUGGGCAACAUCUCUCAAUUUUGGUGGAACUGCACAAAAUGGUUAAACUAAAGUGAAACCAUGCUCUCCUGUCUCCUUGUUUGUGCUAUGCAAACAUGAUGUGGAAACAGGAAUACUCUACUACAGAUGUUGUGACGGUCAAGAGCAACAUCUCUCAAUUUUGGUGGAACUGCACAAAAUGGUUCAACUAAAGCAAAAUCAUGCUCUCCUGUCUCCUUGUUUGUGCUAUGCAAACAUGCUGUGCAAAUAGGAAUACUCUACUCUACUACAGAUGUUGUGACAGUCAAGAGCAUUCGCCAAGUUCUUCGAUUGUAUGACAUGGCUAGCCAAGAUGGAUUUAAUCCCGAUAUUCACUUUAUCAAAAGGCUCUAAUGGGUUGGUUCUGAAUCUUGCAAGCUGGGAAUCAGUGAGAUGUGUAGGCAUCUUUGUUGUACUUAUUAUUUGAAUCUUAUUUGUUGGUUCUGAAUCUUGCAAACUGGGAAUCAAUGAGACGUGUAGGCAUCUUUGUUGUACUUAUUAUUUGGAUCUUAUUUGUUGGUUCUGAAUCUUGCAAGCUGGGAAUCAAUGAGAUGUGUAGGCAUCUUUGUUGUACUUAUUAUUUGGAUCUUAUUUGUUGGUUCUGAAUCUUGCAAGCUGGGAAACACGGCAUGAUGAUGCAGAGGACAACAACCAUAACAAACAAUUCAAACUUGGUAGUAUUAUCUUUGUGAAAGUGCGACAAAUGUGCUGAUCGUGUGCGUCCUGAGAAUAAUAAUUCUAAUUGUUGUGCAUGUUGAUCCCGUGGCACUGAUAGAACGAGCCAAUGCAUUGCUUGUUUUAAAUAUAAAUUUCUAUUAAAGCUAAUUAAAUUUAAGUAAAGUGACCACUAACUCAUGUUAUUACAGUACCAAUACAGACCCGCUCGUGAACCGACGUGUGGCCGGAGUAGGUUUCUUAAUGGAGGCGUUUGAAUGCGCCGAGUGUGCAUCUUCUGUCGGGCGUGCAGCGGACGAGGGAGGGGUAGUAACUGUUGUCGCCUGUACACACUCAGCUUACUAUUGAAUCCAGUUCCCCAAGAGCUGAAAAACGAACUACUGCCGUCGCCUACACACUCGUUCACUCGAAGAUACUCUAAUGGCGAUCCGAGGGGUGAGCCUGCUGGAUAUGGACUUCAGCAAGGAGUUAGUUCGCCGUUCAGUCCUAUGGCUGCACCAAGUUGAAUGUGAUGUACACCAACGAUAUGGACUCGGUGAAGCUCUGCCUUGCCUCAGUCCUAUGGCUGCACCAAGUUCUGGAGCAUUCACCCGUUUCAUCGGCAGCGCCGACUGCACCUUCGCUACGGUGGAGAGAAGGAAGAACGCGACGAUUCGGCCAUCUGGUGCAACAAGCUUGUCGAAUCCAGAAGCAAUACAAGAUCAUCAGCAACGGGCAGGAGAAGGACUCCGUGGUUGACCUUGCUGAGACCAUCAUCGACCCCUGAUACGCCAACAUGAAAGAAGAUGACCUGAACAUGUGGGAGGUACCUCUGAAUCUAGCCUACAUAACCUACGCGGCCAAGGACGCAUACGCAUGCUACGACAUGUACAGGCAGAUCUUGGACAUGAGGGCGUGUCUACUUCCCGUAGCCGACGAGUACACGGACAACCGCAACGUCAUGAUCAAGCGUGCCAGGAAGGUCUAGAUGUUGUACUUUAUCUGUUUAUAAGCACCUUUAUCAUCUGAGUGUUUCAUGCAUUAGCCUAUGUGUCAUAAUUAUCUGUUUUGUCCAAAAUAUUUCUUUUAAGAACCCAUUAACCUGAUUGCUUUUUUAGUGGCUAUUUGCUAAUGUAUGUAAACUAGUUCACUUGUCCGUAAAAAAACUAGUUCACUCGGCUGCCGUGCUUUGAAUCUCCUUCCUCCCAACAUAUUCCUCUCCUCAGGUGGACCCAGCAGGUCUCUGAAUUUUCUCCCACUUUCUUUUUCGAUGUAAACUGAGUUUUCUCCCAGUACUUUCCCCUAGAACCAACUCAACUGUCCCACGUCUAGCCUAAAAAAUAAUAAUACCCCACGUACUAUUAACUCAUCAAAUUAAAAUGAUAUUUUAUUUCUUAAGUUGAAAGUUCUUACAAAAUAAUAAUAAUAAUUGUUUAUAUAUAACUUGCCAUGUUAACUCCUAGUGAUUGCGUACAUAAGAUUGCAAAGAUUUUACUGACGUGCAAUCAUGUGUUUAUGUUUUUAUAACAUUUCUCCGUCUAGCCCAACAUGAUAUUUUCACCCAGCCCAGCAAGUCCGCGGAUUUUGAGAAAAAUGCAAAUGGGAUUUAAACGGGCUGCAUAGAUGCUACAUCAUUGUUUCACCCAACCCACCAAAUGGACUAAGAAACAAAUGGACUGGCUGACAUGUGGGCCAGUAGGUCGAAGCCUAAGAAGGCGUUGGAUUUACAUCCAACAGCCGGCAUUCUUCUUCAAUCUCUCGUCUUCUUCCCCCAGCGCUGUCGGAACCGCCUGCUCCAGCCUUCGGCGUCCAGCAGCGUUGUUUUGCGCUCCUCAGUGAAACGCUACCCCACUGACGGCCAGGCCAUCCCUCCACUCCGCACCUCCUGUUGUUCUCUGCCGAGUGUAGGCCCACCCCGCACCCGAACCAGUCAAGUUUCCCACUCCUCUUCGUCUGCGACUCCACUGCCGCGUCUUCCCCAUCUCCGGGUCGUUCCAGUCUGGGGCCUUGCCGUCGUCCACCGCCUCGGUGCGCUCGGCACGGCGUGGUCAACAUACGAGAGUCAUCGGAAGAGGACUGUACAUGGAGAGCCUGACGGUUGGGACCCACGAGGUCCAUGGUCGCACGCAAGGAAAGUUCCUCCUUAUUACGCACUGUACAUGCACUGUACGUGGGAAGGGCUUCUGUAUUUCGCANNNNNNNNNNNNNNNNNNNNNNNNNNNNNNNNNNNNNNNNNNNNNNNNNNNNNNNNNNNNNNNNNNNNNNNNNNNNNNNNNNNNNNNNNNNNNNNNNNNNNNNNNNNNNNNNNNNNNNNNNNNNNNNNNNNNNNNNNNNNNNNNNNNNNNNNNNNNNNNNNNNNNNNNNNNNNNNNNNNNNNNNNNNNNNNNNNNNNNNNNNNNNNNNNNNNNNNNNNNNNNNNNNNNNNNNNNNNNNNNNNNNNNNNNNNNNNNNNNCACGCAAGGAAGUGCCUCCCUAUUACGCACCAAAAAAUGAAUACCCCCUGCUACCUGGGACCCACCAUAGUGGGUGGCUGACUUGUGGGCCUACUAAGUUGACGAGGACGGAGGGUGUUGGGGAUAUAGCUACUGAGUGUAAACCGGCCAGGAGGGCCCGGUUCACCCUCAAUUAUGCUGAAGCCCAUGAAGAUCCAGAAGAUGGUGCUUUACUAAUGAAGCUUAGAGGCCCGAAGCCCAAAGGCGGAUUAGGGCCCAUAAUGGUAAACCGCCAUGACUAUGUAACUUGUAAUGUAAGUUAGGAAAGGAGAGACCGAGCCGGACAUUUUGCAUCAGUCGGCCUUGGGGCUUUGUAGACCGGUCGGGCGUCAACCUACAUAUAUAAAGGGACGACCCGGCGGCGGUUGAGGGACAAGAAACAACAACUCGAGACUCAGGCAAGCAUAUUUGCUCCCUGGUCAUCGAAACCCAAUCAAUCCCAUCACAACUAGACGUAGGCUUUUACCUUCAUCGAAGGGGCUGAACUAGUAUAAAACUCCCGUGUCCCUUGUCCGGUUUAACCCCUUCAAGCUAACUCGUUGCGAUGGCUCCAUGACGAAGUCCUUUCAUGAGGACAUCUAACGUGUUAAUUCCACGACAGUUGGCGCCCACCAUGGGGCUAUCGCACGAUGGUUUCGAGUUCUUGAAGGGCAGCUUUGAAGGACUCAAGGGGUACGUGGUUGGCCGGAUGACCAAGAGUCGUCGCGGCAAGCUUUACAUCGACGAUAAAGGAUGGGGCCCUGAGGCCGGCUCAAUCGAGUACGAGUACCGGGUCCCCUUUGGCGGAAUUCAUGUCUUCAUCGUCAAGAUCAGCAAACCGGGCCCUGAGCCGGACAUCUGCACCGACCUCGUCGAAAUGGCUCAGCAUGCGAGUCCAGUCUGGUUUAUGUUAGGACCGGUUUUUUAGGAUAUUAAUUUCCCAGAAAAAUGGCCCUUGUGCUCACCAGCCCUAGGAUUACUGCUAGCUGAUGAGGCACCAACUUGUUACAGAAAUUCCAAGCGAAGUACAUCAUAUGUAGUACAAGACCAUUCUGGCCUAUGAGUACAACAAAUGGUUUCUAGUGGUUGAUGGCGGAAGCGGUUUGUGGAUCAUCAGCGUCUAUGGGACUCCAUUUCCCACAGGAACAACUGACCAGGUUAAAUCCUAUCUUCGCGAGGCUGUUGUCACCAUUGCGUGGGUUCUGGGGCUGACAUCGCAACGCUCCUCUCCAAGCAAGAAAUGUGGCGAAGACAAUAGCCAGGGACAAGCCAGUGAGUACUUUGAAUGUACUCGCAAACAUUAUGAACACGGGUAUAAUAUAACAAAUGAUAAUCAUGCUCUGAAAUAUUCUAUGAUCAUAACGUCAGUCAUAAAAUAAAAUCCCUGAUGCAUGCAAGCAGGUUAUUUAUAUGCAACAUGAACAUGUAAUAACAGGGUAGUAAUAAAAUGCACCGAUCGGGUGUCUGAAGCGACGCCUCGAAAGGAUAAUAAAGAAUGAGCAUGCCUCAGUCGGGCAUCUGAGCGACACCACAUGAAGGGCUUAUAAGGUAAGAUGAGUAACGAACAUGCCACAGUCAGGCGUCUUUGCGACACCACAUAAAGGUCUUGUAAAGUAAAUAACAGGCAUGCCACAGUCGGGCGUCUGAGUGACACCACAUAAAGGGCUUAUAAAUAGACCAAUAACAAGCAUGCCACAGUCGGGCGUCUGAGCGGCACCGCAUAAAGGGCUUAUAUGAAAAAUAAUCACAGUGAAUAUCCAGGAGGUAGAACCUUCCCAGGGAUACUCAAUAAUUCCAAUAUUAUAAAGGGUUAGUCCAUAACAAUAAUAAUCACAAUCAUCAUAGGUCACAUGUCAUGGUCCAUGUUUUGGUUUAGUAAUUUCUCCUCCGAAGACCGACACUAAGACCGACACUUGACCCAUCCCAGACUGUAGUCCUUAACCAUGGACACGGCUAUUCGAAUAGAUUUAAUCUCCAUAGAGGGUGUACUCUUUACCCACGAGUAACGGAUUCCUUUAGUCCAUCGGGACUAAUUCCGUCUACGGUCUUUUCAUUGAAAACACACCUGACCCGCACACACCAGCUUAACUUACCGGUGUCUGGAAUCACUCACGACACCUGUCAAGCAAAACUCUAAGUGGGGAGGCUACAACCUCGAUUAGCAUGGGAUCAAAUUUAUACCGCGCGCUACUAAGGGGUGCCUCCCUCUCGGUCCCAACUGGAAACACCCAUGCCCCCGGACCAGGUGGCCUGCCUACCGGAUGCAUCUAGUAUCUUCCAACAUGGCCUCUCUGUACGGUGUGUGCUAGGAAGGGGUUGACAACUUACUUGAACAUACCCUACCUGCGACAGGGACAAGUGGUAGUACGAAACAAGCAUGGGGGUUACUGGAACAAGACUCGAUCUAUGGUCGACUCAGGAGGUUCAAGUAUUCCCAACAUGAUUAGCAUAACAAAUAUAUUUCAAUCAACAGAUGGAAUCACCACUCAUCAUACCUCAUCAUGCCAUACCGGACACACUCGUUUCGACGAGGAACUAGGGACAAGCUCGUGUCUACCCAAGACAGAGGCUUUCCCGGCUUCCUUCCGGUAUGCAUGAAAAAGCAUACGAGGGUGAUUACUAUCACAACAUAUCAAAUUUCAGUAGCACGGAGUCAUCAAUAUGCACUUAGGAGUAUGUUCAUGUCGUCACAUAAAAUAACAAAAACUCCGAGACAGGGAGUGUUGUAACCAUAUUCAAACGACACACAAAAAUAUUAUGCCAGAGUUCAGAAUGCUUGCCUUCAAGUUGCGUAGAGGCAGGGUGCAUCCUAAAACUUUUGAGAGUUUUCUUCUUCUCCAAAAAUCCUAUUUUCGAAAAUAUUCAAAUUAACACAUAGUUUCAAAACAGUACAAAAAGUUGACUGAAUUUUUUUCAAAUAAAUCUUAAAAUAAACUAGACAAUAUUUGAGAGAGGUAGGAAAAAGAAUCAACUCAUUUGGACUUAUAUUUAAGAAGUUAUAGCCAGUCAAAGUUUUGGUCAAAUUCUGUUUUUAAAAUAAAACAGAAAAAAAGAAAAACGUUUCGAAAACUGAACACGUCGAAGGCGUACUUUGAGUUUACGCUUUCACUUAUCCAGCGUGGACGGCGCGUGGGUCACUGACAGUGGGUCCAGGGGCACACUGGUCAGGUUUGACCAGUCUCCCCCGCCUCCUUCCUCCUCUGGCCGUGCGGAGGUAGGGCUCCGGCGAUCGUCGUCGGCUAUUGGCGGCUCCCCGCGGGCUCCGGAGGGCAGGGAUGGAUCCGCGGGUCCAGGGCGGUCCUCCCAGUGGUCGUUAGGUAGGUGGGGACGAAGGGAGUCGCCGCCGGCGAGCUCCGCGGCGGACGUCAGCUACGGGUGGAUUUAGGGGUCCACGCUAUGGUGGCUCCCCAUCGAGGCUGAGGGUCUGGGCGGCUCCACAAGGUCGAGGGGAAGAGAACGGUGGAUCUGGUUGGGUGGGGGAGGCCUUGCUUGCGACGAACCAGAGGGCGGCAGCGGCCGAACUGGCCGGGGAUGGGGAACAAGGGUCCCCGCCGUCGAUGGAUGGCCAUGGGGGCUCUGGAGGGGUGGCCUGAGGUUGCUUGAGGCCUAGACGAGCUCGGUGCCCCUAUUUAUAGCGCGCCUAGGUGAGUUCUGCGGCGGCCGGAGAUAAGCUCGGUGAAACGCCUCGCUGUAGCUAGCAGGGCGACGUGUAGGGGCUGGGGAUGGCGGCAGGAGCUAGCGGACGAGCAGGCACUACUCCAGGGGCGAGCUGGCGAGCGGGAGUGGCUCGGGCGGCGCCGUCCAGGGCCGGGGCCUACUGUGGAGCUCCAGGGGUGGCUCUGCAGUGAGGGAGGGGGCAGGUGCGUCAGCUGGAAGCGGGAGGGAACCAGAACAUGCGUGGGGAGGCGACAGUGGGUCACGGCGGCUCGGGCGCAUGCACGUGCAAAACGCGCGCUCUGGCCGCGCCCGGAGCACGCACGGUGACCGCUCGACGAAAUGCCCUGGUGAUCUAGGAGGCUUGGAUGCAAAGCAAAUUAACAGGGCUAGGUUAUCACUAGCUAGGGGAUUAGUGGACAUGAUGGUUUGGUCAGGGGAUCAAGUUUAUAAUGUAAACCCAAAACCAUGUCAAAACUGACCAUGCACCCAAGGUGUUUGACAGAAUGCCAAGGGAAUCUAGGAAACUCUUGGGGUGGCCAAAAUCUUCGGAUUGGGGUCUCUUUAGAUGUAGGUGAUGGUGGCAAGUUUAGUUGGCCAAAGCUAGAAACUUUCUAGUGCAAGUUUUGCAAAACUUCAGUCCUGGACAGAAGGUAAAUUGCAUCAUUGCAUGGACCAAACAUAAUCCAAUGGGUUCACUCUCCUGGACUUAAGGGUUUGGUAGGGUGGUCUACAAGCAGGAUAAAGAAUCAAGGGAAAAAGGGCAAGCAAAGAUAUGGUUGCAGUACAAAUCACCAAGUUGAACCAGAAUGAAGAUGAGGAUGAUUUACUCAAAUUUUUCAAAGAACAUCAAUGGUUUUUUGCAUAAAGGUGAAUAAUAUACUCCUACUGACAUCCCCUAAUUUUGGUGGAAGUUUUAAAGGAAUAUUUAAAUAGGUUGCAGUGCAAAAGUGAAAUCUGACCAGAUUUGAAAACUAGGGGUAAAGCUAAAAAUCACCAAAUGACCAAAGGAUAUUUUUGCAUAAAUGUGAUUUAGGGACAUCAUAUGUCAUCCCCAAAUUUUGGUGGGAUUUUUAAAUAAAUUUAUCAAAGGGUUGCAGUGCAAAUGGAACCCUAAAACUUAUGAAAAACCAUUCUAGAGAAGUAAAGCUCAGGGAAAAAUAAUUAUAUAAAUAAUCCCACUGAUAAAAGAAUUGUUUUAUUUGAGAGGGUAAACAAGUCCAAUGAUAAUUGGAAAGUUUUCACUUGGGGUGGAAACUCCACAACUUAGAAGAGUAGAGAGGUUCUGAGAUCAAAAAUAAAUCCAGAAAAAUGAAAAUUUAAUUUCCUGGCAAAAUUUUAAUAAACAAAACAUGGUUAAAUUUUUAGGGUGUUACAGUUUAAGCCUGCCGUGAAGCGUGCGUUCAUAGGGUGUGUCCAUGAGGUCGGAUCUGAACCGGUGUCCGAAGGCGAGACGGCCAUUUAUUCCGACUGCGAAUCAUCCACUGGCGAAACCGAGUCCUUGUACCAAAUUCAUAAUGGGGAGUUCGAAGGAUAUUCCGAUGGCAACAGUAUUCCGGACCUCCUUGAACCGCCGAGUUGGAUUGCUAUUUACAUGGCCGGAACACAACCCACUUUGCAGUCUUCAUCUACAGCGGCGAUGCAUACCGGAUUAACAGCCGCGGCAGGAGCUCCGACGCGCUGACCGGCUCAAGUCCUAUUUAAUGGAUGCCUGGGUGACUUUGUUGGCCAUGACAGUCACCCCGGAGACGCGGGAUCAGCAUAAUGCGGACAUUGCAAAGUUGAAGGACCAGAUAAGACAGGCUAAGGAGGACUUGGCAACUGAGGAUGCUAGGAUGGCUGAAGAGCGGGCCGCUUUGGAUGCCCGGUCACAGCAGAUACGGGCGCAGAAUUAUUGGCUCAUGCUGGAUCGGACCGCAUCAGAGGAUGUAAUGCGAAGGAAAUACCGGUCUCGUCUGCCAUCGGUCUACGAAGGAUUGAACCUCUUUCAAACACCGAGCAUCGAGCCGAGCAAUCCGGCCACUGCAAAUCGGACUGAAGCACCUAGGACAGCUCCGGAUCAGCUACGGAUGACAGAACCGCCCCAACGAACAGAUAACCCACUGCAAUAUGUGUCCACGCCGCUGGGUCACUUCUCGAGCCCUCUGGAUAACAUGAUUGCCGCAGCAUCGCGCCUGGCAGCCAUUCCGAUGGAGGGCAAUUCACUGGCAGCAAUUGAAGCGCGGCGGGCUAGGGACCUUCUUCAAACCGCCGUGGUACAGCAGAAGGCUUAUUCUUAUAGCCGGGAUAGAAUUCAUUCAACCCCUCGUCCAAGCCCGAGCUAUAGCAAGCACAUGGAUGAACCGGAAGUAUCUAGCAGUGCGCGACAUCGUAAUGCUCAAGGUGUGGUGGAUAAUGGCAGAGCACGAAGGGAGGCCGCCUUGGGUCGUCAUCAACCCGCCCCGAUUCAGCCAGCUGCGUCAGUCGACCAAGGCACCGGGCUUGCCUUCAGUUCCUAGGGAGUGUCGUGCCUUGUUCCGGUUCUCCAUAAUGUGCGUCUGCCCAAAGAUUUCAAGGGUCCACAUAAAGUGCCUAACUACACGACGGAUCAGCCACCUGAGGCAUGGGUCGAGAGUUAUGAGAUGGCAAUGGAGAUGCUGGAUGUAGAUGAAGCGUCCUGUAUAAAGUACAUCACGAUGAUGUUGGAAGGAACGGCCCGUACUUGGUUGAAAAAUAUACCAGCUAAGUCCAUCGAGUCACGGGAUCAGUUGAAGGCCCGGUUUAUAGCCAAUUUCAAAGACACGUGCAAACAACACAUGUCCAUUGUGGAUCUGGAUGCUUGUGUUCAAGGGGAGAACGAGUCAACAACUCAUUGGGUACGCCGGGUUUUAGAGGUUUUGCACUCGCCUGACCGGAUUAACGUUGGUCAAGCGAUUAUAAUGCUGGAGCGUAAUUGUCGGUUCAAGUCGCUGAAGAUGAAGUUGGGACGGCUCAAGCGCCACUGCAAUGACAUGGGAACCCUUAUGGAAGCCUUGGUCAAGUAUGCCGAUUCUGGUAAUACCAAGGAUCCUGAUUCUGAUGAGGAGAAAUCGGAGAAGGGAAAGAAGAACGGCGGUGCAAAGGGACAGCAUCACAACCAGGGAGGCCAUGGGAAUAAUGGUAAGCGCAAGGCAGAUAAUUCAGAUCUUGUGGCUAACACUUAUAUGCAGCGUCGUAAAGGUAAACCGCCCCAGCGCGGUGGAGGGAUGAAUCUAGAACGUUUGAUGAACAAGCCCUGUCCCAAGCAUGGGACCAAGGAGGCCCCUUCCACACAUCUAUGGAAAGAUUGUUAUAUCAUGAAGGAGUUCAAGAAUUCCGAUAUUUUCCGGUAUGAUCAGGGUCCUUCGGGCGGUUUAGGUCCAGGUUUUCAUGGUGGCGGCGGUUCAAGCUCUGGAUUUCAGAGUAAUCAGAGCAACCAGCAUAACCAAGGUGGUAAUGGCCAACAGAAUAAUCAAGGGAAUCAGCAGCAAUCAGGUUAUCAAAGUCACCCCAAGCAGUUGAAUGGCGGGCAGUAUCAUGUGUUCACGUACUAGCCUGUGUAAGCGAGAUCAGAAGCUUCACAAAAGGGUAGUUAACGCUGUUGAACCGGCAGUGCCACGUUACUUACGGUGGUCUGAGCAACCCAUCGUGUGGAGCAGGGAGGAUCAUCUGCCCUGGGUUGACAAUCCAGGUCAACUGGCCUUGGUAGUGGCACCUCAGGUGGGAGGUUACAAGUUUACCAAAGUCCUGAUGGAUGGAGGGAGCAGUAUCAACAUCCUGUCUUAUGAGACUUUUCGUCGUAUGGGGUUGACAGACAAAAGUCUUAAACCGUCCAACACUGUAUUUCAUGGUGUAGUACCAGGUAAAUCGGCAUAUCCUGUUGGCAAGAUCUCUUUGGAGGUUGUGUUUGGAGAUGAGCAUGAUUCCAGGUCUGAAAAAUUGACCUUUGAAGUGGUGAAAAUCCAGAGCCCGUAUCACGCACUAUUUGGAUGGCCGGCUUACGCAAAAUUCAUGGCAAGGCCCUGCUAUAUUUAUUUACAUCUCAAAAUGCCGGGCCACAAGGAACUAUCACAGUACAUGGAAGUCGAAAGAUCACUUUGGAUUGUGAGGAAGGUGAUGUGGCGUAUGCUGAGUUGGUUUGUGCUACGGAGGAGCUGAAGUUUUAUAAAGACAAUGUUGAUCCGGCAGACAUGACUCCUUUGAAAAAAACCACCACUGAGCAUGACCCGACCCUGAAGUUCAAACUGGCUGAUGAGACUAAACUUGUUGACUUUGUUCCUGGUGAUUCAUCCAAACAGUUCAGCAUCAGCACCAAUCUGGAUCCGAAAUAGGAAAGCGCGCUCAUCAAGUUCAUCCGUGAGAACUGGGACAUCUUUGCAUGGAAUCCUUCUGACAUGCCAGGUGUACCGAGGGAACUCGCUGAGCACACUCUCAAUAUUGAUCCGAAGUUUAAACCGGUCAAGCAAUUUCUUUGGCAGUUUAACGAAGAAAGACACAAGGCUAUUGGUGAAGAGGUAUCCCGGCUGUUGGCUGCUGGCUUUAUCAUCGAAGUAUUUCACCCUGAGUGGUUGGCUAAUCCGGUGCUUGUUCUUAAGAAAAACGACACUUGGCGUAUGUGUGUGGACUACACAGAUUUGAACAAGGCUUGUCCGGCAGAUCCUUUUGCUCUCCCGCGUAUUGAUCAGAUUAUUGAUGCGACAGUGGGAUGUGAGCGACUGAGUUUCUUGGAUGCUUAUUCAGGUUAUCAUCAGAUUAAGAUGGCAGUUAAGGACUAGGAGAAGACAACCUUCAUCACUCCCUUUGGAGCCUUCUGCUAUGUUUCCAUGCCUUUUGGGCUCAAAAGUGCCCAGGCUACUUAUCAGCGUUGUGUGCAAAAUUGUCUUCACACGCAGAUUGGGCGUAAUGUUCAUGCCUAUGUGGAUGACAUUGUGGUAAAAUCCAGGAAGAAGGAAACCUUGAUAGAUGAUCUCAAGGAAACAUUUGACAAUCUUCGGGUUUACAAAAUGAUGCUUAAUCCAGAUAAGUGUGUUUUUGGUGUUCCGGCAGGCAAGCUCCUAGGCUUUCUGGUGUCCAACAGAGAAAUUGAGGCUAAUCCGGAAAAAAUCAAAGCGAUUACAUCUUUGGCUAAACCAAAGUGUAUCAAUGAUGUUCAGCGUUUGGUGGGUCGAAUUGCCGCCCUUAGCCGGUUUAUUAGCCGUUUGGGAGAAAAGUUGAUUCCUUUGUAUCAGAUGUUGAAAAAGACAGACAAUUUCGUCUGGAGUGAUGCGGCUGAUGCGGCGUUUGAAGGGGCAGUUGGUUAAACCGCCGGUACUUGCUGCUCCGGUUAACAAAGAACCCUUGUUAUUGUACGUGGCCGCUAACGCCCGUGCUGUCAGCGUGGCGAUCAUGGUAGAGCGCAAAGAGGUUGGUAAGGAAUACCCGGUUCAAUGACUGGUUUACUACAUCAGUGAAGUGCUUAUCGAGUCAAAGCAGCAAUAUCUGCAUUGGCAGAAGCUGGUUUAUGGGGUUUUUAUGGCAAGUCGGAAGAUGAAGCAGUACUUUCAAGGCCAUCCCAUUACAGUGGUCAGUUUAGCUCCUUUGGGCGAUAUCAUUCAGAACAUGGAGGCAACUAGCCGGGUUGCAAAGUGGGAAAUUGAGCUUAGCCCGCACGGAUUGAAGUAUAUGCCUCAGACAUCAAUCAAGUCACAGGCACUUGUUGACUUCAUCAAUGAUUGGACCGAGUUACAAGCACCAGAAGACAAACCGGAUAAUACAUAUUGGACCAUCCACUUUGAUGGAUCCAGGCAAUUGGAGGGCUCGGGGGCUGGAGUUGUCCUUACUUCCCCUCGCGGUGAUAAAAUUUGUUAUGUUCUCCGCUUAAUGUUUCCUUGUACUAACAAUGCAGCUGAGUACGAGGCCUUACUCCACGGUCUUGGGGUGGCUAAGGAAAUGAACUUAAGCUGGGUUAGCUGGUUCGGAGAUUCUAAUCUGGUGGCUCAGCAAUUCUCUGGUACUUGGGAUUCUAAGGAUCCACUAAUGGCGGCUUACAGACGCGAGGUGGAUAUUGUGGCAGGUCACUUCAAAGGUUAUCAGGUUGAGCAUAUUGAUCGGCGCAAAAACGAGGCAGCAGAUGCUUUAAGCAGGCUGGGAUCUCAGCGUAAACCGGUACCACCCAAUACCUUUUUAGAUAUCCUGCAUAACCCGUCUGUCAAGUUACCUACAGAGGAGGAUUUAGCUAUUCCUGGUCCGGAGGCCCACUUGGUGGCCGCUUUACAUACUACUCCGGAUUGGACGAUUCCAGAUCUGGUGUAUCUAAACCGGGGCGAGUUACCAGAUGAUGAGGUUUUCGCUAGGCAGAUCAUUCGGCGGUCCAAGUCCAUGGUUAUUCACAAUGACGAGUUACACCGUUGUAGUGUUUUAGGCAUUUUUCAACGCUGUAUUUCCCCUGAAGAAGGACAAGAGAUUCUGCGUGAAAUCCAUGAAGGGGAUUGUGGUCACCACGCCGGUUCAAAAUCCCUGGUGGCUAAAGCUUUUCGUCAUGGGUUCUAUUGGUUAACAACUCAUGCUGAUGUGGAGGAUCUGGUAAAGCGGUGUGAUGCUUGUCAGAAAUUUUCCCGUCGAGCUCAUGUUCCGGCUCAGGAGCUACGGAUGAUUCCUAUCACUUGGCCGUUUGCCACUUGGGGGCUGGAUAUGGUGGGGCCUUUUAAGCGCUCCCAAGAUAAGAAGACCCACCUGUUGGUGGCGGUUGACAAGUUCACUAAAUGGGUUGAAGCGGAACCUGUCAUUAAGUGUGAUGCAGCCACGGCGGUUCAAUUUCUCAAGAAGAUUAUUUUCCGUUUUGGGUUUCCUCACAGUAUCAUCACAGAUAAUGGCACAAACCUUUCUAAAGGUGAGAUGGAGGAGUUCUGCUAAUGAGAGCACCUCCGGCUUGAUGUGGCAUCCGUGGCUCAUCCCCGGUCCAAUGGUCAAGCCGAGAGGGCGAAUCAAGAAAUCUUAAAGGGUAUUAAGCCCAUGCUUAUGGUUCUGUUGAAGCGGACACCGGGUUGUUGGGUGGAAGAACUGCCCUCUGUGUUAUGGAGUAUCAACACCACCCCAAACCGAUCCACGGGUUAUACACGUUUCUUCAUGGUUUAUGGGGUUGAGGUUGUCCUCCCAAGUGAUAUUCGUCAUGACUCGCCCCGGGUUGCCAAUUAUGUUGAAGCGGACAAUGAGCAAGCGCGUUAAGAGGCGUUGGACCUGUUAGAUGAGAAAUGGGACAUGGCUUUGGCUCGGUCGGCGGUUUAUCUACAAGACCUGUGGCGUUAUCACAGCCGCUGGGUUAAGACAUGAACCUUUCAAGAAUGUGACUUAGUACUUCGGCUCAUCUAGGAUUAUACCGAUAUGCACAAGUUAUCCCCACCUUGGGAAGGACCCUUUGUGGUCAGCAAAAAUUUGCACAACGGAUCUUACUACCUCAUUGACGUUCGAGAAGACUCACGCAGUUCUGAGGAGGAGACCUGGUCGCCAUGGAACAUAGAUCUCCUUUGGCCUUACUACAUUUGAGCCACAGGCUUUCCUUAUGUACAUAUUAUGACAAUGUAUAUAUUAUGAUCAAUAUAAUAAACCGGCAUCCUUGCUACAAGCAGGACCUCUGUCGUUCUUCCAAAAUAUGUCUUGGUUACAAGGGGGCUUCUGCUCUCAAAGCGAUGACUCACCUUGUCCAUUAAAACCGGCUACCACAAUACAGCUUGGGAGCUUCACACCCAAGGGGCCAAAGAGAGUCUGGAUGUUAUACAACAACUCAAACAUAGGCACCCAUUGAGCACAACUUAGAAAGUUACUUGGGGGCUCUUUUGUGCAAAAGCCACAAAGAGUUUUAAGAGACCCUUGUAAUUGGGUAUCGACCCACGGCUUGGAAGCCUAGUGUAUUCACCUAAAACCCCGGGUUGACCUGCCUUCAUCAAGUAAGCCACUCCUAUCCAGGUAAUCCUGGCAUGACCCACCGAACAUUUGACAGGUCAAUCUUACAUAGACCCUGAACUUGUCAAAGUUAAAACGGUGAUUGGUUAGUUGGAGGCCCAUCUUAAAAGGCUUUGCAAAAUGGUUUAACUCAGUGGCCUGGCAGCCAAUGAAAAGCCUCGAAUUUGUGCCUGGCAGCCCUUGAAAAGCUUUGCCUACAUGAUUUUUUUAUUAGUCUUUCUUGCUAAGAUUUCACCUUUUUGAAGAAUUUGUUUUAAACCGGUGUUCUUUAACCCGGUGUGGCUUUUCAAUCGCAAUGUUAACCCGAUGUUUCUUAACCCGGCUUGGCUUUCAGCUAUAUGUUGACAGACCAUCUUAUCAAACCAGUGUUUAUUAACCUGGCCCGGCUUUGACUAUAUGUCGCCAGUAUGAUCAUCCAGUGUUUGUUCUAACCCGGCAUGACUUAUUCGUCCUAUCAUUAUAGGGUAAAGGUCUUGACAGCUCACAAUUUUGGGCUUCUACACUUCUUAAAGUGAUUAUACAUCACAGGUAUGAGUUACUUCAUAUUCAUUCCGCUUUGGUUUCCAACCAGUCUUUAUCUUGGGCACUAUGACCCGUCCAGCGGUAAACCGCCAGGACAACUCUUUUUCAUGCAGACACAGGGAUUGCAUAAUAUUAUAGAUAUAUAAGCUAGCAUUGAAAUCGGCAUGGCGGAUCAAGCAAAGUGUAUCCCAGUGCACGAUGGCAGUAGAUCAAAGUAUUUUAACUAGCCUAUUACAAGGCGCUACAAGGCCCAAAAAUAUGAAUUUGUUCUUUCCACAGAUCAAAGUUCAUGAUAGCAUUAGUCAGAUUGCCGGAUCAGGCUUCAUCACCAGGUUGACGUGAAGUGGAUGGAUCAUCUGGUGUCUGUUCAGCUUCCUCUUCCUCAUACAGUGGCUGGAAGUCAAUGGUGGUCCAGUCAAUCUGGGUUAAGGCCUGAAAGACAGCCUCUUCACUUAUAAGUUCAGCCAGAUCAACGUCAGGGGCAUAAGUGUGCUUACGGAUUGGCGGGAUCAGAUUCUGCACUUCUGGCACGACAGUCUCAACCCGCCUGUUGUUGGCAUCAUAGAAAGACCGGUGAACCGUCAAAUUUGCUUCUUCUGCCAAUUGACUUGCUAGAGGAUGCAUCUCCCUUCUCACAGCCUUGAGGGCGUCGUUGCCAAAUUCUGCCCCGUUCUCUUGCUCACUAGGGAAGCCCUUGGCAAUAUCCGCCGGAUCAAGAUUGGCUAUCCAUGCUUUGGCUCGGGUAAGUGCCAACAAAGUGUCGGCCCUGGCAGCAGAUCGAUUCAUCUCUUCUAUCUGUGCCGGCGUUACGGAUAACUUUGCCAGCGUAACCUUGAUUAAGGUGGGGGCCGGAUUGUUGUAUGAAGCGGCACAGAUAACCCGUUGGGCACCGGUAUAUAAUUGUUCAAUCAAAGUGUAUGCGGCCUUCAGCUUCAUCCGCAUAUCAGAGCCCAGAUGAGCAAUGCGGCUACCUACAACGGUUUAAGAAUUUUAUGUUAAACCGGCAAGCUACCAACAUGGUCAUUCAAAAAGUCUUGGUCAAAUCGCUUACCAAACACUGCAGAGGUCAUUGCGUUCACUUGGCGCUUUAACCCAGAGAGUUCCUCUGCUACCAGUUUAAGAGCUGAUUCGGCGUCUUCUGCACGCUUCAGCAAUGCAUUUUUCUCUGUCUCUCAGUUGGUACGUUCUGUUUUGAACCCUUCCUUGAGUUGCUCCAUGGCUUCCAAAGCGGUUUUCAGUUCAUAUUUGGCCUUGGAUGUCUCUGUUUGUUGGGUCUUGAGGUUCUCUUGCAGAUCGGCGAUUUGAGAGCUUUGGCGGUUUAUAUCAGCCUGUUACAGAGAAAGAGCAUAUAAAUAUUCUCAAAGUCCCAAGCAUAUAACCAGUUAUACACUUGGCACUUGGGGGCUAAUGUGGAUUGCUUUUUCACUACUCAUUGUUUAAAGUCUCAAGGAUCAAUACAAGUUUUAAUCUUGGCACUUGGGGGCUAAUGUGUGUUUGAUCUACAACAUACGUACAGAGCCAAUAAGAUAUAAUAUGGAAUAUAAAAGUCCCGGUUUGCUUUUACAAAGGCAAACCGACCCUUGGGGGCUAUGAAGUCAGUGUUUUUUCAUUUCUGAAGACCCGGUUUAUCUUUCAAAGAUAAACUGGCCCUUGGGGGCUACAAUACAAGGAGUGGACAGAAUAAAGAUGGUGUUUUCAAAAUUACCUCAUAAUGUUCCUUCAUCAGAUUUACCAAACCGACUUCAUAAUCUCGGCUGGUGUAAAGCCAAUUCAAGAAUCCAGAAUGAAGGUCUUGAGCAGAAAGAUCAACAUAGGCUGACAAAUCAGUCUUCCCCUUCCCCUUGCUCAUAGCAGCAAAUUCGUCCUUGGCACUGUGCUUUGAUAAAGCAACUGGAUUGCCAGGGGCGGUAUAGGCAGUACCAGUGACAACAACGCCAUCGUCAUCCUUGGCUGAGCUUGACGGAUUGACCUUCUCUUUGACUGGGCUUGGCGGUUUGAAAACAGGGGUUGGCGGAUUGGCAGCAGGGCUUGGCGGAUUGGCAGUUGAGCCUAGCCGAUCAGCAAUUGGACUUGGAGGCGUGGCAUGAGGAUUUGAUGUGUCAAGAUGUGUUUCCUGAUCAGCAUCCGAUGGAUUGGCAUUAGCAGCUCGAUCUUGUGGAGCGGAUUCACCCAUGACAUGGUCAGUAUCUUCGUCAGCAUUAUCUGGGGUCUUCUCCGGUUCAAGGUCGCCAGAAGGACCGCUGGUCUUGGCUUUCUUGCUCAAUCGAGCCUUAGCACUGCAACAUCAAGAUAAAGAUCUGUAUGUUAAACCGAUGCAUGAAGAAGCAGAUUAAAAAGCAAUAUACUUACCCAGCGACGGUCUUGAGGGGAGGCAGCUGUGUGGUUGAUGAACCGCCAGACGAGUUAGAAGACGCCUGAUAAUUUGGAUCAGACGGAUUAAGUGGGAAUCAGAAGAAACCCUUCAAAGGAUAACGUUUUUCGGGAGAGCAAGUAACCUCUGGACGACGCUUCCGGAUUGGAGUAUCUGGUAAACCGGAAGAAGUGACUUGCUGGCCACUAUGUCAAGUUGUGCGGCGCUCUUCAGGUUUCUAUUUCUUUAAAGAAAAUUUUGGAUCCAAAUAAGCAAGAGGGUGAGACUGUUUCACUUUCCGAACUUCACGACGAAAUCUUUGAACCGACACAAGAUCUGAACCGGAGGAAAGAGAGAUUACCUCAACAUGGUCCGCACGGCUGACCUCCGCAUCGUCCUGAUGAUAAUCAUUGUUAAUAAGAUGAAUGAAAAAGGAGCCAAGGGAGUCAAGUUCUACCUCCUGAUCCGACUCUUCAGCAUCUUCGGGCGGAUCAGCAGCUUCGCCGGUCUUCUUUUUUGAUUUCUUGACAGCCUUGCUCUUAGCACGAGGAGCUCUGACUGUUUUCUCUGAAGUUUUCUUCUUCCAAAAAUUGUUGUUGGUCUGCAAAGAUUAAAACAAAGGAUUGUUAGCACAAGUGUUAAAGCGGAGGCGGAUCAAGAAAGUAUAAGUUCAAAAACUUACCGCUGGCGGUUUGUUGGCGACGUAAAAAGGAGCCAGCCCGGUCUGACUGCACAAGGCGAGGGGUACGUCUAACAUCUUCUUCACUGAUUCGGCGACUUCUUCAUCAGUCACCUCUAUCUCAUUGAACCGUUGAGGAUCAUUGGAGUUGCCAGUAUACUCAUACAUUAAUCCGAAGCGGCGACUUAGAGGCAGGAUGCGCCAUUGAACCCAGCAACAAACAAGAUCAACGCUAGUUAAUCCGUUGGCCAUGAGAGCCCGGAGCUUGGCGAGUUGAGGAGCAUAAGUUUGUCUCUCUCUGGCGGUUAAACACUUAGGUAACGGGUGGCCAUUGCUAAGCUGAUGAGGGCUUUAACCCGGCAGGGGAUUCUCUUCAGCAGGGGCUGUGUUCUGAUAGUAAAACCAAGUUUGGUUCCAGUCUUUGGGAUGACUAUGGUGGGAUGCAUGUGGGAAAUCAACCUCCUUCCUUUUCUUGAUUGAUACCCCGCCAAGUUCUGUGUUAGAGCCGUCCGAAAACUCGGUUCGGCGGUUCAAGUGGAAGAAGUCCCGGAACAGCUCGACAGAUGGUUCUUCUUGAAGGUACACUUCACAAAACACUUGAAAGUUGCAUAUAUUUGAUACAGAAUUUGGGCCAAUGUCUUGCGGAUGGAGUUGAAGCCUUGCAAGGACAUCCCAGAAUUUUUUUGAUCCCGGAGGGCUGAAGCCCCGGUCUAAGUGCUACAUAAAAACAAUAACUUCGCCAUCCUGAUGCUCAAGAGGGCACUCGGGGCCAGGAACACGCCAGUGAAGAACAUUCUUUGAGGCUAAAGCGCUAGUUGUGACGUAGCCAUUGAUCUGAGUUUCUGUAAUCUGGGACGGAACCCAGUUACAGGCGGCGAAUUGCUUGGUCAUCUUGGACAGUAAACUGUAAAGGUAAAGGGAAGCCAGUUUGCGAUUGACGGUUCAAGGAGCAUUUGUUGAUGUUAAACCGGAAGCUUUUAUCAAAGCAUAUGUGUGGGAUAAACCGGAAACUGCUACUCAAAUCAAAGAUGGCGGUUUAAGCGAGGGCUAAUGAUAAUUGGCGGAUUACUGACUGCUAAAGGUUUAAACCGCCCUUUGGUGGAGGAGACAGAUGAAAAAAAUGCUAAGUGUUGACAGAAACAGGUUUCACACAAUGACCAAAUUUAUUUGGAUCUACCACACAUCAGUAAAGAAAAAUUACUGCGACUUAUAAAUGGCGUUAAAGCAGAACAAUGAAGGUCGUGUACUCUACAGAAGAAAGGGAAGAUCUGCUAGUAUUAAAAAUGGAUGCGGAGUAACUACCGCACGAGAUCUACACUCCUAUUGGAUCAAAACUACCGCGGCAGAAGGAAAGACGAAGGACUGAGGAGGAAGAACAAAGAACUGUACAGAUGAACUCAUGAAUCCUAAACACAGAUCUAAAGAUGAAGGAAAGAGGAAACUUACCACUGCAGAUUUACUGUGGAGGGGUGCGGUGAGUUUCUGGUCCGUUUCAGGUUGAUGCAACGGCCUUUGUCGUUGCAGUUCUCAAAAGUCGUGGGCGGCGGCGGAGCUUCAGAGCUUGGGCGUCGCGAGGAAGAAGAAGGCACAGAAGGGGAAAAAGAGAAAAGGACCCUCGGGCUUUAUUUAUAAAGGAAAGGAUAAAUGGCAGGCGCGAGAUUUGAGGAGCCUGAAGCGGCAGAGUGGGCGCGCCUGUCGCCUCGAUUUUCGGGACGACCAUUAAUGAGGGGAAUAUUUUUAAUCUUUUUAUACAGGGAUGAUGUCAUGAUGGACCGUUCCUAUAUCCAGAAGAUGACAUCACGGCGGUUUAACAAAAAUUACAGGAGAAGACAAUAUGGCGGUUUACGAGAAUGUAAGGAGAUGUUCACAAGAUUUCUUUGAAGUAUUGAAGAUUGACAUGAACAGGUUCAAAUCAAUCUGGGGCCUAAUGUUGGGGAUAUAGCUACUGAGUGUAAACCGGCCAGGAGGGCCUGGUUCACCCUCAAUUAUGCUGAAGCCCAUGAAGAUCCAGAAGAUGGCACUUUACUAAUGAAGCUUAGAGGCCCGAAGCCCAAAGGUGGAUUAGGGCCCAUAAUGGUAAACCGCCAUGACAAUGUAACUUGUAAUGUAAGUUAGGAAAGGAGAGACCGAGCCAGACACUUUGUAUGAGUCGGCCUCGGGGCUCUGUAGACCGGCCGGGUGUCAACCUACAUACAUAAAGGGACGACCCGGCGGCGGUUGAGGGACAAGAAACAACAACUCGAGACUCAGGCAAGCAUAUUUGCUCCCUGGUCAUCGAAACCCAAUCAAUCCCAUCACAACUAGAUGUAGGCUUUUACCUUCAUCGAAGGGGCCGAACUAGUAUAAAACUCCCGUGUCCGUUGUCCGGUUUAACCCCUUCAAGCUAACCCGUUGCGAUCGCUCCACGACUAAGUCCUUUCAUGAGGACAUCUGAUGUGUUAGUUCCACGACAGAGGGCUUUGUCAACUUAGUCAAUAUGAACAAUUCUAGCUCCAGUGACCGUACGGUGUCCAUCCAACGGCCAUAGUGCUUCUUCAACCUCUGGUCUUCUUGCUAUAGCCGCCCAAAGCAGCGCCGGUCGUGCCGCAUGCUCCUGCCUCUCAUGGUCGGCUGUGAUGCCGCGGAGGCCUCACCACCCCCUACUACUCCCACCGCUGGCCCAGUGUAUCCCUCAACUCACCCACACCCCCUGUUAUUCUGCGGCGACAGCAGCCUCGCGCCGCAGCCAAACUAGUGAACCCUCAUACUCCUCUCCGCGUGGGCGUCCACUGUCGCGUCUUCCCCGGCUCCUCGUCGUCCGCUUCCUAGGCCUCGCCGUCGUCCACCGCCUUGGUGCUCUCGGCGCGGCGUGGUCAAUGUGGUCAACGACCGACUUCCAUCGGAAGAGUAUUGUACGUGGAGAGGCUGACAGCUGGGUCCAAGGCCACAGCCCAGUUUUUUUGUGAUUUGCCAAGUAACUCGCUUUGUCAGGCCUGUUGGGCUGCAAAUCUUUCAAGACGAGGAGAGCUUCAUUCGGCUAGCCGAGAAAAUAGCCUAUCAGUAAUGAGAAAUGGGCUGUACAUUUUUAAAACACAUCAAACCGACAAUUAGUUUCAAAUAUCUUUUUUUCAGAUUUUAAAUUACAUUAAUUUUUAUGCGUGGAGAACUUGUUGGAUUUUAUACUGAUAUACAUUUAUUUUAAAAUCAGUUUGAAUGUGAGUCAAAAUUUCGGGAUUAAAAACAAUUUGGACCGCACCGAAAUAUGCAAAAUUUCGUAUAAUUUUUUAACCAUGGCCACAAUAUGGGCUGUAAUCCUAACAAAAAGAAUAUGGGCUCCAAACAAAACCUUAAGAAUUAGCAAAUGGGCUGUAAAUUAUUAGAAAUAAUGGCAGAUGGACUGUAUGCUGUUUUCCACAGAUUUGAGGCUUUCCUAAAAAAAAAGGUUGACGCACAAGCAGUGACUGUUGGAUAGCCAUCCAACGGCCGUCAUGCUUCUUCAAUCUCUGCUCUUCCUGCUCCAGCUGCUCAAACAAGCGCCGCGGGACUGGCUGCUCCCUCCUCCCCGCGGCCGGCUGUGGUGCCGCACAGGCCUCACCGCCCCACCGUACUCCCACCGCUGGCCUAGCCAUCCCUCUACUCACCCACACCUGUUGUUAUUCUCCGAUGACGGCAGACGAACCAGUAAACCCUCGUUCAGUCGUACUCCCCUCCGCAUGGGAAACAACUGCGGAGUCUUCCCAGCCUCCGUGUCAUUCCCUUCCUAGGCCUCGCCGUCGUCCACCGCCCUGGUGCUCUCGGCGCGGCCUGGUCAACGUGGUCAACGACCGACAUACAUCUGAAGUGGAUUGUACGUGGAGAGGCCGACAACUGGGUCCACGGCCGCAUGCAAGGAAAUGCCUCCUUAUUACGCGCAAAAUAAUGAUUCCUCCACCUGACAUCAGGGACCCACCAAAAGGGCCUCAGUAUUUCGCGAAAAAAACAUUACCGCCGCUGACAGCUCGGACCCACCAGCUAUAUAUUCGCACGCAAGGAAGUGCCUCCUUAUUAGGCAGAAAAAAAUGAAUACUCCCCCUGUUAGCUGGGACCCAGUAUAGUGGCUGGCUGACUUGUGGGCCUACUAAGUUGACGGGGACGAAGGGCUUUGUCAACUUAGUCAAUAUGCACGAUUCUAGCUCCAGUGACCGUACGAUGUCCAUCCAACGGUCGUAGUGCUUCUUCAACCUCUGCUCUUCUUGCUCCAGCCGCCCAAACCAGCGCCGGUCGUGCCUCGUGCUCCUGCCUCCCGUGGCCGACUGCGAUGCGGCGGAGGCCUCACCGCCCCCUACUACUCCCACCGCUGGCCAGGCCAUCCCUCUACUCAUCCACACCCCCUGUUAUUCUGCGGCGACGACAACCUCACACCGCAGUGAACCAGUGAACCCUUGUACUCCUCUACGCGUGGGAAUCCACUGCCGCGUCUUCCCCGGCUCCGCGUCGUCCCCUUCCUAGGCCUCGCCGUCGUCCACCACCCUGGUGCUCUAGGCGCGGUGUAGUCAACGUGGUCAAGGAAUGGCUUCCAUCGGACAUGGACUAUACGUGGAGAGGCUGGCAGCUUGGUCCACGGCCGCAGCAAGGAAGUGCCUCGUUAUUACGCGUAAAAUAAUUAUUCCUCCACCUGACAACGGGGACCCACCAGACGGGCCACCAUAUUUCGCAAAAAAAUGUUUACCCCCUGACUGCUGGGACCCACCAGCUACACCUUCACACACAAGGAAGUGUGUCCGGGCAAAAAAUAACGAUUUGCCCCCCGACUGCUGGGACCCACCAGCUACAUCUUCGCACACAAGGAAGUGCGUCCGGGCAAAACAAAACCAUUCGCCCCCCUGACUACUGGGACCCACCAGCUACAUCUUCGCACGCAAAGGAAGUGCGUCCGAAAAAAAUGAUUCGCCCUCUGACUGUUGGGACCCACCAGCUACAUUUUCUUACGCAAGGAACUGCCUGACAGUCGGGACCCAUCUGGUCGAAGCGUACGUAGCAUUGUCAUUCUGGUUGUGAACUUGUACGUACAUAUAUACUGGUCGAUGUAGAGGCGCGCACGUGACGUAAUAGAGGCGCGUACGUGUCAUAGUAGAGGCGCGCACGUAGCAUGUACACGUACGUACAGCGGCCACGGUGCAAGAAAGAACAUACAGCCACGUAUGUGUACAUACGGGCGGGGUCUCGAACGCCUAGUCGCGCAUACGAACGGCGAGGGCUCGUGUUCAUGGGGAGGCAACGGAAUGCGUCGUGUUCAUGGGGAGGCAACAGAAUGCAUCGUGUUCAUGGGGAGGCAACGGAAUGCGUCGUGUUCAUGGGGAGGCAACGGAAUGCGUCGUGUUCAUCGGGAGGCAACGGAACGCGUGGGAGCCAACGGCUUGGACGGAACAGGCGAUGGAAACAAGGCCUGGCGUACCGCAGAACGGAGGAACGGACCUCCUAUGGUCGAAAUGGCGGUCCUGCUGAUCGGGGGGGUGUGGCGUACCGCAAAACGGAUGAAACAGACCUCCUACAGUCGAAAUGGGGGUCCUGUUGAUCGGGAGGGGUGUGGCGUACUGCAAAACGGACGAAACCGACCUCCUACGGUCGAAACGGGGGUCCUGUUCAUCGGGAGGGGUGUGGUGUACUGCAAAAGGAGACUCCACGGGAUACUGUUCAUCUCCACCAUUGACCUCCUCCAGCUUCCACGGGCUACCGUCGACCUCCUCCAGCCUCCACGGGCUCCUGUUCAUCCAGCGUCCACCGCGUGCUACUCCAUCGGCUACUGUUCAACCACCCCUCCACGGGCACCCCUCCACCGUCUACUGUUCAUCCAGCCCUCCACACCACGGGGUCCUGUUCAACCACCCCUCCACGGCCACCCCUCCAUCGUCUACUGUUCAUCCAGCCCUCCACACCACUGGUUCCUGUUCAUCCAGAGGCAACACCACCGCUCACUGUUCAUCCAAACCCCCCCGCAACACUCACUGUUCAUCCUAGAGGCAGCAUCGAUCAGCUUCAGUUAGCAGCAGUAGGGAAGGAAUCGCUCCAUCGGGUUCAGUUAACAGCCAUCGAUCGAUCGCUCGGGUUCAGCAACGCGUAGCCUGCAGUGCAAUCGCUCGGGUUCACUUAGAGCCCAAUGCCUCGCUCGGGUUCAGUUAGAGCCAACGCCUCGCACACACGCGUGUACCUGUACAAGAGAAACGCGCAUCGCUCUCCCACCGUAACCGGCAACUCCCUAAAAUUUUCCUCCCCCUCGCUUCUACCAUGGUUUUUUCCGUCAUGGACGGCCCAAAGAAUGUCAUGCAGCUGCGUCUCCGGCCUGCCCAGGACGAAAAGCCCAUUUUCUGUCAUGAUUUUUUGUCAUAGAAGUAGGAACCCACCACAUCUAUGAUGAUACCGGGUUUUGUCACAAUUAUCAUCAUAGAAGUGUCAUAUGUAUGACAGAAAAAAUUGUUCGGCCCAAAAUGUCACGGAUGUGUCUUUUUUUGGUAGUGCAUGGGACACUACACACCCUCGAGCGAUACACAAAAGGCAAUCCCACAUUUACUCUCUCUUCGGCAGGGUCCACCAUUUGACCAAAGUCUACAAUCAACCAUAGGGCUCCAUUUAAUGGGAGCUUAGUAAUUGUAGAGAUUCCUCAGGGCAUCUUCAACGUGGGGGCUCUCAACCUCUUGCAUACGUUGGAUUGCAUGGUCCGAACGUGCUAUGUCAAUCAACGCAAUUCUAUAUUUGUCCGCUCGACAGUUUGAAUGUAUUUUUUCUUGUAAACCGGAGACAAACUGGGAGCUUUGCGGGCGUCUAGAUUGCUGCCACGUCUGCGCCUGACUGUUCCGGCCCAUCAAAUAACCCCACCCGUCUCUCCCGCGCUUUACUUCCGUGACGGCGGCGGAGACGAGCAAGCGAUGUCUCCGUCUCCUCGACGGGGAGAUAACCAAGUACGGUGAAGAGUCGUCUCUCGGCGAGAUUGCCGCUGCCAAAGCCGCCUCCUCCAAGGCCGGCCGUCCUCUCCCUCUGCCCACGUCUUCGGUGGCUGCAAUCGCACUACGCGCGGCGCAGGAGAAAUCGGCGAGGAUCAUCCUCGAGCGUCAGGCAGCUGCCGGGAAUCCCUACCGUGACGCCGUGCCCUUCCGUCGGCUGAAGCCCGACAAGGACAACGGCUCUAGCGACGAUGAUGGAGGAGCCGCCGACCAGCCCAACAUGGCCUACAAGGUCACCAUGAAGUGUAGGGUUGUGUAGGAUUAUGUUUUUAAGGUUUUUAGUUCACCAGAUGAAAUAUCGUCUGGUUUUCCGUAAAAAUUAUUUAACUUUAAAUGAAUAUCGUCCGAUUUGUUUGAGUUUGCAUCAAAUUUUGUUAUUUUUGUUAAAAUUCAUUUGAAAUGUAAUCAGACAUAUGCGACUAGGUUUGGAUGGCCGCCUCCCACAUCCGUGACCGUGGACUGGCCCCCCUGUUCGUGGACGGAUGUUGGGGCAAAUUUACAUGUCAGCGUUGGAUAUGCCCUCACCGGAUGGGUAUGUACUCCCACCAGAUGGUUAUGUACUCCUUUCAUGUGAGAAUAUAAGACACUUUUCGACAUUAUUAUAUUGUAAAAAACCUCUUAGGGCAUCUCCCAAGCUGACCCUCCGGUAUACCAUAGACAUGAUGCGGGAGGGACUCGUUCAAUGCUAUUCACAAAGUAAACUGGUUGGGACAAGAGAAAGUAGGGUGGGACUUUGUGUUGGUUAAGUGCAUGUCCACACUCUAACAAAACCUCACGUUUGUCUUUAAGAUACCGAAAUUAAGCGUAGUUAGAUUUGUAAUUUUUGUAAAUGUAUAAAGUAGAUUUGUAAUUUGCAAAUUAAUUCAAGUCAUUUUAGCCUUAAUCGUAUGGAAAUGAAGGAGGAAAGUUAGGCAAUUGUAGCUUAGGUGACUUCCCUCCUUCAUGUUGGAGGAUCCACUUCCCCCAUCCAGAGGGAGUAGUGAUAACCCACAAGUGUAGGGGAUCGCAACAGCUUUCGAGGGUAUAGUAUUCAACCCAGAUUUAUUGAUUCGACACAAGGGGAUCCAAAGAAUAUUCUUGAGUAUUAGUAGUUGAGUUGUCAAUUCAACCACACCUGGAUAACUUAGUAUCUGCAGCAAAGUAUUUAGUAGCAAAAGUGGUAUGAUAAUAAAGGUAACAGUGGCAAAAGUAAAGAUAAUUGAUUUUGGGGUUUUGUAGUAGUUGUAACAGUAGCAACGGAAAAGUAAAUAAGCGAAGAACAAUAUGUGAAAAGCUCGUAGGCAAUGGAUCAGUGAUGGAUAAUUAUGCCGGAUGCGAUUCCUCAUGUAAUAGUUAUAACAUAGGGUGACAUAGAAGUAGCUCCAGUUCAUCAAUGUAAUGUAGGCAUGUAUUCCGUAAAUAGUCAUACAUGCUUAUGGAAAAGAACUUGCAUGACAUCUUUUGUCCUACCCUCCCGUGGCAGCAGGGUCCUAGCAGAAACAAAGGGAUAUUAACGCCUCCUUUUAAUAGAGAACCAGAACAAAGCAUUAGCACAUAGUGAAUACAUGAACUCCUCAAACUACGGUCAUCACCGCCCGAUUAUUGUCACUUCGGGGUUGUCGGAUCAUAACACAUAAUAGGUGACUAUAGACUUGCAGGAUAGGAUCAAGAACACACAUAUAUUCAUGAAAACAUAAUAGGUUCAGAUCUGAAAUCAUGGCACUCGGGCCCUAGUGCCAAACAUUAAGCAUAGCAAACUCAUAGUAACAUCCAUCUCAGAACAUAGUGGAUACUAGGGAUCAAACCCUAAAAAACUAACUUGAUUACAUGGUAAAUCUCAUCCAACCCAUCACCGUCUAGCAAGCCUACGAUGGAAUUACUCACGCACGGCGGUGAGCAUCAUGAAAUUGGUGAUGGAGGAUGGUUGGUGAUGAUGACAGUGACAAAUCCCCCUCUCCGGAGCCCCGAACGGACUCCAGAUCAGCCCUCCCGAGAGAGAUUAGGGCUUGGCGGCGGCUCUGUGUCGUAAAACACGAUGAAACUUUCUCUCUGAUUUUUUUCUCCCCGAACAUGAAUAUAUGGAGUUGGAGUUGAGGUCGGUGGAGGUCCAGGGGGCCCACAAGAUAGGGGGGCGCGCCCUAUAGGGGGGGGCGCCCCCUGUCUCGUGGACAGGGUGUGGGCCCCUUGGUGUAUUUCUUUCGCCCAGAAAUUCUUAUUAAUUCCAAAAAGUGCCUCCAUGGAUUUUUAGGACAUUCCGAGAACUUCUCUUUUCUACACAUAAAACAACAUCAUGGCAGUUCUGCUGAAAACAGCGUCAGUCUGGGUUAGUUUCAUUCAAACCAUGCAAAUUAGAGUCCAAAACAAGGGCAAAAGUGUUUGGAAAAGUAGAUACGUUGGAGACAUAUCAACUCCCCCAAGCUUAAACCUUUGCUUGUCCUCAAGCAAUUCAGUUGAUAAACUGAAAGUGAUAAAGAAAAACUUUUACAAACUCUGUUUGCUCUUGUUGUUGUAAACAUGAAAAGCCAGCAUUCAAGUUUCAGCAGAUAUUAUGAACUAACCAUACUCACAAUAAUACUUAGGUCUCACAAUUACUCAUAUCAAUAGCAUAAUCAGCUAGUGAGCCAUAAUAAUAAAACUCGGAUGAUAACACUUUCUCAAAACAAUUAUAACAUGAUAUAACAAAAUGGUAUCUCGCUAGCCCUUUCUAAGACCGCAAAACAUAAAUGCAGAGCACCUUUAAAGAUCAAGGACUGACUAAACAUUGUAAUUCAUGGUAAAAGAGAUCCAGUCAAGUCAUACCCAAUAUAAACCAAUAACAGUGUGCUCUCCAGCGGGUGCUUUUUAAUAAGAAGGAUGAUGACUCAACAUAAAAGUAAAUAGAUAGGCCCUUCGCAGAGGGAAGCAGGGAUUUGUAGAGGUGCCAGAGCUCGAUUUUAAAAUAGAGAUUGAAUAACAUUUUGAGCGGCAUACUUUCACUGUCAAUGCAACAACUAUGAGAUGGUUGUAUCUUCCAUAAUACAUGCAUUAUAGGCAGUUCCCAAACAGAAUGGUAAAGGUUUAUACUCGCCCAACCACCAACAAGCAUCAAUCCAUGGCUUGCUCGAAACAACGAGUGCCUCCAACUAAGAACAGCCCUGGGGGAGUUUUGUUUAAUUAUUUUGAUUUGCUUUGAUCUUUUUGGAUCAUGGGACUGGGCAUCCCGGUUACCGGCCCUUUCUCGUGAAUGAGGAGCGGAGUCCACUCCUCUUGAGAAUAACCCACCUAGCAUGGAAGAUAUAGGCAGCCCUAGUUGUAACAUGAGUUGCUCAAGCAUACAAAACAGAAUCUCAUUUGAAGGUUUGGAGUUUGGCACAUACAAAUUUACUUGGAACGGCAGGUAGAUACCGCAUAUAGGAAGGUAUAGUGGACUCAUAUGGAACAACUUUGGGGUUUAAGGAGUUUGGAUGCACAAGCAGAAUUCCCGCUUAGUACAGGUGAAGGCUAGCAAAAGAUUGGGAAGCGACCAAUUGAGAGAGCGACAACAGUCAUAACCAUGCAUUAAAAUUAAUUCACACCGAAUACAAGCAUGAGUAGGAUAUAAUCCACCAUGAACAUAAAUAUCAUGAAGGCCAUGUUGAUUUGAUUCAACUACAUGCGUGAACAUGUGCCAACUCGAGUCACUCAAUUCAUUCAAAGGAGGAUACCAUCUCAUCAUACCACAUCAUAAUCAUUCUAAUAGCAUGUUGGCACGCAAGGUAAACCAUUAUAACUCAUAGCUAAUCAAGCAUGGAACAAGCAACUAUAAUCCCUAAAUGUCAUUGCAAAUAUCUUUACUUCAUAAGAAGCUGAAUCAAAAAUGAUGAACUCAUCAUAUUUACAAAAACAAGAGAGGUUGAGUUCAUACCAGCUUUUCUCAUCUCAAUAAGUUAAUCAUAUGUCGUCAUUACUGCCUUUCACUUGCACGACCGAACGAUGUGUAUAAUAAUAAUAGUGCACGUGCAUUGGACUAAGCUGGAAUCUGCAAGCAUUCAACUCAAAAGAGAAGACAGGGUAUAUGGGAUCUAAGUUAAAUAAACAAUCAUGCAUAUGAGAGCCACUAGACAUUUUCAAUAUGGUCUUCUCGACCCCAAAGAAAAGAAAAGAAAAUAAAACUAUUUACACGGGAAAGCUCCCAACAAGUAAAAAGAAGAACGAGAAAUCUUUUUGGGUUUUCAUUUUAAUUCUACUACAAGCAUAAAAAUUAAACUAACUAUUUUUUUGUUUUUUCUUAAGGUUUAUCAAACACACAAGAAGAAAACUAGAAAAAGAAAUUUAAACUAACAUGGAUAGUACAAUGAAAGAGUAUGAGCACCGACAACUAGUGUGUGACAAGAAGAAAACUAGUAAAAGCUUGUGCUUGAUGAUUGUUCACUGCUUCCGGUGUGACAAGAUUUUUUUUUGCAAGCAAAUCAAACAACAGAGGCGCAGGCAAAAUAAUAAUCUCAAAGUGUUUCUUAUUAAAUUUACGUUUAUACAAGAGCAUCCUAUCUUCGUUGUCAACAAUAAACUUGUGUGCUACCAUGCUCUUGUAAUCUAAAAUGUGAGGAGGCAAAUUUUGUCUCCUCUUUCUCACGGUGCCUAAUGGGUAUCUGGAAAUGUUUAGCAAGAUGUGCAGCAUAGAUACCUCCAAAUAUGGGGCCUUUUGUACGAUUCAGGGCUAGCCGUUUAGCAACGACGACACCCAUACUAAAAGUAUUUUCUCCAAGCAAGGCAUGUUGAAGAAUGAUAAUAUCAGGAACGCUCAAGUUUCCACUAUUUCCACGACCAAUCAAGCAUCUACUAGCAAAUAUGGCAAAGUAGCGUAAAACAGGAAAGUGUAUGCUAGAGACUUUUGCCUCGGAACCCUUCUUUGGCUCCUCUACAGCUAUAGUUUUAACAAAGCCAUCCACAUCUUCACGAUGGGGUUCCUCUAAUUCUCCCUCAUAAGGUAUCCUACAUACCGCAUAAAAAUUACGUAAAGACAUUUCUUUGAAUUCAUCAUAUAAAUGAAAUUAUACUGCACGCGGUGACUUCUUAGGAUAAUAAUAAAAGUUUUGCACGAAAGUAUUGGUGAGUAAGAGAUACUGAUCGAUCUGGUCAUUGAUGAAACUGUUGAGGCCUGUAGUCUCGAUCAAAGAAUAAAAAUCUUCAUGAAUUCUAGCUUCUUUCAAGAAAUCCUCACAUGGCCAUUCACACGACCGCACUUCCGCUAAGCGAGGAAGAUUAUACUUGGCUUUUUCCUUCUCUUUGGCUUGUUUUUCCUGGGAGCUUUGGCUAGAAGAGCCCCUCAAAAGUUUCCUUAAAAUUUUCUGAAAAUUUCUGAAAUUUUUAGUAACUUCAAAAUAAAAGUGAAUAAAACUAAACAAGAUUGAUAGCAACUACUCCUACAAGUGCGUAGAGCCUAUAUCAUGCAUUAGAAUUUCUUAGGACCUCAUAAAUUUAACAUACAAGCUCAAGAACAUGGUCACCUAUGCAGCAAGAAUUUGCAAUGAAUAAAGCACUAGAACAAAAACUAAUUGGACCAAUGGAGGAGUCACAUACCAAGCAACAAUCUCCCAAAGCAGUUUUGUGAAUGGAGCUUUGAGCAAGGAGAUCGAAAAUUGCAGCAAAAUGAGCUAGAACUCGUGCUUGAGCUGGAUGGGGAUUUUUUUGGGUAGAAGAUGAAGUGUGUGGGUGCUGGCAUAAGUGGAGGGGGCCACCAGGGGCCCACGAGACAGGGGGGCGCGCCCAGGUAGGGGGGGCGCACCCUCCUCUCUCGUGGCCUAGUGCUUGCCCCUCCUGCAGUGUUUUCAGUGCCUAAAAUCCUCAAAUAUUCCAUAAAAAAUCAUACUAAAUUUGCAGGGCAUUUGGAGCACUUUUAUUUUGGGAUAUUUUUUAAUGCACAGAUAAUUCAGAAAACAGACGGAUAAUACUAUUUUUGCUUUAUUUAUUCUAAGUAACAGAAAGUAAAAAGUGCGGACAGAAGGUUGUGCCUUCUAGUUUCAUCCAUCUCAUGAUCAUCAAAAUGAAUCCACUAACAAGGUUGAUCAAGUCUUGUUAACAAACUCAUUCCGAAUAACAUGGAACCGGAGAAAUUUCGAAUAACACUAAGUUACCUCGACGGGGAUAUGAAAGUCCUCAACAAUAAGAAUAUCAUACUUUUUCUUGACAGUAGGGAUAGGAAAUUCAAAACCUCCAAUAAUAAUAGUUGGAACUUUUCCAAUAGAAUUGAUGCUAUGAACUUGAGAUUGUUUCCUCGGAAAUUGUACCGUAUGCUCAUUACCAUUAACAUGAAAAGUGACAUUGCCUUUGUUGCAAUCAAUAACAGCCCCUGCAGUAUUAAGAAAAGGUCUACCAAGGAUAAUAGACAUAUUAUCGUCCUCAGGAAUAUGAAGAAUAACAAAGUCUGUUAAGAUAGUGACAUUUGCAACCACAAACAUGCACAUCCUCACAAAUACCGACAUGUAUAGCAGUUGAUUUAUCAGCCAUUUGCAAAGAUAUCUCAGUAGGUGUCAACUUAUUCAAUUCAAGUCUACGAUAUAAAGAGAGAGGCAUAACACUAACACCGAUUCCGAGAUCACAUAAAGCGGUUCUAACAUAAUUUCUUUUAAUGGAGCAUCGUAUAGUUGGUACACCCGGAUCUCCAAGUUUCUUUGGUAUUCCACCCUUAAAAGUGUAAUUAGCAAGCAUGGUGGAAAUUUCAGCUUCCGGUAUCUUUCUUUUAUUUGUGAUGAUAUCCUUCAUAUACUUAGCAUAAGUAUUUACUUUCAGCAUAUCAGUUAAGCGCAUACGUAAGAAAAUAGGUCUAAUCAUUUCAGCAAAGCGCUCAAAAUCCUCAUCAUCCUUAGACUUGGAUGGUUUAGGAGGAAAGGGCAUGGAUUUCUGAACCCAUGGUUCUCUUUCUUUACCGUGCUUCCUAGCAACAAAAUCUCUCUUAUCAUAACGUUGAUUCUUUGAUUGUGGGUUAUCAAGAUCAACAGCAGGUUCAAUCUCUACAUCAUUGUUUUUGCUAGGUUGAGCAUUAACAUGAACAUUAUCAUUAACAUUAUCACUAGGUUCAUGUUCAUCACCUGAUUGUGUUUCAGCAUCAGAAAUAGAAAUAUCGUUGGGAUUCUCAGGUGUGUCUACAGUAGGUUCACUAGUGAUAUGUCUCCAACAUAUCUAUAAUUUUUGAUUGCUCCAUGCUACUUUAUCUACUGUUUUGGACUAUAUUGGGCUUUAUUUUCCACUUUUAUAUUACUUUUGGGACUAACCUACUAACCGGAGGCCCAGCCCAGAAUUGCUGUUAUUUGCCCUUUUCAGUAUUUCGAAGAAACAUAAUAUCAAACGGAGUUCAAACGGAAUGAAACCUUCGGGAUCGUGAUUUUCCAACCGAACGUGCCCGAGGAGGUCACAAUGGUGGAAGGCGGCCCCCCUGGGUGCGCCCCCUACCUCGUGGGCCCCUCGGAGCUCCACCGACGUACUCCUUCCUCCUAUAUAUACCUACGUAUCCCCGAACGAUCAGAACAGGAGCCAAAAACCUAAUUCCACCGCCGCAACCUUCUGUAUCCACGAGAUCCCAUCUUGGGGCCUGUUCUGGAGCUCCGCCGGAGGGGGCAUCCACCACGGAGGGCUUCUACAUCAACACCAUAGCCCCUCCGAUGAAGUGUGAGUAGUUUACUUCAGACCUUUGGGUCCAUAGCAAGUAGCUAGAUGGCUUAUUCUCUCUUUUUGGAUCUCAAUACAAUGUUCUCCCCCUCUCUCGUGGAGAUCUAUUCGAUGUAAUCUUCUUUUUGCGGUGUGUUUGUUGAGACCGAUGAAUUGUGGGUUUAUGAUCCAGUAUUAUCUAUGGAAAAUAUUUGAUUCUUCUCUGAAUUCUUUUAUGUAUGAUUGAGUUAUCUUUGCAAGUCUCUUUGAAUUAUCCUUUUUGGUUUGGCCAACUAGAUUGGUAGUUCUUGCAAUGGGAGAAGUACUUAGCUUUGGGUUCAAUCUUGCGGUGUCCUUACCCAGUGACAGAAGGGGCAGCAAGGCACGUAUUGUAUUGUUGCCAUCGAGGAUAACAAGAUGGGGUUUUUAUCAUAUGGCAUGAAUUUAUCCCUCUACAUCAUUUCAUAUUGCUUACGGUGUUACUUUGUUUUUACUUAAUACUCUAGAUGCAUGUUGGAUAGCGAUCGAUGAGUGGAGUAAUAUUAGUAGAUGCAAAAUUGUUUCGAUCUACUUGUUUUGGACGUGAUGCCUAUAUACAUGAUCAUUGCCUAGAUAUACUCAUAACUAUGCUCAAUUCUGUCAAUUGCUGAACAGUAAUUUGUUCACCCACCGUAGAAUACUUAUGCUCUUGAGAGAAGCCACUAGUGAAACCUAUGGCCCCCGGGUCUAUUCUCAUCAUAUCAAUCUCUAUCACUUUAUUUACUUUCUUUGUUUUUACUUUGCCUUUACUUUUCACUUUGCAUCUAUCUAUAAAAAAAUACCAAAAAUAUUAUCUCUAUCAGAUCUCACUCUCGUAAGUGACCGUGAAGGGAUUGACAACCCUAAGCGUUGGUUGUGAGUUGCUAUCGUUUUGUGUAGGUACAAGGGACUUGUCCGUGGUCUCCUACUGGAUUGAUACCUUGGUUCUCCAAAACUGAGGGAAAUACUUACGCUACUUUGCUACAUCAUCCUCUCCUCUUCGGGGAAAUCCAACGCAGUGCUCAAGAGGUAGCAAGAAGAAUUUCUGGCGCCGUUGCCGGGGAGGCUCACGCAAGCAAGUCAACUAUACCAAGUACCCAUCGCAAUCCCUAUCUCUUGCAUUACAUUAUUUGCCAUUUGCCUCUCGUUUUCCUCUCCCCCACUUCAGCCUUGCUGUUUUAUUUGCCCUCUCUUUCCCAAUCUCCUCCUCUAUUUCCCUUUUGCCUUUUUCCCUUUGCCUUUCUGUUUGCUUGUGUGUUGGAUUACUUGUUGCCAUGGCGCAAGAUAAUACCAAAUUGUGUGAUUUCUCGAAUACCAAUAAUAAUGAUUUCCUUAGUACUCCGAUUGCUCCUCUUAAUAAUGAUGAGUCUUGUGAAAUAAAUACCGCUUUGUUGAAUCUUGUUAUGAAAGACCAAUUCGCCGACCUUCCUAGUGAAGAUGCCUCUACUCAUCUAAACAAUUUUGUUGAUUUGUGUGAUAUGCAAAAGAAGAAAGAUACGGAUAACAAUAUUGUCAAAUUGAAGUUAUUUCUGUUUUCACUUAGAGAUCAUGCUAAAGUUUGGUUUUCAUCUUUGCCUAAAAAUAGUAUUGAUUCUUGGAACAAGUGCAAAGAUGCUUUUAUCUCUACGUAUUUUCCUCCUGCUAAGAUUAUCACUCUUAGGAACGAUAUUAUGAAUUUUAAACAACUUGAUCAUGAGCAUGUUGCCCAAUCUUGGGAAAGAAUGAAAUUAAUGCUUCGCAAUUGCCCUACUCAUGGUUUGAAUUUAUGGAUGAUCACACAAAUUUUUUAUGCCGGAUUGAAUUUUGCUUCUAGAAAUCUUUUAGAUUCGGCCGCGGGAGGCACUUUUAUGGAAAUUACAUUAGGGGAUGCUACCAAAUUGCUUGAUAAUAUUAUGGCUAAUUAUUCUCAAUGGCGCACCGGAAGAUCUUCUAGUAAGAAAGUGCAUGCUAUAGAAGAAAUCAAUGUUUUGAUUGAAAAGAUGGAUGAACUUAUGAAGAUGUUUGCUCCUAAAAAUACUCAUCUUGAUCCCAAUGAUAUGCCUUUAUCUACUUUUCUUGAGAAUAAUAAUGAAUCUAUGGAUGUGAAUUUUGUUGGUAGGAAUAGUUUUGGAAACAACACUUAUAGAUGGAAUUUUAAUCCUAGGCCUUAUCCUAGUAAUCCUUCUAAUAAUUAUGGAAAUUCCUACAAUAACUCUUAUGGAAAUUUUAAUAAGAUGCCCUCUGAAUUUGAGAGUAGUGUUAAAGAGUUUAUGAAUUCACAAAAGAAUUUUAAUGCUUUGCUUGAAGAGAAAUUGCUUAAAGUUGAUGAUUUGGCUAGGAACGUUGAUAGAAUUUCUCUUGAAAUUGAUUCCUUAAAGCUUAGAUCUAUUCCUCCUAAGCAUGAUAUCAAUGAGUCUCUCAAAGACGUGAGAAUUUCCAUUGAUGAGUGCAAGGAAAGAACCGCUAGGAUGCGUGCUUCCAAAGAUGCCUUUAUUAAAGCGUGUUCUUCCAAUUCCUAUGAAAAUCAAGAUGAAGAUAUAAAAGUUAUUGAUGUGCCCCCCAUUAAAUCUUUGUUUUGCAAUAUGAAUCUUGAUGAAUCUGAAUAUUAUCUUCCUUUACCUAGAAGGCGUUCUAAGAAUUCGGAAUUUCUAGAUCUUGAUGAUGAAAUUGAUGAAAGUGGGAUUGAAAUAAAUAAAAACCGUGAUGUUGCUAAACCCACUAUUUUGGAUCUCAAGGAAUUUAAUUAUGAAAAUUGCUCUUUGAUUGGUUAUAUUUCCUUGUUGCAAUCCGUACUAGAUUCUCCUCAUGCUUAAGUCAAAAUAAAGCCUUUACCGAACAUAUUGUUGAUGCUUUGAUGCAAUCUUAUGAAGAAAAACUUGAGUUGAAAGUUUCUAUCCCUAGAAAACUCUAUGAUGAGUGGGAACCUACUAUUAAAAUUAAAAAUAAAAAUUUUGAGUUUCAUGUUUUGUGUGAUUUGGGUGCUAGUGUCUCUACUAUUCCCAAAACUUUAUGUGAUUUGCUAGAUUUCCGUGAUUUUGAUGAUUGCUCUCUAAACUUGCACCUUGCGGAUUCACUAUUAAAAAACCUAUGGGAAGAAUUAAUGAUGUUCUUAUUGUUGCAAAUAGGAAUUAUGUGCCUGUAGAUUUUAUCGUUUUUGAUAUAGAUUGCAAUCCUUCAUGUCCUAUUAUUCUUGGUAGACCUUUCCUUAGAACGAUUGGUGCAAUUAUUGAUAUGAAGAAAGGGAAUAUUAGAUUCCAAUUUCCCUUAAAGAAGGGUAUGGAACACUUCCCUAGAAAUAAAAUAAAAUUACCAUAUGAAUCUAUCAUGAGAGCCACUUAUGGAUUGCCUACCAAAGAUGGCAAUACCUAGAUCUAUCCUUGCUUUUAUGCCUAGCUAGGGGCGUUAAAUGAUAGCGCUUGUUGGGAGGCAACCCAAUUUUUUUUGUGUUUUUUGUUUUUGCUUCUUUUUAGGAAUAAAUAAUCCAUCUACCUUCUGUUCGGAUGUGGUUUUAUGUUUUAAUUAGUGUUUGUGCCAAGUAGGACCUAUAGGCCUACGAUGAUAGUUGAUUUGAUUCUGCUGAAAAACAGAAACUUUGCAUGCACGAAUUUAGUUAUGAUAAAUCACAGAAACGUGAUUUUGCGUUGAUUCUUUUUGAUGCUGAUCAAUAAACAAAUUGUACAGGACUUACUAUUUUGGUAGAAUUUUUAGAGUUCCAGAAGUUUACGUUAGUUACAGAUUGCUACAGACUGUUCUGUUUUUGACAGAUUCUGUUUUUCGUGUGGUGUUUGCUUAUUUUGAUAAAUCUAUGGCUAGUAAAUAAGUUUAUAAACCAUAAAGAAGUUGGAAUAAAGUAUAGUAUUAACACCAAUACAAAUAAAGAAUGAGUUCAUUACAGUACCUUGAAGUAGUCUUUUGUUUUCUUUCUCUAACAGAGCUCACGAGAUUUCUGUUGAGUUUUGUGUUGUGAAGUUUUCAAGUUUUGGGUGAAUUCUUUUGAUGGAUUAUGGAACAAGGAGUGGCAAGAGCCUAAGCUUCGGGAUGCCCAUGGCACCCCCAAGAUAAUCCAAGGACAUCAAAAAGUCAAAGCUUGGGGAUGCCCCGGAAGGCAUCUCCUCUUUCGUCCACUUCCAUCGGUAAUUUACUUGGAGCUAUAUUUUUAUUCACCAACAUGAUAUGUGUUUUGCUUGGAGCAUCUUGUAUUAUUUGUGUCUUUGCUUGUUAGUCUACCACAAUCAUCCUUUCUGUACACAUCUUUUGAGAGAGCCAUACAUGAAUUGGAAUUUGUUAAAAUACUCUAUGUGCUUCACUUAUAUCUUUUGAGCUUGAUAGUUUUGCUCAUAGUGCUUCACUUAUAUCUUUUGAGCGUGAUAAUUUUUGCUCUAGUACUUCACUUAGAUCUUUUAGAGCACGGUGGUGGAUUUGUUUUAAAGAAACUAUUGAUCUCUCAUGCUUCACUUAGAUUAUUUUGAGAGUCGUUAAUAGCAUGGUAAUUUGCUUAAUGUUAAUAUACUUGGUGUUCAAGAUAUGUGAAACUUUCUUUUGAGUGCAUUGAAUACUAAGAUAAGUUUGAUGCUUGAUAAUAGUUUUGAGAUAUGGAGGUGAUAAUAUCAAAGUCGUGCUAGUUGGGCGAUUAUGAAUUUGAGAAAUACUUGUGUUGAAGUUUGCACGUCCCGUAGCAUGCAUGUAUGGUUAAAGUUGUGUAACAAAUUUGAAACAUGAAGUGUACCUGGCUUGUGCAUCCUUAUGAGUGGCGGUCAGGGACGAGCGAUGGUCUUUUCCUACCAAUCUAUCCCCCUAGGAGCAUGCGCGUAGUAACUGAAUUUUUGAUGACUUCUAAAUUUUUGCAAUAAGUAUAUGAGUUCUUUUGACUAAUGUUGAGUCCAUGGAUUAUACGCACUCUCACCUUUCCACCUUUGCUAGCCUCUUCGGUACGGUGCAUUGCCCUUUCUCACCUUGAGAGUUGGCGCAAAGUUCGCCAGUGCAUCCAAACCCCGUGAUACGAUAUACUCUAUCACACAUAAACCUCCUUAUAUCUUCCUCAAAACAGCCACCAUACCUACCUAUCAUGGCAUUUCCAUAGCCAUUCCGAGAUAUAUUGCCUUGCAACUUCCACCAUCAUCAUCAUGACAUACAUUACUUUUGUCAUAUUGCCAUUGCAUGAUCUUGUAGUUUACAUCGUAUUUGUGGCAAAGCCACCAUGCAUUAUUUUCCAUACAUGUCACUCUUGAUUCACUGCACCAUCCCGGUACACCGCCGGAGGCAUUCAUAUAGAGUCAUAUCUUGUUCUAAGUUUCGAGUUGUAAUCUUUGUGUUGUAAUCAAUAGAAGUGUGAUGAUCAUCAUUAUUAGAGCAUUGCCCAAAUAAAUAAAUAAAGAGAAAGGCCAAAAAAAGAAAGGCACAAAAAAAGAAAAUAAGAAAAUAAUAAUAAAAAAAGGGGCAAUGCUACUAUCUCUUUUCCCACACUUGUGCUUCAGAGUAGCACCUUGUUCUUCAUGUAGUGAGUCUCAUAUAUUGUGCUUUAAAGUAGCACCUUGUUCCUCAUGUAGUGAGUCUCAUAAGUUGUCUUUUUAUACCAGUGGGAAUUUUUCAUUAUAGAACUUGGCUUGUAUAUUCCUAUGAUGGGCUUCCUCAAAUGCCCUAGGUCUUUGUGAGCAAGCGAGUUGGAUGCACACCCACUAGUUUUCUUUUGUUGAGCAUUCAUAGCUCUAGUGCAUCCGUUGCAUGGCAAUUCCUACUCCUCAUGUUGACAUCAAUUGAUGGGCAUCUCCAUAACCCGUUGAUUAGCCUCGUCAAUGUGAGACUUUCUCCUUUUUGUCUUCUCCACACAAUCCCCAUCAUCAUAUUCUAUUCCACCCAUAGUGUUAUAUCCAUGGCUCACGCUCAUGUAUUGUGUGAAGGUUGAAAAAGUUUGAGAUUAUUUAAGUAUGAAACAAUUGAUUGGCUUGUCAUCGGGGGUAUAGAAGUUGGGAACAUCUUUGAGUGACGAAAAUGAAGCAUAGCCUAACUAUAUGAUUUUGUAGGGAUGAACUUUCUUUUGCCAUGUUAUUUUGAGAAGACAUGAUUUCUUUGAUUAGUAUGCUUGAAGUAUUAUUAUUUUUGUGUCAAUAUGAAAUUUUGUCUUGAGUCUUUCGUAUCUGAAUAUUCAUAUCACAAUUAAGAAGAUUUACAUUGAAAUUAUGCCAAAGUAUCACUCCGCAUCAAAAUUCUUUUUUAUCAUUUACCUACUCGAGGACGAGCAUCAAUUAAGCUUGGGGAUGCCUGAUACGUCUCCAACGUAUCUAUAAUUUUUGAGUGCUCCAUGCUACUUUAUCUACUAUUUUGGACUAUAUUGGGCUUUAUUUUCCACUUGUAUAUUAAUUUUGGGACUAACCUACUAACCGGAGGCCCAGCCCAGAAUUGUUGUUUUUUGCCUUUUUCAGUAUUUCGAAGAAACAGAAUAUCAAACGGAGUCCAGACGGAAUGAAACCUUCGGGAUCGUGAUUUUCCAACCGAACGUGAUCCAGGAGACUUGGACCCUACUCCAAGCAGUGCCCGAGGAGGUCACGAGGGUGGAGGGCGCCCCCUGGGCGCGCCCCCCUUCCUCGUGGGCCCCUCGGAGCUCCACCGACGUACUCCUUCCUCCUAUAUAUACCUACGUAUCCCUGAACGAUCAGAACAGGAGCCAAAAACCUAAUUCCACCGUCACAACCUUCUGUAUCCACGAGAUCCCAUCUUGGGGCCUGUUCCGGAGCUUCGCCGGAGGGGGCAUCCACCACGGAGGGCUUCUACAUCAACACCAUAGCCCCUCCGAUGAAGUGUGAGUAGUUUACUUCAGACCUUCGGGUCCAUAGCUAGUAGCUAGAUGGCUUCUUCUCUCUUUUUGGAUCUCAAUACAAUGUUCUCCCCCUCUCUCGUGGAGAUCUAUUCGAUGUAAUCUUGUUUUUGCGGUGUGUUUGUUGAGACCGAUUGUGGGUUUAUGAUCCAGUAUUAUAUAUGGAAAAUAUUUGAUUCUUCUCUGAAUUCUUUUAUGUAUGAUUGAGUUAUCUUUGCAAGUCUCUUUGAAUUAUCCUUUUUGGUUUGGCCAACUAGAUUGGUAGUUCUUGCAAUGGGAGAAGUGCUUAGCUUUGGGUUCAAUCUUGCGGUGUCCUUACCCAGUGACAGAAGGGGCAGCAAGGCACAUAUUGUAUUGUUGCCAUCGAGGAUAACAAGAUGGGGUUUUUAUCAUAUUGCAUGAAUUUAUCCCUCUACAUCAUGUCAUCUUGCUUACGGUGUUACUCUGUUUUUACUUAAUACUCUGGAUGCAUGCUGGAUAGCGGUCGAUGAGUGGAGUAAUAGUAGUAGAUGCAGAAUCGUUUCGAUCUACUUGUUUUGUACGUGAUGCCUAUAUACAUGAUCAUUGCCUAGAUAUACUCAUAACUAUGUUCAAUUCUGUCAAUUGCUCAACAGUAAUUUGUUCACCCACCGUAGAAUACUUAUGCUCUUGAGAGAAUCCACUAGUGAAACCUAUGGCCCCCGGGUCUAUUCUCAUCAUAUCAAUCUCUAUCACUUUAUUUACUUGCUUUGUUUUUACUUUGCCUUUACUUUUUACUUUGCAUCUAUCUAUCAAAAAUACCAAAAAUAUUAUCUCUAUUAGAUCUCACUCUCGUAAGUGACCGUGAAGGGAUUGACAACCCCUAAGCGUUGGUUGCGAGUUGCUAUCAUUUUGUGUAGGUAUGAGGGACUUGUGCGUGGUUUCCUACUGGAUUGAUACCUUGGUUCUCAAAAACUGAGGGAAAUACUUAUGCUACUUUGCUGCAUCAUCCUUUCCUCUUCGGGGAAAUCCAACGCAGUGCUCAAGAAGUAGCAACUAGAAGCAUGCAAAGUCCUAUCGUUUUUCUUCUUCUUCUUUUUAGAAGAACUAGGUGCCUCUAAAUUAUUUCUCUGAGAAUCUUUCUUGAUUCUCUUAGGGUGGCCUUCAGGAUACAAAGGUUCCUGAGUCAUUCUACCAGUUCUAGUAGCCACUCUAACAGCAAAGUCAUUUUUAUUAUUUAAUUCAUCAAGAAAAUCAUUUUGAGCUGUAAGUACUUGCUCCGCUUGAGUUGCAACCAUAGACGCGUAUUUGCUAAUGAGCUUGAGUUCACCUUUAACUCUAGCCAUAUUAUCGCUCACGCGUCCUAUCUCAAAAGCAUUAUUCUUUAACUCUCUACCAACAUAAGCAUUAAAACUUUCUUGUCUAGCCAUAAAGUCAUCAAAUUCAUCUAAGCAUGGGCUAUGGAAUUUAGUAGAGGGAAUUUCAACUUUAUCAUAUCUAUAAAGAGAAUUUACCUUUACAACCUGUGUCGGGUUAUCAAGACAAUGUGGUUCUUCCACAGGCGGUAUAUUAAGACCAUGUAUUUCUUUAAUAGGAGGUAAAUUCUUAACAUCUUCAGCUUUAAUACCUUUUUCUUUCAUUGAUUUCUUUGCCUCUUGCAUAUCCUCAGGACUGAGAAAUAAAAAACCUCUCUUCUUCGGAGUGGGUUUAGGAAUAGGCUCAGGAGUUGGCUCAAUUGGUUCAGGAAUUACUUUAGGAAUUGGCUCAAGAAGAGUCCAAUUAUUUUCAUUAGUCAACAUAUUAUUCAAUAGUAUUUCAGCUUCAUCGACUGUUCUUUCCUUGAAAACACAACCAACACAACUAUCCAAGUAGUCCUUGGAAGCAUCAGUUAGUCCAUUAUAAAAGAUAUCAAGUAUUUCAUUUUCUUGAGAGGAUGAUCAGGCAAAGCAUUAAGUAACCGGAGAAACCUCCCCCAAGCUUGUGGGAGACUCUCUUCUUUGAUUUGCACAAUGUUAUAUAUUUCCCGCAAGGCAGUUUGUUUCUUAUGAGCAGGGAAAUAUUUAGCAGAGAAGUAAUAAAUCAUAUCCUGGGGACUACGCACACAAACAGGAGCAAGAGAAUUAUACCAAGUCUUAGCAUCACCCUUUAAUGAGAAUGGAAAUAUCUUAAGGAUAUAAAAAUAGCGAGACUUCUCAUCAUUAGUAAAUAGGGUGGCUAUAUCAUUCAACUUGGUAAGAUGUGCCACAACAGUUUCAGAUUCAAGGCCAUAAAAAGGAUCAGAUUCAACUGAAGUAAUAAUUUCAGGAUCAACAGAGAAUUCAUAAUCCUUAUCAGUAGCACAGAUAGGUGAAGUAGCAAAAGCAGGGUCAGGUUUCAUUGUAGCAUUAAGAGACUGUUGCUUCCAUUUAGCUAAUAAUUUCUUAAGAUCGUAUCUACCAUUGCAAGCAAAGAUUUCCCUAGCAGCUUCUUCAUUCAUAACAUAACCCUCAGGAACAACAGGCAAUACAUAAUCAUUGGGAGAACCUUCGUCAUCACUAUCAUCAAUAAUAGCAUCUUCAAUAAUUUCAUUCCCCCUAACUCUAGCAAGUUGUUCAUCAAGAAAUUCACCUAAUGGCAAAGUAGUAUCACGCAUAGAAGUAGUUUCAUCAUGCAUAGCAGAAGUGGCAUCAUCAAUAACAUGCGACGUAAUAGAAUUCAUAGCAGUAGCAGGUUUAGGUGUCGCAAGUUUACUAAUAACAGAAGGAGAAUCUAGUGUAGAGCUAGAUGGCAGUUCCUUACCUCCCCUCGUAGUUGAGGGAUAGAUCGUAGUUCUGUCGUCUUUCAAGUUCUUCAUAGUGAUCAACAGAUAUAAAUCCCAAGUGACUCAGAGAAUAGAGCUAUGCUCCCCAACAACGACGCCAGAAAUUAGUCUUGAUCACCCACAAGUGUAGGGAAUCGCAACAGCUUUCGAGGGUAUAGUAUUCAACCCAAAUUUAUUGAUUCGACACAAGGGGAGCCAAAGAAUAUUCUUGAGUAUUAGCAGUUGAGUUGUCAAUUCAAACACACAUGGAUAACUUAGUAUCUUCAGCAAAGUAUUUAGUAGCAAAAGUGGUAUGAUAAUAAAGGUAACGGUGGCAAAAGUAAAGACAAUUGUUUUGGGGUUUUUGUAGUAGUUGUAACAGUAGCAACGGAAAAGUAAAUAAGCGAAGAACAAUAUAUGAAAAGCUCGUAGGCAAUGGAUCAGUGAUGGAUAAUUAUGCCGGAUGCGAUUCCUCAUGUAAUAGUUAUAACAUAGGGUGACACAGAACUAGCUCAGUUCAUCAAUGUAAUGUAGGCACGUAUUCCGUAAAUAGUCAUACGUGCUUAUGGAAAAGAACUUGCAUGACAUCUUUUGUCCUACCCUCCCGUGGCAGCAGGGUCCUAGCGGAAACUAAGGGAUAUUAAGGCCUCCUUUUAAUAGAGAACCGGAACAAAGCAUUAGCACAUAGUGAAUACAUGAACUCCUCAACUACGGUCAUCACCGAGAAGUAUCCCGAUUAUUGUCAUUUCGGGGUUGUCGGGUCAUAACACAUAAUAGGUGACUAUAGACUUGCAGGAUAGGAUCAAGAACACACAUAUAUUCAUGAAAACAUAAUAGGUUCAGAUCUGAAAUCAUGGCACUCGGGCCCUAGUGACAAGCAUUAAGCAUAGCAAAGUCAUAGCAACAUCAAUCUUAGAACACAGUGGAUACUAGGGAUCAAACCCUAACAAAACUAACUUGAUUACAUGGUAAAUCUCAUCCAACCCAUCACUGUCCAGCAAGCCUACGACGGAAUUACUCACGCACGGCGGUGAGCAUCAUGAAAUUGGUGAUGGAGGAUGGUUGAUGAUGAUGACGGCGACGAAUCCCCCUCUCCGGAGCCCUGAACGGACUCCAGAUCAGCCCUCCCGAGAGAGAUUAGGGCUUGGCGGUGGCUCCGUGUCGUAAAACGUGAUGAAACUUUCUCUCUGAUUUUUUUCUCCCCGAACGUGAAUAUAUGGAGGUGGAGUUGAGGUCGGUGGAGGUCUAGGGGGCCCACGAGAUAGGGGGGCGCGUCCUAUAGGGGGGGCCCCACCUGUCUCGUGGACAGGGUGUGGGCCCCCUGGUGUAUUUCUUUCACCUAGAAAUUCUUAUUAAUUCCAAAAAGUGCCUCCGUGGAUUUUCAGGACAUUCCGAGAACUUUUCUUUUCUACACAUAAAAUAGCAUCAUGGCAGUUCUGCUGAAAACAGCGUCAGUUCGGGUUAGUUUCAUUCAAAUCAUGCAAAUUAGAGUCCAAAACAAGGGCAAAAGUGUUUGGAAAAGUAGAUACGUUGGAGACGUAUCAAGUAGUCAACUCAUUCACUAGUGGUGGUUGGUUGGAUUGAAAACAGUCAAGGUAUUUGAGCGUACUCAUUUAUGCUAACUAACUAAGCUCUAGCUUUAUAUGCAUAUGAUCCAAUCGUUUGUAUAGACUAACCAUCUAUAUCUAUUUAUAUCUUAUAUCUAAUAAUAAAAUGGGAAGAUAUCAUAGUUCUUCAUACGUCAUUUUUUAUAUUCGUUAAUUAAACAUAAAGAUUGACAAUGAGAUCUACAUAAAAUUAAAAAAUUAAAAAAUUAAAAGUACAUCUAUGCAAUGAAUCAGAUCAAAAUAAGAAGGGUUCAACUAUGUCACAGCUAGAUGUGAGAUAAUAUCUCACAUAUAACAAUGUCACUUACCGAAAAAGGCUUUCGCCCCCCUUUAUAUAUAAAGCAAUGAUCAACCACAACUCAAGUACAAAUGCACCCCACGACAACACACAUACACCAAAGGAGGGAUACAUACGCGCUGAGCGCAACAACACCACCCUUAACACUACAAGAGCAAUCGGGGUCCUCCACCAUGAAAACGCCACCGCAAAGAAAUGAAGCCGCAUAUGACGAACCGUGUGCUCCAAGGCGGUGCCUUCAAAAAGGUUACGACGCUAACGCGCCGCCACCGCCCGACCCGAGGAUCAGAGUUUCCCCUAGAGCAACACGACGACCGAUGAGAGCCGCGACGAUGCCUUCAACAAGGGAACGCGCUACGCCGCCGCCGGUCCGUACAAACAUGGAACAUGUUUUCACCCCGGCCAACACUCACCGCUACCGGACGCCACACCCCAGCCACCAUGCCACCCACACGGCCAUGGUCACCGGGCAGCACCAUGCCACGGGCUCUGCCCAUGAGCACCGCGCUACCACCACCAAGGCCGUUGACCCGGCAUCCAAGACCUUGACACCAUCUCACCCGAGACCCGUCGCUACCCCAACCAAAGAGACGAGUGGAAAGGCCUCUCCUUUCACACCCCUAGGCAGCCCCCAACACCGAGACCCGAUCGGCCGGCCAAAAUUGGCCUCCGGCGACCCGUCCUGCUGCACCGGACGUGAGACGAGCUCGACUCUGCAGCCGGGCGCGAGAUGAGCUCGGUUUGCUACCGGGCGCGAGACGAGCUCGGUCCUGUUGCCGGGCACGAGACGAGCUUGGGCCCGCUGUCGGGCGUGAGACGAGCUCAAACCCACAACACCGGGCAUGAGACGAGCACUGGACUGCAGCUGGGAGAAGGCCAGCCCUUCAAUGAGGGUAGAGCCCGGACGACGCGGAGAGGGGUCGAAGCCGAAACAGGCCACACACCGAUGGACCGACGCCGGAGAUGUCGAACUGCCACCGUGAGCCAACCCAAACCACUGUUAUGAGCCACCACCACGUCGUGGCAGCCCAAAUCCACGCCGGGACCCCGAGGGGAGCCCCGAACUGCCCUGCAGCAGCAGAGGCGCGCCACCGAAGCCGUAGCCCGCCCCAUACCACCACACUCCACCCACCGAGCCGCUCCCACCGCCAACCAAUAGCAGGAGGAGGCCCAUCGGCCUCGUCGGAGCACCACCCAGCCAAGGCCGUGUGCCCUCCGGCCCAAGCUGUUGCAGCCCGAGCUGGCCUACAAGGGGAUCUGGGCCGUCGGCGACACCACCCGCAGCAGAGCCGUCCCCGCCAACUCCACCUCGCUAGCCGCCCAACCACCAUGCAGCGGCCGCGGCUCCGCCGGCACAGCCGCCCAGAUCGCCGCCGCGCCGCCCCGUGCGAGCGACGCGUCCCUACUAAGUUGUUGCGCCCGCGCCGCGAGCAAUAGGGGAGGGAGGCCAGAGGACCCCGCCGGCGCCGGCGCCGACCGGGCUUCGCUCGGAGGUGCCCUCCGGCGGCGGCGAGGAGGAGAGGAGGUGAGGAGGAGGAGGAGCGGUUCGGCGGCGGCUAGGGUUCACCCUGCCACCCGCGGGAGCGGCUCGGGUGAGGAGGUAUGAGCGGCUCUGGGUUUCUCCGCGUGUAUCCGUGUGUAUCGUAUAUUGAGAAAAUGUUCCACAAUGUCACUUAUAAGUUGAUAUCAGCGCCAUCUCAUUUAAUCAUUAUUUUUUUGAACUUUUUGUUUGUUUUGUUUGUUUGAUUAUUUGUCAAAGCACAAAACAAACUUGAUUAUUUGUCAAAGCACAAAAGAAAAGAGUCAGCCUGCCCGCUCAUCCGCUGGGUUGCCUGGCCGGCCUAUACAUCAAGCAACUACUUUAGUUUUGUUGGUAUGGCACAUCUGAUUGCUAGCUUUUCAUAUAAAGAAAAUCUGAUUGCUAGCUUUGAACAGUACUACCAUGGAUUUGUUCGUUCUUGCGCUGACCACUAUCUUCUUACGGCCGAAGGGGUACGUGAAGGUCUGGCAAUACAAAAGGCAAUCUAGGUCUUGCGGUCGCUGCCGGCCGCCACUUCGGUGGCGGCAUCGCAGCUGCCCAGUCCGACCCCUCCGCUGUGCGGCAGGUGGAUCGUCAUCAUCUCCAACUAUCUGCUCGUCAGUUCGGCUGUUUUUUCUCCGACUCCUCCAUGAACGUUGCUUCAUGACCAGGGUGUCGUCUUGCUUUCCUAGUCGGCUUGCUCCACCAGGCUGUCUAGUAUUAUUCUGGUCCAUGGAUCACCAUAGCCUUGUGCUGGUGUGUGGUCUGCUGAUCCCAGUACGGCAGUGGAUGGAGUAACACAACAAUCGGUGACCUCCCUCGAGGAGGAUAGCUGGGCACAAUGAAGACCCUAAGCUGGAACUGCCGUAGCAUGGCCAGUGCCGCGGCAGAAAGGGCUCUUCUGGAUAUUCAGAAGCAUCGGGGGCUGGAUGUCGUCUUCUUGUCCUAGACGCAUCUGAAUACAGUUAGGGCAAACAAGCUUAUGAGAAAGUUGAAGAUGGAUCAGGUGGAGGUAGUGGAAAGCGUGGGUGGUAGCGGUGGACUGCUCCUAUUUUGGCAUAAUCUCGUGGUGAUCCACAUAAAUGAUAAGACAAAAAAUUUCAUUGAUGCAAUGGUGGGAGGGCCAUCGAAAGAGCAAUGGAGACUCACAGGUUUUUACGGUGAGCCUAAAUGGGAAGAUAAACACUUGUCAUGGGGAUACUUAUGUGGUUUGCAUCAACAGAACCAAGUUCCAUGGGUUGUUAUGGGAGAUUUCAAUGAGAUUUUAUGCUCGCAUGAGAAGGAGAGGGGUGUUAUACGUAUCCGUCGUAUCUAUAAUAUUUGAUUGUUCCAUGCCAAUAUUAUUCAACUUUAAUAUACUUUUGGCAACUUUUUAUACUAUUUUUUGGGACUAACAUAUUGAUCGAGUGCCCAGUGCCAGUUCCUGUCUGUUGCAUGAUUUUUGUUUCGCAGAAACCCAAUAUCAAACGGAGUCCAAACGGGAUAAAAACGGACAGACAUUUUUUUGAAUAUUUAUGAUUUUUGGGAAGUAAAAACAACGCGAAACGGUGUUCGGGGUGGCCACAAGACAGGGGGGCGCGCCCUCCCCCCUGGGUGCGCCCUGGACUCUCGUGGGCCACCCGUAAGGAGGUUGACGCUCUUCUUUUGCUGCAAGAACGCUAAUUUUAUGAGAAAAUUCUGGGCGAAAGAUUCACCCCAAUCGGAGUUACGGAUCUCCGGAUAUUUAAGAAACGGGAAGGGGUAGAAUCUGAGAACGCAGAAACAGAGAGAUAGAUCCAAUCUUGGAGGGGCUCUUUCCCCUCCCACGCCAUGGGAGCCAAGGACCAGAGGGGAAACCCUUCUCCCAUCUAGGGAGAAGGUCAAGGAACAAGAAGAAGAAGGGGGGCUCUCUCCCCCUUGCUUCCGGUGGCGCCGGAACGUCGCCGGGGGCCAUCACCAUCACUGCGAUCUUCACCAACACCGCUGUCAUCUUCACCAACAUCUCCAUCACCUUCCCCCAUCUAUAUCCAGCAGUCCAUUCUCCCGCAACCCACUGUACCCUCUACUUGAACAUGGUGCUUUAUGCUUCAUAUUAUUUUCCAAUGAUGUGUUGCCAUCCUAUGAUGUCUAAGUAGAUUUUCGUUGUCCUAUCGGUGAUUGAUGAAUUUCUAUGAUUGGUUUUAAUUGCAUGUUUUAUUAUUGGUGCUGUCCUAUGGUGCCCUGUGUGUCGCGCAAGCGUGAGGGAUUCCCGCUGUAGGGUGUUGCAAUGCGUUUAUGAUUCGCUUAUAGUGGGUUGCGUGAGUGACUGAAACACAAACCCGAGUAAGGGGAUUGUUGCGUAUGGGAUAAAGGGGACUUGAUACUUUAAUGCUAUGGUUGGGUUUUACCUUCAUGAAUCUUUAGUAUUUGCGGAUUCUUGCUAGAGUUCCAAUCAUAAGUGCAUAUGAUCCAAGUAGAGAAAGUAUGUUAGCUUAUGCCUCUCCCUCAAAUAGAAUUGCAAUAGUGAUUACCGGUCUAGUAACAUAGUCAAUUUCUUAGGGACAAUUUCACAACUCCUACCACCACUUUUCCACACUCGCUAUAUUUACUUUAUUGCAUCUUUAUCUAAACAGCCCCUAGUUUAUAUUUACGUGCUCUUUAUUAUCUUGCAAACCUAUCCUAUCACACCUACAAAGUACUUCUAGUUUCAUACUUGUUCCAGGUCAAGGGAACGUCAAGCGUACGUAGAGUUGUAUCGGUGGUCGAUAGAACUUGAGGGAAUAUUUAUUCUACCUUUAGGUCCUCGUUGGGUUCGACACUCUUACUUAUCGAAAAUUGUUGCGAUCCCCUACACUUGUGGGUUAUCAAGACCUUUUUCUGGCGCCAUUGCCGGGGAGUCACAGCGUGGGGUGAAUAUUCUUGUGUGUGCUUGUUUUCUUUAUCACUAAGUAAUUUUUAUUUGCUGUUCUUAGUUGUUCUUUAUCAUUAGUUAUGGAUAUGGAACACGAAAUACCAAAAAUACUAGGUGUACUUGCUACUCAUAGAGAUGGAGUAACUCCUAAAACCCUCGAUUCUCAUUAUGUGAAAGAUAUUAUGUACUACUUUGAUAAUCCUGAGAAAACCCCAUUCAACUUUAUAAUGGGAGAUACGUUGGAUCAACCUGAAUACUUUAGGGAUUAUCGCUUUACACAAAAAGGGAAACUAUUAUGGAAUCAAAUUAAUAUGUUGCGUUGGUAUGCUCGGGAUCUAUGCUUGAGAUAUGAUAUUACUUGUUGCUCUAGGAUGAAGGCUCCACACCUUCCCUUUUCAUGCAAAUUUAAUGAUAAUGAAACCUUAGCUUCUUAUGCUAAUGGUAUAUAUGAUUACUAUGGUUAUUGAACAAAUAGAAGAAUUUGUUGCUUUUAAGGCUGCUUAUGAAAUUGAAUCUUUGUUUGAAAAGUAUGAAGCUUUUGAUGAUGAUGGUGUUUAUAGGCCUGAAAUUUUUACUAUAUUGAAAUAUUGCUAUGAGAAUUAUGAAUACAAUUACUAUAUUAAUGCAUUUAUUGAGAAAGUCUCCGCUGUCCAAGAAGAGAGUAAUAUUUUGUAGGAAGCUAUGGAAGAAGAAAUUGAUGAAACUAUGAGCUCAUUGGAUGAAAAAGAUGAUGAGGAGAGCGAAGAACAAAAGGAGGAAGAGCGGAUUGAUCACCCAUGCCCACCUUAUAAUGAGAGUAACUCUUCAACUCAUACAUUGUUUAAUUCCCCUUCGUGCUUACCGAAGGAUGAUUGCUAUGAUGAUUGCUAUGAUCCCAUUGAUUCUCUUGAAAUAUCCUUUUUUGAUGAUGCUUGCUAUGCUUGUGGCCAAGAUGCCAAUAUGAGUUAUGCUGACGGAGAUGAACUUGCUAUAGUUCCUUAUGUUAAACAUGAAAUUGUUGCUAUUGCACCCCGCAUGAUAGUCCUAUUAUCUUUUUGAAUUCUCCAAUCUACACUAUAUCGGAGAAGUUUGUGCUUAGUAAGGAUUAUAUUGAUGGGUUGCCUUUUACUACUACACAUGAUGAUUUUGAUAGAUAUAAUAUGCAUGUGCUUGUUGCUCCUACUUGCAAUUAUUAUGAGAGAGGAACUACAUCUCCACCUCUCUAUUUUUCCAAUAUGAUAGAAUUGCAAGAAACUGUUUAUACUAUGCAUUGGCCUUUACUAUGUGUGCAUGAUUUGUUCUUUUAUGACAUGUCGAUGCAUAUGAAGAGUUUUAGACUUUGUUGUUGCAUGAUUUAUGUUACUUUGUGCUCACUACUAAAUUACAAAUCAUUGUUAAUUAAAAUUGGCUUUGAUAUACCUUGGGAUCCGGGUGGAUUCAUUACUUGAGCACUAUAUGCCUAGCUUAAUGGAUAUAAAGAAAGCGCUGCCAGGGAGACAACCCGGAAGUUUUAGAGAGUCAUUUAUUUUUGUUGAGUGCUUUUAUAUAGUUUAAAAACAAAAAAAUAAAGAGGGGAACCUAAAACUUUUCAAAAAAGGAAAGUGAAAGUGAGAAAGACAAGCAUUGUUGAAGUGGGAGAGCUCCUUGAACUUUGUUCAUGCUCACGGUAACUUUGUGAAUCUUGAUUAUAGAAACUUUUCAUCGAAAAUAAUUAUCCCCUUGUACAAUUCCAUUGUAUUAUAAAAAUAAUGUGCUAAGGUUUGCCUUUAGGAUGUUUACAAUGCUUGUUGGUUUGUACGGUGCAGGACAGAAACUUUGGCUGUAGUGCGCGAUUUUACAUUUUUAACUGGAACGUCAAUUGGUUCUGAUUCUUUUUGCACUAUCUUGCUAUGCAAAUUUUUUAUUUUUCCUAAUUAUGGUUGAAUUUUUGGGGUACCAUAAGUAUGGUGGAUGUUCAGAUUUCUAUAGACUGUUCUGUUUUUGACAGAUUCUGUUUUUGAUGCAUAGUUUACUUGUUUUGAUGAAUCUAUCAAUUUAUAUCAGUGGAUUAAGCCAUGUAAAAGUUAUAUUACAGUAGACACAAUGCAAAAAAAAAUAUGAAUUGGUUUGCAAUAGUACUUAUAAUGGUGAUUUGCUUUAUUAUACUAACGGAUCUUACCGAGUUUUCUAUUGAAGUUUUGUGUGGAUGAAGUGUCUAAACGAGGAGGUCUCGAUACGAGGAAAAGGAAGAGAGGAAAGAGCUCAAGCUUGGGGUUGCCCGAGGCACCCCAAGUAAAUUCUCAAGGAGACUCAAGCAUCUAAGCUUGGGGAUGCCCCGGAAGGCAUCCCCUCUUUCUUCAACCAGUAUCGGUAUGUUUUUGUAUUCAUUUCGUUUAUGCAUUAUAUGCAAGUCUUAGAGCGUCUUUUGCAUUUAGUUUUCACUUUUCUUUUAUGCACCAUGCUGGUAUGAGAUAGUCCUUGGUUGAUUUAUAUAAUGCUCAUUGUACUUCACUUAUAUCUUUUGAGUAUGGCUUUAUAGAAUGCUUCACGUGCUUCACUUAUAUCAUUUGAAGUUUGGAUUGCUUGUUUCUCUUUGCAUAGAAAACCGCCAUUUGUAGAAUGAUCUUUUGCUUAACUUAUAUUUGUUAGAGUGUGGACAUAUCUUUUGUAGAAAGAAUUAAACUCUCUUGCUUCACUUAUAUCUAUUUAGAGAGAUGACAGGAAUUGGUCAUUCACAUGGUUAGUCAUAAAAUCCUACAUAAACUUGUAGAUCGCUGAAUAUGAUAUGUUUGAUUCCUUGCAAUAGUUUUGCGAUAUAAAGGUGGUGAUAUUAGAGUCAUGCUAGUGGGUGGUUGUGGAUUAGUAGAAAUACUUGUGUUGAGGUUUGUGAUUCUCGUAGCAUGCACGUAUGGUGAACUGCUUUGUGAUGAAGUUGGAGCACAAUUUUAUUUAUUGAUUGUCUUCCUUAUGAGUGGCGGUCGGGGACGAGCGAUGGUCUUUUCCUACCAAUCUAUCCCCCUAGGAGCAUGCGCGUAGUACUUUGUUUUCAAUGGCUUGUAGAUUUUUGCAAUAAGUAUAUGAGUUCUUUAUGACUAAUGUUGAGUCCAUGGAUUAUACGCACUUUUACUUUUCCAUCAUUGCUAGCCUCUUCGGUACCAUGCAUUGCCCUUUCUCACCUCGAGAGUCGGUGCAAACUUCGCCGGUGCAUCCAAACCCCGUGAUAUGAUACACUCUAUCACACAUAAGCCUCCUUAUAUCUUCCUCAAAACAGCCACCAUACCUACCUAUCAUGGCAUUUCCAUAACCAUUCCGAGAUAUAUUGCCAUGCAACUUCCAUCAUAUCAUAUACAUGACUUGAGCAUUCAUUGUCAUAUUGCUUUGCAUGAUCGUAAGAUAGCUAGCAUUAUGUUUUCAUGGCUUGUCCAUUUUUUUAUGUCAUUACUACGCUAGAUAAUUGCACAUCCCAGUACACCGCCGGAGGCAUUCACAUAGAGUCAUAUCUUUGUUUUAGAUAUUGAGUUGUAAGUAAAUAAAAGUGUGAUGAUCAUCAUUAUUAGAGCAUUGCCCCAGUGUGGAAAGGAUGAUGUAGACUAUGAUUCCUCCACAAGUCGGAAUGAGACUCUGUACUUUAUGAAAAAUAAAAGAGGCCAAAGAAGCCCAAAUAAAAAAGAGAGGCCAAAGAAGCCCACCAAAAGAAAAAAAGAAAAAAAGAGAAAAUAAAAAUAAUGAGAGAAAAAGAGAGAAGGGGCAAUGUUACUAUCCUUUUACCACACUUGUGCUUCAAAGUAGCACCAUGUUCUUCAUAGAGAGAGCCUCUUAUGCUUUCACUUUCAUAUACUAGUGGGAAUUUUCAUUAUAGAACUUGGCUUGUAUAUUCUGAUGAUGGGCUUCCUCAAAUGCCUGAGGUCUUCAUGAGAAAGCAAGUUGGAUGCACACCCACUUAGUUUUCAGUUCGAGCUUUCAUACACUUAUAGCUCUAGUGCAUCCGUUGCAUGGCAAUCCCUACUCACUCACAUUGAUAUCUAUUGAUGGGCAUCUCCAUAUCCCGUUGAUACGCCUAGUCGAUGUGAGACUUUCUCCUUUUUUGUCUUCUCCACAUAACCCCCAUCAUCAUAUUCUAUUCCACCUAUAGUGCUAUGUCCAUAGCUCACACUCAUGUAUUGCGUGAAAGUUGAAAAAGUUUGAGAUUACUAAAGUAUGAAACAAUUGCUUGGCUUGUCAUCGGGGUUGUGCACGAUUAAAUACUUUGUGUGAUGAAGAUAGAACAACAACCAAACUAUAUGAUUUUGUAGGGAUAAAUUUCUUUGGCCAUGUAGUUUUGAAAAGACAUGAUUGCUUUAUUGGUACGCUCGAAGUAUUAUUGUUUUUAUGUCAAAUGAUAGACUAUUGCUUUGAAUCACUCGUGUCUUAAUAUUCAUGCCAUGAUUUGACAUAUGAUCAAGAUUAUGCUAGGUAGCAUCCCACAUCAAAAAUUAUCUUUUUUAAGCUUGGGGAUGCUGAUACGUCUCCGUCGUAUCUAUUAUUUUUGAUUGUUCCAUGCCAAUAUUAUUCAAUUUUUAUAUACUUUUGGCAACUUUUUAUACUAUUUUUUGGGACUAACAUAUUGAUCCAGUGCCCAGUGCCAGUUCCUAUCUGUUGCAUGUUUUUUGUUUCGCAGAAACCCAAUACCAAACGGAGUCCAUACGGGAUAAAAAUGGACUGAGAUUUUUUUUUGGAAUAUUUAUGAUUUUUGGGAAGUAAAAUCAACGCAAAACGGUGUCCAGGGUGGCCACGAGACAGGGGGCGCGCCCUCCCCCCUGGGCGCGCCCUGGACUCUCGUGGGCCACCCGUAAGGCGGUUGACAAUCUUAUUUUGCCGCAAGAAAGCUAAUUUUACGAGAAAAAUCUGGGCGAAAGAUUCACCCCAAUCGGAGUUAUGGAUCUCCGGAUAUUUAAGAAACGGUGAAGGGGUAGAAUCUGAGAACGCAUAAACAGAGAGAUAGAUCCUCGAAGGGGCUCUCGCCCCUCCCAUGCCAUGGGAGCCAAGGACCAGAGGGGAAACCCUUCUCCCAUCUAGGGAGAAGGUCAAGGAAUAAGAAGAAGAAGGGUGGCUCUCUCCCCCUUGCUUCCGGUGGCGCCGGAACGCCGCCGGGGGCCAUCAUCAUCACCGCGAUCUUCACCAACACCGCCGUCAUCUUCACCAACAUCUUCAUCACCUUACCCCAUCUAUAUCCAGCGGUCCAUUCUCCUGCAACCCGCUGUACCCUCUACUUUAACAUGGUGCUUUAUGCUUCAUAUUAUUUUCCAAUGAUGUGUUGCCAUCCUAUGAUGUCUGAGUAGAUUUUCGUUGUCCUAUCGGUGAUUGAUGAAUUGCUACGAUUGGUUUGAGUUGCAUGUUUUAUUAUUGGUGCUGUCCUAUGGUGCCCUCCGUGUCACGCAAGCGUGAGGGAUUCUCGCUGUAGGGUGUUGCAAUGCGUUUAUGAUUCGCUUAUAGUGGGUUGCUUGAGUAACUAAAACACAAACCCGAGUAAGGGGAUUGUUGCGUAUGGGAUAAAGGGGACUUGAUACUUUAAUGCUAUGGUUGGGUUUUACCUUAAUGAAUCUUUAGUAUUUGCGGAUUCUUGCUAGAGUUCCAAUCAUAAGUGCAUAUGAUCCAAGUAGAGAAAGUAUGUUAGCUUAUGCCUCUCCCUCAAAUAGAAUUGCAAUAGUGAUUACCGUUCUAGUAACAUAGUCAAUUGCUUAGGGACAAUUUCACAACUCCUACCACCACUUUUCCACACUCGCUAUAUUUACUUUAUUGCAUCUUUAUCUAAACAGCCCCUAGUUUAUAUUUAUGUGCUCUUUAUUAUCUUGCAAACCUAUCUUAUCACACCUACAAAGUACUUCUAGUUUCAUACUUCUAGGUAAAGCGAACGUCAAGUGUGCGUAGAGUUGUAUCGAUGAUCGAUAGAACUUGAGGAAAUAUUUAUUCUACCUUUAGCUCCUCGUUGGGUUCGACACUCUUACUUAUCAAAAACUGUUGCGAUCCCCUACACUUGUGGGUUAUCAGGGUGCACCGAGGUCGGUUAGUAUGAUGCAAAACUUCAGGGAUGCACUGGUUGACUAUUAACUCGAGGACAUGGGUUUUGUGGGCGAGAAAUUUACUUGGAGAAGACGCAAAUUGCAGGAACGUUUAGACAAAGUAGUGUGUAAUGGAUCCUUCUUUGGUUUUUUCCCUGCUGCUGUAGUUACAAAUGCACCUCAUACUAAAUCAUAUCAUCGGCCGGUGGUGUUGGACUUGGGAGGUGCAGCGGGUUUGGACCAGGGAGUUUGUUCGAGACCAAAACAAUUCAAAGCUCGCUGGCUACAGGAGGAGGAGAUGCUGCAAAGAGUUACAUACGCGUGGGAGAGGAUGUGCAUGUCCGACUGUCUCGCGCGUUGCACGGCAGCGGUCCACCAGGACUUGCAUAGAUGGAAUAGAGAUGUCCUGAAAGCACCUCAUCGUCGCUUGAAGGAACUAAAGGAGAAGCUAGAAUCGCUGCGAUCGGGGCCACUCACUGACGAGUCGGCGGAUAGGCAGCGCUGUUUACUGAUUGAGAUCGAAGAGACCAUGGAUAAAGAGGAGAUUUAUUGGGUCCAACGCAGCAUGGCUAAUUGGCUGAAGUUUGGAGAUAGGAAUACAAAUUUCUUUAUUAAAUUUGCCUCAGCUCGUAAGAAAAGAAAUUAUAUUCGGCGGCUAAUGGAUGACAAUGGUGGAUGGCUAGAGGAUAGUGAGGUGAUGAAAAACCUUAUAGAUACUUUUUUUCAGAAUCUUUUUACUUCCAAGGUUGAUGUACUAAACGUGGAUGUGAUUAACAAGGUGACACCGCGUGUUACAUCCUAUAUGAAUGAAGCUCUACUGGCACCGUAUAUGGAGGAAGAAGUGAAACACUCCCUGUUCAGCAUUGGUGAUUUGAAAGCGUCGGGGCCAGAUGGCCUACACGCGAUUUUUUUAAAAACAAUUGGCACCUAUUGGGAGAUGAUUUAGUAAAGGAAGUGCUGGAGGCGGUGAAUAGUGGAAUUAUACCUGAAGGCUGGAAUACCACAACUAUUGUGCUAAUCCCAAAGGUUGAUGUUCCAGAGAAGGUUUCCUAGUUCAGGCCUAUAAGUCUAUGCAACGUUGUUUAUAAGGUGAUAGCAAAAAUGUUGGCAGCAAGACUGAAGGUGUUCCUCCCUGACAUCAUUAGUGAGACACAAAGUGCCUUUGUACCUGGUCGGAUCAUUACAGACAAUGUGAUCAUUGCAUAUGAAUGUCUCCAUACUAUGAAAAAGAAGAAGAAGGGGAAGGUUGGGAAUUGUGCAGUAAAACUUGAUAUGCAUAGGUAGUCCUGGCCAUGGGCAGCCCGGCCCGAACGGCCCGGCCUGAAAAAGCCCGACCCAACCCGACCCGACGCUGCUCCAGGGCCGGGCCCGGGCUGGCACGGGCCCAUCGUUUUCGCGUUUUCCUGAAGGACGGGCCGGGCCAGCUCAAAGCCCGAUUGGCUUUUACGUGUUCGGGCCGGGCUCGGGCCUAGAAAACAGGCCCGACGGCCGGGCCGGGCCCGUGCCUGGGGUUUUUGCGUCGGGCUUGGCUAGGCCCGGCCCGAAGCCCGGCCUGGCCCGAGGUAUGGCCAAGUAUAUGCAUAGGCCUAUGACAGGGUCGAAUGGGUAUUCCUAAAGGCUAUACUUGGCAGACUGGGAUUUGAUGAAAGACGGGUUGAUCUUAUUAUGGCAUGUGUGACAUCAGUGUAGUAUAAAGUGAGAUUUAACUCAAAUGAGACUGCAACAUUUUCUCCCACGAGAGGUUUGAGACAAGGGGAUCCCCUGUCUCCCUACCUCUUUCUCUUAUGUGCAGUGGGGCUUUCAAAUUUAAUUUCCUUUGAGGAAACAGCGGGUAACCUCAAGAGUGUCCAAGUGUGUCGUGACUCCCCUACCAUAUCUCACUUACUUUUUGCUGACGACUCCUUGAUCCUCAUCAGAGCAGAUGCGGAUAAUGCGAGCACUUUAAAAAGGGUUUUGGAUGAGUACUAUUCGGCUUCAGGACAAUUGGUGAGUGCGGCAAAAUCAUUGAUAUACUUCAGCCCCAAUACUGAUGUUGAUCGGAAAGUGGAGGUGUGCCAGAUAUUGGACAUCAUGACAGAAUCUCUCUCUGAUAAGUACUUGGGUCUCCCUUCCAUGAUUGGGGUAGACAGUGUCGACUAUUUAAAGAAUACUAUUGAGAGGAUCCAGAAGAUGAUAAAUGGGUGAAGGAAAGAAAACUAUCUUAUGGUGGUAAGGAAUCAUUGAUCAAAGCGGUGGCCCAGGCCAUUCCUACGUAUGCGAUGAGUGUGUUCAAAUUCCCGAAAAAAAUCUGCAAGGGUAUCAUUGACGCCAUUUCGCAUUACUGGUGGGGUGACAAGGAAAACCAAUGAAAGAUGCAUUGGUUCGCUUGGUGGAAGUUGUGCAUUCCGAAGGAAAGAGGUGGUAUGGGUUUCCGUGAUAUACACAGUUUUAGUUUGGCGCUUCUAGCUAAGCAGUGCUGGAGACUUAUUGAGCAUCAUGACUCGCUAUAUGUGAGGAUUUUGCGUGCGGAAUAUUACCCAAAUGGUGAAUUACUAAACUGUUGUUUGAAGAAAGGUUCUUCCUAUGUGUGGCAGAGUAUUUGGGCGGGAGCUCCUACUUACAAGAAAGGAAGCAUUUGGAGGGUGGGUAAUGGCCUUAAAAUAAGUAUAUGGGAGGACUGCUGGGUGCCGAACAACUCCUCUAGGAAAAUUGUCACUACAUGCGGAAAUAGAGUGCUUACCCAAGUUAAUGAACUUAUUGAUCCAGUAUCCAGAGAGUGGGAUGAGAAUCUUAUCAGAGAAAUUUUUUGGCCCAUUGAUGUUGACCGCAUACUACAAAUUACAUUGCAUCAGGAUGAUACGAGGAUUAUGUGGCAUGGCACUUGACGAAGACAUGAAUUUUUAGUGUAUGAUCUGCCUAUUAUAAACAGUGGGAAGAUGCAUAUGGCAGUACUGAACUGAGCUCUCUCUCGAGUGGUUCGAUGCCCCACCCGAUAUGGAAGAAAUUGUGGAGUCUCAAGGUGCGAAACAAAGUGAAAAUCUUCAGUUGGCGAUCAUUACAUAAUGCUAUUCCUUGCUUUGGUGUGCUUGCUAAUCGGCACAUCUCAACGUCGGUGCAAUGUCCGGUAUGCAAACAGCACACGAAAGACGUUGCUCAUGCGCUAUUCGGAUGCAAUCGGGCUGGAUAAAUCUAGUCUAUUCUUGGCUUACAUGAAAUAGUAACUGCAGCCAGACUACCAGGGAAGUCGGGAGCUGAGAUACUAGAGUUUCUCAUGUGUGAUAAGGCGAGUCAUAAGAGCUACUGGGACGUGAUUGAGUUACCAGAGAUGAUUGCGGUAACUAGCUGGCAUAUCUGGUGGCAACGAAGGAAGAUAGAGAAGGGUGAGGACGUCCAGAACAUUGAAAGAUCAAGGCAAGUCAUCUUAGCUAUAGCCCUUAACUUUGUUUGGGCAGCAACAACGAAGGUGAUUCCCCCAAGAACUAACAGAUGGGCAACAGCGUUGAAGGGCCAGCUGGUUUUGAACACAAAAGCUUCUUUUUCGGAGGAUGACCAUACAGGUUCGUGCGGUGCUGUUAUAAGAGACCAUUCGGGUUUUUUCGUUGCGGCAUCUACGGCAAAAUUGGAACAUGUGGCGGAUGUAGAGUCGGUGCAGGCGGCUGAACUUUACAAAUUGUAAGAGUCUCCACUAUGACCAUGGUGAGUUUGUGGCUACUAGAUUCUGACCUUGGAGCUCCCAGACUCGCACUACGCAAAAUGAAAAAAAAAUCUGCUCACCGUCCCCCUAAGGCCCUACGAUCUGUUAUGUCUUUCAAUGAAAAUGAAAUGGGGUUUCUCCUGUGAGUUGGUUACUCCUAGAUGGCAAUGUAUGUCCUUGGAGUGAAUCAUCAGAGUACAUAUAUAGUGGGCAUAUUAACAAAUGAUAUCACGUUCAUUUUUUCUUGAAUAGCUCAAAGACCUAAUGAAAGAGGUAGAUUCCAACCUUGAGUGUUAGUAUACACGAUAUUCAAGGGGGAAAAGCUUUUCCAGUGAUAUCAUGACACAAAAUUCAUCAAUAUGCUUGUGUUCAUUGGCAGUGCUUCUUUCCAAUUGACCACAAUUAAUGAAGGAACCUGAUGUGCUUAACCUGUAGAAACUUUAUUAAGCACUAGUAACUUUCAAUUGUGGUAUUGCAGGACGCCGGAUAUGUCAGCCAUGCAUCAUGACACCUCACAUGAUCUUAAACACCUUGGCGCUAAGCUGAAGGAUAUCCUGGUGGUAUGUAUGUGUUCACACACGAACACGUCAUGGUGUACCUCCAACGCCGAGGGUGAUGUACCGCAGCUCACGUUGAAGGAGACCCGUCCAGAAGCGCGGUACGCAAACAAUCCGGCGGGCGCUAUUGUAGACCCGAAACCCCACCUCCCAGGAGGGACCCCGACUGGACGCACGACAGCUAUGGGCUGCCCUAGGUCGACCUGAUCGCCCCUUGGGCCUCGAGAUUCGCUUCCCUGCAAGAACAAGAACAGACGAAGGACGAGGAAGAAGAAGAACUAGGGUUUAAGAGAAAAGAUAAAAUAUAAAAGAUAAAAAGUAAUAGAUGAUUUGAUCGAUUGUGUGUUGUUCAAUCGGCCGUCACCCUUAGAUACAUAAGAGGCGGCUGGACUUCCCGUGCAAGGAAAAGGUUUGGACUCACGUCCAAAACCUAGUCAAAUUCGGAUUGGUUUUGUCCCAACUUUUCAAAACUGUUCGGUUUAAACUGGUUGCACCUUGCGGGUCCUUUUUGUGGUGGUAAACGAUCUCGGAUGGAAACGAUCCCAAAAGCAAUCUUAACCGUUUCGACGAGACGAAUAACUUUCAUGUUGAACGUUUUUUGGUCAGAGGUCAUCUUGAGGGUAAAAUCGGUCGCGCAAAACAGGCUAUUCCCUCGCAUUACCCAUCACACAUGUGCCUGGUGGGGCGCGCCACAUCUCGCCUCGUGACAGGGCUGCACUCCGAUUGCUAUAACUUUUGCAUACAAACUUGCAUUUGGACGAUUUUUAUAUCAAAAUCGAUCAUUUCGACGAGACAAAGAUAAUCCGUGUAGAUAAUUUUUCAAUUUGAGGUGGUCUUGGGGGCUUAAUCGGCCAAAGUGUUCUCUGAAUAUAAGAUCUUAGUACUUUGAGCAUAGUUUCGGCCUGCGAGAUGAAAUCGGACGGCAAUGACCUAAAAUUCAAAGAUGUUCAUAUCAACAAUAUGGAACUCUUCCAUGUAGAUCACUUCUCCAUUUUAGGCCAUCUUAAAUAAGUUUUGACCGUGCCAAAAUCUAGCGUCAACAGUAUGAACAUGAUGAUAACACGUACUCAAAAGAGGAUAUUGCUAAAUCUGACCUUCAACAACAAGUGACUUCUUGUGUCAUGCUUGAACUUAACAUCUAGGUUGCCGAUACUUCCCUGGAAGCAAGAUACAUAACCCUUCACGUCUGCGACAAGGUCGCGGAGAGAGGCGCGCGCCUGGCUGCUGCCGGCAUAUACGGCAUCCUGAAGAAGCUGGGUAGGGACAGAUCGCCGAGUGAUGGCAGUCUGAAGAAAAGGACCAUCGUCGCCAUAGAUGGAGGCCUCUACGAGAACUACAAGAAGUUCAGCUCCUGCGUUGAAGUGAUGCUCGUAGAGCUGCUCGGGGAGGCAGCAGCCUCGUCGGUCGUCGUCAAGAUGGCCAACGACGGCUCCGGCAUCGGUGCCACGCUCCUUGCGGCCUCACACUCCCAGUACAAUGUCAUCGAGUAGUCCUAAGGAGAGGGAGUGAGCUCCCGUCGCAGCUUCUUGCUUUUGCUUGGAUCACUUAUUUUGACAUUUCUCUCCACCGAUAGCUAGUCUUGUGCUAAUGAGUUUCGUUUGCAACCGCAGGAAGGUGGAAACGGAGACGGAGGUUAGAAUGACGCCGCUCCUGUACUGCCAAUUCUUUUUCCCUAAACCUGCAAGUUUCUGUUGUGAUGCAAUGUCGUGAACCAAACAGAGGAGACCUGCCUGCAUCUGAUCUUCUAUAAUUCAGAAUAAGGACGGUGGUAUAUAUGAUCACAUAAUCAAAACAUUUAUGAUUUCUUCUGUUUCGUGAUCCACAUACUAUAUAUAUGCAAUACAUG